CCACUAUUGUUGGAAAUUAGGGGAUCGUUUCAAUGUUUGCUGCUUCACACUAAUUGACUUCUUCCACCUUAGGGGUACAAGGAUGUGCUUGGAAGAAAAUGCAAGUUGUUGUCGCUCUUUAGAUAUUUUUUAAAAAUAGAAGAGCAAUUUUAUUUAUGAACAUUAAUCCCCAGCUGAUCGAACAAACAGUAUGUCUUGAACUUUUACCAUUUGUACAUAGCAAAGUUGGCUUCCAAACUGAGUCUAUCAAUUAUGUCAUUGUACCAACGAAUUAUGAAGGAUAGCCCGGGUUUACAAUGUAUACGUUUGGUAACAAAACCAAUAUAAAGGCUCUCUUGAUUCACAAUUCUUGGAGUGUGCUAUUAGUUAAAAGGAGUUUAAAUUAUGUCAGAUUCAUCCUGAUUUGGAACUUUUUCAGCAUUCAAUGAUUUAUUAUCACCUAAGCUUUCUUAAGUAUAGUAUUGUAAUAACAUUGUACUUGCAUUCAUACAAUCUUCGUAUUUGUUAUUCCUUUUUUUUUUGUUUAAAGUAUUUACCCAAUUUUGUCAUUUAAUUUUCUCUUUUCUUUAUUCUUUUCUUUAUUGCACUUACCUUUUUCUAUUCUUCUUUUUAAUGUAACUUAGCCUAUCUUUUUCCCUUUUCUUUAAGCAAAGAAAAAACCAUUCAUAUAAUUGUGUAAAUUAUAACCACCAAAUGUUGUAUAAACAACUAUUAAUUGAAUCAAGUAAACACAUAGCAAGAAGGGUUAAUUCCAUUUUGGCCCUAAAAUUUAAGUAACAACAAGUUUCAGUUAAGUCCUUCAAAUUGAUAAAAAAUCUCAGUUGGGCUCCAAACAAGAAACUUUGUUCACAUUCCAUUCAAGAAAAUUUGGCUCAAAUUUUUCAUCAGCUUUAAUUUCAUUCAGUAUCAAAUGUCUAGUUGAGUAUUUCUACCAUUACUUCAUGAAGUCCAUAGCUCACGAAGUCAAAAGUAAUCUGUCACAAGCUGAGGGCAUAUUUAUAUCAUUUAAUCAUGAUUUUUCCACAUGUAUUUGACAACGACAAAAAUAUGGCUAUCCCAACUAUCAAUGAUUACGCAAAAAAAGAAAAAGGAUAGUUGAUGCAUUUAUACAAUCUUCACAUUUAGCAUAUGAACUUUUUCAAGUGAAUAACUACAUCUGUGAAUUAUUCUGCUACAUAAAUCAUCACAAAUAACCUAGAAAUCUUGAGAAUUUAAAGGUACAUAAAAUUCUAUGAAAUCCCCGAAUGCAUAGAUGAAAUUUAGAGUAUGGAAAUUGAUAUUAAAAAAUACAAAAUUAUCAACCCAAAAUUAUACAAGUGAAUAUCUUCGCAAGUGUAUGAGAGAUAAUGGCAGAUCAUCAAAAUAUUUCUUAUUCUUCAUCUUGGAUUUUUCUUUCCUUCAUUUCAUUCUUUCUUUCUCUGGGUAAGGAAAAGCCAGGGAAUUGUGAUCUGUGAUGUUGUGAUUGACAGGAAAAACUAUUGGCACUUUAAGGAGGACUCUAUAUUUCAUCAUUUUUUUAAAAACUUUUUAACUCAAAUUGGUGUCCAGAUAUCAUAGGUGAUGGUGUAUUAGUGUAACAGUAGAACACUUAAAAGGAAGUUUAGGUCGCAAUACAUAAUUGGGUGCCUAAAAAGUCUCAAAUCAUGAUGAUCCUAAUGUGCACCCUUAGUUAAGAUAUGUAAAUGUUUUAUCCAUAUCAAAUUAGACAUCAUCUAAUAAAAUUAGAUUAGAUUAGUCACUGAUUUAAAUGUUGUCUUAUCUUUUGGGUUUAUAUUUUGUGCCCUUAAAGCACCAUAAGGAGUGGGUCUCUUUUUUUUUCAAAAGGGUAAUUUGUUUGCUAAUGUGCUGUAUUUCAGGGUGGUAAUUUUAAAGGUUUAAUGGUGGGCCAAUUUCCUUUUUCUAUAUGCUUAUUUGGUGCUUUAAGCAUCAAAUAAAAAAGUCUUAAUGUAAUACUCUCAGAUCUUAAUGAGGCAAUAACAUACUUCUCAGAUCUUUUCACGGGUUCUUUGGAAUCUUCUUCUGAUAUGCUGAAUCUACUUCCGCUCAUUAUCUCGGAAGACGACAAUGACAAAUUGGAGGAAUUUCCUUCAACUGAGGAGGUCUAUCGAGUUGUGAGGUCAAUGGAUGGAGAUAGUGCUGCGGGUCCAGAUAGAUUCACUGGAAAAUUCUUUACAUUUGCAUGGGAAGUGGUUGCCCAAGAUGUCUACAAUGCAAUACUCAGUUUCUUUUGUGGGGCAGAGUUACCUCGAUUCAUCACCUCUACCUCUAUUGUGCUAAUUCCCAAAAUGUCAAAUCCUCAGGAAUUUUCACAAUUUAGGCCAAUCAGUCUGUGUAAUUUCUUUAACAAGUUGAUAUCUUGGAUCUUAGCAGACAAAGUGGCUUAUGUAUUGCCAAAAAUUAUUUCCCCCCAACAGACAGGCUUUGUAAAGGGUCGUAAUAUAACAGAAAAAUUUCUGCUAACUCAGGAGAUAAUAUCGGGUAUUGGAAAAAAGAAGAGAGGUGGUAAUGUGGUAAUGAAGCUAGACAUGUCUAAGGCAUAUGAUCGAGUGGCAUGGGAUCAUAUUAUUGGUGUUCUAAGGAGAUUUGGCUUCGGGGAAAGAUUCAUUGAUCUUGUUUGGAGAUUGAUCUCUAAUGUUUGGUUUUCGGUAAUUAUAAAUGGGUCAUCAUAUGGUUUCUUUAAGUCUUCGAGAGGACUUCGUCAGGGUGACCCAUUAUCGCCUGCUUUAUUUAUUAUAGGGGCUGAGGUUUUAUCUAGAGGUUUAAAUAACCUCGUCAUGCAAUCGGGUUUUGUGGGUUUCAAAAUUCCAUACACAUGUCCUUCUAUGACACAUUUGGCAUUUGCAGAUGAUGUUCUCAUAUUUGCAAAUGGAUCUUCAUAUUCUUUAAAGACUAUCAUGCAGGUGAUACAAUUGUAUCAAAGGUGUUCGGGGCAGAUGAUAAAUGUGCAAAAAAGCUGUUAUUUAGUUCAUCCAUCGUUGUCACCGGCAAGACGAAGGGUUAUUGAACGUGUCACUAGUUUUACCUGGCAUUCUUUUCCAAUACGUUAUCUAGGAUUCCCAUUUUACUUUGGAAGGUGUAAAUCAUCAUAUUUUGGGGAAGUGUGUCAGUCUAUUCUAGAGAGGAUUAUGUCAUGGAAAUCAAGGAUGCUGUCAUUUGGAGGCAAGAUAGUUAUAAUCAAACAUGUAUUAGCAUCGAUGCCAGUGCAUCUGCUAUCAGCGGCGAUUAUCCCGCCAAAGGUAUUUAGAACUAUAGAAAAUGCCUUCUCAAACUUCCUAUGGAGAUCAUCACUCGAGGCUACCAAGUUUCACUGGAUACGUUGGUCUCAAAUGUGCUAUCCAGUAGAGGAAGGAGGAGUCGGAUUUCGAAGGUUAAAGGAUGUUUAUACAACCUUUUCAUUCAAGUUGUGGUGGAAUUUCAGAAAGGGAUUGUCGUUAUGGGCUAAGUUUAUGAAAGCAAAAUAUUGUUGACAACUACAUCCUUGUCGGGUAGAGAUCAGAACAAUGGACUCGGCACUCUGGAGAAGGAUGGUGAAUGUGAGUCAACAAGUGGAACUUUCUAUGUUAUGGGUUGCCAAAGACGGAGCAUGUCAUUUUUGGUAUGACAAUUGAUUGGGGGGUGGUGCGUUGUUCUUACGAACUACGGUAGUCCCAAACUUGUCGUUUGGCAAUUUCAUCACUAAUGGGCAAUGGGAUGCGAAUCAGUUAUAUCAAUAUUUGCCACAUGAAAUGGUUAACUCCAUUUUCAACCAUCCGCUCCUGAAAGAGAGGGGUGAAGCUGAAGUCAUAUGGAUGCCCACAACUUCUGAAAAUUUCUCUGUAGCUUCAGCAUUUUGAGAAAUUAGGCAAGCCCGAAACACAUCAAUGGUGUUUGAUAGAAUCUGGCAUCCCCGCCUUCCUUUGAAAGCCUCUUUCUUCAUGUUGCGAUUGCUGCUGGGUAGGUUGCCGCUACCGGAUAGGUUACGAAACUUUGGUUUUCAUUUACCCUCAAAGUGUUUUUGCUGCCAAUCGGCAUCUGAGGAGUCAAUCUAACAUUUAUUCUCCAAUGGCAAUAUAGCAUUAACAGUUUGGAAUUAUUUUGGGGCUUUAUGUGGACUCCAAGUAUCAGGGUCAUAUUUGAGACCUCGCAUAGUGGGUUGGUGGCUGAAAUCAUAUGAUUCUGAUAUAAGACGGUUUAUUGGUCGACUACUUCCUACUGUAGUAUGUUGGCAAAUUUGGAAGGCAAGAAAUAAAGCAAUAUUUGAGGAUGUCCAGAUGCGGUCGAAUGUCAUUUGUCAAGCCAUUUUCUCGGAAAUCCAAUCCAUCGUGGAGAUACAUUUCAAACAAGUGAUACGAGUACGGUCAUUUUAUCAUUUGUACGUGAUAGGUUGUAUUUUUGCCAUUAAUUCUAUGAUUAUUUUCCUCUUUUAUUAUACCAAAUAUUAUUUUAAUUGAUUGAUUCUACUUAUAUUUGGUAUUUGGUACUAAUUGUAGGAAGAUGGAGCAAAAAGAGAUAAAAGAUGUGAUUUUUCAAGAGUUUCCCGAUUCAAAAUGAAGUCUACAUGGAUUAUUGACGGAAGAUUAAGAGAAAGUCUAUUUGGUUUCAAAAAGCUAAAAAUUAGGAAAUGAUAGGAUGGCCGGCCCAUGUAAUUAAUACUCAAAGGAAGCAGCAAUUUCUGGCCUUUUGAUUUCCUUUGCACGGAUUUGAGGGAGUAGUAGAAGCUGAAUAGGAAACAAAAGAAAAAGAGAAAGCCGGAUCCUGCGGAAUGACUACUCAGCCAGGGAUCUCACUGGAUUAUGACUCAGCCAGGGAAUAAGAAGAGAAAAUGAGGCAGCCACUUGGCUCUGGGCUCCGCUGAGUAGUUUUCUUCUCCUAUUAGGUGUCUAUCAUAUGCGCCACAAAGACCAUAGCAGGGAACAUUUAAUUAUCCCUUUGGCUUGGUAGUUUGGAGAUAGUUCUUAAUUCCAUCGAGUUUUCUUCCUUCGAAUUUGGAGGAAAAAGCUGGGAACAAUGAUUUGCAUGGCUUGUUCUCCAUUAAUAGAGAACUAAUUUUACACUACUAGUCAAGGGGACAACUGAAGACUUGGUUCAACAAAAAUGCCUACACUUGCACUUUUUCAAAAUAUUAUCAAUAUAUUACUCCCCCCACACCUAAAUCUUACAUUGUCCCCAAUGUAAGUAAUAAAGAAUAAAAUUCAAAAUAAAAAGGGACAAUGAAACUUCCCUGAUCAUCAAAGGGGGGUUGUGGCACAACUGUAGGUGAGAGGCAAAAGAUAUGCAGAGCUCGAUGGCAAAACUGAUGACGAUGAAAGCUAUGAUCGGCAGUUAAGGAUGUCAGGUGGCUCACAAUGGAUGAGGAAGAAGUACGCGCGAUGAGUAGCGAUAAUCAGGAACUGACGACCUACGUUGAACAGUGCAACGGUGGUAGUGGAAUUUGAAGUCCUUUGGUUGCGGUCUUGCAACUGGAAAAGAAAAGAAAGGAAUAAAAAGGAAAGGGAGAGAAGAAGAAAAAGAGAAAGAAAGAAAGAAAAAGAAAAGGAAAAGAGAAAAAAAAAAGAAAGGAAUUUUUUUUUUGAAACCACUGCGUUAGAUGUGGGCACGCCUAACUGUCCUUGAAUCUUCUGACCAAUCCACGGAAAUUAAGCUCCUUAAGCGUGACCAUCUGGCGUGGGCACGCCUAACUGCUGGGUAGUCUUUUGUCUGCCAAAUUAAAACUUCCUUCCUUAGGUGUGAUCACCUGACGUGGGCACGUCUAACUACCAGCUUCCUGCCGCAAAAGCAACAAAUCACUAAAUGCAACUAACACUUAACAAAAAUAACAAAAAACAUAAGAAAACUAAAACAAAAGCCUUGGGUUGCCUCCCAAGCAGCACCUUUCUUUAAUGUCUUUGGCUAGACAUUGCCAUAUUUAUUCACGGAGGAUAAAAUCGUGUAACUCGUUUCAGUGCUUCAUCUUCUAUGUAAUCCUGGUAUCCCUCGUAAAUAGAGUAAUUUUUGAACACACGAGGUAUGGUCUUCCAUGGAUUAGUAGAUGGCGCCAAACAAACAAGUGGUGACCUUAAAUCUUCACUCACUCCUCUAUCACGAGCACUUAUUGAUUCGAGAUAUUUUUCCAUCAUAACUCUUAAUUUAUUCCUAUCAUAAAACUCAAAAUCGUUUGGUAUAAUAAACUCAAUCUCACUAACAGGAAUUAAAGAAUGAGAGUUAAGAAAAUGUUGAUUAAGAAAUGGAGGAGAUGUCACCGCAUUUGGAGAUUGUUCACUGGAUUCAUUCACUUGAACCAUUUGAUGUUGGGGUCUCAUGUCUUGCACUUCAACUUUCUUUUCAACUGCAUCUUUAGAUUCUUCUCUUUGAGACUCUUGCAGUACCAUAUGAUUUGUUAAGAUAAUUGCACUCUCAUCUUCCUCAUGGUCGAUAAUAGUCUGUGAGGGCAAUUCUUCACUCAUUCGAGAAGUCAAUUGCGUUAUCCUAAAUGUCAAUUGAUCCAUUUGAUCUGCCAGGUUAUAGCUGCACACUUGUGUUUCCUGAUGAAAAUCUAUUAUCUCCUGUUGAAGUUGAUGUGUCUCCUGUUGAAUUUGAUAUGUGUUAGUAGCUAUUAAUUCAACUAUUUCUUCAAGAGACAUACCUGACAUGGAUGACGGUUCUUGAGACUCUAGCUGUUGAAAAUCUAUUGGUCGUUGUUUAUAAUUAAAAUUGGAAUCAUCCCACCAUCCUUGAUCAUACCCGUUUGAAUAAGGGUCAUACCACGUUUGAUAUUGAGGUGAAAAAUUUUCGGUUGGAGCACUUAGACCAUCUUGAAAUGCAGGGCAUAUGUCGGUUGAAUUAUAUGAGACAAAAUAAAUUCCACAAUUUGCAACAGCCCAUUGAUCAUUAGAACAAGCACGAGCAUUAUAAUCCCUUCUAGAAAUAAAAUCCAAUCUACCACCAAAAUACGGAAAGUUAGCAGCCAUAACUAUAUAUGAAAAAGAAAAAAGAGAAAAAUAAUAAAAAAAAUAAAAACAAGAUGAACUCAAAAAGAAACAAAUUAAUCAAGUACCAGUCCCCGGCAACGGCGCCAAAAAUUGACAGGUACCGAACCCGUGCAAUAAUAAUAAAUACUCCCUCCGUCCCAUUGUUAAUGUCAUGUUUUCACUUUUUUGUUGUCCCAAAAUAAGAGUCUCAUGGCAAAAGUCAAACAACUUUCACUACUACUUUCCUUUUAUACCCUUAGUAAUAAUGACAAGAUUCCAUCAACUAAUAAUAAACAAUUACAUAUGGCCCACCACAACACAUGCACACUUUCACCAUUCUGUGACCUUUUGCUUUUGGCCGGCUAUUUCCGUGUGAUAGACAAGGGGUAAAACUGGAAGAAUAUGAAAAGUGCAGUCCACCAUUUUACUGUGCAUAAAAAGUGCUAUUCCCGAAAAACUUCCCAAAUUUUGGGACGGAGGGAGUAAAACCUAACUACCACCUGAAACAGUCAAUAAUCAAUUCCAGUACUGGAGCAGGGACUCUAGGUGUGCAAUGGGUUACUUGAUUCACCCUGUUCCCGAAGAGUUUGCUUAAUCCGAUAUACUUGAAUUAAUUAUUUAACUAAAUUCACUAACUAAUAGAUAGUGAUAAGUGGGGUCGUCUUCUCAGGGACUGGCGAGAAAUUUAUUUCUUUUCAAGUCAAGAUUAAUGGGGGGUUUUGGGAUUAAAUGACAACUAAAUAAAUUAAAUGCAGAAAAUAAUUAAUUAAAAGAAAUACUUAGAGAAACUCUAGCCAAGGAUACACUUCAGAAAUGGUUCAUGCAACUGAUCAUCAAUUCACAGAUAAUUCCAACAUUUAUUAAUAGACCAGUUAUAGUUGUCAUGCACGCGAUAAACAACCAACCUUUCCUUAAUUUCUCGAUAGUUAAGGUACGACCGUUAACUAUUUCUCUAACCCAAAAACAACCCUAGGCACGACCGUAGGAUUUAAUUUCUAGAUUGCAUUAAUAAUUAGAAAGGCCCAAUCCUAACUAACAAACACGCUACGAAGGUUUGUUUAAAUUAGAUCAUAUGUUCCCCUGACAUAAACCCAAUUACGCCAGUUGCUACUGAGAUAGGGAUAACGAACAAUUACGGAUUCAAUUAUCCAUAAUUAGCAAAAUAGCCUAUAUGAAUAAUUAAUUAUUGUGCACUAAUCAAUCAUCCACACGAGUUAUAACGGUUAAGAGCAGGAAACAUAUGAAUACCAAUAAAUGGAGGAAGCAAUUAAAAUAAAUUAGAUCUCACAGUAAUUGUUGAACCAAAUCUUCAGUUGUCCCCUUGGCUAGUAGUGUAAAAUUAGUUCUCCAUUAAUGGAGAACAAGCCAUGCAAAUCAUUGUUCCCAGCUUUCUCCUCGAAAUUCGAAGGAAGAAAACUUGAUGGAAUUAAGAACUAUCUCCAAACUACCAAGCCAAAGGGAUAAUUAAAUGUUCCCUGCUAUGGUCUUUGUGGCGCAUAUGAUAGACACCUAAUAGGAGAAGAAAACUACUCAGCGGAGCCCAGAGCCAAGUUUGAAAAAGUGCAAGUGUAGGCAUUUUUUGUUUGACUUUGUUGAAUUUUAUCCAAAUUUUGCCUAUUUUUGUGCAUAUUUGUGAUUAUUCCUGAUAAAUGAUGGUUAGAUGUCUCAAAUUUUUCUAUUGCUAAGAUUUUACAGUCUAAGGUGUUAAGUAUGAUAUGGUUAAGUUUAAGGGUAUCUCUUUGGUGAAUAUUUGAGAUUUUGUGACUUUUACACUUUUUGAUUAACUUUUCUAAGUAUUGUAAAUUUUUGUCUAGCAUUUUUUUUUAUGCAAAUUGGUUCAACUAUUAAUCUUAGCCUCCAUGUUUAAUAAAUGAAGUGGGUUUGUGUGAUUUUUAAUUUUAAUUUGGUGCUUAUUUAUGAAUAGUAUUCGGCUAUAUUUCGCUAGUAUCGUUGCUUAGUAACCGGAGGUCUUCACCAUAAGUGUCGACUUUCGCGUCAAAAAGCGACGAUAACUAUGAGUAUGUGAUUUUAAGCAAUAAUGGCUGAGUAACCGGGCUCCUUCAUGUGGCCAAUGUCAGAGUUCGCGUCAAAACGCUUGAAUGGCUAAAAACUAAGCAUUCCCCCUAAAAAAAAAAAUCAAUCAAGUGUGGGGAUAUUUUAGAAAAAAAAUGUGCUAAUAGUGAAAAGUGUGGAAGUGUUGGAAUGAAUUGUUAGCCCGAUGAUUCAUGAAUUUUAAUGUUGAGAUUUUGCUUAAUAGUCGAACCAUUUGCUUAUGGAUGUUGGUUGAAUAUUGUAUAUUCUUAGAUUAGUUAGUCAUAAAUUGAAAGAGUCCUUGAUCUUGAAAGCUAAUUGGAGAGGUAUUUCUUGUAAAUUGCCACUAAUACUUGACAUGUAUUUUAAUUGUAUUUUGGCAAUAGAAGAUGUGAGCAAUAGCCAUUGUUUGAAUUCGAUUGCUUGAUUUGUUGUUCUCAUGCUUGAGGACAAGCAUGGUUUAAGUGUGGGGGAAAUUGAUAGGUUGUAUUUUUGCCAUUAAUUCUAUUAUUAUUUUCCUCUUUUAUUAUACCAAAUAUUAUUUUAAUUGAUUGAUUCUACUUAUAUUUGGUAUUUGGUACCAAUUGUAGGAAGGUGGAACAAAAAGAGAUAAAAGAUGUGAUUUUUCAAGAGUUUCCCAAUUCAAAAUGGAGUCUACAUGGAUUAUUGACGGAAGAUUAAGAGAAAGUCUAUUUGGUUUCAAAAAGCUAAAAAUUAGGAAAUGAUAGGAUGGCCGGCCUGUGUAAUUAAUACUCAAAGGAAGCAGCAAUUUCUGGUCUUAUGAUUUCCUUUGCACGGAUUUGAGGGAGUAGUAGAGGCUGAAUAGUAAACAAAAGAAAAAGAGAAAGCUGGAUCCCGCGGAAUGACUACUCAGCCAGGGAUCUCACGGGAUUAUGACUCAGCCAGGGAAUAAGAAGAGAAAAGGAGGCAGCCACUUGGCUCUGGGCUCCGCUGAGUAGUUUUCUUCUCCUAUUAGGUGUCUAUCAUAUGCGCCACAAAGACCAUAGCAGGGAACAUUUAAUUAUCCCUUUGGCUUGGUAGUUUGGAGAUAGUUCUUAAUUCCAUCGAGUUUUCUUCCUUCGAAUUUGGAGGAAAAAGCUGGGAACAAUGAUUUGCAUGGCUUGUUCUCCAUUAAUAGAGAACUAAUUUUACACUACUAGUCAAGGGGACAACUGAAGACUUGGUUCAACAAAAAUGCCUACACUUGCACUUUUUCAAAAUAUUAUCAAUAUAUUACUCCCCCCACACCUAAAUCUUACAUUGUCCCCAAUGUAAGUAAUAAAGAAUAAAAUUCAAAAUAAAAAGGGACAAUGAAACUUCCCUGAUCAUCAAAGGGGGGUUGUGGCACAACUGUAGGUGAGAGGCAAAAGAUAUGCAGAGCUCGAUGGCAAAACUGAUGACGAUGAAAGCUAUGAUCGGCAGUUAAGGAUGUCAGGUGGCUCACAAUGGAUGAGGAAGAAGUACGCGCGAUGAGUAGCGAUAAUCAGGAACUGACGACCUACGUUGAACAGUGCAACGGUGGUAGUGGAAUUUGAAGUCCUUUGGUUGCGGUCUUGCAACUGGAAAAGAAAAGAAAGGAAUAAAAAGGAAAGGGAGAGAAGAAGAAAAAGAGAAAGAAAGAAAGAAAAAGAAAAGGAAAAGAGAAAAAAAAAAGAAAGGAAUUUUUUUUUUGAAACCACUGCGUUAGAUGUGGGCACGCCUAACUGUCCUUGAAUCUUCUGACCAAUCCACGGAAAUUAAGCUCCUUAAGCGUGACCAUCUGGCGUGGGCACGCCUAACUGCUGGGUAGUCUUUUGUCUGCCAAAUUAAAACUUCCUUCCUUAGGUGUGAUCACCUGACGUGGGCACGUCUAACUACCAGCUUCCUGCCGCAAAAGCAACAAAUCACUAAAUGCAACUAACACUUAACAAAAAUAACAAAAAACAUAAGAAAACUAAAACAAAAGCCUUGGGUUGCCUCCCAAGCAGCACCUUUCUUUAAUGUCUUUGGCUAGACAUUGCCAUAUUUAUUCACGGAGGAUAAAAUCGUGUAACUCGUUUCAGUGCUUCAUCUUCUAUGUAAUCCUGGUAUCCCUCGUAAAUAGAGUAAUUUUUGAACACACGAGGUAUGGUCUUCCAUGGAUUAGUAGAUGGCGCCAAACAAACAAGUGGUGACCUUAAAUCUUCACUCACUCCUCUAUCACGAGCACUUAUUGAUUCGAGAUAUUUUUCCAUCAUAACUCUUAAUUUAUUCCUAUCAUAAAACUCAAAAUCGUUUGGUAUAAUAAACUCAAUCUCACUAACAGGAAUUAAAGAAUGAGAGUUAAGAAAAUGUUGAUUAAGAAAUGGAGGAGAUGUCACCGCAUUUGGAGAUUGUUCACUGGAUUCAUUCACUUGAACCAUUUGAUGUUGGGGUCUCAUGUCUUGCACUUCAACUUUCUUUUCAACUGCAUCUUUAGAUUCUUCUCUUUGAGACUCUUGCAGUACCAUAUGAUUUGUUAAGAUAAUUGCACUCUCAUCUUCCUCAUGGUCGAUAAUAGUCUGUGAGGGCAAUUCUUCACUCAUUCGAGAAGUCAAUUGCGUUAUCCUAAAUGUCAAUUGAUCCAUUUGAUCUGCCAGGUUAUAGCUGCACACUUGUGUUUCCUGAUGAAAAUCUAUUAUCUCCUGUUGAAGUUGAUGUGUCUCCUGUUGAAUUUGAUAUGUGUUAGUAGCUAUUAAUUCAACUAUUUCUUCAAGAGACAUACCUGACAUGGAUGACGGUUCUUGAGACUCUAGCUGUUGAAAAUCUAUUGGUCGUUGUUUAUAAUUAAAAUUGGAAUCAUCCCACCAUCCUUGAUCAUACCCGUUUGAAUAAGGGUCAUACCACGUUUGAUAUUGAGGUGAAAAAUUUUCGGUUGGAGCACUUAGACCAUCUUGAAAUGCAGGGCAUAUGUCGGUUGAAUUAUAUGAGACAAAAUAAAUUCCACAAUUUGCAACAGCCCAUUGAUCAUUAGAACAAGCACGAGCAUUAUAAUCCCUUCUAGAAAUAAAAUCCAAUCUACCACCAAAAUACGGAAAGUUAGCAGCCAUAACUAUAUAUGAAAAAGAAAAAAGAGAAAAAUAAUAAAAAAAAUAAAAACAAGAUGAACUCAAAAAGAAACAAAUUAAUCAAGUACCAGUCCCCGGCAACGGCGCCAAAAAUUGACAGGUACCGAACCCGUGCAAUAAUAAUAAAUACUCCCUCCGUCCCAUUGUUAAUGUCAUGUUUUCACUUUUUUGUUGUCCCAAAAUAAGAGUCUCAUGGCAAAAGUCAAACAACUUUCACUACUACUUUCCUUUUAUACCCUUAGUAAUAAUGACAAGAUUCCAUCAACUAAUAAUAAACAAUUACAUAUGGCCCACCACAACACAUGCACACUUUCACCAUUCUGUGACCUUUUGCUUUUGGCCGGCUAUUUCCGUGUGAUAGACAAGGGGUAAAACUGGAAGAAUAUGAAAAGUGCAGUCCACCAUUUUACUGUGCAUAAAAAGUGCUAUUCCCGAAAAACUUCCCAAAUUUUGGGACGGAGGGAGUAAAACCUAACUACCACCUGAAACAGUCAAUAAUCAAUUCCAGUACUGGAGCAGGGACUCUAGGUGUGCAAUGGGUUACUUGAUUCACCCUGUUCCCGAAGAGUUUGCUUAAUCCGAUAUACUUGAAUUAAUUAUUUAACUAAAUUCACUAACUAAUAGAUAGUGAUAAGUGGGGUCGUCUUCUCAGGGACUGGCGAGAAAUUUAUUUCUUUUCAAGUCAAGAUUAAUGGGGGGUUUUGGGAUUAAAUGACAACUAAAUAAAUUAAAUGCAGAAAAUAAUUAAUUAAAAGAAAUACUUAGAGAAACUCUAGCCAAGGAUACACUUCAGAAAUGGUUCAUGCAACUGAUCAUCAAUUCACAGAUAAUUCCAACAUUUAUUAAUAGACCAGUUAUAGUUGUCAUGCACGCGAUAAACAACCAACCUUUCCUUAAUUUCUCGAUAGUUAAGGUACGACCGUUAACUAUUUCUCUAACCCAAAAACAACCCUAGGCACGACCGUAGGAUUUAAUUUCUAGAUUGCAUUAAUAAUUAGAAAGGCCCAAUCCUAACUAACAAACACGCUACGAAGGUUUGUUUAAAUUAGAUCAUAUGUUCCCCUGACAUAAACCCAAUUACGCCAGUUGCUACUGAGAUAGGGAUAACGAACAAUUACGGAUUCAAUUAUCCAUAAUUAGCAAAAUAGCCUAUAUGAAUAAUUAAUUAUUGUGCACUAAUCAAUCAUCCACACGAGUUAUAACGGUUAAGAGCAGGAAACAUAUGAAUACCAAUAAAUGGAGGAAGCAAUUAAAAUAAAUUAGAUCUCACAGUAAUUGUUGAACCAAAUCUUCAGUUGUCCCCUUGGCUAGUAGUGUAAAAUUAGUUCUCCAUUAAUGGAGAACAAGCCAUGCAAAUCAUUGUUCCCAGCUUUCUCCUCGAAAUUCGAAGGAAGAAAACUUGAUGGAAUUAAGAACUAUCUCCAAACUACCAAGCCAAAGGGAUAAUUAAAUGUUCCCUGCUAUGGUCUUUGUGGCGCAUAUGAUAGACACCUAAUAGGAGAAGAAAACUACUCAGCGGAGCCCAGAGCCAAGUUUGAAAAAGUGCAAGUGUAGGCAUUUUUUGUUUGACUUUGUUGAAUUUUAUCCAAAUUUUGCCUAUUUUUGUGCAUAUUUGUGAUUAUUCCUGAUAAAUGAUGGUUAGAUGUCUCAAAUUUUUCUAUUGCUAAGAUUUUACAGUCUAAGGUGUUAAGUAUGAUAUGGUUAAGUUUAAGGGUAUCUCUUUGGUGAAUAUUUGAGAUUUUGUGACUUUUACACUUUUUGAUUAACUUUUCUAAGUAUUGUAAAUUUUUGUCUAGCAUUUUUUUUUAUGCAAAUUGGUUCAACUAUUAAUCUUAGCCUCCAUGUUUAAUAAAUGAAGUGGGUUUGUGUGAUUUUUAAUUUUAAUUUGGUGCUUAUUUAUGAAUAGUAUUCGGCUAUAUUUCGCUAGUAUCGUUGCUUAGUAACCGGAGGUCUUCACCAUAAGUGUCGACUUUCGCGUCAAAAAGCGACGAUAACUAUGAGUAUGUGAUUUUAAGCAAUAAUGGCUGAGUAACCGGGCUCCUUCAUGUGGCCAAUGUCAGAGUUCGCGUCAAAACGCUUGAAUGGCUAAAAACUAAGCAUUCCCCCUAAAAAAAAAAAUCAAUCAAGUGUGGGGAUAUUUUAGAAAAAAAAUGUGCUAAUAGUGAAAAGUGUGGAAGUGUUGGAAUGAAUUGUUAGCCCGAUGAUUCAUGAAUUUUAAUGUUGAGAUUUUGCUUAAUAGUCGAACCAUUUGCUUAUGGAUGUUGGUUGAAUAUUGUAUAUUCUUAGAUUAGUUAGUCAUAAAUUGAAAGAGUCCUUGAUCUUGAAAGCUAAUUGGAGAGGUAUUUCUUGUAAAUUGCCACUAAUACUUGACAUGUAUUUUAAUUGUAUUUUGGCAAUAGAAGAUGUGAGCAAUAGCCAUUGUUUGAAUUCGAUUGCUUGAUUUGUUGUUCUCAUGCUUGAGGACAAGCAUGGUUUAAGUGUGGGGGAAAUUGAUAGGUUGUAUUUUUGCCAUUAAUUCUAUUAUUAUUUUCCUCUUUUAUUAUACCAAAUAUUAUUUUAAUUGAUUGAUUCUACUUAUAUUUGGUAUUUGGUACCAAUUGUAGGAAGGUGGAACAAAAAGAGAUAAAAGAUGUGAUUUUUCAAGAGUUUCCCAAUUCAAAAUGGAGUCUACAUGGAUUAUUGACGGAAGAUUAAGAGAAAGUCUAUUUGGUUUCAAAAAGCUAAAAAUUAGGAAAUGAUAGGAUGGCCGGCCUGUGUAAUUAAUACUCAAAGGAAGCAGCAAUUUCUGGUCUUAUGAUUUCCUUUGCACGGAUUUGAGGGAGUAGUAGAGGCUGAAUAGUAAACAAAAGAAAAAGAGAAAGCUGGAUCCCGCGGAAUGACUACUCAGCCAGGGAUCUCACGGGAUUAUGACUCAGCCAGGGAAUAAGAAGAGAAAAGGAGGCAGCCACUUGGCUCUGGGCUCCGCUGAGUAGUUUUCUUCUCCUAUUAGGUGUCUAUCAUAUGCGCCACAAAGACCAUAGCAGGGAACAUUUAAUUAUCCCUUUGGCUUGGUAGUUUGGAGAUAGUUCUUAAUUCCAUCGAGUUUUCUUCCUUCGAAUUUGGAGGAGAAAGACAAUGAUUUGCAUGGCUUGUUCUCCAUUAAUGGAGAACUAAUUUUACACUACUAGUCAAGAGGACAACUGAAGAUUUGGUUCAACAAUUACUGUGAGAUCUAAUUUAUUUUAAUUGCUUCCUCCAUUUAUUGGUAUUCAUAUGUUUCCUGCUCUUAACCGUUAUAGCUCGUGUGGAUGAUUGAUUAGUGCGCAAUAAUUAAUUAUUCAUAUAGGCUACGUUGUUAAUUAGGGGUAAUUGAAUCCGUAAUUGUUCGUUAUCCCUAUCUCAGUAGCAACUGACGUAAUUGGGUUUAUGUCAGGGGAACAUAUGAUCUAAUUUAAACAAACCCUCGUAGCGUGUUUGUUAGUUAGGAUUGGGCCUUUCUAAUUAUUAAUGCAAUUUAGAAAUUAAAUCCUACGGUCGUACCUAGGGUUGUUUUUGGGUUAGAGAAAUAGUUAACGGUCGUACCUUAUUUAUCGCGAAAUUAAGGAAAGGUUGGUUGUUUAUCGCGUGCAUGACAACUAUAACUGGUCUAUUAAUAAAUGUUGAAAUUAUCUGUGAAUCGAUGAUCAGUUGCAUGAAUCAUUUCUGAAGUGUAUCCUUGGCUAGAGUUUCUCUAAGUAUUUCUUUUAAUUAAUUAUUUUCUGCAUUUAAUUUAUUUAGUUGUCAUUUAAUCCCAAAACCCCCCAUUAAUCUUGACUUGAAAAGAAAUAAAUUUCUCGCCAGUCCCUGAGGAGACGACCCUACUUACCACUAUCUACUAGUUAGUGAAUUUAGUUAAAUAAUUAAUUCAAGUAUAUCGGAUUAAGCAAACUCUUCGGGAACAGGGUGAAUCAAGUAACCCAUUGCACACCUAGAGUCCCUGCUCCAGUACUAGAAUUGAUUAUUGGCUGUUUCAGGUGGUAGUUAAGUUUUAUUUAUUAUUAUUACACAGGUUCGGUACCUGUCAGUACGAUUGCUCGAACUCAUCUGAUGUUGGGAUCACAUACAAACUUAUUCGAUGGGAAACGAAGGAAUCUGGACGGUUCACACUUAAUACAGAUGGAUGUUCUAAGGGUAAUCCAGAAGUGGAUGGAGGCAGUGGAGUUCUUCAAGAUUCAAAUGGCCUACCUUUGAUUGGUUUUUCGACAUAUUUUGGGGAAACUACAUGUCUUCGUGCAGAGGCUCUUGCCUUCCUUAUUGGUCUUCAAACAUGUGCACUGAGGAGUUUUCGGAAUAUCUAUGUGCAAUCGGAUUCUUUGGUGUUAAUUGGAAUUCUUCAGCAUCGCAUUCAAUGUCCCUGGCACAUCCGACGGGUGAUCAAGCAGAUUUGGGAGUUUAUGGAAGAUUCGGAUCGUUUUUCACAUUGUUACAGGGAAGCGAACAAGGUGGCUGAUGUGUUAUCUAAUAUGGGCGUAUCUCAUCCAGACCAGCAAAUCAAGAUAUACGAGACAUUUAAUACGUUUCCAACAAUGGCUCGUGGAGCAAUUUGCCUUGAUAGACUUGGAAUGCCUUCAAUUCGGAAAAUUAGGUCGAUGUAACAUUUUACUCUUGUAUUACUUCUAAAUAAAAAAGUUGGUUUAAAAAAAAAAGUAAUUACAAAUGAAAAAAAUAAUAAAAUUUCCCCCUUUUUUUGUCUUCCUUGUCAUAGAGCAAGUGUUCUAGGGUUUUUAUUUAAAAUCGGUCUAUCUGACAGAUAAUGAUUAUUAAUGUGUGUUAAUAUAUAAUAUUUCGGAUGAAAUAUAGAUUUGUUAACAAGUGCCCUUUUGACACCAAACGAGUGCCUAUAAAUUAUUCUUUUUCUUUUAAUUUUACUUUACAAAUUAUUCUUAAAGUUUAAAACAACAAGAAGUCUGUCCCCUAACAUUUAUGCAUAUGUCUCGUACUAAUAAAACAAAGAAAGUCCAACUCUGAUUCCCAUCCAAAACCAAAUUCAAAUGGCACCGAAAAUUCCACCAUGUCAACUACUUCCAUGAAAAAUAAGAAUGCCCAAUACCAAUUUAGUUAUCCAAUCCUAUAACAGAAAGCCCAAGUCAAAACAAUUGAAAAACCCACCAUCGCACCAUUACCUAUUGUCUUCUUUUUUAAUUAUUCUUUUUCCCUUAAAAAGACAACCAAGCAAAUUCCAUAUCCUAUCCGGUGUAACUUCUUGAUUUUCGUCUUGUAAAUUUCUAUAUAAAAUUUUGUCCGAAGAUAAUUUUAUUUGCAAUGUUUCAUUAAUUCAUCUACCCAAGGCUCCAGCAUUCAGUUUAGCUAUUGGGCAAAUCUUUUGUUUUUCUUUAUAUAUUCAUUCGAAGAUGAAACUUUUAUUUUGUGCGUUUAAUAGAUAUAAAUUAAAUGAAUUUGGAUCUUGGUUGUCAUUAGAUAGCAUUUAUAAUAACAAUAAUUUUAGAAUUAUCCUUUCCUCAUUAGUCCGAUAAAUUGUCAUUUUAGAUUAAAUAAAAUUGACAAUUACUUCUUCUAUUUUUCAAUUAGAUAAACUUCAAUGUUUCUGUUUUGUGCUAAUGAAUAUAGGGAAUUUAACUAGUUCUACUGCAAUGAUUAGGAUAACUAAAAGAAUGGUUUUAGACAAGGUUACAGUUAUUGCUAAUAUAAAAAAAAAACUUUUCAAUAGAAUAAACUUUUGAAAAUCAAAAUAAAACAUUUGUGGUUGCUUUAGAUGAAAAAACAGAAGCUUUAGAACUUCUAAAACAUAAAGCUUGCACUUAAUCAUACUAGUGAAUUUUCAGGUUAUUUAGUAACUUAUUGAGAUUUGAGUAUUUUGUGACUAUCGGGAGCAAGAAAAUUGAAUAAAAGGACACUUGAAACAAGUGUUGAACCUGGAAGCUUUGAAGCUUUUUAUUUUAUUUUUUUUUAACUUUUUAUGGAUUUUUUAGUGUAUGUUCUGCUAUACCACCUAAUUCAUCCCUUUCCCAGCUUUGAUGCUUCUACAUCUAAGAAUGUCCACAUUUUUAUGGCUACUUCAAAUAGUCAACAUUUUCCAAAUAUUACGACUCUUCCGAAAUUCAACUAAGACAAAAUUCCUAGAGCUAAAAAUCAAUCAAGUAUAACCCCUAAAAUUUACCUCAACGUUUUGAUUUUUUUUUUGCUCAUUUAAUCUUGAUUUAUUCCUUUUUUGUAAUAAAGUUAUACUCAACCUUAGUUUCCCCCGUCUCCCCCUAUAACAAAUUCCUGGCACCGCCACUGCUCCAUCCCAUCAUGAUUUCAAAUGCAAUAUGCUACUUCAUGAGUUUUUCAAAGAACUAUUUACAAUUAGUUAAGAGGGACCAUUGAUGUACAUACAAACAAAGUCCACUUAAUUUCUCAGGAUAAAUAGAGCAAAGGGCUUGAAGCCGUUCCCUAAUGGUAUCUAUUGAUAGUUUAUUGUGACGCAUGUCAAGAAAGGAUAGGUUGCUGUUUAGAGCUCGAAGGAAUUUCAAAUAUUGAGAUUAGUGGCGGGGGUUGGUGUGGGCCGAAAUGUAAUCGAAUUGGGCUGAGCCGUAUUUUUAACAUGCUCCAACUCGGGUUCGAAAUCAACAUGGAGCUGGACCUGAGUUUCAAUUUUAAGCUUGACUUUCCACUCCAUUCAAUAUUUUGACUUUCGUCAUGCUUGAAAUUUUGAUUGACUUUUUCUUAAAAGUUAGGUCCUUCUAUUACGUGCACUUAGUAGAUUGGAUAAAAGGUACUAUCAAAUUCUUUAAUUAUCACUAAACCUCAAUUCGAAAUUUGAAAGAAAUAUUACUAUAUCGGUUUGAAAAGGUCCAGUCUUCUUGUGCUGACAUAUGAAAUAAGAAAAGAAAAAAGAGUCACUUUAGUGUAGCUACGUGGAUACAAGUAAUAUUGUACAAGUGGAUGCUCCAUGAAUCGGGAAUUUUUUUUUUUUUUUUUUUUGGCUGGCAUGAGCUUACGAUGAUGAAGAAGCGGCUGCACGUGCAUACGACUUGGCAGCAUUGAAGUACUGGGGACAAGACACAAUUCUUAAUUUUCCUGUAAUCUAUAAUUCAUCUUGCAAAUCUUUGCAUUUUUUUCCCCUUUUUGUUGAAGAAUUUUAUUUUUUAAUUUUGGAUAAAUUCCACUUUACCCCCCUGUGGUUUAGCAUUUUUACAUAACCCCCCUGUCGCGCCCCAUUUUUUGAUAAAUAAAUAAAAUGGUUUGAAAAAAAAUGUAUUUUUUGAUUCAAUUUGUGGUUGGAAAAUGAAUUUUGAUUUAAAAGAAAAGUGGGCCUCAAUGGGGUUUUGAAAAUGCGACGAUUUGACCCAAAAUUAUAGUUUAAAAAGGGUUUUUUUGAAAUAAAAAAUCGGAGUCGCCACUUGGUAAUGAGUUAAGGUGUACCAAGUCACCUAAAAAUGAAUUUUUAAAGAAAAAUAGGAAAAAGUAGUAAGAAACCCCUUUUAAACGACUCCUAGUCCACGUAAACCAACGAAAAAGGUUCGGGAGUCACAUUUGACGAAGGGGAAGGCAAGGAUAAAAAUCCAAGGCACCCCUUCGACCUAACCAAGGCUAGUUGCGUGAUUUAAUCAAAAAUUUUCUUGUUUUAACCAAAGAAUUUAUUACAUUUGGAUGUACUACAUGAAUGCAAACCCUAGACCUAGGGGGACAUGGGGGGUAAAAUUUCUCUCCAAAGCUUGAGUGAUGCCAAUCACAUUAAUUGUGAAGCCCAAUAAUGAUCUUUUGGAGAGGUCACGAAUAAUGCGAGUGAGAUGCAAAUGAAUGGAAUGCAUGUAUGCAAUGUGAGGACAUGAGUUUAAAAAAGUAAUAAAAACAAUAAAUAUGUAAAUGAAAAUGUGCACGUGAGUGGGCAAGGUACGGUAUGUGAAAUGAUAAUAUGAAGUGCAUGUGUGCAAGUGAUGAUAAAAGUGUUCGCGUGCAAGUGAAGAAACAUAAAGGUGCACGUGUGCAAAAUGGGAGGAAAGAUGAAAGUGUGAUGAGGGCAUAAAAUGGUAGAGUGGAUUUAAAAAUGCAUGAGCCUAGGGAAUUCAUGCAUAUUGGGUACGGGGAGACCUAAAUCGUGACUCAAUUUGCCCUUUUAUAGAGGGAAUACAAGUGUGCUAAGGCUUAGAAAAAGCCACACUCGUCUAUAUCCCAUAUUUAAGGGGACUCACAAGCAAAUGAACCCUAUAACUAGUAUGAAAUGCAAAAAUCCUAAAAUGGAGGGAAAAGGGGUUCGAGGGGCAUGCAAAAUGAUAAAACUAAGAAAAAUGCAUGACAUGUAAUGAACAUGCAAACAUGUACUAACGAGGGGAAAUUCCUAAGGGUCUAGCGUUGGACUAGCCCAUUCUAUGAAUUCCGACUAGCGUUGGACUAGCGGAAACGUACAUUCAUCCAUCACAUUCAUUCAUGGCUAUGGAAAGCGAGUAGACAUGCCAAACACUCAUAAACACAUAGCACAUAACAUUUAGCAUACUCGACUAGAUGCAAAGCCCUAACAAAGCAAAUUAACACGUAGCAACUAAGCAUGCAAAACACAUAAGACGAUUAAAGCCCUAACUAUUACAUUUGCUAGCUAGGCACAUGACUUCGAUAGGUUUUCAUUGAAUGCUCCUCCAAGCCCUAUCUAUUACAAGCCAAGAGGCGUACACAUACCCCAUAAAGAAUAACUUAAAUAAAAAGCAAAAGUAAAUGACAUAAAUAAAAGAAAUUAAAGAAAGGCUAAGAAAGCAAAGUAGACAUGCAAUUCACUUAACACGUUGGAUCACGUAGGAGAUGCAAGAGGAUAAAAGAGAUUAUACCUCCUCCCUUUGUGGUAAUCAAAUGAAAUGAAAAUGGAGUGGUUUUGCCGGAAGAGAUACACCCCGGCGAAGCUCCUCUCCUUUGUUGGAUUUGAUCUGAAGUCACCGACCUCUUGCUUAGCUGCAACUCCCUUUCGUUUGGUUUCUUCUUGUCCCGUUGCCUUUGUUUUCUUUUCCCAGAAAAUUCUCGAUAAUCUCUCCGUUUCUCGGCCCUCUCUCACUCUUCCUCUUGCUCUCUCUCUUUUCAGAUCUUCAUCCUCCCAAAGCUCUUCCCUUUCUUUGCUGGUUCACCUUUCUACCGUCACUUUUCUGUUCUUUUGCUCUCAGAUUUUCCAGCCGCCCUUUUUCAUCCACGGCUGCUGUCCCUUUUUCUAGCCGUAAAACCCUCAAAAAUCUUCUCUCGGUUGUUUUCAGUUUUCCCUUUCAGCCCACACUUUCUUUGGUCUCUGCCUCUUCCCGUUUUGUCAUCCUUUCCUCACUAAGAAACCCCGUAGCCUGCUUACUAUUGUUUUUCUCCCUAGCCGCCAACUCUGUUUUUCCUUCAAUCCUUUGCCAGAUUUUUUAGCCGUCCCUUCAAAAACCUCUCCUCUUGCGGCUGAUGUUCUCUUUUUCUAUUUAUAUGGGACUCCUCAACCCUAAAACCCAGUCCUUUCUUCUAUAAUUUGCAGCCAAGGGGCUGCCCAGCCUUUCCUUGCAAGCUGCGACAAAACGCAGCUUGCAUGCCGCAAAUCCUCUUUUUUUUUUUUUUUUAACUUAAUAAUUUAACAAAAAUAAAAGUAAAACUAAAUAAUAACAAAAACAACAAUUUUAAUUACAAAUAUAUCAGAAUAAACAAACUAAAACAACAAAAUUGCCAUUUUCAAUCUUUUUCUUUCAUUUUUCAUCAUUUUUCACUUUUUUUUCUUUUUUUUCACUUUCAAGAAAUUCUAUGCUAAAAACUUAAAAAUAGAAAUAAAACUAGAAACUAAAAACUAAAAAUCGAAUAAAACGAACACGACAAAUAAAAAACUAAAAAUAAACAGUAAAUGAAAUUACACCAAAAUUUGGUGUCUACAGUUUGCCCCUUUUUGUCUGAGUUUUGAAAAAACUUGAGACAAAGAAGUAGACACCAAAUAUUUACCUGCAUUAUCCGGCGGUGAACGUCACAAACGAUGGGGACUGACCCCUGACAGGAAAUUUUAAAAUCGGGACUGACCCGAGACAGAAAUUUAAACGGGACUGACCCGAACAGGAAUUUAGACGGGACUGACCCGAACAAGAAUUUAAACGGGACUGAUCCGAACAGGAAUUUUAAAACGGGACUGACCCGAACAUGAAUUUAAAAAAUGGGGUGCUCACUAGUGGGACUAACCCACGGCUAGUGGCGAUGUGAAUGAAAUGCUCACUGGUGGGACAAACCCAGUUUUACCGAGGUCGGAGGGAUAAAACCCAUUCCCAACGAAAAUAAAAGCGGUCAGUGGGAUAAAACCCGAGCUUGCCGAGCUCGGAGGGAUAAAACCCAUGCCCAACGAAAAUAAAAGCGGUCAGUGGGAUAAGACCCGAGCCUGCCGAGGUCGGAGGGAUAAAACCCGUGCCCAACGAAAAUAAAAGCGGUUAGUGGGAUAAGACCCGAGCCUGCCGAGGUCGGAGGGAUAAAACCCGUACCCAACGAAAAUAAAAGCGGUCAGUGGGAUAAAACCCGAACCUGCCGAGGUCGGAGGGAUAAAACCCAUGCCCAACGUGAUAUAAGCGGUCAGCGGGAUAAAACCCGGUCCUGCCGAUAUUGGCGGGAUAAAACCCGGUCCCAAUGUGAUAGAAGCGGUCAGCGGGAUAAAACCCGGUCCUGCCGAGAUUGGCGGAAUAAAACCCGGUCCCAAUGUGAUAUAAGCGGUCAGCGGGAGGUCGGAGGGAUAAAACCCGUGCCCAACGUGAUAUAAGCGGUCAGCGGGAUAAAACCCGGUCCUGCCGAUAUUGGCGGGAUAAAACCCGUACCCAACGAAAAUAAAAGCGGUCAGUGGGAUAAAACCCGAACCUGCCGAGGUCGGAGGGAUAAAACCCAUGCCCAACGUGAUAUAAGCGGUCAGCGGGAUAAAACCCGGUCCUGCCGAUAUUGGCGGGAUAAAACCCGGUCCCAAUGUGAUAGAAGCGGUCAGCGGGAUAAAACCCGGUCCUGCCGAGAUUGGCGGGAUAAAACCCGGUCCCAAUGUGAUAGAAGCGGUCAGCGGGAUAAAACCCGGUCCUGCCGAUAUUGGCGGGAUAAAACCCGGUUCCAAUGUGAUAGAAGCGGUCAGUGGGAUAAAACCCGGUCCUGCCGAGAUUGGCGGGAUAAAACCCGGUCCCAAUGUGAUAGAAGCGGUCAGCGGGAUAAAACCCGGUCCUACCGAUAUUGACGGGAUAAAACCCGGUCCCAAUGUGAUAUAAGCGGUCAGCGGGAUAAAACCCGGUCCUGCCGAGAUUGGCGGGAUAAAAUCCGGUCCCAAUGUGAUAGAAGCGGUCAGCGGGAUAAAACCCGAUCCUGCCGAUAUUGGCGGGAUAAAAUCCGGUCCCAACGUGAUUUUGAACGAUCAGUGGGAUAAAACCCUAUCGUGACGUGGUUGGUGGGAUGAAACCCGAUCCUAACGUGAUUUUGUGAACAAGAAAUUGAAUUUGAUUUGUCAAGAAACAAGAAAUUAAACUUGAUUUUCCAAGAAACAAGAAUUUGAACUUGAUUUUUGACUUUUGAAUUUUUCUGAUUUUUUUUUUUUUGAGAAAAUUUUUCAAAAAUAAUUUGCCCCAAGUGUAGGGCCCUUUUCCCUUCUUUCUUCUCUUUCUUCGGCAUCGGCCUUCCACAUCAUCAGAUGCUCUUUCGUUGAUUUCAACUAUGAAUACCUGCACAGGGGGCUGGCCAAAGUAUGACAUGCAUUCAACUUUCUUAUUUGAAAAGAGCAACGUGAUUGGUUUUGACAUCCUCAAAUGUAUUACAAAAAAUUUUGCCCCAGUGUGGGCUAUUUUACAAAAUCUCUCACAUGAAAAUUUGCCCCAAUGUAGGCCUAUUUAAUUGCAAAAAAUUUGUUUGAAUGACCCUCCAUUUAUUUGAACAAAGUAAGCAAUUGCUUUUCCUAACAUAGCAUGCGAAGGAAAUUGAAAUGUCUUGCUUAAACUCAUAUAGCAAAUUUCAUGAUGAAUUUCUCAAAAUAAUGCCAAAUUACGAAAGAUUUCUUCCCCACUUUAGCAUUAAUGCUUUGAGUGAUGGGUCACCAUUCCUUAUUGACUCAUUUUUCAGGAGCAAUCCAAUGAUCUUAUUUCUGAUUUUUGAGGGGGUUAAGGGAAAUGAGAAAUCAAGAUUUGUUUGGUUCUUGUGCCCAAAAUUGUAAUUCCUUCAAUACCACAUCUUAGUGAAAGCAAAGAGUUUGUCACUCUUAUUUCUUAAGAAAACUUAGUCAACGUAUAAGUUUUAUAGGCUUGCAACAAAAUGGGUAGAAACGGGAAUUAAACAUGUGAAAACUGGUUAUACCCCUAUGAUCACAAAUGAUUGAUGGUUUUUUUUACGAGCAUAAUCUUCACUUUGGAUUGUCAUGAAGGAAUAAGUCAACGAUGGACUUUAUUAUCUUGUAAUGUGGUUUGAAAACGAUAGUUAAAGAAUAAAUCUUUCAAGGACAUUGCACCGAAGAUCGCAUUUUUCAAAAUUGCCCCUAUUUUGAACUCAAAGAUCUCAGACUUUGUUUGCAUUUUUUCCAUCAUUCACCAAGGAUUUCAGCGUCGAAAUUUUCUGCAUUUUCUUGCAUUUUUUUCAAUUUUGUGAGUUUUCACAAGAUGAGUAGAGUCAACCCCAUACCCAAGCAAUUCAGAACUACAGCUAAAAUUUUCUGACAUCAGAAAUUUUCUUGCCAGGGCCAUUGCAAAGAACAGAAAUCAGGACUUUCGGCUUUUAUAAUGGGGUCUGGUGGGGUGUUUAGAAAAGUUAAGGCUUGAAGGCAGAUUUCAAGAGUGGUUUAAGUAAUCUGAGAUCGCAUUGUUGUGCCAACCCUAUUUUAGGACUAAAUCAAGACUUGCCCCAGAGUUUAUGCUCAAUUGAGGCUUUUUCUCUUUCAUUUUCUUUCUUCUUUGAUUUUUUGGCUUUUUGCCAUUCUUUUGAACUUUCACAAAAUUUGGCCCAGUUUAUUUUUUGAACUGAGGUCCUCUUUUCUUCUUUUGUCUUUUGAUUUUGUUGCUUUUCACUUUUUCACUUCCUGAAAUUUUCCUUUUUCAACUCAAACUUGCCCCAGUGUGGGGUUUGCGAUUCUCAGGGGUUGCCAAACGAAAUAAUUUAUUUUGAUGGCUCAAAAGGGAUAACUAGGGAUAGAAUGUUUGAUUGGAAAAGAAGAGGGCCUGACCUUUGUUCCGUCCCUUACAAUAACUCUGAAAGGAAACUUUCGUUAAUGCGAAAUUUCUGGCAUGUAUCUGAAUUAACUGACUGAGGAAGACUCUUGUUCAUCCAUAUUUGUGAAACAUAGGCGGUCCGUGCGGACAAAUCUCUUCCUUUUCUUUUUUCCAAAAUUGGAACCCAAGUGGAAUCAAAUUCCCCUCCUUAUUCUAGCAUUUUUGCUUUUCCCUUUUUUUUCCUCUUUUUCAAAAUUCCCCAAUCUCCUUCCCCAAUGUGGGGUACGAUCAUAUGUGCACUCGAAAAGAACCACCAAUUUUUAGCUCAAAUGAGGAUGCAAGGGAUGAUCAGUGUUUAGGUUGUAGAAACGAUGACCAAAGUAUCAUUCUUACACUUCAUGACAAUCAACGUAACGCAAUGCUCAUUGGAAGUCCACUCCCUUUUGAUAUUUGAAAAUUUUCCAAUAUAGGAUAGUGAUCAUUAGCGCUCUUAUUUGAAACGAAAUUAUUCUUUCAAAGGCUCAAAUGGGAGAGCAAAUGAUAAAAUGUGUAUAGGUAGAGAAAAGAAUGCUCGAAGUAUCAUUCCAAAUUUUCAAAACAAACAAGAGUAAUGCACAUUUUUGCUUUCACUUAGAUGUGAACUGAAUCGGUUAAACACAAUGGAUAUUUUCAAGCAAAGAUGGCCCCAAUUUAUCAAUCAAUGUGACUGAUUUUAUUUUGGGGUCAAAUGAAGGAGGAAAGGAAUCUCAUAGGGACUUUUGAGUGACCUCUUUUGAUUCUGAGCACUCUUAUUGUGAAUUUUCAGGCAGGAGGUUGAAAAAAUUCCAAUUUAGUCUUAUUUCUUAAAAUUCAUCAUGAAAUCUCCAAUGAAUAAGAAUAAAGAAUGAAAUGUACAUAAAUAUACGCAAAACAAUGAUUGUACAAAAAUUUUAUUGCUGAAAAAGUUUGAAACAAAAAUUCUCAUUCAAUUAUGAUACAAAUGAGAAGAGAGAAACUCGUAAAGAGCUCAAAAUAUACACUUUUGUCUCCUUUUCUUUUGGAACAAAAUGUAUUAACAAAUCAAAUAAACUGAAUUUCCCUUUGGAAAACAAAUACAAAAUCUCUCAGAGGCUUUAGCGUAGAGCUUCCAGAUAGAUCAUUUAUGUUUUCAUUGUAGGAUCUGCCAAAGAAUUAAAUAACACUUGCAGUUUUGACACUUUAUUAGAUCGGAGGUGCCAUCAGAUAUAGAAAAAUAUUUUCCCUUUAUUGAAGUAUUUUUAUGAAUGCAGGGGAGGGGGAAAAACAAAAGGAAAAAUACCCAGAGUCAGUAAGUAAGAAUAAAAAUCGGUAUGCAUGUCCUAUGGGGGAACCCUUUUGUGCCAAGGGUAGGCCUAACAUGAAAAUGUAAUCCUCUAGGGUAGGCACUAUACCAUACCUGAUGGAUCUGAUCAAAUCGUUGAGUGAAAAAUAAUUUUGAAAAAUUUGGUCAAUUGGAGUGACGAGAGACACUUUGUCAAAAUGAGGUCAACGUCCGAAUGGAUCGAUCACUUUUGAUCGAUACAAUAAUUUGCAAAAACGCACGGGUUUGACCUUGACGAACUUCCUAUCGAAGAGACCGGAAUUCGUUUGACAAAAUUUUCUCAGUGAAGUAUGGGUAAAAACCCCAACUGAUCAAAUGGCUGAAUGCAAUGGAUGGUUUUCUCAAAAUCGACUAGGUUUUCCAAUUUGAAUUUCUUCAUUGAAACCCUAAUUGGUCAAAUGGAUGGAAUGAAAUUGACAAUUUAUUUAAAAUCAACCGAAUUACCUUAAAAAGGGAAACGGGUCAAAUGAAUGGAGUGAAAUUUACUCAAAAUUGACCGAAUCAUCCUAAAAAAGGAAGUUGAUCGAAUGAAAUUGAGAAUUUUAUUCAAAAUGGACCGGAUCAUCCUAAAAAAUGAAAUUGGUCAAAUGAAUUGAAUGAAAUCGAGAAUUUAUUCAAAAUUGACCAAAUCGCCCUAAAAGGGUAAACUGGUCAAAUGAAUCGGACGAAAUUGAUGAUUUAUCAGAAAUCGACAAAAUUGCCCUAACUAAUCAAAUGAAUUGAAUGAAAUUGGUGAUUUAUUCAAAAAUCGACUAAAUUGCCCUAAAAAUGAACAAAUUGAUAAAAUGGAUUGGAUGAAAUUGAUGAAGGAAAUGGUCCAAUGGAUUGAAUGGAAUUGGGAGCUUAUUAAAAAAUCAAGCUAUCCACUGGUAAUUUCAAAAAUUUAUUACAAUGCAUUUAGCCUAUGAGCCUUCUAAAAAUCAAAUUUUGGCCCCAAUUUAUUUAUCGUCUCAAUAGGAGGAGUCAUUUGUGAAUUUUUUCAAAUUAAUGUCCUUUGCGCAAGGGAUUUUUACCAACUUUGAUAAAAUGGCCAAAAAGUGAUUAUUAGACGCUCAUAUUCCAAAAAUCACUCUAUGAAAAUGAUCGGAUCCUACCUUACCUUGUGCACUACCCCUUUGGAUGGUACAAAAUGUAAACGUGCAAGUCUCACUGGAUUAAGUAUCCGAGACACAAGGUGGCUUAUUCCUAAAUACGGGAUUCCCUAUGUGGCAUUCCCUUUCUAUGGUUUAUGCGUGAUGCCAUUUAUUAAAGCGAUGUAAAUAUGUGACAAAUAUGGCCUAAAGGACAUAAAUAAUACAUCGGGGGGAAAAGGUCUAAAAAUGAAAUGUAUUUAUUGAAAAUCAAGUGUAAUAACUGAAAUUUAAACAUGUGAGUCAUCUAGUGGGUAAGUCACUAAAAGAGUGCCAAAAAGGCCUCUUAUUGCUAAGGCACAUGAAUGCAAUCCAAGAAAACAAAAGAAUGGUUAGUGCAAUUGAUAGUACACAUAACAUAUUGGGAGCAAUUAAGAAAAGAAAUACAAUAAAAACAAGUAAAAGGGGUGGAACCCCUUCCCUCGUGCCUAAUGUGCUUAAAAAAGGGUGAGACUGACUCUAACCUAGGAAAAUUCUAACAUGGAUGCAUGAGGCUGGGGUUCACUAAUGCGACUAGACUCGAUAAGGUUUAAAAGGUCCCCAAGCCUUCAGACCCAAAGGCCAAGGGUCAUCACUCCCAAGGCCUUCGAUCGGUGGCUCGAGUGAUCCCUUAGGUAGCGCUAUGGGCGCAGAGCACACCAUCCGCCUACCCAAGGCAAUCGAUCCUAAUCCUACAAGGAGGUGUGGGAUGGCGCCCACGAAAAAAAAAAACAAAAUGGGAUAACAAUAAAUAAACGUGCACGUAUGAAGUGUUCCCUAUUUUGAGGGAAAGGGUUGAGAACCAACGCAAGGCUCUAAAGGUGACACACCCCCCCCAAAUGCAAUGCAAAGCGCGAGAUCACAUCACAUAAAUCAUUCAUCCAUCAAAUCAAUCGUACGCAAAUGUGUGAGGGAGCGAGUUGAUACGCGCGAAAUGCAAAAAUCCUAAAAAAGAAAAAUGCAACCCUAAACAUCCAAAUGCGAUAUAUGAAAAGGUUAAAAGAAGAAAAAGAUUGACUAAAUCAAAUUUGCUCGGACUCUCUAAGUCCCCAGUGGAGUCGCCAACUGUCGCGCCCCAUUUUUUGAUAAAUAAAUAAAAUGGUUUGAAAAAAAAUGUAUUUUUUGAUUCAAUUUGUGGUUGGAAAAUGAAUUUUGAUUUAAAAAAAAAGUGGGCCUCAAUGGGGUUUUGAGAAUGCGACGAUUUGACCCAAAAUUAUAGUUUAAAAAGGGUUUUUUUGAAAUAAAAAAUCGGAGUCGCCAUUUGGUAAUGAGUUAAGGUGUACCAAGUCACCUAAAAAUGAAUUUUUAAAGAAAAAUAGGAAAAAGUAGUAAGAAACCCCUUUUAAACGACUCCUAGUCCACGUAAACCAACGAAAAAGGUUCGGGAGUCACAUUUGACGAAGGGGAAGGCAAGGAUAAAAAUCCAAGGCACCCCUUCGACCUAGCCAAGGCUAGUUGCGUGAUUUAAUCAAAAAUUUUCUUGUUUUAACCAAAGAAUUUAUUACAUUUGGAUGUACUACAUGAAUGCAAACCCUAGACCUAGGGGGACAUGGGGGGUAAAAUUUCUCUCCAAAGCUUGAGUGAUGCCAAUCACAUUAAUUGUGAAGCCCAAUAAUGAUCCUUUGGAGAGGUCACGAAUAAUGCGAGUGAGAUGCAAAUGAAUGGAAUGCAUGUAUGCAAUGUGAGGACAUGAGUUUAAAAAAGUAAUAAAAACAAUAAAUAUGUAAAUGAAAAUGUGCACGUGAGUGGGCAAGGUACGGUAUGUGAAAUGAUAAUAUGAAGUGCAUGUGUGCAAGUGAUGAUAAAGUGUUCGCGUGCAAGUGAAGAAACAUAAAGGUGCACGUGUGCAAAAUGGGAGGAAAGAUGAAAGUGUGAUGAGGGCAUAAAAUGGUAGAGUGGAUUUAAAAAUGCAUGAGCCUAGGGAAUUCAUGCAUAUUGGGUACGGGGAGACCUAAAUCGUGACUCAAUUUGCCCUUUUAUAGAGGGAAUACAAGCGUGCUAAGGCUUAGAAAAAGCCACACUCGUCUAUAUCCCAUAUUUAAGGGGACUCACAAGCAAAUGAACCCUAUAACUAGCAAGAAAUGCAAAAAUCCUAAAAUGGAGGGAAAAGGGGUUCGAGGGGCAUGCAAAAUGAUAAAACUAAGAAAAAUGCAUGACAUGUAAUGAACAUGCAAACAUGUACUAACGAGGGGAAAUCCCUAAGGGUCUAGCGUUGGACUAGCCCAUUCUAUGAAUUCCGACUAGCGUUGGACUAGCGGAAACGUACAUUCAUCCAUCACAUUCAUUCAUGGCUAUGGAAAGCGAGUAGACAUGCCAAACACUCAUAAACACAUAGCACAUAACAUUUAGCAUGCUCGACUAGAUGCAAGACCCUAACAAAGCAAAUUAACACGUAGCAACUAAGCAUGCAAGACACAUAAGACGAUUAAAGCCCUAACUAUUACAUUUGCUAGCUAGGCACAUGACUUCGAUAGGUCUUCAUUGAAUGCUCCUCCAAGCCCUAUCUAUUACAAGCCAAGAGGUGUACACAUACCCCAUAAAGAAUAACUUAAAUAAAAAGCAAAAGUAAAUGACAUAAAUAAAAGAAAUUAAAGAAAGGUUAAGAAAGCAAAGUAGACAUGCAAUUCACUUAACACGUUGGAUCACGUAGGAGAUGCAAGAGGAUAAAAGAGAUUAUACCUCCUCCCUUUGUGGUAAUCAAAUGAAAUGAAAAUGGAGUGGUUUUGCCGGAAGAGAUACACCCCGGCGAAGCUCCUCUCCUUUGUUGGAUUUGAUCUGAAGUCACCGACCUCUUGCUUAGCUGCAACUCCCUUUCGUUUGGUUUCUUCUUGUCCCGUUGCCUUUGUUUUCUUUUCCCAGAAAAUUCUCGAUAAUCUCUCCGUUUCUCGGCCCUCUCUCACUCUUCCUCUUGCUCUCUCUCUUUUCAGAUCUUCAUCCUCCCAAAGCUCUUCCCUUUCUUUGCUGGUUCACCUUUCUACCGUCACUUUUCUGUUCUUUUGCUCUCAGAUUUUCCAGCCGCCCUUUUCACUACAAGAAAAAUUAUAUUUGGAGGCGCAACAAAAUGAUGCAAUAGGAAACUUUUAGAGGCACUUAGACUAUUGAGGCGCACACAUCAAAUGUCUACUAAACUACCCGUUUGGAAAAGGUUGGAGGCGUUUCUUAACGUCAUGUUUAAUGAAUUUGAUGCAUUCACAAUUGCCAUGAUAGAAAUUGCAAAUAGGCACACACCAAUGCCUCUAAAGAUGCCCUAUAAAGGCACUUUACUUGGUAUUAUUUUUGCUCUUUUUAGGACACUUUUACAUGUUGCCAAAAAGUAAUUGUCUAGGCACAAUGAAGUGCAUUAUAUACAUUAAUGGAGGCAGUUUAUAGUGUAGUGUUUACCUAUCUUUCAAGGCAUUUUCUACCAUUGUAAAAAGGAAUCUCCAAACACUCAAAAAGUGUCACGAUAUGUGGUUUUACUAGGUGCAUUAGUUUCAAUGUCGGCAUUGGCAAGUGCCUCAAUAGAUGUCUUUUUUUUGUGCAAUUUUCAUCUAAAUUUUCUACUCUAAUCUCCUAAUACAAUACGCCAAACACAUAAUAUGCAAUUGUAAGACAGCCACUAUGCCAAAGAAUAUAAAUCUGCUUGACAGUAAAAAACUGGUGACAUCCUAAAUAAAGCAAAAAGUUCCACAAAUCUGAAGUUAAUUCAAAAACUAGCAUUAAUACUUCUUUAAACAAAAGGCUGUCAUCCAACUCUUGCAAUAGAAUCCAGCAACAUUCUCAAGAACACAAAAUAUUCCACAAAUUUGAACUCAAAAACUAGUAUUGCUUCUCUAAACAAAAGGCUGCUGUCCAACUCUUGCUUCUCUAACAAAAGGCUGAUGUCCAACUCUUGCUUCUCCAAACAAAAGGCUACUGUCAAUCCUCAUGAAUCUUCACCUAUAAAAUUAGUAGAUUAAGUAAGAACACCACUUCAUUAUCCAUCCAACUUACAAAUAUUUGUAAAGAAAAAAACUUGAACAAUCUUGUGUCAAAUUAUACCAAUUUCAGUGGCCAAGCAAUCGGUGCACCAAGUGCAUCUUCAAUUGUUUGCAAUAGCCCAUAAGGCCUAAUCAAUUGUUCAUUGCGUUCCAUCACGAUUUGUACUAGUAUUUCACACCAACAUGGUCCUAAUGGUUGUCCACCAACAACUUUAGAAGGAUCAAUUCCUUGGAGGCGACCAAUAGCUAGACAUUUUGUUGGAUCAAACAAGCUGAAAAUAUCCACCCAAUCACCUUCCUACAAGAUAAUUUGAAGUCAUAGAAUUGAAUUAGGUAGAUUUAUUUUUUUAAAAAAAUUUGGUAGAGUUUCCCCUGCAUUUUGAGCAUUUCUCCAAUUUUCAGCAAUAAAACUUAAUAACCAUGACUUUACUAAGUUGAAAUUACCAUGUUUUACUAUUCAGUAUAACCAAACAAAAUAGCAGUUUAAUGAAUCAACAAGUUUCAAACAACAAAAGUGAGUAUCCUCAUAUGGUAUAAUCACAAUAAAUUCUUGAAAAAUAAUCAUGAAUAUACCUGAAGAGAACGAACACCCAUAGGAGAUUUUGAAACAUGAUUAGAGGACGUUGAAUUUAUCGAGCCACCAGUUUUUGAGCCACUAUUUUGCUGCUGACACACCAUUGCUUUGAGCUCUGCAAGUUCUUUGGCUUGGUCUUUCAGCUGCUGAUCUUGCUCAGCAAAUUUAUCUUCCAUCUUAGAAAUUGCUGCCUUUUGCUCCAUAACGAUACGCUGACAAGUGCUGCGACUAGGUAUGUUACCCCAUUUGUCUGAUGGUGUCACACCUAGACCAUACAUGCGCACACGCCCAUUGUUAUCUUCCCCAAAUACUUGGGCAAAUGCAUCAUUACGACCAACAUCAUCAUUAGAACCAGGGGGAAGUUGGCUAACUUUUUCCUUCAAAGCUUGCUGUAUUUAAAAUCCAGAAAAAAUUCAAUAUUACUAAAGUCGAUUAUCUUACAUUAAUGAAGAUAAAAUCAGUCCUAAGUUAGUAGACAAUUUAAGUCAUUUAGAGUACUAAUUUCAUCAACCAAUUAAUAACUUACUAAUGUAGCUGCAACGUCAUCAUUUCCCGGGUUUCCGUUUGAGUCAGUAUAACAGUGUUCGAACAUAUCAACUCGUGAUGGGAGAUGACCUAAUUUUUUCAUCUAUAGAAAAUGAAGUCUUCAUAAGACCACUAGGUGAUACAAGAAAAAACUAAAUGAAACUAAAAGGUUUAAAAGAUUUACCAAUUUCUUUCGAAUUUGAGCAUACGAUUUCUUCCCUGUCUUAUGAUUCAUUGUUUUCUUAGCCCGACUCAUCUUAUUCUUCUCGCUGGUAUUCUGAAAUUAUAGAAAAAUAGUGAAAACUUAUAAUCUCAACAUAAUGCUUGAUAUUUAAUAGUUAAAACAGUUAUACCUUUGUUUCCUCUAAGCUCCAGUAAGCCAGAAGAUUUCUCCACUGAUCUUUCAAGAUCCGCUGAUCCCUAUUGUUAAUUUGACUCUCAAUGGAUUCAUUUGGAUUGUAAUAUUUUGCCUUUAAAGCUGAUUUCCAAUUUCUCCAUUUUUUGCCGAUUGAUUUCAAAGUCCAAAAAUCUGCACCUGGAGGAAGACGAAAUUUUUCCUACAAUAACACCUCAAAUAGUUAGAUCCAUAUUUUUGUCAUAUAAAGGGUACAGCUGUAUAUUUGCAUCAAGCAAAAUGUGCAUUACCUUCACCAAUACAAGCAUGUCUUGCUUCUUAUCAUUUGUCAUUUCACGCCAAUCUGUCACGUCUAGAGGAGCAUACUUUCCAUUUCUUGCUAUUGUUCCUAAGAACUCAGUAAAUUUGGACUUGUUCUUGCCAACAGGCUCACCAUCCUUAUCAAAUCUAACUUUGUACCGAUGACAACUACUAGGUUUACCCCAUAUUUCUGUCAUAUAUGUUGGCCCUCUAGUUUUUCUUUGUGAAUUUUCAUCUGCAUUUUCUUCAUCUAUAACCAUGAAAUAUGACACCGAUGAAUUUCAUUACCAAAAGAAACUAGUAGAACUAAAAGUUUUGAAAUUGAAUCUCAAGAAUGAAAAUCAGAACUGGGCAUGACUUAUUAGAGAUGUACCUGUAGAGUUAGGCUCCUCAAUGUGAAUCUGAUUUUCAGCUAUAUCCUCGUGUUGAUCAACAAGUGUAUUUCCAGUAAUCUUCUGUCUUUUAGUCCUUGCCAUUCCUACAAAUAAAAACAUUUAACAAAUAAAAGAACACAAAUACAAAAAGGAUAGCAAAAUCUCAAACGAAUAUGAUAAUAGAAAGGCUACAACUAGACUGAAAAUUUUCAUCUACUAACAAAUCAAUUUUAAAGUGCAAGUAAGUUAAAACAGAAAUUUUAAAAUAGACAAAUGCAAAGACACAACAAGGUUAAUCUGAAUUUGCAUCUACAAAAAAAUGCAUGUGAAAUUGCAACCACGUUUAUAGUUACAACUUUUACAGUUUUAAUAGCAAAAACCAAACAUUUCAACAAUUCAGGCUAGUGGAGUAUUUCAUCUCCAUCAUCUUCUCGAACCCAUCGAAUGUCUUCAUUCUCAUUGUCCAUUUGAGUUGUUGAGGUAAUUGUGCUUUGCAAAUACAUCUCAAUAUCACAUACGGGGUCCAUCAUAAACUCAUUCCUAGGAGAUGUAGCAACAACAACACUCCAGCCUUCAGCUAAAGGGUCUUCAACAUAAAAAACUUGUGAAACUUGGGUUGCUAUCACAUAUGGCUCAGGGUGAGGCUUUACAUUCUUGAAGUUGGCCAAUGUGAAUCCAUCCUCAUCUUGCUUUAAUCUUUUGCCUUUUGAUAUCCAAUCACAUUCAAAUAAGGUGACAGUUCGGCCUUCAGUGUAAUUUAACUCAAGGAUAUUCGUCAAAAUACCAUAGUAAGCCAAGUCACUUAAAAUUGGAUUAUUAUCUUUAGUACUCGAAAAGCUUGAUGUUGUUGCAUUGACAAGAACCCCACUAUUCUGAGUUUUCCUCUGAGAUUCUAAUUGUCUUGUAUGGAAGCGAAAGCCAUUGACAAGAAUCUUUUGAUAUGUUCUCCCCACAUUAUUUGGACCCCUAGCCAGAAGUUUCAAAUCUUUGGAGAUGUCAACACCAUCAGCCACUUGAAUCUGCUUAACCUAUUAUAUACAAAAUGUAACAAUGACAAAUUUCUUCUUUUAUGCAUAAAAAAAAAAGAUAAUAGAACCUGUAAGAUUGUUGAGCUUACAUGGUCCGAAAACCAAUCUGCAAAGUUCUCACAAUGAAUACGCUCAAUGACAUGUUUUCCAGCACAUGGAUUUUGCUCCUCCACCAUUUUAUGGUGUUGGCUGCAUAUAGAAACUCACUAAGUAUUUAACAUAUAUAAUUUUUUGAAUUGAAAGGAAUUUACUUACUCAACAUAUGGCUUGAUGUGGUCGCAAUUAAAUAGCACAUAUUGAUGUGCUUUUCUCAAAAUUUCAUUGCUGAAAUUUGUUGGAGUUCCUUUUCCUAAUGGACGACAUGAACUGGAAAAUACAUCGAAGCCUUCACUUGAGGUGUUGCCCACAUCAUCAUUUCUACUUGUCCGAUUAAACUUCGUUUCAACAUAAUCAGCUAGGUAUAAGGAACAAAAAUUCAAACAUUCCUCAGCUAAAUACCCUUCAGCAAUACAGCCUUCUGGUCGACUUCUAUUUCGGACGUAGGAUUUCAAAGUUCCUAAAUACCUUGACAAGGCAAGUUUUAAUUCAGGUUUAGAAUAUUGAGAUGAAGUUAAUGAUAAAAAAUGUCUAAAAUUUUCAAAAUACUUCACUUAAAUAUUUCAUGAGUACCUUUCUAUAGGAUACAUCCACCGAUAAUGGACAGGCCCUCCUAUUUUUGCUUCGCUAACCAAAUGAACAGCCAGAUGUACCAUCACAUUAAAAAAGGAUGGUGGAAAAAUCCUUUCUAAUUGACAAAGUAUGAUACCAAUCUCUUUUUCCAAAUGAACUAAAUCUGCUGGAUCCAAAACUUUGGAGCACAACUUGCGAAAAUACCUGCUCAAUUUGACUAAAGGAGAGCGAACUGCUUUUGAUAAAGUCCUGCGCAGAGCUAUUGGGAGAAGUUGUUGCAUCAAAAUAUGGUAAUCAUGACUUUUUAAUCCAGAAAUUUUUGAUGGCUUUACUUUAAUACAUCUAGAAAUAUUUGCUGCGUAGCCAUCUGGAACUUUUAUCCCUUUCAAAACUUUGCAAAAUAUCUCUUUUUCCUUCUUUUUCAUUGUAAAGCAAGCUGGAGGCAGAACACUCCUACCAUUUCCCUUCUCAAUGGGAUGCAAUUCUGAUCUUAUACCCAUAUCACGAAGGUCAAGACGUGACUUUUUAUUAUCUUUGGUUUUUUCCAGAUUCAACAAUGUAGCCACAAUGAUCUCACAGAUGUUCUUCUCAAUGUGCAUAACGUCAAGAUUAUGACGUAUCAUAUUGUCUUUCCAAUAGGGCAAAUCAAAGAAAAUACUUAAUUUUUUCCAAUUAAAUGGCAAUUCUGGAUUGUCACUAACUGUCUUCCCAAGUUUAAUACUAUAACCAGCUAACUCAUCUAAAAUUGUAGACCCCAUUAACCUUCUUGGUGGUUUUCCAUACUCUACAGCUCCAUUGAAAGAUUUAGCAUCUUUGCGAAAUGGAUGGUUCAUUUCCAAGUACCUUCGAUGCCCCAUAUAGCAAUAUUUUCCCCAAUUUUGCAGAUGCUGUGAAGAUGUGUAUUUAUGGCAUACAGGACAUGCAAGUUUUCCUUUAGUGCUCCAUCCGGAGAGGAUUGCAUAACCUGGAAAGUCACUGAUGGUCCAUAAAAGUGCUGCACGAAGUUGAAAGUUUUCUUUUCUUGAUGCAUCAUAUGUAUUCACUCCAACAUCCCACAAUUCCUUUAAUUCUGCUAUGAGAGGUUUUAAAUAUAUAUCAAUAUUAUUUCCUGGUGCAAAUGGACCGGGUAUCAACAAUGACAACAUAAAGUUCGAUUGUUUCAUACACAUCCAUGGCGGCAAAUUAUAUGGCAUCAAUAUUACCGGCCAAGUGCUAUGAGUUGAACUCAUAUUUUUGAAUGGGUUAAAUCCAUCUGAUGCUAGGCCCAACCUCACAUUACGAGAAUCUUGAGAAAAUUCUGGAUGAUGAAAGUCAAAUGUUUGCCAAGAUGGAGAAUCAGCAGGGUGCCUCAUGUUACCAUCCUUAGUACGACCUUCUGCAUGCCAUCUCAUAUGGCCUGCAAUUUUGGAGGACAUAAAUAGGCGUUGUAACCUAUGUUUUAGGGGAAAAUGCCAUAAAACCUUAUGCGGUAUUUUUCUUCCCUCACCAGUCGGAUCAUUUUCAGAUUUAACCCAUCUAGAUUCUUUACAUGUUUCACAAUGCUUUCUUCUUGCAUCUACCCCCCAAUACAAAGUGCAGUCAUUCGGACAUGCAUCAUAUUUAUCAUACCCAAGUCCUAAUUCCUUCAUUAACUUUUCAGCUUCAUAAUAAGACUUAGGCAAACCAUCCAUCGCAUCUGGAAAGGCUUCUUUCAACAAAUCAAGUAACAUAUCAAAAAUUUUGUUGCUGAGUUUACCAAGGCAUUUGAGGUGAAGCAGCCGAAUCAUAAAGGAAAGUUUUGAGAAUCUUUUACAUCCAGAGUAAAGCUCUUUGUUAGAAUUAUCAAUUAGAUUGUAAAACUUUUCAGCUUCUACAUUGGGCAAUUGGCUUUUGUAUUCAGUUCCAUCUAUCCUUGUAUAAUCUUGUUCAGGAAUUCCCAUUGCAUCAUGAACCAAACCAUGCAUGUCAUCAAGUUCAUCCCGUACCCCAUGUGAGAUAUCAUAGGAAGUAGGUUUUGGUGCACUAGAGUAAACAAAUUCUCCAUGAGCUGCCCAAUGGGUGUAUCCUUUAACAAAACCAUAAACUUUCAAAUGAAGUUCUGCAUUCUCCCUGGUAAUACAUACACCACACUUACAUUCUUUACAUGGACAUAAUAUCAUCCCAUUUAUACUUGAAUUCUGGAAUGCAUAAUCUAAGAAUUUUUGCAAACCAUCCCAAUAUUCUUUGCUUCGUCUAUUCUUUUGCAUCCAAGUUUUAUCCAUAUUCUGUAACCAUGACAAAUUUAACCUUAAAAUAUACACAUACAUACAUAUACAUAUACAUAUAUAAGCAAAAGAAAGCAAUUAAGAAUAAUAUUAACAAAGUGCAUCACUCAUACAACAAAAAAAUUAUUAGGAUACCAAGAAGCUAUUUGAAAGUCAACGAGAAGGUCACUGUUUGAGAUAAAAACACAAGACAUGAGAACCCCAAAGGUUUUCCGCUACUAGCCAUUUAUCACGUGUCACCAAGUAAAUAGUUUUUUACACAAAUCAAUGUUAAGAAUAAAAUUUGCAGGUCAUAUAAUAUAUCUACUGCAAUGACACUCCAGUUUAAAAAAAAUUAAGAAUCCAAAUGACCAAAAGAUGAAAAUGAACGUACAUUACAGGUUCAAACAAAUGAACAAAUUUAAUAUCAUAUAUGUAACUUAAUCUAAUUCCUAAUAAAAAAGAACACAAGAAUAUAAGUUGGCUUGUACCUCUAGCGAAAUCAAUGUGCAACGUCUUCAAAAUGAUUUCUUUUCACAGAUAGCUAUCUUCAAUUCAAACCUGUGGUGAAACAUUAAUGAACUUUAGUAAAAUUUUAAUAUUUUGAAUAGGUGCUAUACGUACUUCUCUAAUUAUUCAACAAGAAAAAUAACAUCAGCUUGCAAAUUUCUUGAAGAAUAUUUUUAAAAAAUGAGAAAGAACCAAAAGUGCUGAAUGACUUUUCCUAAUUAUUCUGAAACAAACAGAACAGGGCAUGAAAAUAUAAAUGCACCAACAUAUAUAAAUGCAUCAGCUUACUAUGCAAACAGAACAAGGCAUGCACAUUAUUAUGAAGCAAACAGAACAAGGCAUCAGCUUACUUUCUCUAUGUACAUAUAUAAAUGCACCAACAUAUGCACGAAAAUGAUCCAAGGCAUGCACAUUUUCCCCAUGUGAACAGAAAACCACAAAUGCAAAUUAUUCUCAUUGAAUAACAUUUUCAUAAAAAGCAUUGGGAUAGUAGGAAUUUUAUUUAAACUCAAGAAAUAAAAAGAUUUUAUGUUCAUGUUUGAGGGACCAACUUCGCUUUACAAGUUAAAAUUUAGAAACCUCUGUAUUGGUGCCAAUUAUUUUUCUGGUAAACUUAAUUGCCAUAUUACCAUAAUAUGAAUCAAGUUUGGAAACUCAACUACAACUCAAACAAUUGCUAACAGUUAACUUUCUUCCCAAUUCACUAGUUCUGACUUUGCCAAAUUUUACAUGUUUUUCCGAAACCAAAUGACAUGAACAAUACACCAUCUUUGACAUUCUUAGUAGUUACUAGUCAGUAGAAGUAAAGCACCUGGGAUUCUACAUCCUAUAUUUUGUGCCAGACCAGUUGCACUAACGUAGGAAUAGAAACCAAUUCCCAAGUUCCAACUCGGUUGAGAGAAGCAUUAACUACAUAAUCAUAAUGUCCUGAUUCACUUCUCAGACAUCCAUUUUUCCCCUUUUCCCUUCCACUUUUGUACUUGAAUUUAAAAAAAAACUCCACCACUAUUUUUAUACACUUUAUUAUACUUUGUAUCAGCGUAUUAUUACCUGACUGCCAAAGUACUUUGUGGAAUCAAUAGGCUAAAGUAAAUGCAAAAGGUGCUUAGAAAUUCAACAGGAUUGCAAAAGGAAGCCUCAAUUGAUCGAUCGGGCUUAGUCGCCAAAUACCAAAUCACACGGCAGGGUUUGAUGGGUUUGUCUUGCUUAAGAUUAACAAUCGGCCGCGGUGGGAGAAUGGGACUGCCUCCUGAGUCCUGAAUUGGUACUGUCGAUGGCCCCAAGGCCGAAACAAGGAGGCGGACACAUUCCAUAUGGCAUUACAUUAGAUACGAGCAAAAAAAACCAGCAAUCAAUCAACCAGCCAACUGCUUUUAAUAUUGCCCCAUGUUUUUCUCCAUCACAUUAUUAAUACUCAACAUAGAAAUCAGAUUUUUAAAAAAGAAAAAAAAAUCAAACUAGCAACAGGGGAGAAAAUAAUUCAGUGGGCAGGCAAAGCAUAUGAUUUUCAAAAACCCAUAAUACACUUACCUUUUAAUCGCUAAACCAUCCUUCUCUUCUUCUGGUCAAAUUGGAGUGCAUCUAAAAACUCAAGAUAGAAAGAGAGAGGGUAGGGAUUAAAGAAUGAAAAAAAGAGGCAGAAAUGGAAGGUUGAUUUUGACGAUGAUGGAUUUUGUGAAUAGGGUCCAAGGGUUUAGAUUUGGAGAAGAAACUGAGGGAAUUUUUUGGUAUGAAUUGUAAGAGGCGGAGACCUUUCAAAGAGAAAUGUAUUGGGCAAACUUUAGUGAAGCGGCAAAAUUUUCCUUGCCGCGUUUUUUUUUUUCUUUUCCCCGCGCUUUCUCUCCAUUUCAUUUAUACCAGUGACAAAACUACGUCGUUUCUAUCUCAAUUUCCUAUUACUUCUGCUGACAUUCACAAUUAAUGCCCUAAUAGCUAUUCUAAUUUGACAUCUCAAAUUUUUCAAUUUAGAAAAAUAUAAAACAAAGUGCAAUGGUAUUUGGUUCAUGUUAUUUUAUUAUGGCACUCACUUUUUUUUGUCUUCAUAAAACAUGUAAAAUGACACUUACAAAAAAGUGUCCUUAUAGGUAUGUCAUAAUAGGACAUUUUUCUUGUAGUGUUUUCAUCCACGGCUGCUGUCCCUUUUUCUAGCCGUAAAACCCUCAAAAAUCUUCUCUCGGUUGUUUUCAGUUUUCCCUUUCAGCCCACACUUUCUUUGGUCUCUGCCUCUUCCCGUUUUGUCAUCCUUUCCUCACUAAGAAACCCCGUAGCCUGCUUACUAUUGUUUUUCUCCCUAGCCGCCAACUCUGUUUUUCCUUCAAUCCUUUGCCAGAUUUUUUAGCCGUCCCUUCAAAAACCUCUCCUCUUGCGGCUGAUGUUCUCUUUUUCUAUUUAUAUGGGACUCCUCAACCCUAAAACCCAGUCCUUUCUUCUAUAAUUUGCAGCCAAGGGGCUGCCCAGCCUUUCCUUGCAAGCUGCGACAAAACGCAGCUUGCAUGCCGCAAAUCCUCUUUUUUUUUUUUUUAACUUAAUAAUUUAACAAAAAUAAAAGUAAAACUAAAUAAUAACAAAAACAACAAUUUUAAUUACAAAUAUAUCAGAAUAAACAAACUAAAACAACAAAAUUGCCAUUUUCAAUCUUUUUCUUUCAUUUUUCAUUUUUCAUCAUUUUUCACUUUUUUUCUUUUUUUUUUCACUUUCAAGAAAUUCUAUGCUAAAAACUUAAAAAUAGAAAUAAAACUAGAAACUAAAAACUAAAAAUCGAAUAAAACGAACACGACAAAUAAAAAACUAAAAAUAAACAGUAAAUGAAAUUACACCAAAAUUUGGUGUCUACAGCUAUGAUUUUAAAAACUAUACAUAAUCCCCUUAUGGUUUGGAUUAAAGUGUCAAAGUGACGAAAAUAAUCAUUCAUAACGGCGUCACCUAAAAUGUCAAAAUUACCCUUAUGUAAAGUUGAAAUUUAUGUAUUAACCAAGGAGGGUUAUGUGUAUAUUUUGAAAAUCAUAAUGGAAUUAUAUGGUAAAAUAUAAAAAUCAGACGGGGUUAAUGUGUCAUGUAUUUAUAAGGGUAAUUUCAACAUUUUUAAAAGUUCCAUUACGAGUAACUAUUUCCGUUACUUUGACACUUUAAUUCAAACUACAAGGAGGUUAUGUAUAGCUUUUGAAGUCAUAGGGGGGUUAUGUUCAAAAGGGUAAACCAUAGUGGGGUAAAAUGUAAUUUACCCUUAAAUUUUUUUAGGUUAGAUAAUCAUAGCGGUUUUGCUUAAUGUAUGUAGCUCUCGACGUAUCAAAAUGAGGUCAACGAAAUGGAGGGUCAGUCUAAAGAAGAGUAUAUUGGAUCAUUGAGAAGAUAUGUGUACAAACGCAAUUGGCAAUAGGAUCACAAAUUUCCUUUAAAUGUUAGAGCUCUUUUUGAUUUUCUUCCUAUAUUAAAGAAUUUACUAGGUUCUCCAAUGAAAAUGUCAAACCUUCAUCGUUGAAACUGAAUCUUCAGCCAUGAAUUCUUUUUGUUUUCAUCAUUAAAUUUUCAGGAUUAUAUCCUUUAGAACAUGAUCAUAAGGCACCAUAGGGUAUUCUUAAAGAUUCUAAUGCAAAGCAAUAACAAAGAUUUCCUUCUCUUUCUUUUCCUCCUCCAAUCCUCUCUCUCUCUCUCAUCCACAGCAGGAAAGCAUAUAUUAUGGCCUACUACUUAGUAGUGUAGUGGGGAUUUUUAGGUUGGUCAUCGCUUAAGUUAGAAUAUGGAGCAAGAGAAUAUUAGUUCCUUUUCAUUCUCGAAAAACCCUGGUUCACAAAAACUGAUAACAUAAACGAGGAUUUACAGGAGUAGCUCUAUUGUGACCGGUUUCUUGCAAAAACAAAGAUCAGCAACCAUCAUAAUGGUCGCUUCUUACUGAUGCUGCAGGCAUCAUUGUAAAUAUGUUCAAAAAGUGGCCCUUAAACUUGAUGAAUUUUUUAAAGCAAAGCAACGCGGAUUUGGUCAUUAAUAAAUGGGUAGACGUUGCUUUCCUUGAGGGUUCCUUUGAAUUAAUCAAAAGAAGAUUAAGAAAUGUAAAUCAGUUUGACAGAAUGGUGAACACGUAUGUAUUGCAAACACAAGUAGUUGGACAGUUUAUUGGCAUUUUUUACAACGAAAAUUAUUGGAAAGUUCCAAUCCAAUUAAAAUGUGACAGACUUUACGGGAUUUUAUGGUAAAUUACAUCUAAUCACCUUGGAUUUUUAUAUUAAUAUAUGAUCUCCUUUACAUUUCAAAAUAUCGGCAUAAACCCCUAUUGUUUCAUGUAAUAUGAAAAAUAGACGGAAAACAUCAAUGGUUACAGUGAUUGAACUAGAUGUGCUCCAAAAAUGCAUGUGGUGAAUUAAUAAUAUCCACUUAAUGCUCCUACAAUUUAUAAAUAUCCACUUUAACCCUUUAUAGAUUUUGUAUUUAUCCACAUAAUUCUUCUAUAACUUUAUACAAGGUGGUGUAAUUGUUGUUCGAUUUAAUAUUUAAGUAAGGGCAAUAAUAGUAGUUCAACUAUUAGUGUAACAUAAGAUAUUUUUUUGUAAAAUUUCUAUUUUAUAUGAAACCAUAGACGGUUUAUAUGAAUAUUGAAAAUAUUAGGGUUGUCAUGUGACAAUCAAUGAAUCUAUAGGGGAUUAUGUGUAUAAUUUAUCCUUUUAACUAUAUAUAGAGAACUUUUUCUUAAAAGUAUUGAACUAGUAGAUAGAGAUUCAAUUUGGGCCCACUUUACUCAAUAGAGCAUUAGUCAAAUUACAAUUAUCCUCCACGAUGACGUUGUUUGAUAUUUGUUAGCAUCCUGAAUUUGCAAUCCCGUCAAAAUCCAUUAUAUAUAUAUUUUUUGUCAAACGGUCAAAAUCUAUUACUGGCGUAUUGAAUCUUGGUUACAGACCAGUCAGCUGAUGGUUCAGGUCCAGGCGAGUUGGUUGUAAGACUUGCCAAGGUCAAGUUUUCCCAGGCCAUAAGUUUUCCUGGCUUAUACAACUUUCAUGAUCCCUCAAACAAUACAUAAUUUGGCUCCUAAUCUACCAAUCUAGUUUGUAGGUUGUUAGCCUUUUACUCUUUUGAUGCCUUCCUUUGAAAUGAUCUCCAGAAAUUUGUUGUUCCACUUCAAAUGUUACAUGCUUUGUUUGCUUAGCUUCCAUACCAUUGAAUAUUGUUGUUCCACUUCCAGCGACACAAGCCCCUGGAACUAUCUUGACUCUUACUGUGGAAAUAUUACAUACAAUUCCGGCAGCAUUUACAGAACCAAUCUGAAUUUCUUGCUUGACAAUCUGUCUUCGCAUGCAUCUCGGACAGACAACAAUGGCUUCUAUAAUUUCAGUACUGGCGAUGACCCUUCAAACAAGGUCUAUGGCCUCUUUCUCUGUCGAGGUGAUGUCAACACUGAUGUUUGCAAAGAAUGCGUCGCAGAUGCCCACACACGACUACUUCAUGAGUGCCCGAAUCAAACAGCUGCUAUUGUUUGGUAUGACGAGUGCUUGUUACGUUUUUCUGACCAGACGAUCUUCUCCAGGGCUGAUUUGGGAGAGAAUUUGACUAGGCGCAAUCCAUUCGAUGUCCCUGGACCUGACUGGGACAAAUUCAAAAUGGUAUUGAUCAAUUUGUUGCAUAACGCUGCGGAUAAGGCUGCAAAUCAUACCAUGGGCAAAAAGUUUGCUGUCGAAGAAGGCAAUUAUUCCACUGAUCAAAAGAGAUUGUAUACCCUUACGCAGUGCACACCAGAUCUAUCCCCUUAUGACUGCAAAAGUUGCCUCACGGAGGCUAUAAUAGAUGUACCCGCGUGCUGUUCCAACAAGCAGGGAGGGAGAGUAAUUUAUCCAAGCUGUAACCUGAGGUAUGAGGUCUCCAGCUUCUAUGAUACUGUAUCCUCUGCAUCGCCAAACUCUCCUGGCGGUCCUCCUCCUAUAUCCACUGAAGGUAAGUUCUGCAGCCUUGCUAUGGCCGUCUCUUCUUGGAAUUGGUGUUGAAUACAAUCUUAAUUCUUACAAUUUCUUGUUUGUAGUACUAAAUUCACAUGCCUUCAUUUUAAAUUCAUACCUUUAUUAUUGGAAUUAAUAUUAUUGAAGUUGGUAGAAUAUGUAAAUAUAGGAUGAGGGGUGUGAAUUCACUUUCAAACGAAAAUAUGUACCUAUAGAAGACCACCACGUAACUUAUUGAAUUUUCUAAGUCAAAUUUUAGUUGAAUACGCAACAGUAAGAUUUCAGCAUUAGCAGAUCACAUGCAAAUUUGGAUCCAUCAUUUGUCAUUUAUGGACAGUAAAUUUAGUCUUUUUGCAAGCAUUAGGACUGUAAUAACUAUUGAAUAUAUGUUCAACUGUUGAAGUAGUAUUGUUAUGGUCAUUGCGGAAUCCCUUUAACCAUGAUGGCCUGACGUCCGAAAAUGGGUUGGGCACUUUUGCAUUACGUUUUUAUUUAGUUAUCUAUCCAUUUAUCUAUGAUAUGGUUUUUUAAAACUCAUAUACUUAUGUUAUAAUUUUAUUUUGAUUGGUUGAUCAGCAUACAUGAAUAUAAAGUGCAUUUGAGAAAGUUUUUGCAUUCAAUUUGCUAGAAACAUUUAUAUAGUGUAAAAGGGUUUAAGUUCAUGGAAAAUUUUGCAAUGAUUAAUCAAAUGGAAAAAGUUUGGUAUUUUUAAUUUAACUUUUGAGUUUAACUAAAAUAGUACAUGAGUUAUAUUAUGAAUGGUAUUGAUAACAAAAUUGAUGUAAAAAAAUGAAAUUACUAUGGCAUAAUGCAAAGAAGAAUCCAUUUUAGUUUUUCCACUUUAAGACAAAGACAUUGAAGAAGAUCGAUGAUGUAUUGUAUGCAUGUAAAAGAUUUUCCGUUAUAGUGCAAUAUAAUUUGUUUGCUAGUUUGAAAUAUGAUAUUAAAUAAUUAAAUUAAUGUUACUUCUUUGUGGUUUAAUGUUUUGCCUCUUAACCCCUUGUGGUUUCAAAAUCGCAAUUUUACCUUAGUUGUGCUUUGGCAACGUGAAGCCAUUUGAUCUUUCUUUGUUUUGUGACAAAACUAGAUGUCAAAAUUUUGAAUACAAUUAUUAAGAACUAAAGUAAGAUGAAUUUCAUAUUUUAAGAAAUAAAGUGCUUAACUUUGAAAUUUAAUGAUUAAAGUGGUAGUAUGUCUAUAGUUCAAGAGCCCAAAGUAGAAAAUAGCUGAGAAAAAAAUAUACAAGACAAAUAUUAGCAUUGAAAUCAACCAAUACCAUAUUUACCCUCUUUGAAGUUAAUUUAGCCUAAAAAGGAAAAAUCAGUGAUCCACUUUCAAAGAAAGUUCAAGGGGCCAGGAUAAUAGGAUAAUUUCACAUGCACAAGAGAUCAUGAGGUAACGCACUAUAUGCUUAGUGGCUAAGGUUGAGACCUUAGGAUUUAGAGAUCUUAAAUUCAAAUUUCCUUUCUCCUCCACUUUUAAAUCCUAUCAUUGUUUUCUUGCCAAAUAAAUUUUUUUUACAUUUGUUUCACAAUGGAUUUUUUGUUUUACUUUUUAUUUCAUCCCCUAUAGUUAUUGAACAUGGCAUGACCCUAGCAGUUGAAACAAUCAGCCCAAUGAAAUAGGCUAUAAACGAGUUGAGUAGAGUCGACUUUGGUUUAAUCGAUUCAAACUUGACUUAGUUUUAUCAAGCUCAAACUCGAGCUUGAACUCAACAAGCUCUCAAUGUAACAACUCGAGCUCGAACUUGACUCAAAUUUGAAUCGAGUUUGAAUUCAAACUCGAGUUUAAAAAAAUUAUUUUAAUUUUUAAAAAGGAACUAAAAUAAUAAUUUUCUUAACAAAUAAUAAAAUAUUAGGAAUGUAUACGUAAUUUUACUAUUAAAAUAAAAAAUAAUAUAUAUAUAUAUAUAUAAUUAAGUCGGCUUAUGAACUAAUAAGCUGAAUAUCUUUGAAUUCGAGUUCGACUUGAUCAGGUUGAGCUCGACUCGAGUUCGAUAUUGGUCGAGUUCGAGUUGAGCUUUGGAUUGAAUUGCUCGUAGGUGAUUCAAUUCAUUUGUAAUCCUACCAAUAACUCGACCAUCCGGCCGAAAGGAUUUCCAGUUUGAUUGGAGAAUGAAUUGGUCCAACCAAACCUGUUUGACAUGGUGGUUCAAUUGGAGCCCGUCCGGUUUUCCAGUUGACUAGGUUCUUUUUUCUAAUACAAUUGUGGAUCAUUGUUUUUUAAAUAAAGUCUAAUAUAUUUUUUACUAGAUUUGUAUGUUGGAUUUUCAUUUAAAUGUGUAUAAAAUUUUACUACUUGCUUAGUUUUUACUUGAUAAUUAAAUGUUUUAUUACAUAAACUUGUUUACUUUUUUGUUAUACAAUUAAUUCUUUUACCUGUUAUACAAUUAAUUCUUUUACCUUUCAAACUUACAAUAUUUGAGUUGUUAAAAAUUAUUUUAUUUUUGAAAGAUAAAAUAAUAAAAAUGAUGCUAUAUCUUUGAAAUAAGUGAUACAAUUUUGUUCUAUAUUUGAAUGUGUUAUUUAUUCAAGUGCAAGUACAGUAAAAUGAAAUUGAAUCUUCUAUUAAUAUUUGUAUGUUCAUUAUAUAUCUUUCAAAGUAUAAUACUUAGUAUUUAAAAGUACUUUAUUACUAUUUUAUAUUUGUAAAUAUUAAUUUAGUACCCACUAGUUUAACCAAUCACCACUAGUUCAACCAAUGACUGAUUGGUUAAACAAGUCACCCAUUGCCAUGGUCCCUGUGCUGGAUUUCUUGUCCGAUUGAGUUUAAUAACUAUGUAUAUUGCCAUGUAUUCUUCAUGUAGGGUCAUAAAAAAUCAAAAUGAAAUAAUGAAAACAAAUACAUGACAAAAGAACAAAAAACACAGCAGAGGAAACACUUCGUUGGAUGAUUUCCCAUCUCAGAUCCGUGGUCUUCUGAAAGCGAAGAAAACUUAUGCUAUCCAAUUUCACAGGACCACAGAUGCGUGGUGCGAAAUCAUCCAGCGAAUAAGAUAUAAGGAUUUGCACUUCGACACAAGGCUACAAGUGCAUAGGCUAAAGAAUUUUUGGUGAUUUGUCUCUCUUCUUAAUUUGGUAAAUAAUUUUCUUCAACCCUUUUUCAUCUAUAGCAAUUCUUUGGCCUAAAAAAGCAAUCUCAUUUGUGUGGUUUUAUUUCCAAAAUAUUUGGCAUUGUUGUCAUUUCUUAAUAAUCACUGGGUUUGGACAGCCUCGCAUACAAUGGGUAGUUGUAAUUUGGUCCAAACACAGUUAAGCUUGUAUAUGUUCAAACCUCAGCGGAGUUUCUUAAUAUUAAUCCAUAAUAUUGAAAAUUGAUGAUGAAAAUCUCUCUUCAUUUACCAUCAACAUGAAGCAUGUGAGACCAAAUGGUAGUGAAAAACUUUUAAAGAAUAUUUGAAAAAAAAAUUCUUUCAAAUAAUGUGUUUUUGCAUAGCUUUUUGGGUUAGGCCCUUCUCCAUUAAUUGAAGAAAAUUUGUUCUCCAUUACACCUAAGUAAACAUGGUUAUAAUACUAUGUUUGAAAUAAAUGGUCAUCCAAAUUAUAUUUCUGGUGUUGUUUAAAGUAUAUCAAAAAAUUCAAAUUAAAUUGAUUAAAUUUUACUAUUGGAUCAAACUUCACAUUUUUUAUCAUAAUUUUGGCCCAUAUUGCACCAUCAAAGUGUUUUGUACAGAUUGAAUGACAAAAAAUUCAUAAAUGAGAAUGAAUUUUAAGUAUGUUGAUCUACUUGUGGAAGUAAAAUUAUUGACAUAAAUAGAUUGUUAUGAAAAAUUUAGGCACAUAAAUGGUGAGAAAGUAAUAGAGAGGAUCUCAACUCUAGCUUUUUGUCUAUGUAAGGCUGUCUCAGAGUGACUCUGCCCCGAAGUUUAAUAAACUUGAUCUCCUAUGAUCAGCUGACUUUCGAAGCUAAAUUAAACUAACUUUCAUCCAGGCAAAGGGCGAAGAGCAGCUUUUUCAAUUGCUGUCCCAUUAAUUGGGGUUGCUGUUGCGCUAUUUGUCAUGGCUUUAGUUUUCCUGAAAAGAAGAUUGCGGAAGAGUUAUGUUGCAAUGGCACCGGAAACAAGUGGUAAAGUUUAUUGAUUGCAAUUACAGGAAACCUCAGAGGUUUUUGAACUAAUAAAUUGAGUGAAGUUGCUUAUCCCUGGUGCAGAUGGAGUUGCUGAAAUCUUAACAGCCGAAUCCUUACAGUAUAGCUUAACUGAAAUUCAAAUUGCCACAAAUAACUUCUCUGUGGAUAACAAAAUUGGCGAAGGUGGAUUUGGUCGUGUAUACAAGGUCUUUGCAUGAAAUAUUUUGCUUUUGUGAAUUUGAAUAUCUACACAUUUAAUAUUUCAAUUAAAUUCAAGUAUGCAUGUUUACUCAGGGUGUACUUGGUAAUGGACAAGAAGUAGCUGUUAAAAGGCUGUCAAGGAGCUCAGUGCAAGGUGCAGAAGAAUUUAAAAAUGAAAUUGUAGUAGUUGCAAAGCUUCAACACAGAAAUCUAGUUCGGCUAUUGGGAUUUUGCCUGGAAGGAGAAGAAAAGAUACUCAUCUAUGAAUUUGUUGCCAACAAAAGCCUUGACUACUUUCUCUUUGGUGGGUUCAAUCUAGACAUAUUUAUAGUAAUUUUUUGUUGUUCCAUGUGAUCUUGUUCUAUUUUACUUGACUUGCCAUUUUAUGGAAAUCGCCUCUAGAAAAAUGUUUAAUUGGUGUGAAUUCUAGUUUAGACCCUUAAACCACAGACGCACUCAAACUUUAGUUCUUAAACUUUAAUUUUGGAUACUUCACCUCCUAAUGCAUCGCAUUUGUCACAAUCACUCACUCAAUUGUCAAAACUAAUGGGAUAAUGGCAAGUAAUGAUCAAAGUGGGAUGAUUUCAUUAAUAAUUAUACUGAAGUGGGACAAUUUAAAACCUUUAGGGUGAAGUGUCCACAAUAAAAAUUUAAGAACUAAACUGAGAGUGCAUUUAUAUUUUAAAAGCUAAAGAUGUAAUUUACCUAUUUGAUUAUGCUUUCUGGAAUUAUUGAUUUAAUAAUUAUCAAUGCUAGCACAAUAUAUUGUGUUUAAAUUUGUGUAGAUCCAGAAAAUAAACUAUCAUUGAACUGGUCAAGACGUUACAAUAUCAUUGGAGGUAUAGCAAAAGGACUUCUUUAUCUGCAUGAGGAUUCUCGUCUAAGAAUUGUUCAUCGCGAUCUCAAAGUAAGUAAUAUAUUAUUGGAUGGAAAUAUGAGUCCAAAGAUAGCAGAUUUUGGCAUGGCAAAGAUUUGUGGAGUUGAUCAAUAUGAAGGAAACACAAAUAGAAUUGCUGGGACAGUGUAAGUUUUGCUCCCACACUAUCUUUUCAUGGAAAAUUAUGGAAAAUUUGUUUGCAUCAUUCGGAUUAUCUUUGUACUGAUUAUAACAAUCGUUGUGGCUUGUAGUGGUUAUAUGGCUCCUGAAUACACAAGGUGGGGUCAGUUCUCACUAAAGUCAGACGUGUUUAGUUUUGGGGUUGUAAUUUUGGAAAUUGUCACGGGCAAGAAGAGCAGUGACUUCCAUCAAUCUAGAGAUUCCGAAGACCUUCUAAGCUAUGUAAGUACAAAUUGCAAAACCUUUGCUGUAGUUGUUACUUUUUUUUUUUAUGAAUAAAUCUCAUAUAUCAGACAGUGUAUAUACUAUCACCGUUAGAUUCAUAACAUGUAUGCAAAAUUUAAAUUUAAAAUUCAAAUUUUGCAUAAUUAUUGUUCAUCCAAUACUGACAACAGUGUAUACACUGUCAAUGGAAGAAAGAUUAAUCAAUCUUUUUAUAUGAAUAAACUUGAAAUAGAGAGUAUUGACAAUUGCCUAUUGUGAAUAUUGACAUUUACCUGUAUAUCUAUUUAAGCUAAUUGAAGUUUUUAAGAAUGUACACCUCAUGAGUGGGAUUAUUUCGAACAGGCUUGGAACCAUUGGAGACGCGGCCAAACUUUAGCUCUUUUGGAUUCAAGCAUUGGAGAUUCUUAUGCCAGAAAUGAAGUCAUUCAAUGCAUCCAAGUUGGCUUACUAUGUGUUGAAGAAGAUGCCAGUAAAAGACCCACAAUGGCUUCCGCGGUCUGCAUGCUCAAUCCUGGUUCUGUUUCCCUCCCAACUCCACAUCGUCCGGCAGUUUUCCGGAGCAAUGGAUCGGAGAGCAGGGUAGACGAGCUGGAAGUUGAUCAAUCCAACACUCAAAGAAUUUCAGCUCCAAGCUCUGUCAAUGAUGCAUCAAUUACUGAACCAUAUCCCAGAUGAAGGAAGAAAUAGGCCAAUUCUGGAAGAAAAUAUCAAGUUCAUCAUCAGCAUUAUGUUGUAGAUUUUGAAGCAUGAUUCAUUAACCAGGAAGGUAUCUAAAUUUGCCCACUAUUGUUGGAAAUUAGGGGAUCGCUUCAAUGUUUGCUUCUUCACACUAAUUGACUUCUUCCACCAUAGGGGUAUAAGGAUGUGCUUGAAAGAAAAUGCAAGUUGUUGUCGCUCUUUAGAUAUUUUUUAAAAAUAGAAGAGCAAUUUUAUUUAUGAACAUUAAUCCCCAGCUGAUCGAACAAACAGUAUGUCUUGAACUUUUACCAUUUGUACAUAGCAAAGUUGGCUUCCAAACUGAGUCUAUCAAUUAUAUCAUUGUAUACGUUUGGUAACAAAACCAAUAUAAAGGCUGUCUUGGUUCACAAUUCUUGGAGUGUGUUAUUAGUUAAAAAGAGUUUAAAUUAUAUCAGAUUCAUCCUGAUUUGGAACUUUUUCAGCAUUCAAUGAUUUAUUAUCACCUAAGCUUUCUUAAGUAUUCUAUUGUAAUAACAUUGUACUUGCAUUCAUACAAUCUUCGUAUUUGUUAUUCCUUCUUUUUUUUUUUUUUGGUUCAAAGUAUUUACCCAAUUUUGUCAUUUAAUUUUCUCUUUUCUUUAUUCUUUUCCUUAUUCAUUUAAUGUAACUUAGCCAAUCUUUUUCCCUUUUCUUCAAGCAAAGAAAAAACCAUUCAUAUAAUUGUGUAAAUCUGAUGGCUAUCCCAACUAUCAAUGAUUACGCAAAAAAAGAAAAAGGAUAGUUGAUGCAUUUAUACAAUCUUCACAUUUAGCAUAUGAACUUUUUCAAGUGAAUAACUACAUCUGUGAAUUAUUCUGCUACAUAAAUAAUCACAAAUAACCUAGAAAUCUUGAGAAUUUAAAGGUAUAUAAAAUUCUAUGAAAUCCCCAAAUGCAUAGAUGAAAUUUAGAGUAUGGAAAUUGAUAUUAAAAAAUACAAAAUUAUUAACCCAAAAUUAUACAAGUGAAUAUCUUAGCAAGUGUAUGAGAGAUAAUGGCAGAUCAACAAAAUAUUUCUUAUUCUUCAUCUUGGAUUUUUCUUUCCUUCAUUUCAUUCUUUCUUUUUCUGGGUAAGGAAAAGCCAGGGAAUUGUGAUCUGUGAUGCUGUGAUUGACAGGAAAAACUAUUGGCACUUUAAGGAGGACUCUGUAUUUCAUCAUUUUUUUAAAACUUUUUAACUCAAAUUGGUGUCCAGAUAUCAAAGGUGAUGGUGUAUUAGUGUAACAGUAGAACACUUAAAAGGAAGUUUAGGUCGCAAGACAUAAUUGGGUGCCUAAAAAGUCUCAAAUCAUGAUGAUCCUGAUGUGCACCCUUAGUUAAGAUAUGUAAAUGUUUUAUCCGUAUCAAAUUAGACAUCAUCUAAUAAAAUUAGAUUAGAUUAGUUACUGAUUUAAAUGUUGUCUUAUCUUUUGGGUUUAUAUUUUGUGCCCUUAAAGCACCAUAAGGAGUGGGUCUCUUUUUUUUUUUUUUUCAAAAGGGUAAUUUGUUUGCUAAUGUGCUGUAUUUCAGGGUGGUAAUUUUAAAGGUUUAAUGGUGGGCCAAUUUCCUUUUUCUAUAUGCUUAUUUGGUGCUUUAAGCAUCAAAUAAAAAAAAUCUUGAUGUAAAGAUAAAUGAAACAAAAAUAAUAAAUAUUUCCCCUGUUUUUUGUCUUCCUUGUCAUAGAGCAAGUGUUCUAGGGUCUUUAUUUUGGGCAAAAAACCGCGGUGGUCCUCAAACUUUCAACUUUGUGCACUUUUAGUCCUCCAACUAAUAAGUGCGUAAAUGUAGUCCUUUAAUUAAUAAAAAUAUGUAGUUGUAAUCUUUCCGUCUAAUUUAGCCGUUAAGAUGGACGGGAUGAUACAAAAAAUAAAGGGAUAAUUUUAGAAACCUCCCUUGAGGUUUUUAACAAUUUCAUUUAGCUCCCUUGAGAUUUUAAAAAUUAUACAUACCUCCUUAUCAUUUAAAAUGACAAUACUACGCUUAAAUAUUUUAAUGAAAUUUCCUUGUUUGGUAUGUUAAUACUUAGAAUGAAUUUUAAAAUUAUUUUUUCAUUCUUUUCCGUCUUAUUCCUUUUUUUAAAAAAUUUUUUGCCAAUAAAGUGAUAGAACUACCACUAUUACCUCUAGUUUCUAUUGUAACCAAAUGUCCGACAAGUAAUUUUUUUUUUUUAUGAGUUAACUUUAUAUACAAUACAAUAUUUUUGCUAAUCUUUGUUUUCUAUUUUUUGGUAUUAAAAUUAACAAAAAAUCAAAAGAAAAUGGUCCAAAAUCACUAUUAAAUUAUGAUAAUCCAACUAUUCAAAAAAUUCAUAAAUUCUAAAUAAAUUAUUUCAACAUUUUCUUUUUUAUCUUAUAAAUUUAAAUCCAUAAUAAAAUAUGAUAAGUGACUAAUUUACGUAAUAAUUGUAUGAUAUUUUAUAUUAUUUUUAGUCACUUUAGUUAUAUUAUUGGAAGAAAAUGAAUCAUUUUGGCUAUAAUUGGUGAAAAAUGCUUUUAAGUAAUUAAAUGAGGUUUUUAUCACUUUUUAGUGGGAUUUUGUGUAUUUUGACAGUUUUGACACAUUUUCGUAUUUCGGCUAUAACUUGAGUUACAGUGAUCGGAUUGAGAUGAUUCUUGAACCAAUUUGAAGAUAAGAGAUAGAUCUACAACUUUGGUGAAGACAUCUAAAUCCAGUUUGAAGGUUUUCAAAGUCAAAAAGCCGAAUUACAGUAGCAAAUUUCUACUGGUCGAAGCUGAAACAGGGCAAUGAGCAGGCAAGGGUAUUUUGGUCAUUUAUCAGCCUACACAGAUCCAAAUGAGGUGAUUCUUGAUGCAUUGGAAAUCUAACUCAAGGGGCUACAAUUUUCAUGUUUUGGUCAAGAGCUAAAUCACCUUUUAUCAUCAAGAAAAGUUCAGUGGAAGUUGAUGCAAAAUCGGAGCAGAGCUGGAAAUUGAACUAGAAGUGACCAAAUGGUCACUGUAGAAAUCCGACCGGAAUUUGGCCGGAUUUCUGGCCGGAUUGUGGUCAGAAAAGGCUACUUUGUACGCGUAAAACUCAAUUUCACCUCCACCAACUCACAUGUGAUGCUAGACAUGUGAGAAAUAUUCCCAGCUGUAAAAGGGAAGUGUAGACCUCAAGUUUUGACCAAUCUUUCAUCUUUAUAUAGUCAAAUUCAUUGCAAAACAAAAGGAGAUGGAGAGACAUACGGGAGAAGCUUGAAGUUGCAGAAAUGUAGCUCUUUCAUCUUCCUAGUGUUAGUUUAGCUUAGUAUAGAGUAGGAUAGUUCAUCCAUUCUUGUUAUUAGCUAGAUAAAGAAGAAGAUAGAGGAUGAAGAAGGCAAGGAAGAAAGCUCAUGUGACAAGGGUUGUAUUCCUUCCAAACUCUUUAUCUUUUGUACUUGAUUCAAAGUUUGGUUAAUAUACAAGUUCUGGAUUUUGUGUUCAUUACGUGUCUUUAAAGUUUAUACCUUGGGUUUGGUUGAACUUUCUAUGAUUGUUAGUGUUUAUUAUUUGGUUAUUUGAUUGCUAUGAUUUGAGCAAAUUAUUUAACACUUUGGCUCUUUAAAUCAUGAUUAAUCUAGUACCAUUGAUUGUGAUUCUCUAAGGUGUUGUUUCUGCAAUGAAAAUUGAGAUUCAACACUAGUUCAAGAAGUGCUAAACAUAGGGAGUACACUCACGAAAGUAGAGGUGCGCCUAUGUGGUUUUUAGUGAUUCAUUUCAUGUAAUUUCAUUGAAGAAAUGAACUUGUAGCUAAUUUCAUAACCAUGAAAAUAGGUAUGGAUUAGUUAUGAGUAUAGUUGAUUCACUAUGAAAGUAGGUUUCACAUGUUUAAGGAAAUUACACCAGAAUUAGCCCAGAUAUUAGUGCUCAAUGAUCCAAAAAUGGCAAUUGCAUGAGUAGUUGGGGAUACCACAACCUAAGGAGUUUUUAUUUGUCAUUUUGUAUAAUUUCAGUAGGUUAAAUUUGUUAUAAUUCAUUGAUAGUCUAAAUAAUAGAGAAACUUUAGUAAUACAGGUAAUUGUUCACUCUUCCCUGUGAAAUCGACCCGAUAUAUACCCUAAACUACUAGUUGACAUGUAUACUUGCAGUGAACGGGUGUAAUUCGGUUUUUUAACUUGUGUGUAUGUAAAAUACCCGUCAAGUUUUUGGCGCCUUUGCCGGGGAAUGAUUUGCCAAUAUCGGUGUGAAGAACAACUUUAUUAGUUUAGACAUAUCAUUAGUUAUAGUGUGAAUGUUAUUUUCUGUUAUUUUUGUGUUUUAUGUGUGUAUGUGUUUCAUUACUUAUUUUUCUUACUAAUUUUGCUUUUGAGGUUGUUUAAAAAUAAUUUUAGGUGAUGAAAAGGAUAGGUCAAUUUGGAGAACAAUGCUUGAGAAAUGGAAGUUUGGCAAUAGAUGGUUACCAAGUACAAAACUCCUUCAAUAGAGGUAACCAAGAAUUUACUGAAUGUAUGUCUUUUGAAGAUGGUUUAAGGUGCUUAAAGGCUAAAUUUGAUGUUAUAAUGCUACAAGUUCAAUUGGACACAAUUAUGCAUAAAAUUGAGCAAGGGAGGAAUGUUAAUGCUUUUAAUUCUUAUCAUGUGAUUUGCGACUUGUGUGAAGGUUAUCAUGCUACUAAUACAUGUAUGCAAGUACAAAAUGUGGAUUAUUAUGAUGAAUUAGAGCAUUACAAUCGCUGUUUUGAUCGAUAUAGUACUAAUUGGAGCAAUUCUCCUGCUUAUGGUUGGAAUAAUCAAUGUAUUUAUAGUGAUAAUUCAUAUUUUUAUGAUUACCAACCUGAAAGUGUCCAAUAUGAAUCAAAACCAUCUUGGGAGUUGGCAAUAGAGAAGUUAGCUAAUACACCUCUACCUUGGGAGUUAGAAAGUGAACCGUUAGCAAUGAUUCUAAUGCAUCUUGGGAGCUAGCUGUAGAAAAUUUUUCUAAUCAAUUUGAUUUAGCAAUAGAAAAGCUAACAAAUGCAACUUCCGAUCGUUUUGAUAGGAUUGAGGAAACAAUAGAUGAAUUAACUUCUCACUUUGGUCGAAUACAUGAGUAAUUGAGUGCAUUGUGUGAAGUUAUUUCCUCUAAUAAUGUGCAAAAUGAUCCUAGCAUGAAUGGUGGAAAUGUUAUAUGUGAAAAUGGGUUGUAUUUUGAUCAAAAUGAUGAUUCUAACUUGUGUUUCAAUGAGGAAAUGUCCAUUUCACAUAAUAAUAUCUUUGGAGCUAACUUUGAAUCUCAAGAGAUGAGUUUUAAUGACUCAUUUUUCACCCCUCUUGAGGAGUGCAUUGAAAGUAUAGAUUCUAAGGGUAUUGCUGCCCAAUAUACUCUCAUGGCAUUUCAUUUGGUGAAUUCUCAAGUGGUACAUAUUCAAGGUAAUAUCUAUGAAACACUUGGGAUAGGUAAGUCAAUUCCAUUUCUCACAUCAUUAGAUUAUGUGACUUUUGCUAUAAAGUCAGCAUUUAAUGAUCCACCAAGACCAAAAAUGGUGGAUUAUUCGCUAACAAAGCCUCCUUGAAAAAAGUGAGGUGAAAUAGUCAAGCUAUUGAUUUUAAAGAAACGCUUAUUGGGAGGCAACCCAAUGUUUUUUUAAGUUCAUGUUACUUUGGAGUGAUUUUAUGUUUAAAGUAUGAGUUUGAGUUAUUUUGUUAUUUUUCAUUUGUAGGUUUUGGAAAAAGAUGCAAAAGUGACCAAAUGAGGUGAAAAAGGCGAAAUUUGAUCAAAGAUCUCAACACCUCAAAUUCAGUAAUUGUGGUUUUUGAUGUAUUAAAGAGCUUUAGAAUGCAUGUUUAGAUCAUUUUACAUGUGCGUGAACGAUUUAUUUUGACAUAGAAAUGAUCUAGGGUGUAUUUUGGAGAAUUGGGGUCAAACUGAAAAUUGCAAAAAUUCUGCAAUAAGUGCAGAUUCAAUAGAUCCGAGGCCUCAGAUCCACUUCUGCAAUCAGAAUUUUAUUUUUCAACUCACUGGCCAGAAUCCAGCCGACAAUCUGGCCAGAUAUCCGGCCAAAAUGUGUCCGGAUUCUGGCGAUAUUUCAGCUUCAAGAGUGAACGGAUUCCUCACAAUUCCCCUUCCUUUCUCCUUCAACCUACACACACUACUCACUAAAACACCACUUUUCACCAUUUAAUCUUCAAAUAACCUUUCACCAAAUCACUUCCUCCCAUCCUUUAGAGUGAAUUUCAUAGUUCAUAUUUUUUCAAAAACAACUCUAAAAUUGUAAGGCCCAAAAACAACCUAAGAGGGGGGUGAAUUAGGUUGAUUAAAAAUACGUUAUUGAGUUUAUGCACUUUUUCUUUAAUAAAAAUUUACCUUCUUUUCUAGUAGUGAUCAACCAAGUAAAUUUAAAGACGAGAGCAAUGUUGAUCAGAAAUAAGAGUGUAUAUAAGCAAUGAGAAUUUUAUUAAACAAAAGAAAUAAGAUAGAGUAUCAAACCGAUUGUCUACAAAGCUUUCCUCAAACUUAAAGACCAAUCACAAAGACGAGCACCUUCUCUUUGAUGAACAAUAAUCAACUCAAUGUACAAUGGAGGGAUCACUUCUUCCUUGCCCCAAGCCUCACUUAGUCAAGUUAGGAAGUUUUACUAUCACUCAGAUAACGCUCAACAAAGUUACACUAUUGAAAAUUUCAAAUACAAGAGAAGUGCUUACAAGAACUUCACACUACUUGGAGAACAAAUCUUGCUUAGGAGACUAUUUUCUAGCUAAAAUAUCUUUUGAGAUCUUGUAAACGAAGUGUGCAAAAGUUCCUCCCUGGUUCAGAAUCGUUUGUAUUUAAAGGGGACCAAAAUGGACUUCAUUAAUGCUUCCAACGGAUAGAAGGCAGAUGAAGAGUCAGCUAGCCGUUGGGGCUGUCGGACGUCCGAUAGCUUAAUCAUCGUCCGAUCCCAUCGUCCGAAAAUCAGCCAAUUUUUUGUUCGGACGUCCGAUGGGAUUUUAUCGUCCGACAGCUUCUACGUCCGAACGUCAUCAGAGAGUCAUCAAAACUUUGCGAAAUUUUUCGGACGUCCGACGCUAUCGAUGUGCUUCCGAAGCAUGCGUCCGAUCCUCCCCGACGUCCGAUGCUUCCUCACGAGCGUCCGACAGAGUUUCCUUCUUGAUGUUCUUCAUCCUUUCGGACAUCCGACAGCUUCCUUUCGGACGUCCGACAUGAGUGCCCUGUUUUUGCUUCUUCUUUUGGUUGAUUUUCUUUCCUUGACACCUUUGUACUUGAUUCUCUAAAAAGUAAAACACUUAUAUUUGAAGAGAAUUAGAUAAACAUUUCAAAGUGCUUUGUGAUCAUCAAAAUCAAGAAUAACAUUCUCCCCCUUUUUGAUGAUGACAAAACAAUGGUUUGAAAUGAAAUUUGAUGAUUACAAAUAGGCUCCCCCUUUCUCAUUUGACAAAAGCUCCCCCUUACUUAGUCAAUCAUAGAACAAAAAUUGAAAAACUCCCCCUCACAUGGCUAUUUCACAGAUUUAUUCAAUCAUCCAAAAACAGUUUAUCCCCGAUAUUUUAUCAACUGUCCAGCCAAUUCAACGCAUCCUGCACAUAUCCAUAUUCAUAUCUACAUAUUUCUCCUCCUUUUUGCCAUCACAAAAGUCAAAAAACAGUAACAUGAACAAGAACCAGUAACAUGAACAAGAACUAAACAUUCAUAACAAAAUAGCUUACGAGCAUCACAAACAUUACAUCCACAUAUCCAGUUUUGAACAUUACAAGCACCAGAAUCAAAGAAACAAAACAAAAAAAUCCGAGGCAGCCAUCUAACAUCCAACAAAUAGAAAACAGUCAAACAGAAUGCAAAUGAUUCUAAUAGGACUAGUGAUCCUAAAUGGUAAACUAAAUGGACCCAGGCGUCCUUCGAGUAAGCAGAUACUGAGAGAGAUCCUCCUCCUCAGUGUCUUCAUUAUCUUCAGCAUCUUCACCAACUGAUUUCGUACCUUUGUCAGAUGUGGAAGGAUCAUGAGGUGCCACGGGAGUAGAGAUGAGGUCGAUGGGAGCAGGACUCAUAGAGCGAAUAGGAGCUGAUGAACUGGAAUCAGUAGAGCGUGGCUCUUUGCCAUGAGGAACUUCUUCAACCACAGGUGGGGGAAAGAGAAGAUUCUUUUUAUCCAAGAAGUCUGCUUGUUGCUCGGAUGACAUGGUGAGCAUGAGACCAUGUUCAAGAAGUAGAACAUGUUGUUUAAGAUCUCGAAGGAGUUCAACCACUUCAGAAUUUGAAGAAGAAUAUGCCUUAGUGGCAGUCUUCUUAGGAUGAAUAGAAGUCAGUGCAACAGAGGAUGGAGUGUGAAGGGGAUCAUGUGCAGCCUUAGAUCUAGGUUCAUUAGACGUGGCUCCCUUAUAAGCCCACAUAUUAUCCCUAAAGACAAGAUUCUUGCGCUCAAAAUAAGUCUUAGUAAAGGCAGAAGAAAAUGUUUCUUUGGGACAAACACCAAGAAUGGGUAUUUUGAAAAACUCAAAAAUCUUCUGAAAAAAUUUUUCAUAAGACAGUUUUCUACGAGAAUCAGUGGUAAAGCGAAAUAAAAACUUGCACAUGACAAAUCCAAAGUCAAUGCGAAUUUUUUCUCGAAAACAAUAAAAAAGAUAUAGCUCCAUUUUAUUGGCAUAUGUCCUAUGACCAUCGGUAGGAACAAGCAAAUUUGAAAUGAUUGAGAAAGCAAUUAGAUUCACAGGAGCAAGGUCAUUUAGUUUUGCAUCAGCAGGGGCAGAAAACUUCUUUUGAAAAUAAGACAACAUCUUAGCACUAUCAAAGUGAUUAUCAGCAGUGGGAUGCUCUUCAUAAGAAAAGAAUUUGACAAUUUUACUUUUGCAUCCUGGUUCAAUAACAGUAUUUAAAACAACAUUCACAAUUUCAUGAUCAAACACUAAAUCUACCCCAUUUACUCUGGACAUAAUUUCAGUGUGGUCAGUGCCUUUUCUAAGAUUGACAAAGAAUUGAUAUAGCAUUUCAGGGUAAUAAACGUUAGGCAUGAAAAUGAUAUGUGACCAUUUCUGGAAUUCAAAGAGACGCAGAAUGGACUCUAAACCUAUCUUGCGAAAUUCAGCGGGAUUUAUAGUACGUUGAGGAAUGAAACCUUUUUGGGAUAUCCAGGAGUGUUUUUCUUUGGCAGCAUCAUCAAAGAUGGGGAGACUGUGGUUGAUUGGGAGGGCGGUUGAGGUGUAGUCCCUUGUCCGGAUUCAGGCUGAGCAGAAGGCUAUGAAGUUUGAGCCUUUACUGCUCCCUUUUUGACGCGUUUGGAGGAUCUUUUGGCCCUAGAAAAAUCAGCAUCCUCAUCCCUGAGUGUGUGUUUGCGUCCGGCAGGCACUUUUUCUCCUCUUAGAUUCACCAUUGUGUGAAAUGCGUGAGAUGUAUGAUGCUAAUGAUGCACACAGUAGUAUGGGAGUGAAUCACACAAUAAUUUUGGGGUAAACGAGCCUUGAAGAAAAUUGAACAGAAUGGUUAUGGGAAAAUAGGGUUUUGAGAAAAAUUUGGAAACUGUCGAAAUGUGAUGAGAUUUGGUGAAAAGAUCAGGAAGAUGAACUCGCAAUGAUCAGGAAAAGUUUUUUGUUGAGUCAAUUUUGGAAUAAGUGCUUCAGAAUAGCAUGAAUUGAGAGUGAAAAGGAGAGACGGUUUUCGUCCGAGAGAGAAGAGAAGAAGAAGGGUCUGAAGCAAAUGAGGAGGGAAGUUACUUUAAAAAGUGUACCGUUGCACUGUCGGACGGCCGAACGAAGUCGUGCGUCCGACAGUUUCGUCCGAACAGGUGCUUUCUGGAAAAAUAGCUGAAGAACAUUAUCGGACGUCCAUUCAUCUGCUUUCAGACGUCCGAAAGUUUUGAACAAAAAAAAUUUUAAGAUGAUUUUUCGAUUAUCCCUAAUUUUGAUCUUAGAUAUAUGAAUUGAUUCAAUGGCAAAGCUUUUGUAAAAAUAUCAGCAAUCUGAUCUUUAGAACAAACAUAAUUCAUACAAACUUCACCUUUUUGAACAAGAUCGCUAAUAAAGUGGUGCUUUAUAUCUAUAUGUUUUGUCCUAGAAUGCUGAAUUGAAUUUUUGAUCAAAUUGAUAACACUAGUAUUAUUACAGAAUAUAGGCAUGCAGUCAUAUAACAAUUCAAAAUUAUUCAAGGUAUGCUUCAUCCAUAAAAGUUGAACACAACAUGCACUAGCGGUAAUAUAUUCCGCUUCGGUUGUAGAUAAAGAGAUUGCAUUUUAUUUUUUGCUAAACCAAGAAACUAAGCAAUUACCAAGAAAGUGACAAGUUUCACUUGUACUUUUUCUGUCCACACGACAACCACCAAAAUUUGCAUCCGAAUAUUCAUAUAGAGCAAAUUCACAAGAUCUAACAUACCAAAGACCAUAGUCUAAUGUACCUUUCAAAUACCUAAAAAUCCUUUUAACAGCGUUCAAAUGUGAUUCUUUUGGACAAAAUUGAAAUCUAGCACACAAGUAAAUAGCAAACAUAAUAUCGGAUCUACUUGCGGUUAAAUAGAGUAGGCUUCCAAUCAUACCUCUAUAGUGCUUUUCAUCCACAUGUUUACCUUCUUCAUCUUUGUCAAGUUUUGUAGAAGUGCACAUUGGAGUUCCAACUUGUUUUGAGUUCUCCAUGCCAAAUCUUUUCAGCAAUUUCUUGGUGUAUUUUGCUUGAUUUAUAAAAAUUCCCUCUAGGACUUGAUGUAUUUGAAGUCCAAGAAAGAAAUUUAAUUCUCCCAUCAUACUCAUUUCAAAUUCACUUUGCAUAAUGGUGGAAAAAUCCUUUCAUAGAUACUCAUUAGUAGCACCAAAAAUAAUAUCAUCUACAUAUAUUUGCACAAUAAAAAGAUCAUUUAACACUUGUUUAGUAAAAAGUGUGGUGUCCACAAUACUUCUUUUGAAACCAUUUUCAAUCAAGAAAUCACUCAAUCUUUCAUACCAAGUUCUUGGAGCUUGUUUUAGUCCAUAUAAUGCUUUUGAGAGUUUAAACACAUGACUUGAAAAUUUUAUAUUUUCAAAACCGGGGGGUUGAUCCACAUAUACUUCUUGAUCAAUAAAUCCAUUUAAGAAGGCACUUUUAACAUCCAUUUGAAACAAUUUGAAACCUUUGAAGCAAGCAAAAGCAAGAAGCAUUAUAAUCGAUUCUAAUCUAGCUACGGGAGCAAAUGUUUCAUCAAAAUCAAUUCUUUCUUCUUGUGCAUAUCCUUUAGCAACUAAUCUAGCUUUAUUUCUUACAAUUACACCUUUAUCAUCCAACUUAUUUCUAAAUACUAAUUUCGUGCCAAUGAUAGGUUGAUUUUGAGGUCUAUCAACUAGUGUCCAAACCUUAUUUCUCUCAAAUUGAUUAAAUUUCUCUUGCAUUGCCAAAAUCCAGUUUUUAUCCUUUAAGGCAUCAUUGAUAUUUUUAGAUUCAAAAAGAGAGACUAAAGCAAAAUUAUCUAUCAAUUUCUUAGAUGAGAAACGAGUCUUUACCUUCUCGGAUGGAUCACCAAUUAUAAGCUCUCUUGGAUAAUUUUGGCUAAAUUUCCAAGUUUUGGAAAGGUCUUUGAAUGAAUCAUCAUUCUUGUCUUCAUCUUCCUUUUUUUGAUCUUCAUGAGUUUCAUCCUCCAUUUCCUUUGCUUCCGGUUUAAAGUUUCCUUCAUCUCCAAUUGUUAGCUUUUUCAUUCCUUCAUGAACACCUACAUCAUCAUCCUCACACGAACUUUUGGAAUUAUCAUCACUAGUUUCAUCAAAUGUUAUGUGUAUAGUUUCUUCUAUCACAAGAGUUCUUCUAUUAAAGACUCUAUAUUCUCUUUUGUUCUCAUAAUACCUCAAAAAUAUUCCUUCAUCAGAUUUUUUUUCAAACUUACCAAGAUGUUCCUUUAAAUUCAAAAUAAAAUAUUUACCACCAAAAAUUUUGAAAUAUCCAACUGUAGGUUUCUUAUCAAAAAUCAGUUCAUAAGAUGUUUUAUUCAAAAUAGGUUUCAAGAGAAUUCUAUUUAUCACAUAACAUGCGGUGUUUACCGCUUUAGCCCAAAGAUAUUUUGGUAAAUUACAUUCACUCAACAUAGUUCUAGCAGCCUCUUGGAGUGUCCUAUUUUUUCUUUCUACAACACCAUUUUGCUGUGGAAUCCUUGCAAUAGAAAACUCAUGUGUUAUGCCAUUAUGAUCACAAAAUUCUGAAAAAUCACAAAACUUGAAUUUCGUCCCAUUAUCACUUCUAAUCCUAACAAUUUUUAAAUCAAGCAGAUUUUGCACUUUAGCAAACAAUGAAGUAAAAUUCUUGAAGGCAUCAUCUUUAUGAGUAAGGAAUAUCAUCCAAAUAUGUCUAGAAUAAUCAUCAACAAUCACAAAAUAAUAUCUCUUACCUCCCAAACUCGUAAUUUGAGUAGGACCAAAUAAAUCAAGAUGCAAGAGUUCCAAAGGUUUAGAAGUUGAUACACACUUCUUUGGUUUAAAGAAAAUUUUUGUUUGCUUCCCAAAUUGACAUGCAUCACAAAUUUUGUCAUUUUCAAAACUGAUUUUUGGCAAGUCUCUAACCAACUCCUUUUUUGAAAUUUCCUUUAGUAAUUCCAUGUUAAAAUGACAAAGUCUCCUAUGCCACAACCAAGGAUCUUCAUUUGAAGUUUUAAGACAUUGGAAGUUAGAUGAAUCAAGUUUAUCAAGAACAACAAUAUAAAUAUCGUUAAACCUCUUACCUUUGAACACAACAUUAUAUUUAGAGUCAAACACAAUGCAUUCAUGCUUUUUGAACAACACAUUCAAGUCUUUAUCAUAUAAUUGACUAACACUAAGCAAGUUAUAACCUAAGUUAUCAACUAAGAGCACAUUAUGAAUAAAAGUUUCACCAUCCUUACCAACAUCACCUAUUCCAAUUAUCUUAACUUUCACAUCAUCACCAAAUGUCACCUUUCCAUUUGAUUUUGAUUUUAGCUUUAUGAACAACGAAGGAUCACCGGUCAUAUGCCUUGAACAGCCACUGUCAAUGAACCAUUUGGACUUGUUUGAGCCUUUUCCCUGAAGAGAGAGAGUGUUUGGUACCCUUUAACUUUUGGGUCCACAAUAGUUAGCAUUGUGUCUAACUAACCACAUGCAUCUCAUUCCUUUGUUCAGAUUUCUUUUCACAUAACAAUCUCCUUUCAAAUGCCCUCUUUGACAACAAAAACUACACAUAAUGGAAGAGUCUUUAACAUGUAAUGAUUUGAUAAAUCUCAAUCCACUCCUUCUAUAUAUUGUGAAAUCAUGUGCAUUUUUUUUGUGUGCUAAUGUUCUUUCAUGAGCAGUAAGAAAGGUGAUUGACAUGUUCUUUUUGAGAUAAUCUUGUUUUCUAGCUUUUAAGGUCUCAUCCAAAUUGUUCAUCCUUUUAUUCAAAUCACCAUGUCUUUCCUUUAGUAUUUCACAAACACUUGUCUUUUUAUCAAGUUCAUUUUGAACAUCAAAUUCAGCUCUUACAAGGCACUCAUUGUCAGCCUUUAGUUGUUUAUUUUGUUGAAGAAGACUUGCAUUUUUUUGAAUGAGAAAAAUAAUUUUCUGUUUUAGUUGCUUGUUUUUAUCAUAAGAUUCCUUCAAGACAUUAUGCAAUUUUUUAACAAAUGAUUCAAGAUCAUCAUCAUCAUCAUCAUCACUUUCAGAUUGAGAGUGUAUGGAAAUUAGCUCAUUAUCUCCAAUAGCCAUGAAGGCCAUUUGAGCUGAUUCUUCUUCUUCUUCAACUUCGCCUUCGGAGUUACAUUUAUUCCAUGUAAUCUAGAAGUUGUUGAACAUUAGUUUUCGAUCAGCUUUUUCAUCUUUCUUUUUCUUUAGGGAGCAUUCGUUUGCGUAGUAUCUAGGCUGUCCACAUUCAUAGCAUUUGUCCAAUUGUUUCUUGUUGAAUUCUUGUUUUCCUUUGUUCCUUGCGUUUGAAGACUGAAUCUGGAAUUGAUUGCUAGGUCCUCCCCUUCUAAACUUUCUUUUAUUCAAGAUUCUCUUGAAACUUUUUGUGAUGAGAGCAAGAUCGUUGUCAUCACCAUCCGAGUCUUCAUGAUCCAAUUGAGCUGGAUCAUCUUCACCUUGAGCUGCCUUUAGAGCUAUGUUUCUCUUUGCUCUCGCGUCCUCUUCCUCCUGCACUUUAGUUUUCAACUUCAACUCAUAGGAGGUUAGUGAGUUAAUGAGAGAUUCAAUAGACACAGAAUUCAAACCCUUAGCCUCCUCUAUUGCAGUCACUUUACUUUCCUAUUCUUUGCCUAACGCAUUGAGAAUUUUCCUAUUUUUUUCUCCCAAGGUGUACUCUUUGCCCAACACCUUGAGACUUUGAUCAAGUCAUUAAACCUACAAUACAUUUUGUCAAUAUUCUCAAGGGGUUCUAUUUUAAAUGAUUCAUACUUUGUGACCAAGAUAGACUUUUUCUGUUCUCUCACGUUGUCACUACCCUCAUGAAUUUCUCUUAACUUAUCCCACAUUUCUUUGACAGAUUUACAUCCUUUUACUCUAAUUGAUUCAUUUGAUUCUAAGGCACUAUAAAGAACAUUCAUGGCUUUGGCAUUUAAUGUGAGAUUGGCUCUAUCUUGAGCAUUCAACUCAACUCUUAUUUUUGGUCGAAACAAACUUGUAUCUGCAUCAAGAACUUUAGCAUCAUGCGGUCCUUCAUUCACAAUAAAUCAUAGCUCAAUAUCAAUGGAUUGCAAAAAGAUAAUCAUUCUUUCUUUCCAACUAACAUAAUUGGAACCAGUAAACAUGGGAGGUCUAGUGACAGAUUGCCCCUCAACAAACAUGGCAUGAUUGGUUGUCAUCUUUACUCCAAACCGCUAGAGCUUAAUCUCAAGGAGACCAAGCUCUGACAUCAAUUGUAAGGCCUAAAGACAACCUAAGAGGGGGGUGAAUUAGGUUGAUUAAAAAUACUUUAUUCAGUUUAUGCACUUUUUCUUUAAUAAAAAUUUACCUUCUUUUCUAGUAGUGAUCAACCAAGUAAAUUUAAAGACGAGAGCAAUGUUGAUCAUAAAUGAGAGUGUAUAUAAGCAAUGAGAAUUUUAUUAAACAAAAGGAAUAAGAUAGAGUAUCAAACCGAUUGUCUACCAAGUUUUCCUCAAACUUGAAGACCAAUCACAAAGAUGAGCACCUUCUCUUUGAUGAACAAUAAUCAACUCAAUGUACAAUUGAGGGAUCACUUCCUCCUUACCCCAAGCCUCACUUAGUCAAGUUAGAAAGUUUUACUAUCACUCAGAUAACCCUCAACAAAGUUACACUAUUGAAAAUUUCAAACACAAGAGAAGUGCUUACAAGAACUUCACACUACUUGGAGAACAAAUCUUGCUUAGAAGACUAUUUUCUAGCUAAAAUAUCUCUUGAGAUCUUGUAAACGAAGUGUGCAAAAGUUCCUCCCUGGUUCAGAAUCGUUUGUAUUUAAUGGGGACCAAAAAUGGACUUCAUUAAUGUUUCUAACGGAUAGAAGGCAGAUGAAGAGUCAGCUAGCCGUUGGGGCUGUCGGACGUCCGAUAGCUUAAUCAUCGUUCGAUUCCAUCGUCCGAAAAUCAGCCAAAUUGUCGUUCGGACUUCCGAUGGAAUUUUAUUGUCUGACAGCUUCUGUGUCCGAACGUCGUCAGAGAGUCAUCAAAACUUUACGAAAUUUUUCGGACGUCCAACGCGAUCGAUGUGCGUCCGAAGCUUGCGUCCGAUCCUCCCGGACGUCCGAUAUUUCCUCACGAGCGUCCGACAGAGUUUCCUUCUUGAUGUUCUUCAUCCUUUCGGACGUCCGACAUGAGUGCCCUGUUUUUGCUUCUUCUUUUGGUUGAUUUUCUUUCCUUGACACCUUUGUAUCUGAUUCUCUGAAAAGCAAAACACUUAUAUUUGAAGAGAAUUAGAUAAAUAUUUCAAAGUGUUUUGUGAUCAUCAAAAUCAAGAAUAACAAAAGUGGUUUCAAGCUUACCAAUAGUUAGGGUUGUACUUUCUUGAAUCACUCAAUUGAGGCCAAAUUGGAGUAAGUUUCUUGAGGAUUUUCACAUCAUAUUCAUCACUUAACAUCACCGAACCACGUUGAGGUAACAAAUCUUCACCUAACUUUAUUAUUUGAAUUUUGCCAUGAUUAAAUAUUUUCUAUUUUUAGGCAAUUUUUAAUAUGUGACGUUAGGUGCAUUUAUUUGAGCUUAUUGAUGCUAUUGGUGAUUGUUAGUGAUGAAUAAAUUUUGUGAUUUGCAUUUAUUAUAUUUAUUUGGUGAAUUCUUGCUAGUUUUAUGCUUAAUUUGGCUUGGUGACAAAACUGCAUAUUAAGUGGCCAAUGUAGCAUUUUAAUUAGCUUAGUGGGAGUUUUUGAUAUUCAUGUGAGUAAUUUAGAUUACCUAAUGAAUAAAAAGAUGCUUGAUUGAAUGAUUUCUUGAAUUCUUAGGUAAUUCUAAAAGAAGAGGUGAAUUGAAGAUGGCCUUAAUUGAUGAAAUUCAUAAAUGCACUUACAAUUUUUGUGGUUCAAUAGUUUUUAGUAUUUCAUGAAUUUUCACAAUGGUCAUUUAUAUUUUGGUUUGGUGUGUUUGCCUCCAUUUUGAGAUUACUUUUGUACUUAAGGGGAUUUGAUCAUUGAUAACAAAAUGUAUAAAUAGAACCUACUUUGCUCGUGAUGGUGCAUUUAUUGUAUGAAAUUAGCUUCCCUUUGGUUUGGAUACUAAUGCAUAUAUUUGAUUAGCAAAGAUUAGCUUAUUUUAUGUUUUUAUCCCAUGAACAUCGUAUGGUUCCACAUGCUUGAUCAUUUUUCCUUUUUCCUUGUCUUGCAUGUUUUCUUCUUGUUGAUUGCAACUUUUUAUUUUUAAGAAAUUUAUUUGUUUUGAUUUUGUCUUUUUCAGGGUGCAAUAAGUGAACUCUCCAUUCUUUCUUAAAUACGGUUGAAAAUUCAUAACAUUGCCAUAAGGGGAGUAUUUUCUUUUACUCUUUAUUUAUUUUCCUUUUCUCACAUUGAGGACAAUGUGAAGUUUAAGUGUGGGGGAGGAAAAUAUUGAACUUACAUUUACUUGCUAGGUGAUGAUAUUUUGUGGAUUUAAAUAUUUAGAAAUGUUGGAAUUAUGUUUGAAUUAUUUGUCAUGUGGAUAAUUUGCUUGAAAUUGGAUUUGUUGGCAGGGAGUUUCGUCCAUUUAUAAGAGGAAACUCUGUCAAAAUUUUUCUAAAAUCUUUUUCAAUAUUUCAUUAUGACCCAAAAAAAAUCUUUGCAUUUUUAUUUUAAAAAAGGGCUAAAUUGUUCCAACCUUAAGUGUUUAAUUCUUCCAAUUGUUGAAACUUUAUGUGUAUUUUGAAAGGUUUAGUCCUCAUUUAACUUGGAAAUGGUUAUUACGCAAUUAGGAUUUUUGCAUUUGAGAAAAUAUAUUUGGUAAAGUAAGGAAAAUUAUGCCUAUAAUUUUACAUGUUUAAUGAGAUUUCUUCUCUUUACUUAAUUUUGCAAGUAAGUGAUUGAUAUAGUCGAUAAAGGUUAUAUUCCUCCUUUGAUUAUUCUUAUAUAUUUUCUAAGAGGGAAUACCUAUUUAUUGUCCUUUAUUUCUUAAAAAGAAAAAAAAGUAGAAAGAAAAGAAAAAAAAAGAGAAAAGAAAAGAAAGUAAAUAAAAAUUGUUCUACUCCAAUGAUUCACAUACCGAAUAAUCGGGGGUUGGCAUCUACAAAUGUCGACAUUCGCGUAAAAAGGUACUUGAAUUAAGAGUAUGCAUUAGCAACUUGAAUAAGUGAAAUGUUGAGUAACCGGGGAUCUUCACCUAAAAGUGUCGAUUUUCGCGUAAAAAGGCUAUUUAAGUAAAAUUUGUGUGAAUAAAUCCCUCUUAGUUAUAGAAUUUUGAGAAAAGAUGAUUAUAAGGAGGAGGAAGGCUAUAAAUUGACUAUGUAAUUUGCUUAUUUGUAAAAUUAAAUUAGGGUAAGAGAUUAAGUUUAACUUGUUGAAUUUAGGGUAUAAUUAUCUUUCCUUUACUUAAUAUUAUGAGUAUUUAGUGUAAUUUGAAUAAUGAUAUAAUGAUUAUUUUCCAAGUCUUGAGGAAUUAAAUUGGACAAAGUGCAUAUAUUGUUUCACCUCUUGAAUCAUUGUAGUUGAUUAUGUGUGAAUUGCUUGAGGACAAGUAAUGAUUCAAGUGUGGGGGAGUUUGAUAAGUGACUAAUUUACGUAAUAAUUAUAUGAUAUUUUAUAUUAUUUUUAGUUACUUUAGUUAUAUUAUUGGAAGAAAAUGAAUCAUUUUGGUUAUAAUUGGUGAAAAAUGCUUUUAAGUAAUUAAAUGAGGUUUUUAUCACUUUUUAGUGGGAUUUUGUGUAUUUUGACAGUUUUGACAUAUUUUCAUAUUUCGGCUAUAACUUGAGUUACAGUGAUCGGAUUGAAAUGAUUCUUGAACCAAUUUGAAGAUAAGAGAUAGAUCUACAACUUUGGUGAAGACAUCUAAAUCCAGUUUGAAGGUUUUCAAAGUCAAAAAGCUGAAUUACAGUAGCAAAUUUCUACUGGUCGAAGCUGAAACAGGGCAAUGAGCAGGCAAGAAUAUUUCAGUCAUUUCUCAGCCUACACAGAUCCAAAUGAGGUGAUUCUUGAUGCAUUGGAAAGCUGACUCAAGGGGCUACAAGUUUCAUGUUUUGGUCAAGAGUUAAAUCAGUUUUUAUCAUCAAGAAAUGUUCAGUGAAAAUUGAUGCAAAAUCGGAGCAGAGCUGGAAAUUGAACCAGAAGUGACCAAAUGGUCACCGUAGCAAUCCGGCCGGAAUUUGGCCGGAUUUGUGGCCGGAUUGUGGUCAGAAAAGGCUGCUUUGUACACGUAAAACUCAAUUUCACCUCCACCAACUCACAUGUAUGCUAGACAUGUGAGAAACAUUUCCAGCUGUAAAAGGGAAGUGUAGACCUCAAGUUUUGACCAAUCUUUCAUCUUUAUAUAGUCAAAUUCAUUGCAAAACAAAGGGAGAUGGAGAGACAUACGGGAGAAGCUUGAAGUUGCAGAAAUGUAGCUCUUUCAUCUUCCUAGUGUUAGUUUAGCUUAGUAUAGAGUAGGAUAAUUCAUCCAUUCUUGUUAUUAGCUAGAUAAAAAAGAAGAUAGAGGAUGAAGAAGGCAAGGAAGAAAGCUCAUGUGACAAGGGUUGUAUUCCUUCCAAACUCUUUAUCUUUUAUACUUGAUUUAAAGUUUUGUUAAUAUACAAGUUCUGGAUUUUGUGUUCAUUAUGUGUCUUUAAAGUUUAUACCUUGGGUUUGGUUGAACUUUCUAUGAUUGUUAGUGUUUAUUAUUUGGUUAUUUGAUUGCUAUGAUUUGAGCAAGUUAUUUAGCACUUUGGCUCUUUAAAUCAUGAUUAAUCUGGUACCAUUGAUUGUGAUUAUCUAAGGUGUUGUUUCUGCAAUGAAAAUUGAGAUUUAACACUAGUUCAAGAAGUGCUAAACAUAGGGAGUACACUCACGAAAGUAGAAGUGCACCUAUGUGGUUUUUAGUGAUUCAUUUCAUAUAAUUUUAUUGAAGAAAUGAACUUGUAGCUAAUUUCAUAAUCAUGAAAAUAGGUAUGGAUUAGUUAUGAGUAUAGUUGAUUCACUACGAAAGUAGGUUUCACAUGUUUAAGGAAAUUACACUAGAAUUAGCCCAGAUAGUAGUGCUCAAUGAUCCAAAAAUGGCAAUUGCAUGAGUAGUUAGGGAUACCACAACCUAAGGAGCUUUUAUUUGUCAUUUUGUAUAAUUUCAGUAGGUUAAAUUUGUUAUAAUUCAUUGAUAGUCUAAAUAAUAGAGAAGCUUUAGUAAUACCGGUAAUUGUUCACUCUUCCCUGUGGGAUCGACCCGAUAUAUACCCUAAACUACUAGUUGACCUGUAUACUUGCAGUGAACGGGUGUAAUUCGGUUUUUUAACUUGCAUGUAUGUAAAAUACCCGUCAAAAUACCAUCAAAAGUAUCCUAUCAUAGUCAUAAAAAUAUUAUUAUAGUUGUUUAUCAAAUAUUAGGUAUGGACAUGAAAAUUUUGGCACAUUUUUCUUAUAAUUAUACUAGAUAAUCUUAUAAUUGUAUAGGGAAGUAAAUUAAAACUCAUUACACAAGGGUAUUUUUGGUUAUUCAUUUAAAAAUUUGACCAAGUCAAUAUUAUUUUAAGGUUUUGUUACUAAAACUAUCAAAUCAAGGGAAGUAGGUGUAAUUUUCCAAAUCUCAAGGGAGCUCAAUGAAAUUGUUAGAAACCUCUAGGGAGGUUUUUGUAAUUAUUCCAAAAAUAAAUGUCAUGUGAGCAAUCCAUUAUAUGUUUUCCAUCCAUCUUAACGGCCAAAUUGGACGGAAGGACUAUAAUUGCACAUUUUUAUUAAUUGGAGGAUUACAUUUAUGCACUUAUUAGUUGGAGGGCUAAAAAUGCGUAAAGUUAAAAAUUUAAGGACCACCGCAGUUUUUUGCCCUUAUUUAAAAUUAGUCUAUCUAACAAAUAAUGAUUAUUAGUGUAUGUUUAUAUAUGAUAGAUUGGAUGAAAUAUAGGUUCAUUAAUAAGUGGCCUUUUGAUAUCAGUUGAAAUAAUACUUUGAUCUAAAUUUUAAUUAGAAACCAUGGCACAAUCAUCUGAAAUAGAAUGGCGUAGUAGAGGUCUUGACUCCAACAAGCAAUGCUUCCUUCUCGGUACUAACACUGUGAAUUGAACCCUCCUCAGAACCACAAAGCAUAUGCCUUUUUUUCAAUUAUAAAUUAUUCUUUUUUUUUAAUUUUACUCACAAAUUAUUCUUAAAGUUUAAAAAAAGAAGAAGAAGUCUCCACCCCUAACAUUCAUGCAUAUGUCUCGUACUAAUAAAUAAAUAAAAAAAAGUCCAACUCUGAUUCCCGUCCAAAACCAAAUUCCGCCAUGUCAACUACUUCCAUAAAAAAUAAGAAUGCCCAAAUACCAAUUUAGGGGGCGCUUGGUUCAAGUUUAGGAAUUGGAAUUGUAAUUGGAAUCAUAGACUCUGGUUUUGGAAUUAAAACUUUUCAUUCCAAUAUCUUGCUUGGUUCACACAUUGGAAUUAGCAUUAUUCCAAUUCCUGAUGCUUGGUUUGAUGAGUGUUUCGGAAUUAAAUGCAAUUAAAUUCCAAAUUUACCCCUGAUAUAACAAUUCUUCUAAAACAAAAGAAUUACACAUACGACAAAUUAACAUUUUCAUAAUUGUAACUACAAUAGUUAUUAACUUUUUGAUAAAACAUAAGAAAAUCAUAAAUAAUAAAAAAAUUAAUACCAGAAAAUAAAUAUAGUGGCUGCAUUAACAAGGAGUAAAUUCCCAAAAAAAGAAGUUUUUAAACAAUCACCCAAAAGGUGACGAUUUUUGAGUCUCUUCCCAAAGGGUGAAAAAUGCAUCCAAGGAAUGUGUUCUUCCAAAUAACAACGCAACUUUCAAAUACGUUAUUUUAUGUUUUGGAAAUUUAUUUAAAUAUGAAAAAUUGGUUAAAUAGCCCAUAAGAUACCAGUUCUUUAUGGAAAACUGGCAGGCUUUGUACCAGCUUUAUGGAAAAAAUUGAUUAAAUAGUGCCCAAAGGAAAACUAGUAUGUUUUGUAUUUAACAUAAAUUAAAUAUGUGAAAGUUAAAAAAACAAAAUUGCCCAUAAGAUACCAGCUCUUUAAGGGAAACUGACAGGUUUUGUAGUAUGUUUUGUACCAACUCUUUAUGGAAAACAUACCAACUCUUUAUGGAAAAAAUUGAUUAAAUAGCGCCCAAAGGAAAACUAGUAUGUUUUGUAUUUAACAUAAAUUAAAUAUGUGAAAGUUAAAAAAAAAAAGAAAUUACUCAUAAGAUACCAGCUCUUUAUGAGAAAUUAGCAGGUUUUGUAUUUAAUACGCUAUUUAACCAAUUUUUUAUAUUUAAACAAAUUUACGAAAAUUAAAAUAACGUAUUUGAAAGUUGCAUUUUUAUUUGGAAGAACGCAUUUCUUGAAUGUGUUUUUCACCCUUGGGGAAGAGACUCAAAAAUUGCCAGCCUUUAGGAAGUUAGUUUAAAAACUCUUUCUUUUUGGAAAUUUACUCCAUUAACAAGUCAUUUGUGGUUCCUAUAUUAGAUAAUGAUAUGAAAUAGAUCUCUCCUUACAUAUAUGAACAAAAGAAGGAGACUCAAAUCACAAAAGCUAACCAUACCAAAUACAAGUCAAUUGUCUAAUCCAGUCGAGAGUGCCACUCAAUGUCCACAAUCUCCAAAAGACUAAUCAUAUAACCAUCUAACAAUCACCAUAACAAAAAGAAAUUGCCAUCAAAUCAUCACUUUCCAGCUAACAAUAAUUUUACUUCAGCGAGUAGAUGGAGGAUAAAGGAGGUUAAUUACAUAUUGUCGUUUCAUUUCUGCAGGAAGAUUGUAGAACACAUGAAGCUUGGAAAUCUGCUCCGAAAGUAUGUCGGCUGCAUUCAUUACAUCUCCACUCGGUAAAGCAAGUUUCAUUAACUCAGCAACAACUUGAUCUCUUCUAUCGGAGACCAAUUGCUCACGUUUAUCCUCAUUUGACAUGGCUGCUGCCAUAGUUGUGAAAUUAGCUUGAAUUCCCUCCACGAAAUCUCCAAAUUUGCUGGUGAGAAGUUGCAAUGAUGCAUCAAGAUCACCCCUUGUUGUUGAUGCAGAUUUCAUUUUUUUUGACACAUUUGCAAUGGGAGGGGAUUGUUUCUUUUGUUUCUUGGAAUUUCUUGUACUUGUUGAGCUUGGUUGAGUUGAUUGCUCUAUGGAAUUUACUUCAUCUUCUUCUACCUUAUCAUUAUCCGAGUUUGACAUAGCAUCAAGCCCUUCAUGUCCUUCCUCCAAAUUUUGGACAUCUUCCAUAUCUUGGACAGCUUGUGCAAAAUCUUCAGCAACAUUUCCAGUGGCUCUGUCUCUUCCAUAUACAAUUUCAAGAUCUCCUAAAUAUGGAAAUUUGACAUCCCAAAGGCCCUUCGCAUCCUUAUGAGUCUAGAGAUAGAAUAGAAAGAUAAAUGAUAAUCUUAAUAAAAGGUUGAAAAAGAACAUAUCAGAAUGUAAAAAGUAAUCAAUUUCUUACCUUGCACCAAUCAUCAUACCACUGUUUUUCACAAGAAAUCUUUUUCUCAGCAUCAUUCCAACUACAACCACUUUCUUUGCACAUUUCAACAAUUGCAUGGAACCUAUUUUUCAGCCACUUAACUUUUGAUUCAAUAUGUGGGCUGACUUGUUUGGUAAAAGUAGGUUGCUUACGCAAGAUAAUUUUAAGCAAUUCGCUCAUAUAAUUAUUUUUAAAUCCUCCAUCUGAUUUCCACAUUGGAUCACAAGCCAACUCUUGCAAUGAUUCUAUGAGCACUUUUACCUCUUCACCAGUCCAAAAACAUUUAUUUUUCCCUCUUCCACGUACAAUUUCAUCAUUCUCCAUCCUAUCAUUUAGAAGUCAACCCAUAUAUAUCAAUUAAUUUUGAUACACAAUAGCAUAUAACUGAAAUUUAUAAUAUAACAAAACACAUAAAAGAACAUACAAUUAAAAGUCAAUCCAAAUUUAAAAGAACAUACAUCAAGUGUCAAUCUAAUUCACAAAUCCACUACAAGAGUACAUCAAAUGUCAAUCCAAAUUUAAUGAGUCUAAGAGCUAAACAUCCAUUCAUAGCUAAAUACUAAGUCCAGCCCUCCAAUUGUCAAACAUUUCAUGUGCUAAAUUAUUUCUAAAAUUUGCCCAUUGAUCACUUGGCAAAAUAGUGGAUAUGCACUCUACUUCUUCAUCACUGUCUUCAUCUUCACUUUCAUUUUCUUCACUUUGUAGUAAUUCUUUGGAUCAAAAGUCAUGAACUUCCUUAUCAAGUUGUGCAGCAGACAACAUGCCAUAAUUAUUCGCACUUGUGUUUGAAUUGGAAAAAAUGAAGGGGAUGCUAGAAUCUUCCACCUUCCUUUUAGCAAUCCAAAACAUCUUUCUAUGAUUAUCAGAUAAAAAUAUUUUUUCCGUCUUCUCUUUUCAAUAGGCAAACGUGGCAUCUUUGUCUACAUAACAAUAUGACAACCAAACGUAAGUAUUCACCAAACUAGAUUACGGCAUCAAAAUCUUCAAAUGCAUUAAACAUCAAUUGAUCUUAUUAAAAGGGCCUAGACAUGCAUCAUACAUCCGUAAACACAAUGAUGUAUAGAUAUAAAUAAGCAUAAACAAAUGAAAUUGAUGGUUGAAACUUGAAAUCCUAAUGUACGAAUAACUAUGAAACUGAAAGCUAUUCAAGCAGACAAUUUUACAAACAGGUACAGGGCAUGUAGAAACCCACCCAAACUAUACCAGUAUUCACGGAUCAAAUAACCAAAAGAUCAAGAAUUGAUUGACCUCCAUUGAAUGCGUAAUCCAAGAAAACACAUUAAAACCAUAAAAAUGACAAAUCUAGUGACAUUAACAUUUAUCUCACCAAAAAAAAGAACAAAAUAAUGUAUUUGUUGAAGUAAGUGAAUUAAAAUACAUGUAUUACAACAAAAUACAUGGAUUAAAAACAUGUAUUAUUCUCACCAAUAAUAGUGUAUUUGUUGCGGAAAUAAUUUCUUAUUGGAUUUUGUGACAAAAGAAUAUGAAUUCAUGGAAGGAAGACUUUUUGCAAAACUGACAGAUUGUGUAGCGUGAGUGGAAUAAAAGUGAGAAGGUGAUGGGUCCAGAGCAUAGCAUUUUGGUCCAGUUAGUGUUAUUGUAUCAGAUUCCCUUAUUUUCUUCUUUAUUUUCAGCUACCCAGUGAGUAGCCUGAAAAAACAGAGAAGAAGAAAGAGAAAAGCUUGCAUACGAAAAGAAAAUUGCAGAGGCAAGGGAGUUUGUAAUCCACUGACCUGGGAUCAAGGAAUUCACCCUAGUAGAAGACUCUUCAACUCUAGAAUUCGUUGUCCAAGGAGAGUCGAAAGCCACUGAUCUUUAUGGUUGUCCAAUCGGUGAAGUAGAAGAGGUAGAAAAUCUGAUGAAGAAGAAGAACAGAAGGUGCGGCGUGUAAUGAAAAAAAAAAGAGGGUAGGUUCGUCAUAAAUGUUUUUGCUCGGGAAUGAGUUGAGGGUUUUGUCCAAAACCUCCCAAUUUACUCAGGAAUGGUGAAAGUCCGAUUUUUUAGAAAUGAUUCCAGAAAUUGCAUUCCAAUAGACUUAACCCAAGCAACAAAUAAGGGGUUCAUUCCAUUAUUUGAUUCCCAAACCCUUUAACCAAGCAGCCCCUUAGUUAUCCAAUCCUAUAACAGAAAGCCCAAGUCAAAACAAUUGAAAAACCCACCAUCCCACCGUCACCUAUUGACCUUUUGUUUUAAAUUAAUUAUGCUUUUUCCCUUAAAAGGAUAACCAAGCAAAUUCCAUAUCCUAUCCUGUGUAACUUCUUGAUUUUCGUCUAGUAAAUUUCUAUAUAAAAUUUUGUCCUAAGAUAAUUUUAUUUGCAAUGUUUCAUCAAUUCAUCUACCCAAGCCUCCAGCAUUCAGUUUAGCUAUUGGGCAAAUCUUUUGUUUUUCUAUGUUUCGUUUUGAUGGAAGACAAAAAUUGACUUUUAGAUUUUCUUGGUUACAACUUUCUUUAUAUAUUCAUUCAAAGAUGAAACUUUUAUUUUGUGCGUUUAAUAUAUAUAAAUUAAAUGAAUUUGGAUCUUGGGUGUCAUUAGAUUACAUUUAUAAUAACAAUAAUUUUCUUGCCUCUGUUGGUUUAAAAUUUAGUUAUCCUUUCCUCAUUAGUCCGAUAAAUUGUCAUUUUAGAUUAAAUAAAAUUGAUAAUUACUUCUUCUAUUUUUCAAUUAGAUAAACUUCAAUGUUUCUGUUUUGUGUUAAUGAAUAUAGUGAAUUUAACUAGUUCUGCUGCAAUGAUUAGGAGAACUAAAAGAAUGGUUUUAGACAAGGUUAUAGUUAUUGAUAAUAUAAAAAAAAACUUGUCAAUAGAAUAAACUUUUGAAAAUCAUUAUGAAACAUUUGCGGUUGCUUUAGAUGAAAAAGCAAAAGCUUUAGAACUUCUAAAACAUAAAGCUUGCACUUAAUUAUACUAGUGAUUUUUCAGGUUAAUUAGUAACUUAUUGAGAUUUGAGUAUUUUGUAACUAUCGGGAGCAAGAAAAUUGAAUAAAAGGACACUUGAAACAAGUGUUGAACCUGGAAGCUUUGAAGCUUUUUAUUUUAUUUUUUAACUUUUUAUGGAUUUUUUUAGUGUAAGUCCACAUUUUUAUGCUACUUCAAAUAGUCAACAUUUUCCAAAUAUUACGACUCUUCCGAAAUUCAACUAAGACAAAAUUCCUAGAGCUAAAAAUCAAUUAAAAUAUAACCACUAAAUUUAUUUCAACGUUUUGAAUGUUUUUUGCUCAUUUAAUAUCGAUUUAUUCCUUUUUUAAAAAUAAAGUUAUACUCAAGCUUAGUUGCCCUAUAACAAAUUGUUGGCACCGCCACUGCUCCAUCCCACCUUGAUUUCAAAUGCAAUGUGCUACUUCAUGAGUUUUUUAUAGAACUAUUUACAAUUAGUUAAGAGGGACCAUUGAUGUAGAUACAAAACAAAGUCCACUUAAUUUCUCAGGAUAAAUACAGCAAAGGGUUUGAAGCCGUUCCCUAUUGGUAUCUAUUGAUAGUUUAUUGUGACGCAUGUCAAGAAAGGAUAGGUUGCUGUUUAGAGCUCGAAGGAAUUUCAAAUAUUGAGAUUAGUGACGGUGACGGGGGUUGGUGUGGGCCGAAGUGUAAUCGAAUCGGGCUGAGCCUUAUUUUUAACGUGCUCAAUGAUGUUGCAAACUCGGGUUCGAAAUGAACAUUGAGCUGGAUAUGAGUUUCAAUUUUAAGCUUGAUUUUCCACUCGAUGCAAUAUUUUGACUGUCGUUAUGCUCGAAAAUUUGAUUGACUAUUUCUUAAAGGUUCGGUCCUUUUAUUACGUGCACUUAGGAGAUUGGAUAAGUUACAAGAUCUUAUAUGUUUAAUAGGCUCUCCAAUUUUCUAGUUUGAUGACGAUCUUGAAAGUGCAAAAUCAUGAAAAUGUCAAACCUUCAUCAUUUAAACCGAAUCUUCAGCCAUGAAUUCUUCUUGUUUUCAUCAUUAAAUUUUCAGGAUUAUAUGCUUUAGAACAUCAUCAUAAGGUACCACAGAGUAUUCUUAAAGAUUCUAAUGUAAAACAAUAACAAAGAUUUCCUUCUCUUUCUUUUCCUCCUCCAAUUCUCUCUCUCUCACCCACAGCAAGAAAGCAUAUAUUAUGGCCUAGUACUUAGUAGUGUAGUGGGUGGGUCCCUCUUUAGAUUACUUUCGGACCGAUUUAACGGUUAACUCUCGUGCUUAGUCUAAUUAAGUGUGUGUGAGUUUAUUUCAGUUUCUGAAGAAAACUUAGUGGUGUAGUGGGGAUUUUUAGGUUGGUCAUCACUUAAGUUCGAAUAUGGGGAAAGAGAAUAUUAGUUCCUUUUCAUUCUUGAUAAACCCUUUUUCUUUAAGUUCUUUUUUAAUUUAUAAAAUCUAUUCUUCUUUUCCCUUUUUUGGGCCUCAUAAUUGUAAUUAAUAUAUAAAAAUAAAAAUUAUUUCCAUUUGAUAAUUUGAGCAUUUAUGAAAUUAAAACACUAAUAGGCCCUAGAAGAACGCAGCAUGUUAUAAUUACUAAACAGAAUAAAUAUCUAAACUAGAUGCAAGAAUUUUAAGAACAACAUGAACGUGUAUGCCGAAAAUAUACAUAUGUUGUUAAUUUGGGUGAUUUCGAUAAGGAAAAUACUGAAUGAGAUAUGAAUCCUAUACCAUAAUUUCUUAACACGAAUGAAAAAUAAUAUAAAUAAAAAAGCAAUGCUAAAAAAUUAAUUUUAAACUUGAUGAAUUUUUUAAAACAAAGCAACGCGGAAUUGGUCAUUAAUAAAUGGGUAGACGUUGCUUUCCUUGAGGGUUCCUUUGAAUUAAUCAAAAGAAGAUUAAGAAAUGUAAAUCAGUUUGACAAAAUGGUGAACACGUAUGUACUGCAAAACAAGUAGUUGGACAGUUUAUUGGCAUUUUUUACAACGAAAAUUAUUGGAAAGUUCCAAUCCAAUUAAAAUGUAACAGACUUUACGGGAUUUUAUGGUAAAUUACAUCUAAUCCCCCUGGAUUUUUAUAUUACUAUGUGAUCUCCUUUAUAUUUCAAAAUAUCCACAUAAACCCCUAUUGUUUAGUGUAAUAUGAAAAAUAGAUGGAAAGCGCCAAUGUUAUAGUGAUUGAACCAGGUGUGCUCCAAAAAUGCGUGUGGUGAAUUAAUAAUAUCCACUUAAUGCCCCUACAAUUUAUAUGAAUAUCCACUUUAACCCUCUAUAAAUUUUGUAUUUAUCCACAUAAUUCUUUUAUAACUUUGUACAAGGUGGUCUAACUGUUGUUUGAUUUAAUACCUAAGUAAGGGCAAUAGUAGAAGUUCAACUAAUAGUGUAACAUAAGAUAUUUUUUUUUUCUGUAAAAUUUCUAUUUUAUAUGAAAUCAUAGAGGGUUUAUAUGAAUAUUGAAAACAUUAGGAGCGUUAUGUGACAAUCAAUGAAUCUAUAGGGGAUUAUGUGUGUAAUUUAUCCUUUUAACUGUAUAUACAGAACUUUUUCUUAAAAGUGUUGAACUAGUUGGGUAGAGAUUCAGUUUGGGUCCACUUUACUCAAUAGAGCAUUAGUCAAAUGCCAAUUUCCUCCACGAUGACGUUGUCUGAUAUUUGUUAGCACCCUGAAAUUUGCAACCCGGUCAAAUUCCAUUACUUUUUUUUUUUUCAACGGUCAAAAUCUAUUACUGACGUUUGAAUUUUGGUUGGAGACCAUUCAGCUAAUGGUUCACGUCCAGGCGACUUGGUUGACCGACUUGCUAAAGUAAAGUCAUCCUAUAGGCUAAUCAUUUUCGGGGCGUGUACAACUUUCAUGAUCCCUCAACCAAAAUUUUGGCUCCUAUUUUACAGCUGUAAUUUGUGGAUAUUUAGCCUUUUAUUCUUUUGAUGCCUGCCUUUGACAUGAUCUCCAGAAAUUUGUUGUUCCACUUCCAUUAUUACAUGCUUUGUUUGCUUAUUAGCUUCCAUACCAAAUUCACUAGCCCCGUUAAUUUUCUUUCGUCUUACUGUGUAAAUACUACAUACAACCCUAACAGCACUACCGGCAGCAUUUACAGAACCAAUCUGUAUUCCGUGCUUUUCGCUCUAUCUUCAAAUGCAUCUCGGACAGACACCGGUGGUUUCUACAAUAUCAGUACUGGCAAUGACCCUUCUAACACGGUCUAUGGCCUCUUUCUCUGUCGAGGCGAUGUCAGCACUGACGUUUGCAAAGAAUGCGUAGCAAGUGCCACCACAAGAGUAUUUCAAGAGUGCCUGAAUCGAAAGGCUGCUAUUGUUUGGUAUGACGAGUGCUUGUUACGUUUUUCUAACGAGACAAUCUUCUCCAAGGUUGAUUCCACAGCUGGUGUGUUUCUGUACAGUGUACAAAAUGUCACUGGUCCAGGAUGGUACGCCUUUACAAGGGUAUUGGUAGAUUUGUAUAACACUGCGUAUCAGGCUGCAAAUGACACCCGGGGCAAAAAGUUUGCUUUUCAAGAAGGCAACCUUACCACUUUUCAGAGAUUGUAUACCCUUACACAGUGCACACCAGAUCUAUCUGCAGAUGACUGUGGAAGCUGUCUCUCAGAGGCUAUAGGAUGGCUGCCCACUUGUUGUACCAUCAGAGUGGGAGGCAGAGUUUUCCUUCCAAGCUGCAAUAUUAGGUAUGAGCUCUACCGCUUCUACAAUAGUGCAUCCCCUGCACCACCGCCUUUGUCAAACUUACAUUCCUUCACUGGUGCUCCUCCUCCUAGUUCCACUAAAGGUAUGUUCUGGAGUCUUGCUCUGACCAUUUUUUUUCCCCAAGUGUUAAAAACAGACUUAAUUCUUACAAUUUUUGUUUUGCUUGCAUUGAAUUAUGGAUCAAAAAUGAAAAUGAAAGGGCUAUAUUCGCAUAACUUUAGUUUAAAUCCACACCUUUGAUACAUUUAUAAUUGGUGUGAAUGAUAGUUGAAUUUGUACAAGGCGUAAAUCUCACCAUUGGGAUAAGCACAUCAUACUGAUCAUAGCACUCAUGAUUUGUCAUUUCUGGUGGAAUUUUAAGCGGACUUAUACUUCCUAAGACAGUAAUUAUCUACAUACUUAGCCUUUUUGCAAACAUUAGAAUUGUAAUUAACUAUAGAAUAUAUAUUGAAAUAAUAGCGUGGUCGCCAUUGUAGAAUCCCUUAGGUAUGAUAGCUUGACUUGCGAAACUGGGUUGGGCUUCUCUCCAUUACGUUUCCUUUAGUUUUCCAUUCAUUUAUCCAAUUGACGAGGUCUCGCCUUACACCAAAUUUAAUAAUCUAAUUACCUCGAAUUCUGCAAGCAUAUAGUUUGUUUAAUGAGUAUAGGAGGUAUUACUAUUUUCGAUCUCAUGAGGGGCAAAUUUACAAUUACUAAGACUUUUUCACUUGCUCUAUUAUCUAAAUAGCCUCAAAUAUAGAAAAUAUAAAUUGAAGGUAAGAAAAAUAAGUAAACUAAGGAAAAUCACAAGAAUGGAAGAAUCAACUAAGCACAAGUUAUAGGGAAUAGAAUCCACUCUUUGCUCUAAACCCCGGUGAAUCAGGUAAAAUAUCACUUUUAACUCUUGCCUUGUGAGAUCAUUUUCUAACGCACUUGAAACUCACUCUCCCUAAUGAAUCAAGUUUUUACCAAAACUAGACUCUCCAACUUUGUGGUGAAGUUAUUAGAUUUAGUUCAUGAAGAUGCAUGGAAAAAGUUAAGAAAAUCCACCUAAAUGUACCACCGCCUAUGCCAAACUUAAAUUUUAUUAUUGGCCCUGCUCCUUGUCCCUCUAAAGGCGUGUUCUGGAACCUUGCUCUGGCCCUUUUUUUUUUUUCCUGGUGGAUUAAAAACAGAGUUAAUUCUUACAAUUUUUUUUUGUUUGUAUUGAAUUUUGGAUCGAAAAUGAAAAUGAAAGAGCUGUAUUCACAUAACUUUAUUUUAGAUCCACACCUUUAAUGCAUUUGUAAUUGAGAUUAACAAUAUUAGAUCUACAUAUCAUGAGUGUGGAAUAAUUGUCAUGAGUGUGGAUUUUGUAGAAUUUUAAGUGGACUUAUAAUUCUUAGGACAGUAAUUAUGUACAUAUUUAGCUUUUUUGCAAGCAUUAGGACAUUAAUUGACUAUAGAGUAUAUAUUGAUUUAAUAGUAUGGUGGCCAUCGUAGAAUCCUUUAGGUAUGAUGGCUUGAUUGGGCUCCUCUCCAUUUCGUUUCCCUUUAGUUAUUCAUCCAUUUAUCUAAUAUACGGUUUUUAAAACUCAUAUUAUUAUGUUAUUAUUUUAUUUUGAUUGGUUCAUCAGCAUAAAUAAAGAUAAAGUCCAUUUGACAACGUUUUUGCAUUCAAUUUGCAAGAAACAAUUAAACCAGGACAAAAGAGUUUAAGAUCAUGGAAAAUUUUGUAAUGAUUAAUCGAACAUCAAUAAUUUGUUAAUUCAAAUUUAACUUUUGUGUAUAACUGAAAUAGUUUAUGAGGUAUAUUAUGUAUGGUGUUGAUUUGCAAAAUUAACUUCAAAAUGAAAUUAUCAUGGCGUAAUGCUAAGAAGAACUCACUUUUGUUUCUCCAAAUUUAGACAAGGACAUUGAAGAAGAUCAAGGAUUUGUGCUAUGCAUGUAAAAGUUUCUCCAUUAUAGUGGAAUACAUUUUUUCCACUAGUUUGAAAAUAUUAAAAUAGGUAAAUUAAUUUUACUCCUUUGUGGUUUAAUGUUUUGCCAUGCAACCCCUUGUCGUUCCGAAAUUGCAAUAUUACCUUGUGCUUUUGUGAGAGGAGCCAUUGAGUUUUUCUUUGUUUUGUGACAAAACUAGUUGUCAAGAUACAGAAUAAUUAUUAAGUGCUAAAGCAGGAUAAAUUUCAUACUUUAGGGAGUAAAGCAUCCAAAAUUAAAAUUUAAGGAUUAGAGUUGUAGAGAGUCCAUAAUUUAAGGCUCCAAAUUGAAAAUUAGCCAAGAAAAAAAGUACAAAAUAUAUAUUAGCAAUGAAAUCAACCAAACACCAUAUUUACCCUCUUUAAAUUUGAUUUAACAAAAAAAAUCAGUUAUCUACAUUGGCUUGGGUUAAGAUGAUAAUUUCAAAAGCAUAAGGAGAUUAAAAGGUGAAACAUUAAAUCAUUAUGGUAAAAGGUAUUAUUACAAUUCACAUUAAUCAAACAAUUAAUUACAUUUGUCUCACAAUGGAUCUGCUCUCUCUACUCCUUGUGCCACUUCUUGUCCUAACCUUCUAUAGUAUGUCUGCAUGAACAUCCUUUUUUAACCCUGUUUUUGUCCUUGAGUUUCUACUAUGACUAACAGGGUUAAAAAAAAGAUCAAAAUACAACAAAUAAAACCAGUAUAUGAUAAAGAAAUGAAAAAUAUAUAUCUACUAAAAAACUCGUAAAAAUUUGAUUUUUUUAAUUAAGAUUUGGCAUUUUAGUCUAUUAUCAUUUUUUUUACAUAGUUAGUGGUUCUUGGAAUUCUAAAGAAGAAAAACAAGAGUUAAAAUAGGUUGUUUAUGAAGGAUAUACGACAAUAUAAUACAAGAUGGGACCUAGAGUAAGCUAGGAAGUGAUACUAAAACUUAAGUGCAUUCAUCUCCCUUGAAAUUUGGCCAAAUUAUAAGUCAGACCUAUUGUACAUGUAUUUCCAUGAAAUUUGACCAAAUUACCAAUCAGACUUUAAAGUUUGAUCACCGUACUAAGUAACCCUAAGUAUUGAUAAUGGGGUGAGAGACUGGCAGGAUUGCAGGUUAAUCGCGCCAAGCUUCUCAUUGCCCAGAUCAGGACAGGUAAGCUUGGCCUCAUCUGAGCUUCAAAAAGGCCCUCUAUGGUGGCACUUAUAACCUAUAUAUGUUUUCAAAACUCAAACCGGCAAGCGACUCAACUGAGCUCAGGGUCAAUCAAAUCGGAUCGGUAUUAAAAACCGAAUGAUAUCAUAAAUAUAUAUUAAUUUUUUAAAAUAAAAAAUAUAAAAAAAUACUAUUAAUAUAUUAAUUAUGUUCAUUUUUACCUCAUAGUCCUUGCAUCACAUCAAAUUCUUAAAACACAAUUGAGUUACAAAUUGAACAAAAUGACAAAUCACUAUCAAAUACUUAAUACGAAUUUUAAAUAAAAAUUCAACAAUCAUAUUUUAAAUUAACUUGUUAAUGUUUAUAAAGUUCAAAUGCACAUGCAUGAUAAGUCUUAAACAAAAUUGAGACUAAUUUGUACAAAGUGCAAAAGCUAAAGUUGCACACAGGAAUUAUAAAAGAAAUUUGCAAGCAUAAUUGUAAUUGUUCAAAGCAUAAAGGUCAAAAACACAAAAUUUUAAAAAUUUUAGACUUGGAAGGCAGUUGCCACCUGGCCUUCAUCUUUUGUCUUCCUGCUCUUCAUUCGGUCCAAACACCUAUCGCCUAUACUUUGAUCCCAUUUCCACCUCUUUCUUCUCCUCCUCCUCUUCAACCUUCAAGUUCAACCAGUGUUUUCCCUUUUUUUUUUUUUUUCUCUUUUUCCGGUCAACUUCAACCAAUGCUAUUAGAAAACAGAAAUUCACCAAAUUAAAAAGGUAAAAGAAAAAAAACGACAUCAUCAAAUCACUAGCAUGCAUCAUCACCAAAUUACCGGUGGGUUUCUUUCUCUGCAUUCUUUUUUUUUUUUUCCUUUCAUUUUGUGAUUUCCUUUUGUGUUUCUUUUCUUCAAAAAGGCAAGAUUCCUUCUCUCUUCCUUUAUUUUCAUUCUUUCGUUAAUUUCUUUCUUUCUUUCUUCUUUUCAUUUAGAUCCAGAUCUUUAGAAGUUGAUAAUGAAGAUAUAUUCAUAGAUCUAUUUUCUCUUAGAACUUUUUGCUUGUGAUUUCCAAUACAUAUUACCAAACUGUUGGAGGGAUCAAAUUAAGGCUUUAAAGAUGAAGAAAAUUUUGGAAAAAAGAAAAAGAAAUCAGCAGCAGGAAAAAAUACAGCAAAAAUGAAGGUACAAACCGGGUUUUACUGGUUUUGGUUUUACUAGUUUUUCAGUCAAAUCCAAUUUUUUACAAGCAAUUUCUAAAGAUGACUCGAACUGAAUAACUGGUCGAUUUUCGAUUUGAUCGGUCAGUCUGGUCCAAAUUUAAAAACAGUGCUUGUAACCAUAGAGGUACCGGGUCCCUGAUAAUGCUACGACCAAAAGGGAUACGAGCUCCUUUGCAUUGGUUAACCCCGAGUCUUAAAAAAAAAAAACCUCGAGUCUCGACCGACACCAUAUACUUUGACUGGUCAACAAAAAGACAAGCUAAAUGUUCCAAAAUGCCCACCAACGUAUGUCAUUGUCCUAGAUUCCCAGUUAAUGUUUCAAAUUUAAUGGGCAACGGUAACCUCUUCUUUUCCUCAUUCCUUUAUAGCAAACAUUUGCCUUUAACCUUUACCUCACUAGUCACAAUAGGGCUCCUGCAUCCAACCUCCAUUAAGCAGCCAACUUUACUUUACACAACCAAUCUGCGCAAUGAUUGGGCUCUAGUCGUUUAGAGCACAAUUUUAGACUGUUAAACUCUGCCGUACAUUAAGUUUAAAGAGAGUCAUUUAAAAUUAUUAUUAUAUUUUAUCAAAUGAAUUUUUUCGUCAUUUACUUUUAAAAUCUUAAUUUUAUGUAGUACAAUUUGGUUUUAACCUAAAUUUUUGAGCAUUUUUUAGCUUGAAAUCACUCCAUGACUAGCAUGCAAUAAUUUUUUUAUGCACAAAAGGUCAAAUUUUAUUAUUUUAAUGGCAAAACAAAUACAAAUUGGGUCAAAUCUCACCUUUUUAGAAAAAAAAAUGAAUAUAGUUUGAAUCAAAUCCUAUAUUUUUAAAGACAAAAAUGGAUAUAGAUCGAGUCAAUUAUAUAAUUACAAAUGCGUCUCACUUUUUUGCCCAGAAAAAUGAUCAUGUGUGGAUCAUGUAAUUGAUUUAUGAUAAAAAACUAUCAAAAAAUUUAAGUUAAUUUUUACCGAUUUAAUUUUGUAAGGGAUGUAAAGUUACAAUUUUAAAAGUGAAUGACAAAAAAAUUCAUUAAACGAAAUGUGAAAAAUAUUUUGAACAAUUUUCCCUUUCAAAAGCUGCAUUACCUUUCCUUCUAAGGAAACAAAAAAGCCCAAAUCUCCGCAACGGAUCUUCUGUCCCACACCCUGUGCCACUCUCUGUCCCACUUUUUAUUAUAUUGCUAUUUCUCUUUCACAAACAUCAUGUUUUAAUUCUUUUUUAUUUCCUUAUGAUCCAAUAACUAUUAAUUGAGUAAAAAAUAAAUACAACAGCUUCAAAAAACUAAUAUAUAAUAGAAAAUUAAAAAAUACAGCAGAAAAUUCAUAAAAAAUCUCAUUUUUUAUGCAUUUUGAUUUUUUGAGUUUGUUAAAUUUUGUAUAUUACUCAAUUAAUAGUUAUUGGAUCUUAAGGAAAUAAAAAAGAAUUAAAACAUGAUGUUUGUGAAAGAGAAAUAGCAAUAUAAUAAAAAGUGGGAUAGAGAGUGGCACAGAGUGUGGGACAGAAGAUCGGUUGCAACAAAUCUCAUCUACCAGCAUUACCAUUACAUACGUUCAAAUUCCACAACUGUAACACCAUAUAUGUAUGUAUGUACGCGUGAUGCGUGUAUGUAUGUAUGUCUGCAUGCUUAUGAAGCGAAGGAAAAAGUAGAAAGGAGAAAAUGACUUGGUUAUACCAGUCUCGAGGGAAUUGAAUAGGAGUAGGUACGUUAAAAUGAGGAGGUGGUUAUUGUGAUUGCGGUGGCAGUUGUAAUAGAUCUGAAAUGGAGUAAAUAAGGUUUGAGACGAAGAGGGUGCUUUCUUCUUCUUCUUCAUUUUUUUCGUCAUUUUAUUUAACCUUUCCACACUGUUGGUUUGGUUAUCUUGUUUUUCUUUCUUCUUAGUAUUGGUGCAUCUUCCUUUACUUUAUCUUUAAUGUUUCUUCUCCACUUCUUUGUCUUUUAUCUCGUUCUAUUCUGAUACGUACUUUCUUGUUCUUCCGGGGGAAGCACCUAUUUGCUCUUUUUUUUUUUUUUUUUUAAACGGAAACGUUAGGAAUUGUAUUGAUAUCAAAACAAGCUAUACAACUUGAGCAACAGCCCAUAAGGAGCUUUACAAUAGUGUUGUUUGAUACUGAGGACUUAGAUAUUCCUCAUCUUGCACUAAUGUAGUAGCAUAUUCGCUUAACCUUCUACCUAUCUGAUUACACUGGUUGCCUACCAAGCUAAAAGAGCAGUUCAUAAACAAAGCUUUUAGCAUGUGAAUGUCUUCCAGCUGAGCAAAAAGUCUUAUAUCUCGUGUCUUGUUCGUCUUCAAAACUCGCAGCAUCUGAGCAGAUGAAAUUAACAAUUUAACAACUGGCCAUGGCUUUUCUCUAAUUUUGCACAGUGUUAAUUUGAUCGCUACAACAUAGUCCAGUAAUCUAUCUCCUGUGCUUCUGUCUUUUAUGGCCCAUGCAGCAUGCAUGUUGUUGCCUUGUUUAGCCACUAUGCCAAUGCUUAAAGGUUUCCCUUCCUUUUGCUGGCUGACCUCCACUACAAUGAUCAUCAUGUUGCUGUCUUCAUUGUCAUAUUGUUCCUCUUCAGCCUUUGAUGUUGUUUCCUAACUGCUCUCUCGCUUAUUUCUACUGUAUUCUUCAGUGUACUCUAGCCAUUCUAGAUGAGCUUUCUAUACAAUGUCAAAAGGAUGACAGUAUCUGUUGUUGAAAACCUUCUCAUUCCUGGCUUUCCAAACUUGCCAGAGAAUGUUAACAGUAAAAGCUUGGUGCUGAUGUCCUUCAGUUCUGCUUGUUGCUUCCAUCAGUCCACUCCACCAUUUGUUGAAGUUCCCUCUAUUGUCAGCAAUUCCAUCCCACUGCACUGGGGCCAGUCUCCAUACUUCCUUUGCUUGAUUGCAGAAAAAAAACAGGUAUUCUAUUGUCUCCUCUCCUUCGCCACAUACUUGGCAUAUUGGCUCACCCAUUUUGGUUCUGCAAUAUAUUAGCUCAUUCACUGGUAGAGCCUUGUUCAGACAUUUCCACAUAAAAUUCUUCAGUUUGCCUUUGAUGUCCAUUUUCCACAUCUUCUUCUAGUCCUUUUCUUUUUGUCCAUUGAUACUUGUUUCCCCUUGCCCUUUCGUUUCCUGCUGCUGACUAUUCUCCCCCUUGCUCAACAAUUUGUAGGCUGACUUGAUAGAGUAGUUGCCAUUAUUGCUUGCUAUCCAAUAGCUGCAAUCAGCCCUUCCUGCUAAACUAAUUGGAAUUUUGAGGAUUUCUUCAGCAUCUUUUCCAUUGAAAGUUUUGAAGAUCAGGUGUCUAUUCCACCUGAAGUUUGUUAUCAGCUCUUCCACUUUAUGUAAGCUGCAGUUUUGGGGCUUAACAGUAGUUGGUUUCCCUUCUUUGUUGUUUGGGAUCCAACUGUCUUCCCAAAUGUUGGUACUCUUGCCAUCCCCAAUUUUCUUCCAGAUGCUCCUUCCCACUUCUUCUCUAACACUGGUCAUACUUUUCCAAAUCCAUGAAGCUGUUUGGCUCACCUUGCAUUGGAAUAUUGACCUGUCUGGAUAAUAUUUAGCCUUCAUGAUCUUGCUUAUCAGUAGAUUUGGGCAUGCCACAAGUCUCCAAAUUUGCUUCUCAAGUAGAGCUUUAUUGAAAUCCUACAAUUCCCUGAACCCCAGUCCCCCUCUACUUUUGUCCUUUGUAAGUUUAGUCCAGGAGCACCAAUGCAUCUUCCUUCUUCCGCAUACCAGAAUCUAGCCAUCAUAGCACUAAUAUCUUUACAAAGUCUUCCUGGUAGUUUGAAGCAGGACAUGGCAUAUGCAGGUAGAGCCAUUGUGAUGGCUUUCAGAAGUAUUUCCUUCCCUGCAGUGCUCAGUAGUUUGUUCUUCCAGCUUUCCAUUCUUCUCUAGCAGUUAUUUCUGAUGAAACCAAAUAGUUGUUCCUUUGACCUUGUGAUGACUAUGGGUAGGCCAAGAUAUUUUCCUUGGCUUACCAUUUGAAUGUUUCCCAACUUCCUGCACACUUCUACUUUCUCCACCUCAGGUACAUUCUUACUGAAAAAAAACAGAAGAUUUGUCAUAGUUUACCAUCUGACCUGAGCUUUUUUUCAUAUUUUGCCAAAAUCUUCAUAAGCUCCUCAGCUUGAGCUGGAAUUGCUUUACAGAAAACUAAUGUAUCAUCAGCCAAAAACAGAUGGGAUAUUGAGGGACCCCUUCUACUGAUACUAAUUCCUGAAAGCAGCUUCAUCUCCUCAGCUCCCUAUUUGCUUUUUUGCCACCCCGCUUUUCUAAAUUUAGUAAUUAAUUAUCUUCGGCUUUUUUUGCUAGCAAUUCUUGUGCCUAAAAAUGCUAUCCCAUUUGUUUUGGUUUUUAUUUUCCAAGUCUUUUUAAAGUAGGGCAUUGUUGUCAUUUGAUUAUAUCCAACGGUUGGGUCUGGACAGCCUCAUUUGCAAGCGUAGUUGUAAUUUGGUACAAACACAGAGCUAAGUUUGUAAAUUACUGAAGCUACAGGGGAGUUUAAUUCUAUUAAUCCAAAACUAGAACAAUUAGUAUGCUAGGAUUGACAAUUGAUUGUCAAUUUUUUUUUAUUUACCGUCAACAUGGAGUAUGUGAGAUGAAAAGGUGGUGAAAAACUUUUAAAGGAUACUGAAAGAAUAUUUUUUCAAAUAAUGUGUUCUUGCAUAGCUAUCCGUCUAUGUAAUGGGCUGUCUCGGAGUUACACUAACCCAAAAUUCAGCAAACUUGAUCUCCUAUGAGCUGACUUUUGAAGUAAAUUAAACUUCCUUUAAUCCAGGCAAAGGCCGAAGACCCCUACGAGGAGCUUUUCCAAUUGCUGUCCCACUAAUGGGGGUUGCUUUUGUGCUAUUUAUCAUGACUUUAGUCUUCCUGAAAAGAAGAUCAGGGAAGAGACAUGCUGCUAUGGCACAGCAGGGGGCAACUGGUAAUGUUUAUUGAUUGCAAUUACAGGAAACCUCAGAGAUUUUUGAACUAAUAAAUUGAGUGUAUUUGCUUAUCCCUGGUGUAGAUGGAGUUGCCGAAAUCUUAACAGCCGAAUCCUUACAGUAUAGCUUAACUGAAAUUCAAAUUGCCACAAAUAACUUCUCUGUGGAUAACAAAAUUGGCGAAGGUGGAUUUGGUCGUGUAUACAAGGUCCCUAUAUGAAAUAUAAGUGAUUCUGAAUUUUAAUAUCUAAACUUUCAAGUUUUCAAUCACAUCUUACUAUGCAUAUAUCUUCAGGGUGUACUUGCUAAUGGACAAGAGGUAGCAGUAAAGAGGCUGUCAAGAAGCUCAGGGCAAGGUGCAGAAGAAUUUAAAAAUGAAAUUGUAGUGGUCGCAAAGCUUCAACACAGAAAUCUAGUUCGACUAUUGGGAUUUUGCUUGGAAGGAGAAGAAAAGAUACUCAUAUAUGAAUUCGUUCCCAAUAGAAGCCUUGACUACUUCCUCUUUGGUGAGUUUUAGUCUAGAAAUGCUUGUUCUAGUGUUUGGUUUUUUGUUUGACCUUCUUCUAUGUUACUUAAGUCCACCAUCUUAGCAAAUGACAGGUAACAAAUUGGCUCUUGACAGGUGUUUUAUUGUGAGAAACCAUUGAUUUAGUAUUUUUCAGUUCUAACAAAGAAUAUUGUGUUUAAGAUAGUAAAGAUUCAGAAAAGAAACGAUCACUGAACUGGUCAAGACGUUACAAGAUCAUUGGAGGUAUAGCAAGAGGACUCCUCUAUCUGCACGAGGAUUCUCGUCUUAGAAUUGUUCAUCGUGAUCUCAAAGCAAGCAAUAUAUUGUUGGAUGGAAAUAUGAGUCCAAAGAUAGCAGAUUUUGGCACGGCAAAGAUUUGUGGAGUUGAUCAAUCUGUAGGAAACACAAAUAGAAUUGCUGGGACAUUGUAAGUUUUGCUCCACACCAUCGUUUCUCACAUAAUAUGACUUUGUAUCUUUCAUGGAAAACACAUUUCAUUGCCUCAUUAGUGAUGCCUUAAUACCAAUUAUAACAAUCUUUGUGGCUUGUAGUGGUUACAUGGCUCCCGAAUACACAAGGUGUGGCCAGUUCUCCGUAAAGUCAGAUGUAUUCAGCUUUGGGGUUGUAAUUUUGGAAAUUAUCACAGGCAAGAAGAACAGUAGCUUCUACGUAUCUGAAGAUUCUGAAGGCCUUCUAAGCUAUGUAAGUACAGAUCACGAAAUCUCUGCUGAGUUUUACUUGUUUUCUGUGGUUUUGAACAAUUGGAGUGGAGGAUUUGACCCUAAAUUGAAAUUGGAACGCCUAAAUUUCAAUUUCUUUGUUUGUUUGUUACUCUAAAGAUUACCUAAAGUUGCAAUUGCUUAUGUGCUUGCGUGAAACCAAAUUGGAACAGUAGCUCAUGAGCUACCUGCCCUAAGUAAAUACAUAAAUCUGUUUGUGUUCCAUGUAGAUCUUUAGAUCUCCAUUGGGACUUAUCAUAUUUGCUACUCGUUGUGUCAUUGGUAUGUUGCACUCAAACGAUAUAUCCCUCUAACGUAUACCUAAUUCUUAGUUUAUCUCCUAACCUUUGUGUCACUUAACCUCCCUACCAAACAAAACUACACUCUUAUUGUGUUGAUUAUUUUCUUCUCUUUUGUUUUUUCUGUCAACUUCAUUUUUUUUUUUCAAAUUCUUAUUUUUGAGCAAAGUCAAGGAUUCCUCCAUAAAAAAAAUGUAUUUGGCAAAAUAUAGCAUCGUAAUUGAAUAUAUGUUUUAUUAUGACUUUAUAUAUGUGUGUGUAUAUAAUUAUUCAAUUACCAAUCAAUUUCAUUCUAAUUAAUUUCAUCCAUUUUCAAUCUAAGAAAUCAAAAGGAAAAAUUUUUAAUCUAUAUCCUCAUAAUUAGACAAAUUGACAAUCACAUUCACAUGUCGAUUAUUUGGACAUUAUUUUAGUCUUUUUUUCUCUUAUGGAUUUUUUUAUUAGAUUCUUUUCUUUACUAAUUUUAUAAAAUUAAUCAAAUAUUAAUAUAUUCUUUAAUAAAUAUACUUCUCUCCGUUGAUAUGUUCCCAAUUGGAAUUAGAUUCAUCCAAAUUGAAUUAUAGGUUAAGAUUAAUUGAGAAAAGAAAGAAGUAAAAAGAAAAAAAAUUAAACCUAAAAAUAUUAGAGGAGUAAUUUUGUUUCUCAAAGGUUAAGUGACACAAAAAAUACAUUAGGAGGUAACGUAAGAAUUGGUUUGUAUCUUAGGGGGAUUAAUUCUAAUUAACCCUUCAAAUAAAGACCAUUUAUUUCUUUAACAAGGUACACUAGACUAAAAAUGACAGUCCAUAGAAAAGGAUGCGAACUAAAUUUAGAGUAUUGACUAAUGCCUAUUGGAAAGGUGACAUUAUUCAUAGAACAAACUACUAUGUAAAGUUGGAUAUCACUUGUGAAACUAGAUAUGCUUGAGCAAAUUGCAGUUUUUAAGUCUGAACUCCUUAUAUGUGGGAUAAUUUCAAAAAGGCUUGGAAGCAUUGGAGAAGCGGCGAUCCUUUAGCUCUUUUGGACUCAAGUAUUGGAGAUUCUUAUCUCAAAAAUGAAGUCAUUCAAUGUGUCCAAGUAGGUUUAGUAUGUGUUGAAGAAGAAGUCAGCAAAAGACUUACAGUGGCAUCCGUGGUCCAAAUGCUCAAUAAUAGUUCUGUUACCUUACCUACUCCACAUUGUCCGGCAGUUUUCCGGCGCCAUGGAUCGGAGGGCAGGGUGGAGGAGCUGGAAGUUGAUCAAUCUAAUACUGAAAGAAUUUCAGCUCCAAGCUAUGUAAAUGAGGCAUCAAUUACUGAACCAUAUCCCAGAUGAAGGAAGAAAUAGGGCUAAUUCUGGAAGGAAAUAUCAAGGAAUUGUGUUUCGCAUUUCCAAAUCCUCCUAAGAAUGAAAAAUCUGCUUGUACCGCAGUGUGUCCUAGUUGACAAAAUAGCCCCCAUGUACAAGUGGACAUUCUUGUCAAUCACUAGCGAUUUUGAAUUGAGCUGCACAAAUUUUUUUUUUUUUUUUUGAAAGUUGAACAUAUGCAUAAACUCAUUCAUUACAUAACCUUUGCAAGAUAUAUUCAGUCAGGACAAGACAUCUUUCCUUGGUUUACCACUAUCUAUUAUCUCUAUGACACCAUUUGCGUGAUUAAACUACAACAAUUUUUAAAAGGCUUAUAAACUACAUGUAACUCUAAUCAACGAUACCACAAUCAUACUUCUUCUAUUACAUUUGGAGAUUUAUUGUGGAAUUUCUUAUUAGUAUAGUUUUUUCACUCUUCCUCACCAUAAACACCUAAUUUUCUCCAAUUAUACAUUUGGCAACUCAAUUUGGAUCACAAAUGGCAUGAACGGUUAUGCAAUGUUGUAAGCCUCAAAACACCGCAGAAUCCGUCUGGCCAAAUUUGAGCCAACAACUUGAGCAGCCAAGUUGGAUACCAUGGCUAGCUUCGGGUAAUGUAGUGAAGAGUCAUAUUUUGGAGGGUUUUGAAAAGUCGUAGGGUUUCAACCUUGUAAUACUAAGUUAUUCUUCUUGAAAGUUGCGAAAAUUUUCCAUUCCAUCGAGGUACUUUUCAUUUUUUUAAAUUUUGUUUGUAGUUUCUAACUUAAUAUAUAUUAUCAUUCUUAUUCAUUGUCCCUUUUCCACGGAUAAAUAAUACUAAAAAGGUACUAUGUCUCAUUUCUCAGAAUUGCAGUGGUCAAGAUCAUGAACCAUUAACCAUUGAGAUUUAUUCAUGAAGUUUCUGAUUUUUAAACUUGGAGUCUUGUCAUGUAACAGUAAGUACAUAAAUGUAUAUAGAAUCCAGGUUAAACACUGAUUCUUAAUCCGCAUUGAAACCAAUUAUAAACUGAAGCAUGUAGCCUGGCCCCUAUACAUAUAAUCGCAGUUUGUUCCAAUUCUACUUCUUGAUUCAAGGCAACGAAUUAAAAAGUCACAACAUGGAUUUUAUUAGGCCAGAUAAAAGGCAACGAAUUCACAGCCUGGAGAUGAUCAAUACUGUAAAUUAUAUACCUUCAGAUGUAUUGACAAAGAUUCUGCUACGAUUUUAUCUGAUAUCAUUGAUGCAAUUCAGAAGUGUUAACGAAUCCUGGUGUGCCCCGAAUUCAAUACCUUCACUGGGUAUAGCCCCACGAUCUGGAGGUACCGAAUCUAAGUGAUCCACUGAUUCAAGUAACUGGUCCUAUCAACGGCAUCCUUUGCAUCAUGGAUGGUUCUGAUAUUCAUGUUUGUAAUCCUGUGUCUCACAAAUCAGGAGGCUUCCAGCUUCCCCCUUCUUGUUCCUCAAGAAUAUAGGACAAGAAUAUAGCGCUCACGGGAAUUUGCAUCAUUCCUCAUGGGGGUAUGAAUUUAGCUUUAAUGCCUACAAUGUUUUUAGGCUUGUGAGGAUUCUGCCAUAGGAUAGAUACAGCUUUGUUUGUGGUUUAAUAAGAGCUGACAAAUAAUGACAUUCGAGUUUGUCUAAAGUUCUUAAAUUAAUAUGAAAUUUUCAUAUUGUUAUAUGCCUUGGUAAAGUUGAUCUUUAUGGUUGAUUUUACAGGUUUAGUUUUUCCUUUGGUCUUUGCCAGUAUGGAUAAGAUGCCUUCCUUACAACGGUUUGUUGAAACCUAUACCAAUGAACCCAAAUUUGUAGUGAUGUGCUCCUCUUACAAUUUAAAGUAACAUUCGUUCUUCAAUUCAGAAAAACCUGAAGUAGUUGCCGAACAACAGAAGUAAAAUGUAUCACUUCGAAUAUUUCUUGUUUAAAGCACAUCUUAAUUUGUUUCGUGUUAGAAUUUUUUUUCCUAUCAAAUGGAUAUACUUGGAUUACAUGGAUUAUCCACGUAAAACCGCCAUUUUAACGAGUUAAACUGGGUAAUCAUUUAAUACUGAUGAUUAAAUUUUUCUCAUUCAAAUCCAUCUAAAGUGUUGGCUUUGAUUCAUAGCGUCGAAUGGAAAUCAAUAGUUUAACUUAAUCUUUUUAUUUUCCAUUUUAUCUCUUUCUCAUAACUAUUGUAGAUCUCCAACGUAUAUGCUAAUCAGUAAAAGGUUAUUCUCUGCAUUUCAUGUUAAUCUUUGUAGAAAGCGGGAAGUAUACAUUAUAUUAGCUACAAAGAUCAUUGUUGUGGGUAGUAGUAGACCCAAGAUAAUUUUUUAGCAGAAGCACAAAUAAAAAAAAAAUUAGGUUUUGCAAGUAGAAGGGGGCAAUAAUAAUAUUCAAAUAACAAGUAAUUGUACCAUAUAAUAUCAGUUAAAAGUCAAACUUAUUGUUGAAUAUUGCAUACUAACCUUAAGAGAAUGAGGCCAAGGGUUCUCAUAGUCAGCCCGCUAUUUUAAUACAUAUCAUUAUUAUGCUGCAAACCUGUGAAGCUGAAUAUGCACGCGUUUUAAAUGAGCCCAUUAAGGCCCACCUUUAAUUCCUAACAUGAACCAAGUGAUUGAUGCACAUUAAAAAAUGUUUCUAAAGAAAUUUGUUUACAAAACUUAAUUUUAUUUUUUGCAAUAAAUAAAAAUUCAAGCAAUAUUUAUGUAGAAUUAGUUUUAGUUUUUUUUGAUGGAUAAUGCAAUUGUGGAAAACUGAUAGAAGGUCCAAAAAGUUUAGAUAAUGAAAGGUAAUGAACUGAGUGGUAUUGUGCUUAGUAUCUAGUUGUUUAGAUAAUGGCGUGGGAUUAGUUUCUUUUUUAUUAUUUUUGUUUUGUUCAAAUAGAUUAGAUAAUUUACCUUUACAAUUAAAGUAAUAUGAUAGAAAUUUUGAAAUUUAACCAUUACACACUAAACGUACAGUAGAAAAUUUAAACAAUUAUCCUACUUUUUAUAAUGUAUGGAUAUCAUUAUACAUUACAAUUUCAAAGUUCAAAACUCUCUCUAAAAUACCCGAUCAGGGGCAUCAUAUGUUCCAUUUGAGUCCAUUUGAGGUUAAAUUUAUUAUUUUAAAUUUUCAUACCAUAUUCCAACUUGUUUACACCCUACCUAAAAUUAUUUAUACUAUACUCCUACUUGUUUACACCUAGGGACAAACUGUGAUGCCCCCACUUUUUUCAAGGGCGAACUCAAGGGUAUCCGCAGAACGCUUGCUCAACACUCGUUGGGGCUUACUACAAUCCAUAAUUCAAAAGCUAGAAAUACUUCAAAUAUUUUCAAUAUAUAAUUAAAGUACUCCAAAAUAUUUCAUACUUAAAAUUAGAUAACCUUCAAGUUUAAAUACAAUCCAAAAGAAUAUGUACUAUAGUCAUCUGCUAUAAUACAACUUAAAAUUUUCAAAAGAAAAUAACCUAGUACUAUUCACGAGCAUUUUCGGUCUUGAACCCUGUUAAGGAAAACAAAAGCGUGGAAUGAGUUAAACAGCCCAGUGAGAUUCCAAAACGCACUAGCAGUUCUAAUAAAUUAAGUAAAUUAACCAUAACACAUAUAUGGUUCAAAGUUUCACAUUGGCACAUUAAAAUGAGACAUUUAUCAUUGUAUUGAAAUAAACACUCAUUAAAAGGAUACGGUGUUCACAUGGAACCAUUUCGGUCAGCUUCAUCUUAUUACUCCAGUAAUUCCCCUGGUUGUCUGGCCAUCACCUUAUCCCUCCAGUGGUAAUACUCGAGUAUACAGAAAUGGUGGCCCAGGGUUCCAACCUACCCGACCGAGUUCAAUCCUGGCUCGAGCAGGUUAGUAACCAAGGGCAGGAUCCAGUUCAGCUUAGAGCUUACAACAUGCGCAAGUAAUCAAAUAAAUCGGUAAACGGUAGCAGUUCAAGGUUAACGAUAGAAAUUUACGGUUAAACGGUAGAACUUUGUCAUUUUAGUAGGUCGAGUGAGAUAAAGUACACACUUGCCUUAAAACGGUGAACAAUUUCAUAGGAGCAAUUAUAGGUAGCACUUAACACUUAAACACAUAAGGAACACUCACCAAUUCAAAAUAAGUGAGUAAAGAAAGUCUUUAAUGAUCCACUUCAGGAUUCUCUUCGAGACCUUCUUGAUCGCCUGAAGAAAAGUGUCCAACAAUCACUCUCACACUUUCACAAAUUCCUUAUCAAACAAGGAAGAAUGCACACUUGAUUUAAAAUUCAAUUCAACGUCUUUAUAAGAGUUUCACUUUAUCGAAAGUCAAGAUUCACAAGUGAGGAAUUUAAAGUUACUAAGGAAAUGCAUAUCCUCCACGAAAUCGGGUUUAAAACGAUAUAUCAAUAUCAAGAUGAGAAGUCAAGUUCCCAAAAUUGCAUUUUCUAAGAAAUCGGCAAAUUUCAGCUUUGCAUGCCAAAAUUAUAAAAAUCAGAUCUUGCACUCAAUAACUCCAAAAUUGGAAAACUUUACACUGUUAGAAACUAGUUUCAAAGUACUAAAAGUUCCUAAAAAACACCUUUCCAAGAUUCUAAAUGGAAGGCAUUCAAAAUUUCAGCUCAAAGUGGCUGAUCUGAGUAAGCAAGGCAGUUUCAGCCAUGCUUUUCGGCAAUCUUUGGAAAUUCGGAAAAAUUCAUAGAAAGUGAACUAGCCUUUGAAAUUUGUAACACACUACGAGAUUCUAACACUUGUUUCAAACAAGACAAAUGGAACUGAAUUCAGAGUUUUGAACAUUAAGAUAUCAUAGCUUAAAGUCGGCUGACUUUUGUACACUAUUCAGAAAUUUUUCAGAUUUGAAGAGCAAACUUUGAGACAUCAUUUGGGUAUCAAAAUGGUCCUAGAAUAAUACCAAUUUUGGUACACUAAAAAUUCCAUAUGAGAAAUACCUGUCUAUCAAAUUUCAUGCAAAAAUUCAUAUGAGAAGGUAGUUAACAAAAUCACCAAAGUUCGGAAAAUUUCCAAAGCUAAUCUGCCUUCUUGUUUUCUUUCCCCUUCUAAACAUUUUGCACAAUGAAAUCAGUCCCAUUUUGGUUCAUUUUUUAAACCAAGGUCCUAUAACAACUUAAUAGGAAAUAUAUGAUUGAUUGACAUCAGAAUUUUCGAAACAAAACGUCCCAAAUCAAACUUAACCAUUCGGCUAGCAAAAAGAGAAAGAUUUCCAGAUUUCCAGCUUUGUCACACUUUGGAAAUUAUACCAUAUCUCACUCAAUAUAACUUGAAAUUGAGAAUGGUCAGUGGAAUUGAAAACUAGAUUGAAAAUUCUAUAUUUCAUUAGAACAAGUCGUUCUCAAAAUCAGUUCACAAGUGGUUCGAAUUCAAGCCUCAAGUUACAGCUUCUCAUUUCCAUUCGGGUGAAUAGGCUGAACAGAACAGGAAACUUUGGUGAACCACUACAGUUCACUCAGUUCGAACUAAAUGGUGAGUUUUAUACCGUUGGAAAGCUACAAAUGUCUAGUUUCAAAUGCCACAAACGGCACUCGAAUUUGACAUCUGUACAAUGAGAUAUGUUCAAUUAAAGAAACACUGUUCGGACUGCCUGGACACGUUUCCAGAUUUCUUCAAGUUUUGAAAAUUCAAUUUUUUUGCUCAACCAAUUCAAAAAAUUUUUGAUAGAAACUUUCUACACAUAAUAUAUGACAUAUAUACAUCAGUUUCACAGUUAUUGGAGUAUCAAAAUUUUGAAAUCUAGGCACAGCAAAAACAGGACAGAUUCGGCCAUCACACUUGCACCACUCUCCUUCGAUGUUUCCUUCAAUUUCUAACCUUAACACUCAUCACAAACACACUAACACACUUUUUAACAUCAUGGCAAUCCUUAUAUAACCAAGAUAGGAGUUCAUAGAGCCCACUUCAACCAAUCCAAUCCAAAUAACAACACAACAACAAGGAAGCUACAAGCUUCAAAGCCAAGAAUGAAACUCUUUAAAGCCAAGAAAUGAAAGAUUGGAUGAGUUGAGGUGUAUACCUCUUGAACCCUUGAAGAACCAGAAAUUUUUUAUCACAAAAGCUCCAAGAAAACCGCCAAGAUGAAGUCUUCCACCAAUCUUAAGCUAAUCUCUAAGUGGUAUGUGAGUUGUGUGAAGAUUUAAAGGUGAAAUGGUACAAGAUUGGAUGGAGUUUUCUUUCCUUCAUCUUCCUUGGGGCUGCUGGCCGAAAAAUGGAGAGAGAUGAGAGAGGUUUGUGUGAUAAAACUUGGGGAGAAAGAAUGGAAUAGUAGCCAUAAGUGUUGGGCAAAAAGUCAUCUCUUAAUAGUUGUCGCGCACGGGUUUCGUACCACCGUUUUCUCUCUUGUUUGUUAUACUUGUGCACUAAACCUCCAGUGUACUUCCUUUAACACUAUAAUUAUUCACUCUUAGUAGUCUAGUAUAAGUUUCUUAAAUCUCCACUUAGCCGCUCUGACCCGAAACACGCGUACUUACACGAAAUGCGCAAACUUACGACGCGCGCGUAAAAAAAAUCGAAACUUAAGAAAAAGUCAUGCACUACUAGGGUUAUUAAAUAUAACUAGGACAAUUAAUUAUAAAAAAAUUAAAUUAAUAAUUAAAAACACGAGUCCUCACACAAACAGGUUUGAAUUGAAACUUGUGAGGCCCCAUUUGUAAAAUAACCAACUUUCCUAACUAGUCACCCUUUCAACAGUGAUGCAAGAUGUGUGGACCAAAUUGGAUUAUUCUCUAGCACAACUUAUUUGAGUCAGUCCUAAAUUAAUUUAGGAUUUUGUGUCGUUGUUUAGUUGAUAAAGUAUGUUUUUGGAGAGAAGUAGGAGGGAAAGGAGGAGAGGAAAAAAGCAUAAUGAAUAAGAGUAGAAGACGCUAAUAGCAUAAGUGUAUCAAUAUUGUUUUCCAAUAGAUCUAGGGGUUGGGGUUUGGGUGUAGGGUGUGGAGAGAGAAAAAGGAGAGGCAAAGUGCGCCAUCAAUGUCCUUCCCAGAUCAGAAAAGUAUAUAAGAAAUAAGAAAGUUGAGGAAGUUAAUAGGGGGCAUUUUAGUGACAAAUCGUGGUGGAGUAUAAAUAUAAAAAAAGUGUAAAUAUUGUAUUGAAUAUUUUAAUGGUAAAAUAGUAAAGGAUUAAACUUUUUUAUACACUGAUAGUGUAUAUAUUAUUGGAUUUGAAUUCAUUCCAUGCGUGCAAAAUAUUUAUUUUAAAUUCAAAAUAAAAUUAGUUAUCAUGUAUCGAAAUAUAUAUAUAUAUAUAUAGCAUAUAAAAUAUUAAUCUAUUAUUAAAUUAGUUUAACCUGGUAAAGAUAGAAAGAACUCAAUAACGAUGAACUAAGAGGCACCAUAGAGAGAUGUAUUGGUUCAUGAGAGGAACAUAAUGACUCACCAAGGGAGAGACUAGGUUUUAAUGUGAUUGGACAAAGGAAAAUUUCUGAAUUAAAUUGAAAGGAAAAUGAAAACAAUCCUUUUUUUUUUGUGUUUUUUAGGGCUUUUCCCAGAAGGGGCCCCUUCCAAAAAUUCUCGAUGGCUUAGGCUGAAUCUAGGCCCAAGAGGGGACUUGGAAAUUGCUUUCAAGUUUCAACCAAUAGUGGAUGGGCCUCGAUUAGAAUCUCAUCAAUUGCGUCAUUGUCCCAAGCACAAAUAUUUUAAAAAAAAAUCAAAUCAAUUAUGCUACCAUCAUGUACUUUAGAUAUAGCACUAGUUUCUUUCCCGUGCAUUUGCAUGGAUCAUUUUACAUUCAGCAACCCAAUUAAAUAUUGCAAUACAAAUUUUUUAAAAUUUACUAUUUAUUUAUAUAGAUAAACUACUGUUUUGAUUAACUAUUCAAAAGUAGUUUGAAAAUGGAAGAAUUGAUAUACUAUAUGUUAAACUUAAAAUGAGCCAAAUUUUGUAAAAGAUGUGUAAUAUAAAUAGUAAAUAAAAUGAGAAUUAGGUUGGAGCACUAAACAAGAUUUUAUAAACAUUUAAUAUAAAGUUAAGGCAAUUAACCAAAUUAACGGCGGCCAAGGAGGUUUUUUGCUCUAGUGGCUAAAAUUGAAACUCUAGAACUUAUGGGUUCUACGUUUUAAUCCUCUUUCCCUUCCCUACUUCUUAAAUUUCAUCCUUUCUUGCUAUAAAAAUAUUAAAAAAUUAACGAUGAGCAAAAGGUAACAAAAAUUCAAUCUAAAAUUAAUUUUGGAACCAGUAUACAGUCUAUUAAACCUGUGCAUAUAUUGGAGCAAGAGCAAUAUUUUCCUCAAGAAAGGAAUAAGUGUCAUAAGGCAUUCAAUAAUGAAAUGUCCAAAUUUUAUUUAAAAAAAUUAGAAAAACAAUAUGUUGAAAGAAAUUUGCUAUAAAUAAAGAAGUAAUGAAUCAUUGAAAAAAAUAAAAAUUAUCCAAAUUUUAGUAAUCGUAAUUUUUAACAUAUAAUCAAGCAAAAUUAUCAAAAUAUAAAACAUGAUUGGAAAGAAACAUACAUAAGAAAAAGAAAAAUAUAGGUUGAUUGCUAAAAAGAUUUAGUAAGAAUAAUUAAUAUGAAUGUAUAUAAGGCAUAAACUCAUGAAUCGAUUAAAAGUUUCUGUAAAUAAGAAAGUGAAAAAGGAUGGGUAUCAACUAUCACAAAGAAAAGGAAAAGAAUAAAAAAAAUAAAAAACACAAACAUCAAAGUAGCCAACUCAAUAUGUAUAUAUAUGUGUAUGUAUGUGUGUGUGUAUAUACAUAUACAUAUACAUACAUGCAUAUAUAUGCAUACAUACAUACAUAUAUAUACUAGUUUUUGGCCCCUGCGCUGGCCUAUGUUAUGGCUGAUGGAUUUUAUGCUGUGAUUGGCAGUAUUUUGUAUAGCAUAGGCAAAAAAAUAUGUUGGUUAUAUAGUCGAAGAGAUAUGUGAAUUUUGUAGUUAUUCAAGCGUAGUGGCAAUGAUACCAAGGAUAUAUUCUUUCUACAUUAGUGUUUUUGAAAAUGAGGGCUAUAUAUUCAGCUUUUGUAGUGGCAAGAAAUAUGAUAGUGUGGCCUGGUUUCCUAUCAUGCUUAUUGAUAAAGACGUUCCAGUUGGUUGUGAUGUAUUUGCCUUCUAUGUUUGUUGAAAUGGUUUUGUAGCCUGUAGUGAGCCUGAGAAGUGGAGUUCGUUUUGCAUUUAUUCGUUGCCUGAGGGGUUUGGGGAUUUUCUGUAUAAGUUUUGGAAAUAUCGUUAGUGUACAUAAUGUGUUUUGUGUCGUGAAAUGUGGUGUGCUAUGAAUGUAGUAAAAGAUGGCAAAGUUACCAAUUGAUGUCUGUCAAUGAUGGAGUAUAGAUGGUAGAACGCUAUGUUUUUUUGUCAGCGUUUAGUGAAAGUUUGGGCUCAAUGAUGAGAAAUAGGUCUAUUUAUUGCUGGACAUUGAGUUGGGUCUAAAAUGGAUAGAUGGGUAAAAUUGUUAGCGAAGAUUUAAUUAUGAAAAUGGUUUGUAGUUUUGCAGUGAAAGGUAGUUGUACCUGGAUUCAUAGUAGAUGGGUUUGUAUUUGUUGCUGAGAAAGGAGUUGUCUAUGGUAGAUAGUUUUGGAAUUGGUGCUCAUUAAAUAUUAUUGUGUCAAAAAUGUUUUGUGUAUUGUAUAAAAAUAAAAUUAGAUAAUAGUCUUGUAUGGCAUUGUCGAUUAUAUAUGUGUUUAGCCAAAUGCAAAAUGUUGUCCUUCUAGUUGGAUUUGCCAUUGCCUGAGCCCAUGCUUCAGAAAUAUUGUAGUUUGAAUUUGUUCUCAAAUGGCAUUGAAGAAUGAUGUAGGAAUUUUCUGCAAAUAAGUUAAAGCGAUGGAGUUGUAUGAAGUAUUUUGAUAGAAAGUUAUAAAUUUGGGUAGAAUCAGUACCGGAUUGGAGUUGUUGUUGUGGCAUAUUAUGAAGCAUAGUUUCGGAGUUGGGUCUUCGAUUUACUGCCUUGUAGAGGUAGCGGUAUCUGUGGAUGAUUGGGUUUUGAAUAAGUGUAAUAGAAGUUUUUAUGUUUGGUGUAGUGCUGUGUAUAUAUUGUUAUUGAAGGUAUAGAAAGUUAGAUAGAAAGAUACCUGAUAGAUUGGCGUCCAUGGCCGCGUUGGAAAGGUUUGAUGAAUGAACAAUGCACAGGGGUGAAGUUAGUUUUAUACCGGUGAAUGUUUAUUUUUGGGGGUAUUUUUUUAAAUAUUUUUGUGUGAUAAGGUGAGUUUCUGAUGGAUAGAUGUAUUUGUUGUCUUUGAGAAUUUCUUUGAUUUGAUAUUUUGUUUGUUUGAUUUUUUUAUUGGUAUCUGUUAGCUAUUUGUGAGUAUUUUAGAUAUGGCAUGGGGAUAGAUGUUAGACAUGGGCAAUAAUGCAUAGGUAUGUGUGAUUGGUGUUUUUUAUUAGAAAUGAAAUACUUGAAUCAGUGGUGUGACGGUUUUGUUUUAUAUAGUUAUUUGUCGCUGGUCAUGUGAAUAUUUAUGAUGAUGUUUUUGGAUAUAUAUAUAUAUAUAUAUAUAUUGCUUUUUUGCUUGUUUCUAUUAGGUGGAAUGUGUUCUUGUUUUUUGUUUGUUGUUUGUAUAGAAGAUAAUAUAAAUGUUGUUUGUUAAUUUGUUGCAUAUCUUAGAGGGUGGUAAUAGAGGAAAAUAUUAUGAUUGUUGGAGUAAUGGUCAAUUUGUUUGUUGGUUUUUGUUGAUUUAAUUUGACAUUUAAUGGUUAUUUUGUCUAUAUGCGUAUAGAUGAGGGAUAUUAGUGGAGUUAGAAUAUUCGAGUAUUAGGUGUUAGAUCAGAUAUAUUUCAAUGUAUUCAUCGUUGAAUAUUUGUACAUAAUAUUCAUUUCUUUGUAAAUAACUAAUGAUUAGUAUGUAUCCUGGUUCGAUAGCAUGGUUUUUGAUUAAUUUUUUUCAACCUUUUGUGAGGUAGUCAUCUUCAUACUUUAUUUGCUAGGUGCGGGAUAGCAAUGGAGUAUGAGAAUGCCAUCUUUAUCUGGACGGAAGUGGUGCAGGUCCUCUAGAUGUAUCUCCUGUAAUGUUCAAGAGGGGAUAUAAUAAGUACAUCAUAAUGGAGUAUUUUUAUUGAGAAAAUUAUUUUGGCAUACUAAAUAGUUUAGAGUUUGAGGUGUAAUUAUGAGGUAGAUAGAAAUUUUUGCUAGUAGUUGUUCUCUACCGGAAAAAUAUCCUGCAAUGGAAGAAAGAUUGAGUUAAUUGUUAUUUUUUUGUAUAAUUAUAUAGUAUAAUUUGGUGAUAGAUGUUGAUAUGAGUUCUUUGUAAUUACCGUGUUCUUUUUAAAUAUCACCAUUGAGUGGCAAAGUGUUCCAUUUGUAAAAGUCUGUGCAUCUGUUUGGAGUGAAAAUGGUCACUCUGAAUACCAUUGCUCCAAUAUGGUAGAAUUGGAUUAGUGAAUGGUCACAAAUAUCACGGUCUUCAAUGAAGCUGUGCCAAUUGGAAUUUUUUGGGGUUUCAUCAAGAGUGAUAAACAAAAUCUUCUUUCCUACUUUUAGUAUUGCUAUUCAUCUGAAAUGGUUUGCAAGGAAAGGGAUAAAGCCAUUGGGUAUGUCCUAUAUAUGGGAUGGGAGGUUAAUUUAGUUUAUUUUUGUAGAAAUUUGUAAGGUUUGUUUGAGUAUGGUGGUUUAGAGAAGUCUUUGUUACUUACGAAAUUGUGGUUGUCUGAUUUUGUAUAAUAAAUGAGGAAAGACUUGAUCGGCUAGUCUGGGAAAAGACAACAUUAGGUGUGUAUAUUUUAUAUAGUAGAGCAUAGAUGAAAAUUUGUAUUUGUUACCUAAGUGUAGUUCUGAUGGUGGAUAUGGCCUUAUUGCUAAUGACAUCCAUGUUGUGACGUCUUUAUCUAUUGUCCAAAAUUGUAUAUUUGGUCUGUGAACUAUCCACAGAACACUAUUUUGGAGCUAGUGGGAAAUUUGAUACAUUGGCCGGUGGUCAGAUUCUGAGGUUGCUAUAAUCGCGACAAUUGGAUUAUUGUUUUGGUUUAUAAAUGAGUAGGUGGUUAGUUUAUUUGUGUUGUUGUCAUGGUAUGAAUUGAUUUUCCAGUAAAUCAAAUAGUUUGAUUCCAUGGAUAGGAUUUUUAAGGUGUUUUGGGUAAGAGGAAUAUUGAGUUUGGGUGUGGGAAAUAUUUUGAACAACUAUUUUGCUGUAGAGAAUGUGAUGUAGGAAGGGUUGCAUGGCUGAAGUUUUGUGCUGGAAUUUAUAGUAAUCUUGUUUCUCUAAUAGGGGUGAAGAUAUUUCACUGUCUAUAUGGAAGUUUCUUAAACUUUAGGGAUUAGUUUUUUAUUUUUUUUAUUCAAGUAGUAUUGAGGGAUAGUGGAGUUGAGCUAUUAAAUCUUGUUAUUUCAAUCAAAAUGAUUGGUAAUGUCAUUAUGAGAAAUGGAUAUAUAGACAAUGGGAGUCAAGUUAGUUGAGAAUUCAUGGGCUAUAUAGUGAAAAUAGUGAAAAUAUCUUAUCUUAGCUGGCCAUGCUAGGCUAUGAUUUCAAAAGGAGACAGAAUCGAUGAUAUAAUAGGCCGUAGACCAAUGUGUGUUCAUAGAAGUUGCAGUUACAUAGACAAAAAAUUUGGAACAGAUUCUACCAAAAGAUAUGGUCUAGAGGCAUUAACAGAGAUUAUGUAACCUUGGUUCAAAAGAGCUAUUCUUUAUCUAGCAUUAGAUUGUUAACCUUGUUUUAGUUGUUUGGUGUCUUUGUCAGGUUGCACUUCCAGCUUGCAUUUAGUAGAAGAUCUUGUUGAGGAUGUGGCCUCUGUGGUGGUAACGUCAGAAUCUAUCGGCUUUGAAGUUGGUAUUGGAUCUAUUUUGUUACUUGGAGCUUCAAGAGAUUCUCUUUCAGGUGUGAAAGAUGUGGGGGAUAGACCUAUAAGAAGGGUGAUAGAUGAUUCUUUAUGCGGCUUGUCUUCAAUUGCACCAAGAGGUUGUUCGGAAACAGUCACAUAGGAGGAGAGAAAGAAGCUUGGUGAUCCUUGUGGAGUAGAAUGAUUGGAGUUGCUUCUUAUCUGACAAUAGACAGGCUCUGAGAAUAGUCUAUCAUUGAUUGUUUGAAUUGGAAUUGCUUCUUCCUGUUGAAGAGAAUGAGAAAAGAAAACUUUUUGGGUUAUUGUAUACAUUUGAAAGAUAAUGUAAAAAUUGGAUUGUGUAAACUAGUGAUCCUCACAGAUGAUAUUUGUUCAUAGAUUUGCGUUGCUGUGAGGCCAAUUAUGCUCUCGGCAUAGUUGUGUUGGACAAAUGCAUCUAAAUGAGCUAAAUCAUCAAAUAUUUGGACAAAUAGUCUGGCUCUUUGUUAGAGUUUUUUGAAAUGUGUUAUACAUGGGAAAUAAUAUAUUAAUGUAAACAGAGACGUGUAAUAGCAAAAAAAUAUAUUGAUACUUGACAAUAGAUAAUUAUAUAUUUAUGUGCCUAUAUGGGCAUUUUUACAUGGAUAAAUACAUAUACCUGUAUAUACAGAUAUAUAUAUAUAUAUAUAAUGAAUAAGAGUUCAUUUUUGCUGUGAAUGGGAUAGUGACUUACUUGGGCACAUGUUUUGUUUGGUUUUUGUUACAAUUGUGGGAUAGAAACUGAAAGUCCAUCGGCGCAUUGGUGGUACAGCCGCAGUCGCCACAGUUAGCAAUAUAGAAGUGCUGGUGAGAAUUUGUAAUUUGGAUUCUUCUUGACUAGUGAUAUAUAAUUUAAAAUGAGUUUGAUAGAUGUUUAUAAUGAGAGGACUUGAAUGUAAAGUAAAUUCAGUGUAUCUAGUUAAAUUAGUCUAUUAGCUUACCAGGAUGUAUGCACCAAGAAUUUGUGAGAUCUGUCGAAUAUCUUUUUCAGAUGGGGGCUUGAUCUUUUAUUUUGCUUUUUCUUAUAGUCUUUGUGACUUGAUCUUGUCAAUAUAGUUCUUGUUUUCUUCAAUCCUCUAGCGAACAGUGGUAUUAAUAGUGGUAUAUUUAUCAAUUUGUAUUAUAUAAGUGAUGCUUAUAUGGAAGUGUAAGUAAUUAAGGAACAAAUUUGAGUGUCGAAGUGUGCAUACCAUGCUGCCAAUGUGCUGAUUUGUGGGAAUGGAGGAUCAAGGAGUAUAUCUGUGCUUCCUUUAGUCCUUAGAGAGAUACCUGUAAUGAUAUUAAAGCUGUGUUAGAGUGCUUGGUUGGUAGCCUUAGUACUAUAGAGAGAAAUGUUUCUAUUUUUAAAGUAUAUCAUAAAAGGUGGUUACAUAUGCUUGAGAAUGAUAACAAUUGGGUAGGUAUGUGCAAUUUAGAGAAGCGGAGCUCCUUCAUUAUCCACAAAAGGUUCCCAAAUUGUGAGAACAAUUGGACGUUGUUUGAGAAAGUUAGAGAGAUAAAAUGAAAAUUCGAAUCAUUGGAUAUUGAUGAUUAGCUAACGUAAAGUGUAUGGAAAUGUGUUUUUGCUUACUCUUCAUUGAGAAUAAUGACUUCUUGGAUAACAGAUGGUUUGGCUCCACCAACCAUUCUUUGGGGUAAUGCUUGAAUGACAGCACAAAAUAAGUCUGUUCAAUGGUUAGUAUGAAAAAAAAUAGAAUCAGCAGAUAAACUAAUGAUUUAUAUAGAGUAAAUUUAAUGAAAGGUGAGUUGUGUACUGAGUCUUUGAUCAUCUUUUCCUUGAUAUUGAUCUAGGUCCUAGAAUGAGGUAAGCGGAAAAUACAUUGGUAAGGGAGUUCCACCUUGUUGUAUGAAAGACCUUUUAUCAAAUGUUAGCUGGAAAGGUGUUGCACUCAUUUGGUGGCGGGACUUUUACUGAUAUACGCACCACCAACAUAGUAUGAUGUCUGAAGCUUGAAUAUUUCGCCAAUGUAAGGUAGGUCUUGUUGAUAGAUAAUGCCCUGAACUAUCUUAUUCUGUAAAAGAUUGUAGGUUAGAGGAAUAUAAAUAGGCGAUGGAACAUGGGCAUGUUAUAUAAUUUAUAUAAGAGUCAAGUAUUGGUUUAUUGUAUGUAUUGCUGAUAUAUAUGUACUUGAUCAUUUGCGAAUAAGAGUCGUUGGUAUGCCUUUGAUAUUGGAGUUGGGUCAAAAAUUCUUGUCAGCUCUAUAACAUAGACUUUGGCAUACCAUUGGCGCUGCUUCUCCUACAAGUCUUUUAUUAAAAUGCAUAUGCUAUCCAUGGCUACAAUGGAAAGUAUGACAAUAAGAGUAUCAUGUAAAGAAGAAGAGGUUAUUGUCAAUGGAAUACGAUAAAAAAAUGAUGAUAUAAAAGGCAUAAUAUGAGAGAAGAGAACUUUUUUUCUGUCUUAGAACAGUCGACUCAAUAAAGUCAAAGUAAAAUGCUAACGAUAGAAGUUAAAGCGAAACAGUACUAAAACUACACCAGCAAUUGAUAGGACUUCAUCAUAUACUAUAUUUCUUGUAGAGACUGUGUGAGUCUGCUCAUCUAGAAUAGCCUUAACUAAAACUCUAACAUCAUCCGCUGUUUUAGCUCUAGAUAAAGCAACAUAGAGUUGACCAUGACCAAGUACUGGUUCCUUUAAAUACAAGCAGACAAAGUCUAAUGUCUAACCUUGUGCCUUAUUAAGUGUGAGGCCCCGCAAAUUAGAUUCUUAUCUUUUAUCUUGUUUUUCUUACUUGCCUUAAAUUUGUAAUUGCUUUGAUGAUUGAGGUGUGUUCUUAACCUUAUUACUUUAUUUACCUUAGCGCAUGUUUAAUUUGAUACAUGUUAAAUUUUAUAGUACAUGAUACUAGUGUGAUCGACUAGUGAGGUACGUGCGAUAAAUUUAAAGGAUUAGAAGGAGUUUUGCGUAAAAGGAAUUAUAUGACAAGAAGUGUUAAGGAUUAAUUAGAGGGGCAUUAGAUGUGUUAGUUAUUAGAGACAAAUAGAGAGGCAAAAAGAUAGACAAUACAUCUUUCCUUGACAUUUGUCAAUUAGCCAACCAAGCUUGACCAACCAAGUUUGACCAAGACCAUGCUUUCUUCUUCUUAUCUUGACCAAACCUUUUUGUUUUCAUCAUUUUCUUAUUCUUGCACCAUCAUGGACGAAAUUUUGAGAGAGGAAAGGGAGAGAAAACACAAAAAAUUUUUGCCUUGAUCUCUUGCUUAAAUCAUGAAGAAUCCAACGAAAAAUCCUAAUCUACUCCGAUCAAUCUUGAGAUAAGCUUGGAGAGAAGCUUUUGGUGAAGUUUUAGAAGAAGAAAAUCUUUCAUGCCUCUUGAUUUGUUUGUCAUCUUUGGGUUUGGAGGUAAAGAGUUGAAUUUGGCUAGAAACCUUAGUUUUCUCUUCUUAUUUUUGAUUUUAUUUCAGGUUUGAUGUUAUAGAAACUAAAGGAAGCAUAUUUGUGGCAAUUUCAUGGCUUUGCUAGGGUUUGUAUGUAUAUGUGAUUAUGAUGGGUUUCUUGUUGAAAUUUUACCUUAUAUGUAUUUAUUGUUAUGUUGGUGAUGAAACCUUAUGGAUUUGUUAGGUAGGUUUGGAUGACAAAUUACGAAAUUAAUUGGAGGAAUGUUUGAAAAUCCAUUGGAGAAAAUUCUGCCUACUGGCCGAAAUUUAGGGCUGGAAUUGCAGCCUUGAUUUCUAAAUUUUCAUGAUAAUUUUAAGCUCAAUUUUGUUCAAAAUACUUUAUAAUAUGUUAAGCUAUAAGUAUGUGUUAGAUUUGAACCAAAAUCAUGAGUUUUAAGUGGUAAGAACACCAUUUCUUUUGCUGUUUUCAUGGCUGGAAUUCUGCUCAAAGCUGACUGAGAGAGAGUGUGACUUUAUAUAGCUUUGUUCUUGGUUUUGUGUGAUGAACUUGGCGUACUACUGCCCUAAACAUAUGAUUAGACAGUUAUCCUGGUAUGAGUAGUGAAUUGGAGUGGAAAAUGAAAGAUUUUAAGAGGUGAACUACCUUGUUUUUCUUUAUUGUUUUGCUACUGGAAAUUUCCGCAGGAAGCUCUGCACAGCUUUGGAAAAUUAGUUAUAACUUCGUGUAUAAAAUUUGGAAUUGAGUUCUGUUUGUUGCUUUUCAAACUAAAUUCAGAGUGAUUUCUACCAUGAAAAUUUCAGAAUUUGUCUCAAUUCCUAUGAAUAUCUGUGAUUUUCCAAUGUUGACUGAAUUUCCACAUCUAUUCUAUUUUUCUAUUCGAUGAAGUAGCAACUUGAGACUGGAAUUUGACUAAUUUGUGGAUAGAAUCUUACAAAUGCGUCUUCUGGGAAAUUGUAAUCCUUUGAGUCUAUUUUUAAACAGUAUAAAGUUUAUAAAUUUUGGAUAUAAAAAGUUUGAGAUAUGAUUUUUCAAAUAACAUUGCGCAAAACUAGAGAAAAUUCUAUUCUGCAAAAGUUGUUCUUGCUUUCAUUUUUGUAGAACCAUUUUGAGUUUGGUUUUAUGAUUGGAGUUGAGAUAACUUAGUUGGUUUGGAAGUGUUUUCCUUUGAAUAUGGUAGCUUGGAGUAGUGGAUCUCAUGGCACUUUACAUACUUGAUUUUAAGACUUGAAAGUGAGGCCAAAAGUGCUCUUGAGGCAAACACUUAAGCUUGUUGCCGUAGUGAGUGUUCCAACUGUAUGUUCCCUGCUCAUUGUUGUUAGAAAUUUGCUAGACACUUGAUUUGACAUUUCAUAGGCGAGUGCGUACUUUAUCGCACUUGACCUAACUUGACUAAACACUAGAUAUCUCAUUCAUGUAUGUACAAGUAACUUGAUUUGCAUGUGACCUGUAUAUUGACUUGAAAUAAUUGAAAUGUUUGAAAAUGUGACUUGGUCAUGGCUAGGCGAAUGUGUCCUUAUUCCCACUCGACCUCCAUAAACUUGAAAUAAUUGAUCAUGCGUACAAACUUGCAUGUUUAUGUGCAUGACUGUAGAUAGGCUGUAUUCCUCUUGCAGUGGUUGAAUAGUAGAUCAGAUGCAUUCCUCUUGCAGUGGUUGAAUUGUAGACUGGCUGCAUUUCUCUUACAAUGGUUGAACUAGGCCUUGGACCUUUAUCCGAGACGUCGGGUAAGUGAAAACUUGGAUUACUCAUGCGUAUGCGUGAAUGUAAGUCGGUAAUGGCUAAACUGAGCCCUGGUUGGACCUCUUACUUAAGACCAGCCUCAGAGUGGUUUGGUAAGCUGGGCAACCUUGGGUAAAGGAUGAAGUUCCUAGCCUAUUUACUCUUGAUUGAAAUUCCUGAUUUGAACUUGUGACAUUUCUGAAUAUGGAGUGUUUAGUGACAAUUAACGUCUCCAAUCAUUACCUGCAUGAGCGUUGGAUGACAGCCAAUGACUCCACUCUUGAAUACCUGAAUAUUUGGGGUUUUAAGCCAUAUCAUGAAUACUUGAUUCUUGAAUACCUGAGACUAUAAGCCCAACCCCACGGUUAGUUGGUCAAAUUGAGCUAGUAAAGGGUUAGGUCGAGGAGAUUAACGAAUCAUGAGUACUUUUGGUGUUCGGACCCGGUAGGGGGAUGAUCAGUGGACGGAGAUUGACGUUUAGUGGUGAUCUACGGAAAUUGGAAUUUUCUAGUUGAUGGAGAGUUAAUGAAGCUCGAGCAAGCAGCUGUGGAAUCUGCUCCUGAGAGCAGCCUAUAUUCUUUUAACAUAAAUGUGUUCUUUACGGUGUAUUAAUGCAUGAUCUAUCUGGUAACCUGAUUACUAAACCAUAUGUCAUGGUCUGCUUGAGUAUGACUUGUUUUUCGAUAUCCUAUGAAUAAUAUCAUGUAUACGAGUUUACUUGCCUGUUUUCUUGGAACCUCAAUGGGUUUUUAACUCAUUUUAUGAAUUUAUUUUUCUUACAGGGAUGAGAACAUGAGAGAUUGAAUUGGGGAAGGUAUAGACUUUGUCUAAGUUUUGUUAGUUGCUCGUGUGAGCACUCUUUAGAAUUUCUGGAUUGCUUGCGUGGUUUUGAUUUUGUAAAUUCGACAUCGUGACUGUAUAUAUAGAUUGUACGGACAUUUGAGAUCCAGAACUGUACACAUUGGAGGUUGUAUUUGUUAUCAUCUUUAUUAUUGAUAUUAUUGUUCUAAAAUUUUGUAGCGCGUGACCGAAUCCUAACGAGAGUUGGGCAGGCGGUCCACCAAACCCUUGAGUACGCCCUAGGGGAAGGUAGGGUUAUCACGAGUGGUAUCAAGCUGUUUCGCGUGAUCUCUGCGUGGGGUGAGUUUGGGUCAGGUGGUGUUAUGGUCCCAAUUAUGUGAAUAAGUAUAAAGGACCAAAUGCUAUUCUUGAGCAUAAGUUAUGAAUCAUGAAGGUUAUAAGCGUAAAAUCUUUAUCAUGAUACUUGAGGAAGAUAGAUAUGUGCAUCAGAUAGGAAUCUUAAACUUGGUUGAUUUGCACUUGAGAGCGUACGGCCUGAGAUGUGAAUUCUUCUAGUUUCGGAUUCUUGUACCUGAGUACCAAAAGUGGAGAGCACUAGAAUAAGGGUCGAUAUCUCAAUUGCACUUGAGAUAAAAUUGGAUGGCAAAAGUCAAGGUGUGAAAAAUUCUUGUAUUGGGCCUGAGAUUGAACUUGUCAAGGCGAGUGGAUGAAUUGAUGCCAUCAUGGACUAGUCUCGUGCAUGUCUGGUGAGGGUUUCUAUAGAUGAUGGCCAGCUUUGCAGUCAUCGUGAAUGUUUAAAGAGAUAGUAUUGCAACUCGUUUCAUUUCUCCUAUACUUAUGAAUCCUUGUUCCAUGUUUCCUUGAUUUUGUUGCGAUUUGAUUACGAUUACAUAUGUAUUUCUUUUAAUUUCUUAUUUGACUACCAUUUUCUAUUUUCUACCCUUCUAUGAUACCCUAUACAAACCUGGUUUUGAUUCAUAUUUCUCUACAAGUUUUGGAUUAUAUAUGAGAUUUUGGGGACAAAGGUAUGAGUUUUAUACUGGUAUGUAAAUUUUGACAGAAUUAGGAUGAUCGUCUUGAUGGAGGAUGGUACAAGACACUAGUGGAGGUAAGGGAUUAUGGUUUUUUCUUGGGCAAAUUUGUAAGAAAGUGUAUAAUGGAGAGUGAGUUAGGGUGCAGAACUUUUACUUUAAGAAAUAUGAUUCCGUAUUUUAUUAUGUGUAUAAGUAAUGAUAGUAGUUUCUAUGGAAAGACCCAAGAACUCAUCUAUGUCAAAUGGAAAAUAGUUAAGACUUAUAUUUCUUGGGUGACCUAUAAGCAAAGGAAUGGAAGAGUUAUAUGAUCAGAGUUUCCAAUUGUGAUUAAUUACUUGUUUCAAUCCUUUGAUUUGCUCGACAGGCUAUUAUUUGAUUUAAAUAAAUCGGUGGGAUGAUAAAUUUGGGAGAUAUGUAUAAGGAAAUAGACAUUCUUCGAAAGGAAGUAGAAUUUCAAAAGAAAUUGACUGACUACUGGGAAGGAUGAUGGAAACAAGAAUAUGCGGAGAAAAUUGAGCUGCUGCACAAGAACAUAGAACUAAAAAAAGAAAUAUGAAGGGAUCCUGAAAGAGGUGUGGAAUAAGUUUGAAUUGGUGCAUUUGCCUAAUCAAGUAGCAUCUCAAGACAAUACUAGCAAUCAAGUUAAAAGGGGUGAAAAAAGUUUUUAUGAUACUAAAGGGAAACAUAAAAAGAUUGGUGGAGAUGAACUUGCUAUGAAGGAUAAAGGAAGAAAGAAAAGAAAGAAUGGACACUUCAAGAAGAGAUUCGUAGCUACUAAAUGUGAAACCUGUAACAAAAAUCAUACUGGAUUAUGUUAUUUGAAAACUGGUGCAUGUUUUAGAUUCGGCGAACUUGGACAUCAAGUGGGAAACUGCCCAACAUAAAUGAAUUUUGCGAUGGUGAAACUACGGUAAUAGUUGAAGUCAGUAAUUAGUAAUGUUUUAUUUGAAUAAUUGUAUUUAUUGGACUAUGUGUAGUGAAAGUUUUAUGUAGUAAUUUGUAUCUCCGUUGAAAAUAGUAAACUUGGCGUCUGAUGUUUUAAUUAGUGAUGUUAAAUGUCUGUGUCUAUUUGGAGUUAAACCCUUAUCCAUGAUUCGAUUUCUGCACUUUAUUCUUGGGUUUGAACAAAGAUUCUUACAUGUGCCUAGUAUUGAAAGAAGGACUUUCGAUUAGAAAAGGUAGUAUGUGUUUAGUAAUUCAAAUGUGUAAGCCUCAUGAGAGAGAAAGCUUCUAGAAAUCAGAGGAAACCCCAUAGAAAAGAGACCUCAAGUUUAUUUUGUGAGCAAGGGUUAGAAUUUCGAGAACGAAAUUCUUUUAAAGGGAAGAGAGUGUGAGACCCCGCAAAUUAGGUUCUUAUCUUUUAUCUUGUUUUUCUUACUUGCCUUGAAUUUGUAGUUGCUUUGAUGAUUGAGGUGUGUUCUUAACCCUAUUACUUUAUUUACAUUAGCGCAUGUUUAAUUUGAUACAUGUUUAAUUUUAUAGUGCAUGAUACUAGUGUGAUCAACUAGUGAGGUACGUGCGAUAAAUUUGGAGGAUUAGAAGGAGUUUUACAUAAAAGGAAUUAUAUGACAAGAAGUGUUAAAAAUUUUAAAAGGGCAUUAGAUGUGUUAGUGAUUAGAGACAAAUAGAGAGGCAAAAAGAUAGAAUACAUCUUUCCUUGACAUCUGCCAAUUAGUCAACCAAACUUGACCAACCAAGUUUGACUAAGACCAUGCUUUCUUCUUCUUAUCUUGACCACAUCUUUUUGUUUUCAUCAUUUUCUUCUUCUUGCACAAUCAUGGACGAAAUUUUGAGAGAGGAAAAGGAGAGAAAACACAAAAAAAUUCAUCCUCGAUCUCUUACUUAAAUCAUGAAGAAUCAAACGAAAAAUCCUAAUCUACUCCGAUCAAUCUUGAGGUAAGCUUGGAGAGAAACUUUUGGUAAAGUUUUAGAAGAAGAAAAUCUUUCAUCCCUCUUGAUUUGCUUGUCAUAUUUGGGUUUGGAGGUAAAGAGUUGAAUUUGGCUAGAAACCUUAGUUUUCUCUUGUUAUCUUUGAUUUUAUUUGAGGUUUGAUGUUAUAGAAGCUAAAAGAAGUAUGUUUGUGAUAAUUUCAUGGAUUUGCUAGGGUUUGUAUGUAUAUGUGAUUAUGAUGGAUUUCUUGUUGAAAUUUUGCUUAUAUGUAUUUAUUGUUAUGUUGGUGAUGAAACCUUAUGGAUUUGUUAGGUAGGUUUGGUUGACAAAUUACGAAAUUAAUUGGAGGAAUGUUUGAAAAUUCAUUGGAGAAAAUUCUGUCUGCUGGCCGAAAUUUAGGGCUGAAAUUGCAGCCUUGAUUUCUAAACUCUGCACAGCUUUGAAAAAUUGGUUAUAAUUUCGUGUAUAAAAUUUGGAAUUGAGUUCCGUUUGUUGAGUUUGAAAAUAAAUUCAGAGUUCUUUCUACCGUGAAAAUUUCAGAAUUUUUCUCAGUUCCUUUGAAUAUAUGUGAUUUUUCAAAUUUGACUAAAUUUCCACAUCUGUUCUGUUUUCCUAUCCGAUGAAGCAGCAACUUGAGACUGGAAUUUAACUGAUUUGUGGAUAGAAUCUUACGAAUGUGUCUUCUGGGAAAUUGUAAUUCUUUGAGUCUAUUUUCCAACAGUAUAAAGUUUAUAAAUUUUGGAUUUAAGAAACUUGAUAUAUGAUUUUUCAAAUAGCAUUGCGAAAAACUGGAGAAAAUUCUAUUCUGCAAAAGUUGUUCUUGCUUUCAUUUCCAACUUCAAGUUGGAGUUGUAGAACCAUUUUAAGCUUGGUUUUAUGAUUGAAAUUGAGAUGACUUGGUUGGUUUGGAAGUGUUUUCCUUUGAAUAUGGUAGUUUGGAGUAGUGGAUCUCAUGACACUUUACAUACUUGAUUUUAGGACUUGAAGGUGAGGCCGGAAGUGCUCCUAAGGCAAACACUUAAGCUUGUUGCCGUGGUGAGUAUUCCAACUGCGUGUCCUUGCUCAUUGUUAUUAGAAAUUUGCUAGACACUUGAUUUGAUAUUUCAUAGGCGAGUGUAUAUUUUAUCGCACUUGAUCUAAAUUGACUAAACACUAGAUAUCUCAUUCAUGUAUGUACAAGUAACUUGAUUUGCAUGUGACCUAUAUAUUGACUUGAAAUACUUGAAAUGCUUGAAAAUGUGACUUGUUGGGCAUUACUUGUGACUUGGUCAUGGUUAGACGAGUGUGUCCUUAUUCGCACUCGACCUCCAUGAACGUGAAAUAAUUGAUCUUGCGUAGGAAUUUGUAUGUUUAUAUGCAUGGUUGUAGACCGACUGCAUUUCUCUUGCAGCGGUUGAACUGUAGAUCGACUGUAUUCCUCUUGCAGCAGUUGAAAAGUAGUCCGGUUGCAGUCCUCUUACAGCGGUUGAAUUGUAGACUUGCUGUAUUUCUCUUGCAGCUAUUGAACCAGGCCUUGGAUCCUUAUCCGAGACCUCAGGUAAGUGAAAACUUGAGUUACUAAUGAGUAUGCGUGAAUGUAGGUCGGUAACAACUGAACUGAAUCCUGGUUGGACCUCUUGUUUGAGACCAGUCUCAGAGCGGUUUGGUAAGUUGAGCAAUCUUGGGUAAAGGAUGAAAUUCCUAACCUGUUUACUCCUAAUUGGAAUUCUUGAUUUGAACUUGUGAUAUUUCUAAAUACGAAGCGUUUAGUGACAACUAACGUCUCCAAUCAUUACCUACGUGAGUGUUGGAUGAUAGCCAACUGCUCCACUCUUGAAUACCUGAAUACUUGAUUCUUGAAUACCUGGGGCUAUAAGCCCAAUCCCAUGACUAGUUGGUCAAAUUAAGUCGGUAAAGGGUUUGGUCGAGCAGAUUGACGAACCAGGAAUACUUUUGGUGUUCGGACUUGGUAGGGGGAUGAUCAGUGGACGGAGAUUGACAUUUAGUGGUGAUCUACGGACAUUAUAAUUUUCUAGUUGACGGAGAGUCAACGAAUCUUGAACAAGCAGCUGUGGAACCUGCUCCUGAGAGUAGCCUAUAUCCUUUUGACAUAAAUGUGUUCUUUACGGUAUAUUAAUGCAUGAUCUAUCUGGUUACCUGAUUACUAAACCAUAUAUCACAGUCUGCUUGAGUAUGACUUGUUUUUCGAUAUCCUGUGAAUAGUAUCAUGUAUGUGAGUUUACUUGCCUAUUUUUUUGGAAUCUCACUGGAUUUUUAACUCAUUUUAUGAAUUUGUUUUCCUUACAAGGAUGAGAGCAUGAGAGGUUGAAUUGGAGAAGGAAUAGACUUUGUCUAAGUUUUGUUAGUUUCUUGUGUGAGCACUCUUUAGAAUUUCUAGGUUGCUUGCGUGAUUUUGAUUUUGUAAAUUCGACUCCGUGGCUGUAUUCAUAGAUUAUACGGGCAUUUGAAAUCUAUAACUGUACACAUUGAAGGUUGUAUUUGUUAUCGCCUUUAUUAUUGAUGUUAUUUGAUGUUCUAAAAUUUCGUAGUGCAUGAUCGAGUCCUGGCGAGAGUUGGGCAACCGAUCCUCCAAACUCUUUAGUAUGCCCUAGGGGGAGGUGGGGCUGUCACAUUAAUAGUUAUUGCAAAACAGAGUCUAGCUGAAAAUUGUGUUCUCUUGAAGGGUACUAUAUAAAUAUUAGCAUCAGAACACUGUAAUGAGAUUUUAGGAUAAAAAAUUGUUUUCCAGUAUGAUUUCCAACAGUAAUGAGUGCUUCGAUAACAUUAGUAGUAAAAUCAAGUGAAAGGUAUCGAAUCUGUGCAAUAUAAUAAUGUUAAUCGUAGUUGCCAACAAAAGCAGUUUUGAGUCAAUUCUAGUACUGGAACAGGGACUCUGGAUGUGCAAUAGGUUACUAGAUUCACUCUGGUUCCGAAAAAUUUGCUAGAUCUGAUAUACCAGAAUGUAUUUACGAGAACUUAUUAAUUUGUAUAUAGGGCAAGUCGGGUCGUAUUCUCAGGAAUUGGGAAAAAUUUGCUCCUUUUCAAGCCAAGGGUAAAUGGGGAUUUUGAGAAAUUAAAAGACCUAAAAGAAGGUAUUAUAUCAAAGCAAUGAAAAUGCGAGAAAUAAGCAAUGGAAAAAACUCUAGUCAAAGUUACACUUUAGAAGUGGUUCAGGCAACUGAUCAUUGAUUCAAAUAUAAUUCCAACAUUCAUUAAUAAACAGGUUUUUAAUUGCCGAUACGAUCUGACAAUCAAUUCCUCCGUACUAUUUCGAUAGUCAAGGUAUGACUAUUGACUAUUUUUCUAAUUUAGAAAUAACCCUAGGUACGACUAUAGGAUUUAAUUCCUCAAUUGCUUUAGAAAUUAGAGAAACCCUGUUCUAAUUAAUAAACAUGCUACGAGGAUUUAUUUAAAUUAAUCUAUAUGUUCUCCUGACACAAAUCCAAUUAUGUCAGUUGCUACCGGGAUGGGUGUAAUCAAAUAAUUACGGAUUCAACUACCCCCAUCAGCAAAUAGAUUAUGUGAUUAAUUAAAUAUUACACAACUAUUCAAUCAUACACAAUAAUCAUAGCCACAAAGAGCAGAAAACAUACAAAUACCAAUGAAUGAAGAAAGCAAUUAAAAUAAUUUAGAUCUCACAGUUAUCAUUGAACCAAAUCUUCAGUUGUUCUCUUGACUAGAAAUAAAAAGUUAGUUCUCCAUUAAUGGAGAACAAUCCAUGUGAAUGUUUUUUUUUAAAAAAAGAGACUCCCCAGGACUUGACUUCCACCCUCCUUUAAAAGAAAGAAAAGGCCAAAAAAAUUAAAAGAGUAAAAGCCUCCCAAGAAGAAAGCUUGCAGAGCCGACAAUAUCAAAUUUGAUCUCCCAUGGCCCAAUUGCCUUGCCUUAUUGAUUGGUUUCCUAAUACCAAUCAAAUUCCUAAAAAGUUUCCUAUCACAAUUCAAUUUCCUAAAAGCUCUCCUCUUCUUGAGAAUGAUCCCACGAAAUAAGGAAAGUCCCGGCAGCCAACAAAUUAGAAAUUUGACUUGGAUUGGGAAACUGACCAAUAUCAAUCCUGACUUUCCGCUCUUGAGCAGUGAGCAAAGGUGCGCCCACAUGCAACCAUCAAAUUAAUUGGAAAAUUGCCCCUUUUUGUUACGUUUUGCUCUUUUUCCCUACAAUUAGCACCAUUAACCAAAUAUAAGUAGAAUCCAUCAAUUAACGCAAUAUUUGGUAAAAUAAAAGAGGGAAAUAACCAUAAAAUUAAUGAAAAAAAUGCAACCUAUCACCAAGACAGAUUAAUCGUGUUCCAUUGCAUAAACCUUCUCUUGGGUUCAAGUUUCUAAGUAAUAUAAUUAGACUAUUGACUUUUAGAAUCAACUCAUGCGGUGGCAGGCUUAGAGGUUCUAAUGAAUGCAAAAAGUCUUCAUGCCUGCUUGUUUUGAUUGGUCUAUAGUUUCAUCAUAACUUAAAUAUUUAUGUUUUGUGCCAGGAAACAGUGUCAUCAGGAGAUUGUUUAUUUCAUGCACAAAAUCAUUUUUAGUAGUUAGUAUAGCUCUGUUAAGUGUAUGCAAUUAGCGUGGACCAAAAGCUGUUAGGUCAGGAAAAAUGCUGCUUAUUAGAGCAAAAAGUGAGGAUCGAUCAUCAAUAAAAGGCAUAGUAAGAUGGUGCGACAAGACUAUUCUGAAGUCACCAAAACAAGGCAAAGUUCCAUUACCAAGACUUAAAAGAAAUUCUGAGAAUAAUUUAUGUAAAUGUGCACACAUGUUUUCAACCAAGUGGAGCUUUUCAAGAUAGUUCCAAACAUAAGAUUUUGCCAAACUGGUAGAAAUAUAAUCUUCUUUGUAACCUUUGACUACAACAGGUAAUGUUUGACGAAAGUCGCCACCAAAUGCUACAACUUUGCCACCAAAUAUUAUAUCUGAAUCUAUUAUAUCCUUUAUCAGCAUGUCAAAGCACUCAAUAGCAUAUUUUUUGGCCGUCGUUGCUUCAUCCCAGAUGAUUAAUUUGACUUGCUUGAUCAAUCUUGCAGUGCUACUUUGUUUGUUAACACUACAGCCACUAUCAUUGUUUUCAUGAAUUGGGAUCUUAAAUCGUGAGUGGGUUGUACAUCCUCUUGGAAGGAUAGAAGCAGCAACACCACAUGAUGUUGUUGCUAAUGCAAUUUCGCCUUUAGACCUUACAAUUGCUAGCAAAGCCUUAUAUAAGAAUGUUUUGCCUGUUCUCCAUUUAUGAAAAAUGUUCUGGUAUGUCAUUCUCAAUGCUAUACAUGAUUUUAAUAAAAGUAGAUCGUUGUUGAACAUUAAGGAGAGGAACUGAUGCUGUGUCCUCAGCAAAGACUUUGAUGUCUAGCUCAACCUCUUUUUCUUGUGUGUCUCUUUGAGUGGAAAAAUCAUCAAUGUUAGGUACAAUUAUCUUGAAAUCAGCGAGAUGUUUGCCUAUAUAUUGUAGAUGGGAGUCAAUGAGUUGGAGAACUUUUAGCCUUGCCUGCUCAGCUGAUAAAGAUCUGUCCUUAGAAAUAUCUUCAGACAGGUAUGGUUCAAAUUUCUGCCAUAGGAGCAUUGGAUUAGGAGGUGUUACAUAGACCAAAAUGAGAGCAAAAAGGUGACCGAGAGUAUAAGGCAUCUGGAAUGAUACAGUUUCAAAUAAUCAUUGUUCUGCACUAUCAUCAGUCUUUAAUAAGCCUAGAAUUUCUGCGGCUUCUCUAAAUGUUGAACCUGUUCUCAAGCCAAUGUGUUUUAGGCUUUCAUAAGACACAGGGCCUUUGACAUGCAUUAGUAGGAUCCGCAAGUAGUAUUUUCCACCUUGAGUUGGAUGCACUAAAACUAGUCUUCCAAUUGUGCUUCUUCUUUGUCUUGGUCCCCAUAUUAUGGGAGUUGCAUUCCAUAGAAAAUUUUGAGAAAAAUCUUUAUAGAGACAUUUGAGGUUUUUUGCCUGUCCAUCUAUGCUAUUCGUUCGGAAAAAUUUUGUGACCAUAGUUCGUGAUAUUCGUUCAUCCAUUGCAACUCUUUGAAGAAUAUCAUCCUCAUUGAAAACCAUUGAUUGUUCUUCUUCUAGAUGUACCUGUAAUGCCAUGAUAGAUGGGUUCAAAUCACGAUUGAAAGCAAAUAUUCACCAUGCUGCUUUUGGUGCACAUAUCCAACGUCUAGAUUGGAAAUUUUUUAUUUUGUCAAUUGCUCCAUCAUUCUCUACUGCAUUAAGCUGAUACAAGAUCUUUGAGUGUCCCUUGUAGAUGUAUUUGUAAAUAUAUUUAAUAGCUUCAAUUGUGGAGCAAACUUCGACAUUGAUGCGACAGUCAUACUUACUUGCCAAUAUGGAUUGUAGGGAAUGACCCAACAAUUGUCAAACUAGAAAUGACGGGUCGUAGCAAUGCUUCCAUCACGACGGCGCAUGUAGAGAGGAUAUGAAUUCUUAUUAUAUCUUGUGAAUUCAGUGAACUCCUUUGGAUAGCCAAAUCUGCAUUUUCCAUUUUGCUUCAUACAUGGGCAAUUUCUAUUAGCUGUUCCAUAUGGUCCAUAUAAUUUAUGAACAACUACAAGAGAAUGGAGAUAUGGAAAAGAAACUGGAUCUGGUAAUUCUGCAGAUACAAUGUGACGAUCCCACCUCCUCCUAGGGUGUACCCUAGGGUUUAGCGAGUCGCCUGCCCAACUCUUGCCAAGACUCACUCACUCAUAACUUGAGAAAAUAACUUACAUCCAUAGAAAAUAAAUAACACAACAAUUUCAAACUUAAUAUAUACAUUGAUACUUAGAUCCAGUUACAAGGUUUAUACACGCCCAAAUACAUUAAAGUGUUAUGAUUCAAGUACAAUCAACCCUAGUCGGGGUAUAGCGCGAGUACAAUUUCAAAUUUCAAAAACUAGACUAGUUUAGCCUGUACAAGUCUCAUGCCUCGCUCGUAUCCCCUGUAAGGAAAACAAAACUAACGGAGUGAGCUAAAACUCAGUGAUAUUCCAAAUAGCAAAUUGACCAUUAAUUAAAAGUGAGAGUAUCAUAAUAGUGAAAUAGCGAGCAUAACAAGUCAAGAAAAUGAGAAAUAACACUUCAUAUGGCCAAACAUUAAAUAUUCAGCAUUUCACGUAAAAGGAUACAGUUGCUUUUGUAAACCAUCUCCACCAUAGCUUGAUCAAAUAGUAGUUGACAUUCCGUCAACUUUCAAAUAAGGUAACUAGUCCAGUAGUACACCACUUAAUUCCAAUCUCCAUCCACCAACCAAAUCUCUUACCGGGCCUGAACUCCAAGAUAAACACUGGUGGUAAUACUUGAGUAUACCGAUUAAUCGAGGAGAUAACACUCUACUCGACAAAACUAAAGACCCAAGAUUCGUUAUCGAAUUGACCAAACCCUUGCCAGCUCGACUCGAUUAACUAUCCACAAGGUUUCUGGAAUUCCAGACAAUAUACGGAUCAUAAGCAUGUACAUCAAUUCAAUUGCAAUCAAUGAACAAGAAUAUAUCACAUUAGGGCAAGUGCAAUAAAGUACACUCUUGUCCGAUCAAACCAAUCACAUAUCAUGUAAUCACAUUGGUCAAGUAUUGAACGCAAGUAUCAAGUUCAAUCAGGUAUUUGAAAGCACUCACCAAAGAUGUAGUGCUUUUACGGAUCACGUUCAAGUAUUACUCCUUGUUUGGAGUCCAAAUCUGCGAUAAAAUAUCAUUUAAGAGUUUUGAAAAUCAACUAAGGUUCGAAACUUAAGUGUUUCGUUUAACAAAAAUCAAGUAAUUGACACUCAUUUGGGGAAUAUUCGUAUUACUUAUCAUGUCCUAAAAAACUCAUGCUCGCUCUUUUUGUUUUAGAAAUGAAGCGAUUAAAACUUUGGAAUUCCCAUUUGAGUAGAAGAGACGAGAAAAACGUAUUUCUAUUGAUCGUUACUUUCAUUUUUUUCCAAGGGUACGAGUUUCGGCCAAAUUUCAGCUUAUAUACCUCUACGAAAGAGGACUCGAAUAACCUAGACAAUUCAAGUUUAAUUCAACCUCAACUCUUCGCUUGAAUCACAAGUACACACGCCUAGUUCUCGAGUGAAAAUUUGGGCGGCAUGCCCUUUGUAUUUAGCUAUUUUUCAGCUAUUUAUGGCUUCAUUGUUUUCCUCAAAUUAUCCCCAAAGUCACACACAAGCAAUGUUACCACAAUAGCCCUUCAACCAGGUUUAAUGUCUUUCAAUUACAAAACAAUACUAGUAAUGCGACCGGAAACCAAGUUUAAGGACAAACAACAAAACAGCAGGUUUGACGUCUCUUGGCGUUUCGAUCAAAACUGAAGCUAUGCUUAUCGGUUUAGGGUACACUUUAUACCAUUUCGAAGCUAAGACAGAGAAUUACAAGUCUUAUGAAGAUAUUGAUAGCCAAUUCGUUCAUUUUCAAGGUCAAAAUGUGCAAUCUUAGAGAAAAUAGAACACUGCCCGCGCAAUAGGGCAUUUGGCAGUCAGGGAUAAUUUUGUUAUUUCACAUGAUACAAUACUCUAAUUGAGUUAAAAUUUUACAGGAAGCUAUAUAACUCCAUUUUCUACAACUUUCAUGUUUUGACCUAGGCCUGAUUCGGUCUCUAACAUGGACUAACAUACAGGUCAGUAACAGGACAGAUUGAUCUCAAAUUUCUAAAAUUUGAUGAUUCAAUGCUUGAAAUUCACAUUUAUGUCUUAAAUCACUACCCUAAGUCCCUAUCCAAGCUUAUCAACAUCAUAUGCUAUAUAAACAACACUAAACACAAUUGAAAUUCUCAAACCCUAGUUGAACAUUCCACCAUAUCAUCCAAAAUUAACCAAUUGACCAUCACAAGCCAAGAAUAUAAGCUUCUAACCAGCUUAAACAAGGUUAAGGAAGAGAAAAAGAAAGGGCAGCCAUAAUACCUCACCAAGGAUGCUUGCAAGAGAAAACCACAACCUUUCCUUCCAAAACUUUACCACACAAAGUUUCCUAAGUUUCCAAGUGAGAGUUUAAUCGGUUUAGAUUGUUGAUUCAACUAAAACUAAGCCAAAAAUCAAGAGUGCAAUGAAGUGUUUUCUUCUCUCUUUUCUCUCUCUAACUCUCGGCCACCAUGAGGGAUAAUGAGGAAUAAAUGAAACUCUAAGAAAGAUACGAAGCUAAGACUUGGUUUGGGUCAAAGUUGGUUGGAUGACUUCCAAGUGUCACCUUAGGAUGGAAUCUCAAAUUUUUCUUCUUUUCCUUGUUUUUCUUGGUCAAAUAUUUCGGCCCUCUCAUGGCUGAUGAAGAGCUGAUAUUUAUGAAAUAAUAACAAGAGGAUUAAGGUAAUAACGUGGUGGUCAAGUGGUGUAUUCAAUCAGUAGCGAACGGUACACUUCGGUUCACACCGUUUUUCCUUAACUCGCACGUACUAGAGUUUUCACUUACAAUUCACUAACUUAUUAUUAUUACUUCUAAUCACACACUUUUUUUUUAAUCUAAAACUCAUUCUUAACCACCAAAUUUAGUACACACUCCAUACCAAUUAAUCACACUACCAAAAUACGCAAAAAUCUUAAUUUACUCUAACGAUGAAUCUAAAGGAAAAACCCUUAAUUCUAUGAUUGAUUGCAGUUAUUGAGGGAGUGUAUGAGUAGAAUUAAUUCUAUGAUUGAUUUUACAAGUCCUCACAUACAACUCUAUCAUAAGGUUCAGGUGAGUCCAAUUUCCAUCCAUUUGCAAGGAUUAUAAAAAAAUGUGCAUGUGGGAGACCUUUUUUUUGAAAUUCUAUAACAUAUGUGUAUGCCGCAACUUUGCCAAAGAAACUUUUUUUUUUUUUAUAAUAUCAUUUCUAAGCUCUCUAGUUUUGUGCGGAGUACUCUUGUUGUUAGAUUAGACCUACUGUGUGCUUCUUCAUGAUCAGAUAGAUGUUUCUUGAUCUCAAGCCAAGUUCGACUACAAGUGACUGUUAGGAAUAUAUCAAGUUUGCCGUAUAGUUGAACCAAGAUCAUGGCAUCCAUAUAUCUUCAUUUCAUAUCUCUAGGACCUCUAAUAAAAGAAGCAGGCAAAUAUAUUCACUAACCAAUAUUUGAUGCAGAUGUUUAUCCAUUUGCAAUACUAUCUAAAAUUCCUUGGUAAACAUCAGUUCUGAUCUAUCAUUGUCUAUUUCGAUGAAAAUUCAACCUUGUUGAUUCUAUCUUUACAUAUGUAUCGAUGCAGAAUUGCUGAAACAGUCUCCCACAUUGUAGCAAUAAAGACUUGUCAAUUUCACACAUCUGAAAUUUGUAGCAGUAGUAUUCACGACAAGAGACUGUGGUCCUUUUUUCUUUUUUCUGCAAAACUGGUGUAAGACAAUAAACUUGUCAAAAGAUAUCAUAGACUAUAUGAAUCAGAAAAAGAUAGUAGCAAGGAUUAUACAUAACAUAUAUCAUAUUUUAUAAAUUACCUACAUUUUCAGCUGAAACUAUUUCCUCUGCAGUAGAACAACGUCCUAUAUGCAUAUCAUGGCCAGGACAUAGAAUGUGACACAGACUGUUGAUCCUUCAAGAUUCUUUGUAUACCUUCAUGCCAUCCAGUCUCAUCUCUUGUAAAAAUUAGUGGAUACUGUAACAUGUCAUAACAUCCAAAAUAAUGUUUAAUGAUUCGUGAUUUACCACUUCUUGGAUAUACUUGUAUAUGCUGCAAAGAAUCUCCUAUAUUGAGGUCAUUUUUUGUCCAUAUGCCAGCCACUUGAGAGACUGCUGGAGUGUUAUAGACACGUUAGUCUAGAGAAGGGUGCGAGUUUAAGAAGACUUUAUGGUUAUAAAUGUAUUCGAAGUCUCUUAAACUACGAAAGAAUGCAGCAUACGGAUUAUGAUCUAGAAUCUACUGUAGUUGUUGAAGUAUACAUUCUCGAAAUUUAUUAUAGAUGGCCAUCCGAUUAGUAGUUUCAUGCUCAGUAUCGAAAUAGUAUAGCUACACAUUUGAUGGUUUUUGACAUCCAAAGGAACUAGUGGGUUGAGAAAAGUAAUACAUUUGGCCCUGCACUCUAAAUGCAUAGAUUCCUCUGUCUCUCUUAUUUAGCUCUUUAUCGCAACAAACUCCCAGAGAUAUGAAUGCGAACAUGUUAUUAUAGCUUCUAAUACAUUGGCAAAAUUUGAUUGCUUCGGGAGUAUUAGUAGUGUACAAUUUGGCUAAUUGAGGAAGCAUUUCCAUCUCGACCAAUCUAAUCUCACUAGAAGCACAACAAAAACCAGGUGGCUCAAGAUAAAAACGUUUAGUACCACAGAAAACACAAUCUUCAACAACCGGUAAAACAGACAGUUCAGUAGGAAUCCUAUCAAUCUGAUGAUUUCUUUUUUUUGCCUUUUGCUGAUGACCUGUCCUAGAUAUAGAUGCAUUUAUUGAUUGUCUUAGGUAAUAGAUAGACUUUUAAUAUAUAUUUGCAUUUUGUUUUCGUGUAUUGGUAGUCGUCUGAGGGUUGAGAAAGACUGUUUGUUGUUCAACUGGAUAAAGAGGAAAACAUGUGUGAAGGAAUUCAAACAAACUUCCAUAAAACUGAUAUUGAAUGAUAGACAAAAUUAUAACACUGGUAGAGCGAUAACUACCUCUAGUACUGGGUGCAUUCAUAAAAUGUUAAUCACAGUGAACAUGGCUGUCAGAAUUUAUAAACAUACAAUAUUUAUAUUGUCUAAAGUUAAAAAUCGAAUGGAAGUAUUAGGGGAUUAAUUUCUUUGAUUCAAUAAUUUUUAGAGAUUGUAAUUAUGAAAAGAAGAAAGAAUUUUUUGAGAUUCUAACUAUAUUAUUAAUAUAUGUAAUAAAUUUGAUAUUUGUACGAGUUUUCUUGUCUUUUAUUUUCGGCAACGAAAUUUGUGCAAAUAUGGUAAAACAUCCCUCAUAUGUAUGUCAUGGACAUUUGAGACUUUGUAAAACAAAAAGUGCUGUUGUUAAAAUAACUUUGUAUCACAGCGAGCUAAUUAUUUUUGGACCGUUGUAUACGUGAACUAAAUUUAAUUUAAAUUAUACAAAACAUUUGUACGUGCAAGUGAAUUUCAUUUAAUUGUUGGAUCUUUUUUUAUAUGAACAAUCUGGCAAGGAAAAAAGUCCAGAACACAACAAAUUUCUUUAUAUUGCGUAUUAUACCAAUUUUGUCAAUUUGUUAUUGUUGUACUAUUUCUUACAUUGUUUGGGCUUUAACUCUUAUUAAUUCUUGUGUCCAGAUGUAAAUUUAUUAAAAUUGUAUCAUCUUAGUAUAUUCGUAGGUGUUAAAAUAUAAAAAUUGUGAUAUAUAAACAAGUGAUAUUCUAUAUAUAAGUAUGAAGAUUGUUGUAAUUGGUAUUCAAACCUUCAAACUUUUUAAAAAUAGAAAAUUAUUAAAAACUUAUAAUGUGACACGUUGUUAAUAAUUUUUGUCCAAGGUCAUCAACAAAGUGAAACUUCUUUUCAUAGAAUUUAAAAAAAAACAAAAAAAAUUAAUUAAUAUCUAAAAUCAUUUAUUAUAUAGGUAUAUUAUGAGUACUUACUAAGUUAAGUACUUACAGCCUUAAUGACUAGUAACCUCUUAUCAUUAUUUAAAAUAAACUUCAUAAUAUUAGUUUGACAACAGUUUUUAAUGUAAAACUGUACAUGUAUUGCAAAAAUUAGUAAGUGUUAAUCGUUAUAAAAUCUACCAUGUUACUACUAAGAUUUAGUAUCAAUGAAUAAAAGCUUAAUGUUAGUUGAAGUAAACUUACUUUCCAAAAUAGUGUGAAUUUACCGAAACCGACUAACAACCAUUCGUAAUUAAAUUUGGUUGAAUCUGGUGUUUUAUUGGAAAACGAGUUUAUUUUUAUUAUAUCCCAUAAGUAAAUGUGUUUGCAGGUUUAUGGGCAUUUUGUUCUUAUAAUGGAGGAAAGCCAAAAAGAGCUGGUGUUUUAUUGGAAAACGGGUUUAUUUUUAUUUUAUCCCAUAAAAUAAAAAUUGAUCAGGGGUUUAUGGGCAGUCUAUUCUUAUAAUGGAGGAAAGCUGUAAAGAGCUGGUGUUUUAUUGAAAAAUGGGUUUUUUUAUUUUAUCCCAUAAAUAAAUGUGUUUACGGCUUGAUGGACACUCUGUUCUUAUAAUGGAGGAAAGCCAUAAAGAGUUGGUGUUUUAUUGGAAAAUGGUUUUUUUUUAUUUUAUCCCAUAAAUAAAUGUGUUUACGGCUUUAUGGACACUCUGCUAUUAUAAUAGAGGAAAGCCAUAAAGAACUGGUGUUUUAUUGGAAAACGGAUUUAUUUAUAUUUUAUCCCAUAAAUAAAUGUGUUUGCGGGUUUAUGGGCACUCUGUUCUUAUAAUUGAGAAAAGCCAUAAAGAGCUGGUGUCUUAUUAGAAAAUGAAUUUUUUUUAUCCCAUAAAUAAAUGUGUUUACGGGUUUAUGGGUACUCUGUUCUUAUAAUGAAGGAAAGCCAUAAAGAGUUGGUGUUUUAUUGGAAAACGAGUUUUUUUCUAUUUUCUCCCAUAAAUAAUCGCGUUUACGGGUUUAUGGGUACUCUAUUCUUAUAAUAGACGAAAGCGUCUAUUAUGGAAAAUUGAUACUUUAUAGAAAGUGACCGCGAUUGGGUUUAUGAAAUUUCUGUUUCUUUCCCUUUUAGACCAACUGUUUUGACUUUGUGAAUUUCUGUGCACUGGGAAAACAAUUGUCGAUGAAUUUUUUUAAGAAUUGCAAAAGAAAUAAAUUAAUUAUGUAUAAAUUUCAAAAUUACUAAAUUAUUCACCGGACAAACUCACAGUAAAAUUUCUAGUGAAUAAAUGGGAUUAAUAUAUAAUACUCGUGUUCCCAGAAAAUUACUAUUUAUUUUUGGCUUUCCUCCAUAAAGUGCUCAUUUUCCCCUUUUCCAUGUCAUUUUUUUAGUGGUUGAAUCUUAUAUUUGUGAACUAUCUGUAGAUGAAAAAAAAAAUUCCAGACUAUACUAAUUUUAUUAUACUAACUCUGUUAUUCUUAUUAUUGUAUUAAUUGUUAUGCUAUUUCUCUCAUUUUGUUAGGUCUACAUUAAUACAAGUUUAAUUCUUAUUAUGUCUCGUGUCCCAGAAAAUACAUAUUAUCCUAUUGACGUGGAUACGUCCAACAGGUAAUCAAAUAGAUGCUAAAAAAUUUAGAAUGAAUAAGUUGCUUUGUAUAACGGUUCUAAAGGUUCCUUCAGACUUUAUAAAUUAGGUGUCUUGAGUUUGGAAAGACAAUUUCUUGCAUAUCUUUGUAGUGGAAAUGGAGUUUAAACUUGCUAUAGGUUAGUUUCCUGUUUUCCAUUGUAUGCUAAAGGGUAAUUUGCCAUUCAACCUAAUUUUAUUCUGAUUUUAUCCAACUAAUAAAUUAGCUAAUGAAAAAAAAUGAGAAAAUGGAUAACUUAUGGAGGAAAGCCAUAAAUAGCUGGCGUUUUACUGGAAAACGGGUUUAUUUUUAUUUUAUUUGAUAAAAAAAUUUGUUUAUGAAAAUAUGGGUACUCUGUUCUUAUAACAGAGGAAAGCCAUAAAGAGUUAGUAUUUUAUUGGAAAAUGAGUUUAUUUUUAUUUUAUCCGAUAAAUAAAUUUGUUUAUGGGAAAAUGGGUCUUAAAGAGCUCGUAUUUGAUGGAAAAUGAUACUUUAGAAUACCAAUGGAUAACAGUUAAAACACAAUCAUAGAUUUGACAUUUUAAAUAAUGAAGAUUGGUUCCGUUUGGAUUAAAUAAUGAAGAUCAUAGUUAAACACAAUCACAUGUUUUAAAUUACUUAUAUUAAAACUUCAUCGUCUUAUUAUAUUCAUAGGUUUAAAAUUAUAGAAAUUAUAUAGAUAAGUGAUAUUCCAUACAUAAGUAGGAACAUGUGUUGUUAUUAUUAUCCAAACUUUUAAACUUUUCAAAAAUUAUUCAAAUGUCUAAUACGACAAAAUUUUAUUACUUUAUAAGGUUUUGUCAAUGGUCGAAAUAUUUUAAAAUAAAUUGACCCAAAAUUUUUUUAAAUUAUACAUACAAUCAAGUAUGUAUACAAGUAUAUUAAGAGUACUUACAAAGUAAGGUACUCAGUUUUAAUCAUUAAUAAAACAUUUUAGUGUUAUUUCAAAUAACAAUAAAAUAUGGGCUUGGUAUAAGCUUUUUAAGCAGAAUAGAAUAUUUGUGCCAUAAAUUAGCAUGUUUUUGUCAUUAAUCAAAUUUACUAUGUUAUAAGUAAAAAUCACUAUUUAUGUAUAAAAACAUACUAUUAUUUGAAAUAAACUUACUCCCUCAAAAGUAUAUUUGGGAUAUAAAAUUGUAAUUUAUCUCUUCAAAAAGUACGUUUCAUAUUAAUUUCAAUUUACCUUUUGGACUCCCAUAAGUUACUAAUUUAUUACGUUAACUUACUAUUUUAGAUGAGAAACUUACUUCCUUAUUUUUACCCAUAAUCCUAUUCAAGUGGAUAAGUCCAACAGGUAAUCAAAUGGUCGCUAAAAUUAUUAUAACCUAUUAUAUCAUGUCUAAAACUGUUUUUUUAUUAUAACGAUAGUUACUAUACCAUUUUCCCGGAUGCUUAAGCUAAACACUUGAGUACUAAAUUUAUAUAUGUAUAUAAAUAUAAUGAAGGCUUGAAUCCUUUUGUGUUUCGAAUUGCCGCGGAACUACUACGUUUACCUCCACUUUUCCUUCUUCCAAAUUAUUAUCCCCCGCAUGUGUGAGAUUUAUAUUUGUUAUUUGUUAAAAUUUCGAUACUUUCUUCACGCACAUUUUUCGUGGAAUACCAAAAUGGGAGAAGCGAAGACAAAAGUUAAUUAAAUUCAAAUGAAGAAUUGCUGUGGUGUAGAAUUUUUCUCAGGCCUGGCGAGUACUCCUUGCCAAGCGCGUGGUCUGUGAUUCUUAGUCCAAAUGGUUUUGGACCACAAACAAUUCAACCAUGUCUAGACCAUGAUGUGUCGAUUCCUCGUCUGGACAUGCAUAGCACGCCUAUGGUAGGAACGGUCAAUGCGUUCCUACCAUAAAGGUUUCCAUGUUUUGAGUUUACAAGUCAAAUGCCUACAAACAAGCAAUGAUUGCUGCUGCAACAUCAAUUAUGUUUUGUUGUCCAAGUUUUUGAGCUGCAUAUUUUGGACAAAAACAACUUGGAAUAUACACUUGAAGUAGUAAAACUAUACAUGUUUCGUAACAAUUUACUCCACAACAUUGGCAAAGUUUCUGCUAUGACUUGGUUCGAUCAGGCUUUUGCUUUACACCAAAUUUUAAAAGCCAAAAUAUCCCAUUUUGUGUAAGUAUACAAAUCAUUUAUCAAAUAUAGGGGAUAUUAGAUGUCGAUCCCACAAGAAAUAUUAUCAACUACCGGUGUUAUUCGAACUCCUCUUUUAUUUAGAUUAUUACAAAUAAAGCAAAUGAAUCUACACUACCAACAUGCAACACAAGUAGUAAAAAUUGACAUGCAAAUAUGCUUAGUGUUAUGGAAUUACUAUCUACUUAUGCAAAUGAAAUAACCAAUUAAUUGAAUCCAUUAUUUUGGUUGGUUACGAAGUAAUUUCCAAAUAUAUGUGAUAUAUGCUUCCAUUGAUAUAUUAACUGUACCUAUAACUAUCCCAUUCCUAUUAAUGUGAUAUGAAACUAGCUAUAUAUUCGUUAAAUUCUAUAAAAUCGUAUGAAACAAGCCACCAAAACCACAAAGGUGUAACCUUAUAUUAGUGGGUUAACUCCCUCGAUUUAAUACUUUCAUGAACUAGUGUUCAAUCACAAUGGUAUUAGGUUCAUGAGUAAAAAGACUAUGUCCCAUAUUAGGUCAACAAACGAAGAAAGAUCGGUUAAUAUGUAAGUAAUGAUUCGAGACCUAAUAGUUUAAGUUUUGGGUCAGAGUUGAAUUCCUAACUUACAUAUUAGAUUCUUUGGUGGACUUUCUCGAAAUGUUUCUCCCCUAACAAGUGGUAUUAGAGUUUCAGGUUGUGAGACUGGACUACUCAUGGGGCAAGUGGAUUCUUUUCGGAGUUGGAUAGAUGAAAAUUCUCUUCUUAGUGAUGGAUUGAAGAGCCAAGGAGUUUGGUUGGUGUUGAACCAAGUGCGUCAUGGGUUUGACAAGGGAUCUGAUUGGUGUUAGACCAAGGAGUCAAAGGUUGACGGGAGUCCAGAAUCUAAUUUAGAUGUUGAAGAAGAGUGAGUCCGUGAUUUUAAUAGCAUAAAUGCACGACUGUAUUUCAACCUUUUGACCAUAAGAAUGCUUGAAUGGGAUUUCAAUACUUUAUAUGAAAUGUACAUCUAUGUAUUAGUUUCAAAAUGGUUUAAGAAUCAUUUCAAUUCAAAGCUUGUAACAUAGGUUAUAGCUAAAAUAUUAGAAGGUGUGAAAACUGUUGAAAUUUCCUUCUUUUAAACUUGAUUGCAUUUCAUCUUUUGAAUAUAUUGCACUUCAGAUUCACUUUAAAUCAUUUCAAAUCAUCAAAAAUCAUCCAAAUAUAUUCUCACUUCGCAACAAUUAAUGAUUGAAUCAUUAAAUCCAACAAAAUAUGAAAUUUCAACCACUUAAAUCCAUAGAAAUGCAAUUUUUCACAGUUAAACCAUAAAAUGCAAACUUCACUAGAAAUCUAAUUAAUUAACUAUAAAAAUAAUUAAAACACACCAAAAUUAAGCUAUAAAUACACUUAAAAUAUACAAAAUAAACACUUAUCAUUCUUAUCACAAUAAUGAAGAUAGUCUUGCUUAGUUUUUUGCACUCUUCAUAAAAUGGUUAUGCAGAAUGUCUUCUUUUGUUGUGCACACGUAUAAAUAUUUUCUCACAUUAUUUGAUGAAAUAUUUUUAAGUAAAUAGAGUAUUUAAAAAUAAUUAUUUUACCAAUAAAUAGUUGAAAAAAGCAUCAUGAAAAGAAAAAAAAAUAUAAACGGUAGGAAAUAGUCUUGUCUAAGAAGCACAAAUUAAUUGGUAAUGAGAUUGGCUUUAAGAGAGUGGAAGGAAAAUUAAAAAAAAAAAGGCUUCAAUGCCUAGCAACUAUUUAUAUAUGUAGGCUGUCUUUGUAUCCAAAGAAAGUAAAAAAUAGCGGUUGUGAUUAGAGUUGUCAAUGGGUUGGAUCAACCUCAAUUCAGACUCAUCAAUUCAAUAUAAUUCAAGUCAAGCCUUGCAUAUCAUUGGGCUCUAGGGCUAGGUUGAGUUUGGAGCUCAAAAUAAUGCAUGAUUAAAUUGUGACCCGAGUUUGGAUUUAAAGGGGCUCAACCCAAUUAAAACCCGACUUGAACAAUUAAGUACAUAAACACAUAUUCUUUUAUUCAUAAUGAUUUAUGUUAUUUAAUAAUUAUAUAUUAUAAUGUAAAUAGUUUAAGAAUUAUAUAUAAUGAUAAAAUAAAAUAAAUAUUACAUGCAUAUUGUUCUUAAAAUUAUGAAUUAAUUGUGAAUUUGGGCCAAACUUGAAUUGGGCCGAAAACUCUUGCAUCUUGAUGAGUCAUGUAUGAGCUUUAUAGAUUGAGCCCAAAGACUGAAUCCCAGAGCCCUGGAGAUCUACUUUGUUUUUGUAAGAAAAACUUGAACUUUUCAAAAUCCAACUCAUAAGAUCCAAUUAACACCUUGAACAGUGACGGAAAAACACAUGUAUAAUUUCGUUCCAGCCAUCUAGUUGAACGGGUAGCAAUAGCGACAAAGGAGGGAAGAGGGGAGGGUGAUGGCGGGGGCGAGUGGAAGAAGAAAAGGUGGUAGAAUUUUUUUAAAAUUUCUUUGUGUUUUUAUAAGUUAUAUUUGAAAUGUGUACUUUUGGAGAUUGUUAUUGUAGAUUUUACAAACAAAAAUAGUUUGUGAAAAAAUAGACUAAUCCAAAUGAAGCCACAGUUUUAGUCAUUGUAUUUUUAACAAGAUUUAAUUUUUGUCUUAUUAAAUGACAAAUGUGCCUCCACUGGCUAAAGAAAGAUGGUCAUUUCAAGGCUAAAGAUUUUUUUUAUUUUAAUUAAUUUGUAGAAAGUCAAUUUACAUAUAUACUUAUAGGUAAUUUGAAAACAAUUCUCAUUGCAAAACUUAAAUGCCAGAAAUAAUGAAUGACUGCAAGAGUACAAGUCCAAUAUGUUUGGAUUGUAUUUUCCAUGAUUUUUCAUGGAAAAAUUACUGUAGCGAUUUGAUGUAUGUGAGGGAAAAAGAUAAUAGAGAAAUGUAAUCACGGAAAAUAAUGUAAUUUUUCGACAGAAAACUGCAAUCCAAACAAGGCGUAAGAAUUCCAAUUCGCAAGUGGGUUUUUAAAUACUAAAAGUUUGUAUUUCAAUGAGUUGUAGGGUAUAAUAUGUUCCUUGUAUAGUAUUAUUGUACUUGGGGAUAUGUCCGUCACUACUUCAGAAAUUGGCGGACGCCGGACAGAAGUAAUGAAGGCCAAAAAAAAAAAAAAAAAGAAUCCAAGGAAAUGACCACAUAGGAUUAAAAGCAAAAAUUUAUGGCAGCUGUGGAAGGAAAAGAACAAUCAACAACUGAAUGGGAGAAGGAAAAGCUUUACAGAAAUAGUUCAGAAAGCACGGAAUGAGUGAGAGGAAUAUGACAGAAUUGUAUUGCAUAAAGUGAAGCUUGGAAGCAGAGAGAAAACAAAAGAAGUGGCUGAAAGGAGUGACCAAGAGAUCCCAACAGACCAGGUUAAAAUCUCAGUAACAGCUAAGCAAGAUAUGGCUGGGAGGAGAACGGCAUUGUAGCAAAGAGAAGUAAUGACAUGGUGGAUACUGCAUGGGCACUAAUAGAACAGGCUGUGAAGUUUGCGUGGAUGGAUCAAAGCACAGGAGCAGGGAUGGAACAAGGUGCAAAUGGUACUAGGCAAUGAAGGCCUAAGAGCUAAAAUUCAAAAGACUGAUGGCAACGAUGCGAUACUGGGUACUGUGCAGGAAUGGUUCAGUAGGAUAGAAUUUGCCCACAGUAUACUUUCAUGAUGAUUAAUGUUCACUAUUGAAUUCUUGAACAUUAGCAAAGGGCAAAAGUCGAAUCAUGAAAAUACCUUGUGGCCCUCAUGUUGUGAAUAAAUCAACAGCUCCUUAAGCUUUACAGCAUUCCGCAGAAUAAAUUUCACCAAAGUACUCUCCGUUGGCUUAGGAGAGUAGGAAUAUUCCAGUUUGAAUACCUCGAGGAAAGAUAGAUAUCCAGGCAACAAUUGAAUUUGAUCGUAGUCAUCAGCAGCUUGCCUCGAAAAUUCCUGUUUAACGAAGUCAAACGAGGAAGACAAUGAAAAGGACUACAGGUUAAACAUCAAGGAACCACCAAAGCACAUAAACGCAAAAGUUUAUGAAGCCUGCAAAAAAAAAAAAACACAAAAAAAAGGAAAAGCUAAUCUUUAUUUUACCGCUGUAAAUGUAAGUGAUUCAAGACCUGGUGCCAUUUUCGUGAAGUUUGUCAGCGCUGCAUCACACUGAAUUGCAAUGCUAGCUGAAUACACUUUGAGGUGGGCAAGCUUAUAAAAGAAAUUAGGAGGACAUCGUGGAUUGGCAUCAGCAAGCACCUUGAGGAGAUAAGGCAAUUAAGCUAGCAUUAGCAGGCUGAAAGGAGAACCAACUACUCGAUACUUGAAAUUAGUUUAGCUCAAUAAGAGAUUGUUCACAAUAGGUUUGCUAGCUAACCAAGUUAAACUUGAAUAGCAUCAACUUUCAAGCUGGGGCUCAUUAGAAUUUAUAGGUAAAAAAUCCAACCUACUCAAGCUUGCCUCGGUAAAACCUCAGCGUGAUAAAUAAAAAACGAAAGCUCAAAAACAAUUUCAAGCUUUUUUGAAUAAUCUAAGAAGUUUGAACAGUAUGAUGUUUGGUUUGAUUGGGCUUAUUUACAGCUGUAAGCAUCAGUCAAGAUACAACACAAGAAAAAGGCAUAACGGUAUUUUCUAGCAAGAUCAUGUACAUCAUGUAGCUAAUCAUUUAUCAGAAUGGCAUGACAUCUUCACUCAUGAGUCGUGAUAAAUCGAAGGCUGAGCCUGUUGCUUGCAUCUAUAUUCUUAUCCAGAGUCUCAAAUUGCGUGAAUAAUGAAAGACAAUAGCAAGAGGUAAUUGCAAAAUUAAAUUCUGAACAUUUUAAAGGAACAAAGUUGCUUAAAUUAGGUGAGAUUUAGAAACUGGCAUAAAGGAGAAUCGUUACCUGGAUCAGAUCAGUAGAUGGUUCUAGGAAUCUGAUGAAAGCAGCGAACCGUGUCAAGAUCAUACAGGCUUGAAAACCUGUCUUGCUUCUUUGGUUAAUAUCAUUAUUCAUGUCAGGUUUCCAAUACUCUAGAGAUGCAUCAACAAGUUUUGAUUGGCUAGAAAAAUAGAAACUGGCAAACUUAUCAACACUACAUUUGAAUUUUGUAAGGUUACUCCCACGAAUCUCUAUUUUGCAAUCAUUUGAUCCAUCAUUUGCAUGUAUAAAGAUGCAGCCUGUCAUCUCAAACCUAGCAAGCCUUGGCGCCUCUAUUUUAAGCUCCUUCACAUUCCUCCAUUUGCAAUCCGAUGACAGAAACUCUUCAAUGACAGGGAAGGUAAGAAACAGGGGGCUAGAAGGGUCAUCAUUCUGAAAUUCAACAUCAUGGAUAUCCAAGAUACGAAGGUUUGAGUAAGAUAUAUUCAUCGGAAUUUUGAUCUUGCAGAGUUUGAGUUCUAAUUUCAUCAAAGAAUCAGACGUGAAAAACCAACGAGGAAAUACCAAGACCCCAGCAUAUGAAAUAAAAAAGCCUCUGGACAUCAGCGCUUAGAGCAGCAGCGAUCCAAGUUUUCAUACGAAAUGGAUCAUACACGUCUAGAAACAAAAGGUGACACUCUUUGAUCGAUGAAUGCAUAGAAAGAGCAAGAACUCUGUCCACAAAGUUCAUAAAAUCUGUCUUUUUAGGCUGCUUCUGCCGUUUCCAUUUCCUCCGCCUGGGUGAGUAUCGAAAUCUCUUUCCAUCAUCAAAGGUUAGGUUUUAAAUGGAAGUCCAUUUGUACUCCCAUUUCCUUGACAAGACGCUAGUUCUAACAGCCUCCUCUGUUGGUAAACGGGAUAGGAUGUGACUCAAAAUACUUUUAGGAAGUUCACUGAUUCUAUCCUUUUUACCCUUCAAUAAUUCCUUGCUUCGACUUCUUUUCUGGUCCAUACUUCCAAUUUUUCAACUUAGACCUGAAACUAGCUAAGAUGACUUGGAUUUUGAGUUAGAACUGAAAUUGGUUGGUUGAUUCCUUCAAUCGUUGGACGCUAGAAUUCCAUAUUUGUAAGUUGGUCGGGAAAACGGAAGGGCUGCUUAGUUGCAAUUGACACUGUUCUUGGCUUCAAUAAUAAUUCUAUGUAUUUGGCAACAAGAAAAACCAAAACUGACUUUGCACUGGUACUAUGCUUAAACCAUACAUAAGCAUAUUUGGGAACUCAAAAGGUAAUCUGAUGGAGUCUCAGAAAAUGAGUAUUGUGGCAUUAAUAUAGAGAGAUGCUACAGGAUACGAGGUUCAUGAACUACUUCCAAACAUACACACAGGUUCCACUCCAAUAAUGGUUUAUCAUAAAUGCUAUCCAUAUUCAUCCUCUUGAGAAGUGAUAAAUAACAAAUGGUGUCCUUGGAUCUUUCAAAAGAUAGAAUUGACUGGUUCUGUAUGUAGCUUUACCAGUCCAUAUUGGAGGGGAAGUUCAUGAAUCUGUCACCAGGCCGGCUAUGGAACUGUGCAAAUAAAAUAAUUGAGAUAGGAAAGGCAUUUUCAUGCUCUCAUAUGCAGGACUAGGAGAUGUCAGCUAUUGAUAUUACGAAUUCCUUUGACAAAAAUUAUGCAUGAUUAUCAAAAUAGUAAGACACAAACCAGAAUGACAGGGAUGUUGCAUAAUUGCCCUUAGUGUGCAGCCAUUCUAUUGGCCUGUUGUAGAUCCUGGAUAAUUGAAUGUAUUAAUCAAUCUUGAAGUGACAUCGGAAAAAUAAGUACAGAAAGAUUUUUAAUCUAGUCAACUUUGAAUCUUACAAAGAACUCACUCUUGAUGUGCAAACACAGCCGUACAAUCUCACACCUAUGAUAUCUCCUCCAAUGCAGACAAUCUGAAGGAAAGAAACGAAACAGGCAGAAAACAGUGUGACCAAUCUUUCUUUGCAUUAUGAUAUACUUCUGCAGGUAAGGACUUGAGUACGUUUACAAUUCAUAACAAGUGCUAGUGAUCCAGUUAUAGGGCAAUUAUUUGCCUUCACAUUACUCCAUGAUAACGUUAUCAUAUAGCAAUUAGUGUUAUAACACGAGUUUUAUCUGACUGCUACAUUCACAUAAAUGCAAACCCUGAAGCAAUUGACAGCGUAUAAGAAUCCUUUGAAUAAAACAGUCUGUUGCGAAAGCAGCCAUAUAAACCAUUUUAAUGCAAGAAAAUAAAAGCACGAGAUAUUUACGUGGUUUUUUCCAAUGUGACCUAUAUCCUCUGGCAGAGAGAAAGAAUUCUUAUUUCCGAAAAAAAAAACUGACCAAAAGUGUCCACAGUAAAUCCUAGAACUGCUUAUUUAUACAUAACCCAAUUAAAAUGGUAUAGGCCAUAUCGUGCGCCUUCUCCCCCGCACCACUAAUUAAGGACAAUGGUUAUAAUUCGGGUCAGUUCCCGAAAUUCAAGGCACAACUGUUUCGGUUCUCCUUGCCAAACCUUCACGAUUAUUAUAUCUUACUUGAGAGAAUAGAAUUGUUGAACAUUAACACGCAAUGAUGGAGCUAAGGCGGGCUGAUGGGGGCCAUGGCCCCCUAAGUUUUGAAAAUUUUAAUUUAUAGUGUGUAACUAUGUGUGUAAAAUAAAGUUGGUCCUUCUAACUUUUUACAAUUUUAGUUUUUAUUAUGCGAGUUUAUGUAUAUAUAUUUAUAAUUAAAGUUAAUAUUUAAUUUUUUUAGAUGUCAUAUAUUUAAAUGGAUGGAAAUUAUUUUGAGCAUAGCAUAUUAAGAAAAUGUUGACCCCCUAGAAAAAAAAAUCCUGGCUCCGUCACUGUUAACAUGAGAGCAAAGGACAAAGACUGAAGCUGGAUUAUACAUUUCUCCAUCUGUUUUAGUGUGACGAAAAUCCUUUCUGCUGGUUUACUUCAAUUAUAAGUGAAAUACUCAGUGACUCCAUGAGAUUUUGGGCCUCAAUUGCAUAUUAUCAAUGGUAAAUAUGAGAUGGGAUGCACGUGUGGUUGCUACAUAAGCCAUAAACAGAGAAUUUGAGAGAGAGAAAGACAAAAGUCACAAAACAAACGAUAACAUAAUAAAGUAGUGUGAAGGAAAGAAAAAGAAAUCCAGAUUAGUGAAGAACUAUAUAUAUUUGCAAACCUGAGGAUAAACAAAAACAGAAAUUUAGGUAAUCUCAAGGAAAAAUCUUUAGCAUUUUCCAAAGGAAGUUCACUUGAAAAUCCUAGACUAUUCUCUGGGUAAGGGCAUUAUCACUUCCGAAAGGGCACCAUCGAUACAUGAUUUGAGCCUCAGGAAAACUUGAACAGCUGACCUGUACCUUGUUUCAUCAUCUGCCCGUCAUCCUGCAUGUAUAUUUACAAUCAUUCCACUCUGUCGCAUUCUGUUUUAAAACCUUUACCAAAGAAUUCUCCAUUGUGCUAGGAUAAUAGGAAUUUGCAAUUUCACUAUCUUGAGGCAAGUUAGACAAAAGACCCCACCAGGCAUCAAUUUGAUUCCCUUGUAGUUGUCACUUGUCAGCAGCAUUGUCUGCACAAACCUGUGUCGUAAAGUUACAAAAGAGAAAAUGAAAAUCGCCAGCUUUAACAAAUCAUAUGACAAAAAAUACACACAAAAACAAUGCUUAAGAGUUAAAUUGAACAUUACACUCAAUUGCCAUCAUAUUUAUGCAAGCCCGUAAACUUGUUUUUCCUUAGCUUCUGGGGGCAGGUGAAACUAUAACUUGAAGAGCUAACCUAGUAAUAAUAAGUGAUUGAAAAACUGUUGCCAUCUUCAAAAAGUGUAUCACCACUGCAUCAGUUCCUACUGCUAUCCUAGCCGUGUAAAUUUUCAGGUCGGUAAGCUUAUCAAGAAAUGGAAGAGGACAUGGUGGUUCCCUAUGAGAAAGUACCUUAGGAAAUAAUGGAAUAAAGCUAGAAUUAGUCAAGAUAUACAACAUGAGAAAAAAGCUAAAUUAAAUGUUGUAGCAAGAUCAUGUACGUAAAAAAAAAAAAGGAAACAAAUCAUACAGAAAUGGUAAGACCAUUUAAACCACUAGUACUUAUAACACAGACUAAACCUGCCCAGAACUCAUAUGUACAAUCUCAAAUUGGGUGAACAAUGAAAGAGAGUAACAAAAGAUAAUUUUGAUCAAUUUUAAAGGCAACAUGAUAGUCGAACUACUAAAAUUUAAGUAACCACAUCAAGGAGGAUAUUUACCUUGGCAAGAUCACUAGACAGUUCCAGGAAUCUAAUAAAAGCAGAGAACCCUUUUAGGACCAUACAGGCUUGACAGCAUAUCUCCCCACUUGGGAUAAGAUGAGUAUACUGCAAGCCCCGUACUGUACAGAUGCAUCAUCGUUUGUUGACUGGCUAGAAAAAUGGAAAUUUGCAGACUCAUUCGCACUACAUUUGGAUUCUUUGAGGCUGGUUCUACAGAUCUCAAUUUUCCAGUCAUUUCAUCCAUCGCUCACAAAUUCAAAAAUGGGGUCUGACUUCUGGAAACUAGAAAGCCAGGGUGUUUCGAUGUAAGAAGCUUCACAUUCUACCAUUUGCAGCUAGACAAUAAAAAUACUUCAAGGAAUGGGAAGUUAAACAAGUGGUAGUUAGAUUGCAAAGAGUAAUCAUCCUGAAAUUCAACGUUAGGGAAAUCUAAGGUUUGAAGGUUCAAGGAAUGUGUAUCAGUUGGAAUUUUGAACUUGCGGAGUCUCAGUUCCAUUUCUGUUAAAAGUAUCACAAGUGAAAAUCAAAUGAGGAAAUACCGAAUAGUCCCAUACAUAACACGAAGCCCUUGGACAUUAGCACUUAAAGCAGCAGUGAUCCAUGUUUUCACACGAGAUAGAUCAUACUUGUCUGAGAACAAAACAUAAAACUCUUUUGACAGUUGAAUUCUUACGAAUAGAAAGCACUCUAUCCAGAAAGUUUAUAAAAUUAGCCCUCUAGGCUGCUUCAGCUCCAGCUUCUUCAGUAGGGACAAGUAUCGAUCUCUUUUCUGUCAUUAAAUGUAAUAUUAUAAAUGGUAGUCCAUUUGUACUCCCAUUAAUGUGAUAAAUAAAACACUGGUUUUAACUGACGGGAUAGGAUGUGACUCAAGACACUUACAAAAGCAUGUUGAUUCUAUCUUCAGCAUCCAAAUUAUUACAGUACAUUUGUUACUUUGAGUUCUCUUUCAUCCAAAUUUCUAACUUGGAGCACAAAUUGAAACAUGAACUCUGUACUUGUAAGUUGCUUGGUAUAUAGAUGAAAGGUCUACUUUGUAAUAUUAUAGUUACUACCUUGGACACUGUGCUAGGAAUCCAUUUUGAUAACAAUUCAAUGCAUUUUCGAUCAAGCCUAUUCCAAUUUCAUAGGAACAGCUUCUAUCAUCUUCCUCUAUUCUUAUUCCUACACCAAUAGCUACUGUCAGGUUAACUAGAAUUGGCUAGAAAUUCAACCACAACCAAUCCACUUUUGAUAGCAAAUCAAAGAUAAAUUACAUGUGUAUCACCAAAACAGGACAAAAUUCUAAACAAAUAGCUGAUAUAAAAUUUCAGUUUGUAUUGCUGUUCUAUCCUGAAUUAUCAAGGGCAUAAAAAUCUGCAAUUGUUAAUUGUAAUCAAAGUAUACUCAUUGAAGAACGAAGUGAACAAUCAGAAUGCAUGGGAGCGUCCAAACUAGUUUCCCUUGUAAUAGACCCUUUUCUUAAUAGCAAAUUAGCAACACAAUCAUGCUGCAUAGUCAUGAGUUAUGGGUGGGGGUGCUUAUUGGCCAGUAAUCGAGAAUUCGAUAAAAAAAAAAAAAAAAAUUUGGUCUAAAGGAGUGAACAACUGUUCCAAGAAAAUAACAAGGAAAAAGCAGAAGAGAGACAUGAUAUAUUGUUCAAAACCAAAGAGGAUGUAGCAUUGUAUUACUAUAGCAAUCCAUUUUCCUUCUUCUCUUUCUCUCUUUCCCUCCAGGAAGAGGGAUGGAAAGAGGGGAGGAGGAAGAGGGAAGGAGAGAAAGAGAAGAAGGAAGAGGGAGAGGGAGGAGAAAAUAAUAAGGAUAGAAUGGUGGCGAUUGUGGGUGGUAGUGUUAAUUUUUAAAAGGUAUAUUAAAAAAUUUUUUAAUUUCAAAAGUACACCAAAAUAUAUUCCAAAUACCCUCAAAAAACACCACAGAAACAAUCUACAGUAAAAGUUUUUUACAUAUACUACUGUAGUAAAAUAUUAUCAAAAACUGUUAAUCCAAACAGAGCCAAUAAUUUUUAACAAAAAAAUUAUGUAAAUGAAGGUAAUUUACAAUGACGAUAAUAGAUAAAAAAUGCAAAUCUGAAGGCCACCGUAGUUGGAACCAUAACAUCACUUGACCCUAGACUCAUUCAUAUAGAGAUCACGCGAAAUUCACUCUAAUGCCAUUUGUAAUGCCUGCACCCAAUAGGCUAGCCCAAUAAUAGUUUUGAGCUGAAACUAUGAAUUUAAAAUGGUUAACCCAAUGUUAUAAAUAAAUCAACAGAUCGAUCGAACAUUAUGUUCCUUUCCCUUCGUCUUCUAUUUGUCGACGUGGGAUAUUUCACAAGGUGAUGGCCAAUGUUUUGGCAAAACAAGUUCAUUAUGAAGCAUAUAAUUUCUGCUAAAUUUGUCCCUUGUAUUGAUGCCUAAAACAUUUAGCUCCGAAACUGUACAAUUUGGCUAAAUUGAUUCUUUUGUUCAAUGUAUAAAACGAAAAAAGUAAAUGAAAUUUCAUAAAACUCAAUUGGAAUCACAGAAAUUGGAACCACUAGAUGAUAAACUUUGGCAAGCAUUUUAUUUGCAUGUUUUUAGUGUAAUUUAUUACUAGUUUUUGGUGUGUUUUUAAGGGAUAAAGAUGAAAUUUAGCUCCUUUGCCAAUUAUUUCUAUAAGUCACAUUUGACAACCAAAACUUGCAUUUGAAUGGUUUAACUUACAAAUUAUGUUACUUUUGGUAGGUUUUGGUGAUUGAUGAUUGAUUUGGAACAAGUAGAAUACAAAUAACGUGUUGGAAAUGAUUUGAUGACAAUUAGAAAAUGACAAAAGUGAGCAACUCAAGUUUCCUGAAUAUUAAAUGUGGACAAAAAUGGGUGGCUACUCAUGUUUUCACACACGUUUUGAGGUGAACCCAAAAAGACAGAAAAUCAGAAAAUGUAGAGGAGGCAAGAACGCCAACUAAAAUGCGGACCACACCCACAUUUUCCUACCCGCGUAUUCUUAAUGCAGCUGAACAAGUCCUUGCGCAGCUACUUGCAGGCAUUUCACACUGCUUUACAACUUCAUUUAUAGCAUAGAUUUCAGCUGUCUUUUCUGACGUGCGCAAGGUAUACAUAUAAUAUUUAGCUCAUUCACAAUCAAGUUUUACAUUUAUAAACUCCAAAAUGCCCCACACGCAAUUUAUCACAAGUAUACGAAUCGUGAGUGAAUAUAGGGUAUUAAGGGUCGAUUCCACAAGGAAAAUUGCAAUUACCAGUAUUACUAAAGUUUCUCUAUUAUUUAGACUAUCAAUGAAUUAUAAGAAUUAAAAUCUACUGACUUAUGCAAGAAAAUAACAAAUGGAAACUCCUUAGGUUGUGGUAUCCCUAACUACUCAUGCAAAUGCUAUAUUUGGAUCAUUGAGUACUACUAUCUAGGCUAGUUAUGGUGUAAUUUCCUUAUCCACGUGAAUCCUACUUUCGCAGUGAAUCAAUUAUACUUAUAACUGAUCCAUACCUAUUCUCAUAGUUGUGAAGUUAGCUACAAGUUCAUUUAUUCAAUGAAAUUACAUGAAAUGAAUCACCAAAACCACAUAGAUGCACCUCUACUCUGGUGAGUGUACUCCCUAUGUUUAGCACUUCUUGAACCAGUGUUAAAUCUCAAUUUUCAUUGCAGAAACAACACCUUAGAUAAUCACAAUCAAUGGUACCAGAUUAAUCAUAAUUUAAAGAGUUAAAGUACUAAAUAACUUGCUCAAAUACUAGCAAUCAAAUAGCCAAAUAAUAAACACUAACAAUCAUAGAAAAUUCAACCAAACCCGAGGCAUAAACUUUAAAGACAUAUAAUAAAUACAAAAUCCAGAUCUUGCAUAUUAACUGAACUUAGAAUCAAGUACAAAAGAUAAAGAGUUGGAGAAGAGAUAACCCAUGUCACUUGAGUUUCAACUCCUCUUUCUUCAUCUCCAUCUUCAUCCUAAUCUAGCUAAUAUACAAAAAGGAUGAACUAACUAGCUAAACUAACCUACACUAAGAAGAUGAAAGAGGUACAUUUCUGCGCUCCAAGCUUCUCCCGUAUCUCCCUCUAUUGGAUCCCCUCAAUCUUGCAAGUCUUGGCUAUUUUAUGAUGAAAGUUGGUCAAGAAAUGAGGCAUCCACCUUCCUUUUACAGCUGGUGAUGUUUCUCACAUGUCUAGCAUUGCAUGUGACUUAGUGGAGGUGAAAUUGAGUUUUCCGCGUAAAGAGCAGUCUUCUCUGACCACAAUCCGGCCAGAAAUCCUGCCACAAAUCCGGCCAAAUUCCGGUGGGAUUGCUAGUGUCAUUUUGUGCACUUUUGUUCAAUUUCCAACUUUGCUCCAUUUUUGCAUCAACUUCAACCAAACGUUUCUUGAUGAUGGAGACUGAAUUGUCUCUUGACCAAAACAUAAAAGUUGUAGCUCUUUGAGUUAGCUUUCCAAUUCAUCAAGAAUCACCUCAUUUGGAUUUGUGUAGGCUGAGAAAUGACCAAAAUACCCUUGACUGCUCAUGGCCCUGUUUCAGCUUCGACCAAUAGAGACAUUAGCUACUGUAAUUGGGAUGUUUGACCUGGAAAACCUUCAAACUGGAUUUAGCUGUCUUCACCAAAGUUGUAGAUCUAUCUCUUAUCUUCAAAUUGGUUCAAGAAUCAUCUCAAUCCGAUCAUUGUAGCUCACGUUAUAGUUGAAAUACAAAAAUGUGUCAAAACUGUCAAAAUUCACAAAAUCCAAGUAAAAAGCGAUAAAAACCUUAUUUAAUCACUUAAAAGCAUUUUUCACCAAUUAUAGCCAAAAUGAUUCAUAUUCUUCCAAUAAUGUAACCAAAGUGACUAAAAAUAAUAUAAAAUAUCUUAUAAUUAUUACGUAAAUUAGUCACUUAUCAAAGUCCCCCACACUUAAAUCAUUGCUUGUUCUCAAGUAAUCCAUACAUAAUCAACUACAAUGAUUCAAGGGGUAAAACAAUAUAUGCACUUUUGUCAAAUUUAAUUCCUCAUGACUUGGAAAACAAUCAUUAUGUAAUUGUUCAAAUUACACUAAAUACUCAUAAUAUUAAGUAAAGGAAAGAUAAUUAUACACUAAUUUAACAAAUUAAACUUAAUUUCUCACCCUAACCUAAUUUCACAAAUAAGUAAAUCAUAUAGUCAAUUUGUAGCAUUCCUCCUCCUAUCUUCAUCCUUUUCUUUUUUUUUUAUCUUUUUAUUUUACAACUAAGAGGGGCUUAUUCACACUAAUUUUACUUAAAUAGUGAAAAUGCUUUUUUACGGGAAAAUCGACACUUUUAGGUGAAGAUCCCUGGUUGCUCAACAUUUCACUUAUUCAAGUUGCUAUGCAUACUCUUAAUUCAAAUACCUUUUUACGCGAAUGUAGACAUUUGUAGAUGCCAACCCCUGGUUACUCGGUACGAGAAUUAUUGGAGUAGAAUAAUUUUUAUUUACUUUUUUUUUCUUCUUCUUUUUUUUAUAAGACAAUAAAUAAAUUUUCCCUCAUAGAAAAUAUAUAAGAAUAAUCAAAGGAGGAGUAUAACCUUUAUCGACUAUAUCAAUCACUUAAUUGAAAAAUUAAAUAAAGAGGAGAAAUCUCAUUCAAAAUGCAAAAUUAUAGGCAUAAUUCUCCCAACUUUACCGGAUAUACUUUUUAAAAUGUAAGAAUCCUAAUUGCAUAUUAAUCAUUUCCAAGUUAAAUGAGGAUUAAAUAUUCCAAAAUACAUAUAAUGUUUCAACAAAUGGAAGAAUAAAACACUUAAGGUUGGAACAAAUUGGCCCUUUUUGAAUAAAAAUGUAAAAAUUUGAAGAACUUUUGGGCCUUAAUGAAAUAUUGGAAAAGAUUUUAGAAAAAUUUUGACAAAAUUUUUUCUUAUAAAUGGAUGAAACUCUCUGCCAACAUACCCAAUUUCAAGCAAAUUAUCCACAUGGCAAUAUAUCCAAACACAAUUCCAACAUUUCUAAGCAUUUAAAUCCACAAAAUAUCAUCAUAUAACAUUAAAAUGCAAGUUCAAAUAUUUUCCUCCCCCACACUUAAACUUCACAUUGUCCUCAAUGUGAGAAAAGGAAAAUACAUAAAGAGUAAAAGAAAAUACCGCUCAAUUGAACUUGCGCAAUCCGAAUCCAUGUCCAAGUGAUGAAUUUCCAACCAUAAGUAGUCCGAAUCACUAACACCACAACAAAGAUGAAGAUCACUUGGAUUAGUCCACAAAAAAGAAAUAAAGAAAAUUACUAAAAAGGAAAACAUCACAAGUACUACAGAAAAUAAAAAAAAAAACUAGCGGCAAUGUCACGUGGUGACGAGCACUCCCUCAAGUAGCCGCUUGGUCAGGUGAAGAGGGUGGAGUCGGAGGAGCUUCAAUGCCCAGUUUGGUCUCGAUGCGACGAAGACGCUCGGAGUUCCGCUUGUUCUCUUGUCGACUCUUCUUCACCUCAGUCUCAACGCAAAGCAGUUUAUCCAUUAUCUUCUUCAGAAAUGAUCGAGUGUCCUGAGGCGAGGAUGGACGACAUGAAGAAGACGGCUCAGUUGAACCCGGGGGGUGGUUGUGUCAACCUUCAAUUCAUGCAAUUUCCGCUUCCUCCUCGUGCCUAAUAUCUCCAUGAGCACCUUCUUGAGUCGAAGGACCACCUACAUCUUUACUCUUCAAAAUAAACCUGCAAAAUUCAAGUGUAAAGACGUCAUUUUUCUUGAGACCUGUAGGGAUAGCGUUAGAAAAAUCCACUCCAGCCCUUUGAAACUCCAAGGUCAAGAAGCGAGGAUAUGAGAAAGCAUGUUUAAUGUCAUUACUUCGAACCACUGUCCACAUGUGAUUGGUGAUAAUGCUUCCCAAUGGAAUGUCUCAGAUGUUGCCUAAACCAUGCUCCAUUUUAUCCAAGAAGUAGAUGUCACUUGUGCGUGCCUCAUUGGUUCCACUUGCCCUCGAAAUAAUAUUGGACGAACAGGUAAAUAAGAAGACGUUGCGACUCCGGAAAGGAUGAGGUCAAUACUGAAUAUCUCCCAGUCUUCCGAGUAGCCUUGUACUCAACCCCCAAGCGUACAAGUGCCUCUAGCAUGUUCCAAGAGUCCAAAUCGUUGGGUUUGAAAGCUUUUUUCAAAUCUACCUUAUACCCAACAUCCAAAACAUGAAGAUAGCUCUCCAAAUCAGCUCUAUGGACUCGAACUUGUCUCCCUCGCACUGUACUGGUAAUCACCUCUGUAUCGUAGCGAAAAACCUUCUUGUCCUCCAUAUUUGCAUAAAAUUCUCGGACAAACUCUUCAUAAUAGAAGUUUGGGAUGUUAAAGAAGUUUUCCCAUCCCAAUUUGGCAAAGGAGGCCUUGAGAUGGUGGACCUCCUCAGCAUCCUGAGUGAUAUCUUUCUCCACCAAUACCUUAGCUCCCUUCCUAGCAUUGUACCAAGUUUCAUUUUCGGCGGAGGUGAAGCGUGACUUAUCAUAAGGGACUUCCUCCUCUUGUUUCCCUUGUGCCUCUUGUUCCUCUUAUUGUUGAGUCUCUUCUCCGGAUGAUGGCUCGUCCUCAAGCACUAAACGUCUACUUGCUUUUCUUUUCAUGCGCGGCGGUCUAGACGUCGAAGAUUCUCCUCUCCUAUUAGGAGGAGGAGAUUUCACUCCGACUUUCUUAGUGCGAGCCAUUGUACCUAAAUUCAAUAAUUAAACAUUAACUUCAUUUAAUAGGUACAUUGCUAAGUAAAGAUAAGGAAAACUCAUUCACUUUUACCCCUUUAUCUUUAAUUAGACAAUCUUAUCAACUUACUUAUAUAAUAAUUAACAAUUAACACCAUAAGUAAAAAUCAAAAUUGAUUAUCAACAACAAGUGCUCUUAUCAUUUCCCCAAAUAAAACAUUUAAGCAUAUAAUGUCCAAAUAAUUAGAGGAAGCAAUUAAACAAACACACAACUCACUUCCAACUUAAUGACCUAAAUAAGCAUAAUUAAGUAUUAAUAACACCUUAACCAUGAAUUUUAAGCUUAAAAAGAUCAUUAAUUCUUCUUUUCACCAAAAUUUCUAGAAUAAACAUGCUAAAAAUCAAAGGAUAAGCCAAUUAAGCCUAAAUUUAGCAUGUAAAUAUCCUAGAACAAUCCAUUGAUCUCCUACAUUUUUCUUUAAUCUAAUUAGCUCAAGAAUUUAGCUAAUAAUUAUCAAAUCAAAUUAAUCCUCAAAAUUAGCUAAAAAUUGCUAAAGUCACCAAAUAAUCACAAACCCAUGAGUUAAACAUCACCAAUAAUCAUCAAUAAGCUCAAUAAGCAUAAUAAAAAGCAUCAAACUUCACAAAAUGAAAAAAAUUCGAAAUUGCUCAAAAAUAGAAAAAAAAAUGAAAAUUGGCAAAAUUCAAAUGACAACAUUUGGUGAAGAUUUGUUACCUCAAACUUGUUUGUUGUUGAUUAUGGAUGCAAAUGGUGAAGAAACCCCCAAAAAUUUCACUCCAAUUUGGCCCCAAAUGAAGAGUUCAAAAUUUUGAAACCCUUGUUCUUCUCAAACUCAAAUCCGAAUUAAAACUUGUUUUUAAAGGAUUUUAAGUUAUGAAAUCAACUCACAAGGGAAAGGGGAAUAUUUUGAUGUAUUUAGUUUGGAGAUUGGAUGGUGAAAAGAUGAAUUUUAGGAAUAGUGUGUGUUUUAGGUGUGAGUGUGUGUGUGAAUUGAAGAAGAAAGGAAGAAGGAAUUUGGGGAAUCCGUGCGCGGAUUCCCCUUUGAUGCGCAAAACCGGCCAUAAUCAGCCGGUUUUUGGCAAGAUAUCCGGCCGGAUUCUCGGCCGAAUACUGGCCAGUAGCCAAACAAAAAUUUUUCAAUAUCACAGAUCAAUCUGGCCUACAAUCCGGCCGAAACUUCGCCGGAUUUCUGGCCGGAUUGAAUUUUUUUUUUUUCAAUUCUGCAUAUCCAGCCGAAAUUUGGCCAGAUUUCCGGCUGGAUUCGAGCCAAUAGCUCCAAAAAUUUUCAUUUUCUUCCCCUGUUAAUCCGGCCAUUUUAUGGCCGGAUUUGUUGCAGAAAAUUUUUAUUUCUGCACUUUUUCCUUCCGUUUUCCAUUUAAUCAAGCUUGCAACUCACCCAAUUUUCAACUUUCUUCAUUUUUUUCAAGAAAAACUCACCUUAAACAUGAAAAAUGUGCUUUUCUCAACUGAAUGCAAUUAGAAUCAUGAAAUCAUGCAUCGAUAUAGCAUUAGCUUAAAACACUUUAAAUGCAUGAAUUAGAUCAAAUGAACAAGAAAACUCCCUUUUACUUCCUUCUAAUCUCUUUUGCACUUGAACAAUUUGGAUAAACCAUUGCCAUUGCCACCUAUAAAACACAUAAAAACAAUAAUUAAACAACUUAAACUUACUAAAAAUAAGAAAUCGUUGGGUUGCCUCCCAACUAGCGAUUCUUUAUAGUCAUUGGCUUGACUAUAUAACCUCAUUAUCAAGGAGGUUUGGUUAACGAAUAAUCUACCAUUAUAGGUCGUGGUGGAUCAUUAAAUGGUGACUUUAUAGCCAAGACCACAUGAUCUAAUGAUGUGAGAAAUGAAAGUGGCUUACCUAUCUCAAGUGAUUCAUAGAUAUUAUCUUUAAUAUUCACCACUUGAAAACUUACCAAAGGAGCUGCAAUGAGGCUAUCUUGGGCAUUAAUACCUUUAGAACCUAUACUUUCAAUGCACUCCUCAAGAGGGGUGAAAAUGAGUCAUUAAAACUCACAUCUUAAGGCUCAAAGUUAGUUCCAAAGAUAUUAUCAUGUGAAAUGGAUAUUUGCUCAUCAAAACACACUUGAGAUUCAUCAUUUUCAUCAAAAUGCAAUCCAUUUUCACAUACAACAUUUCCACCAUUCAUGCUAGGAUCAUUUUGCAAAUUAUUAGAGGAAAUAACUUCACCAAUGCAUUCAAUUACUCAUGUAUUCUACCAAAGUGAGAAGCUAAUUCAUCUAUUCUUUCCUCAAUGCUAUCAAAACGGUCGGAAGUUGCAUUUGCUAGCUUUUCUAUUGCUAAAUCAAAUUAAUUAGAAAAAUUUUCUACAGCUAGCUCCCAAGAUGCAUUAGAAUCAUUAGCUAAUGGUUCACUUUCUAACUCCCAAGGUAUAGGUGCAUUAGCUAACUUCUCUAUUGCGAACUCCCAAGAUGGUUUUGAUUCAUAUUGGAUACUUUCAGGUUGGUAAUCAUAAAAAUAUGGAUAAUCACUAUAAGUACAUUGAUUAUCCCAACUAUAAGCAUGAGAAUUGCUCCAAUUAGCAUUGUAUUGAUCAAAACAAUGACUGUAAUGCUCUAAUUCAUCAUAAUAAUCCACAUUAUGUGCUUGCAUGCAUGUACUAGUAGCAUGAUAACCUCCACACAAGUCACAAAUCACAUGAUAAGAAUUAAAAGCAUUAACAUUUCUCCUUUGCUCAAUUUCAUGCAUCAUGGUGUCUAUUUGAACUUUAAUUACAUCAAAUUUUGCCUUUAAGCACCUUAAACCAUCUUCAAAAGACAUGCAUUCAGUAAUUUCUUGGUUACCUCUAUUGAAGGAGCAUUGCACUUGGUAAUCAUCCAUUACCAAUCUUCCACUUCUCAAGCAUUGUCCUCCAAAUUGACCUACCCUUCUCAUCAGUUAAAACUGCUUUUAAACAACCUCAAAAGCAAAAUUAGUAAAAAAAAUAGGUAAUGAUACACAUACACAUAAAACACAAAAAUAACAUAAAAUAACAUCCACACUAUAACAAGUAAAAAUGUCUAAAUUAAUAAAGUUACUCUUCACAACGAUAUUGCCAAAUCUUCCCCGGCAACGGCGCCAAAAACUUGACGUGCGCAGGGUAUACAUAUAAUAUUUAGCUCAUUCACAAUCAAGUUUUACAUUUAUAAAUUCCAAAAUACCCCACAAGCGAUUUAUCGCAAGUAUACGAAUCGUGAGUGAGUAUAGGGUUUUAAGGGUCGAUCCCACAAGGAAGAUUGCAAUUACCAGUAUUAGUAAAGGUUCUCUAUUAUUUAGACUAUCAAUGAAUUAUAAGAAUUAAAAUCUACUGAAUUAUGCUAGAAAAUAACAAAUGGAAACUCCUUAGGUUGUGGUAUCCCUGACUACUCAUGCAAAUGCUAUAUUUGGAUCAUUGAGUACUAUUAUCUAGGCUAGUUAUGGUGUAAUUUUCUUAUGCACAUGAAUCCUACUUUCGUAGUGAAUCAAUUAUACUUAUAACUAAUCCAUACCUAUUCUCAUAGUUAUGAAGUUAGCUACAAGUUCACUUCUUCAAUGAAAUUACAUGAAAUGAAUCACCAAAACCACAUAGAUGCACCUCUACUCUCGUGAGUGUACUCCCUAUGUUUAGCACUCCUUGAACCAGUGUUAAAUCUCAAUUUUCAUUGCAGAAACAAUACCUUAGAUAAUCACAAUCAAUGGUACCAGAUUAAUCAUGAUUUAAAGAGCUAAAGUGCUAAAUAACUUGCUCAAAUACUAGCAAUCAAAUAGCCAAAUAAUAAACACUAACAAUCAUAGAAAAUUCAACCAAACCCAAGGCAUAAACUUUAAAGACACAUAAUAAACACAAAAUCUAGAUCUUGCAUAUUAACUGAACUUAGAAUCAAGUACAAAAGAUAAAAAGUUGGAGAAGAGAUAACCCAUGUCACUUGAGUUUCAACUCCUCCUUCUUCAUCUCCAUCUUCAUCCUAAUCUAGCUAAUAUACAAGAAGGAUGAACUAACUAGCUAAACUAACCUACACUAAGAAGAUGAAAGAGCUACAUUUCUGCACUCCAAGCUUCUCCCGUAUCUCCCUCUAUUGGAUCCCCUCAAUCUUGCAAGUCUUGGCUAUUUUAUAAUGAAAGUUGGUCAAGAAAUGAGGCAUCCACCUUCCUUUUACAGCUGGUGAUAUUUCUCACAUGUCUAGCAUUGCAUGUGAUUUAGUGGAGGUGAAAUUGAGUUUUCCGCGUAAAGAACAGUCUUCUCUGACCACAAUCCGGCCAGAAAUCCGGCCAUAAAUCCUACCACAAAUCCGGCCACAAAUCCGGCCAAAUUCCAGUGGGAUUGCUAUAGUGUCAUUUUGUGCACUUUUGUUCAAUUUUCAGCUCUGCUUCGUUUUUGCAUCAAUUUAAACCGAACUUUUCUUGAUGAUGAAGACUGAACUAGCUCUUGAUCAAAACAUAAAAGUUGUAGCUCUUUGCGUUAACUUUCCAAUGCAUCAAGAAUCACCUCAUUUGGAUUUGUGUAGGCUGAUAAAUGACCAAAAUACCCUUGACUGCUCGUGGCCCUAUUUCAGCUUCAACCAAUAGACAUUAGCUACUCUAAUUCCACUUUUUGGCCUAGAAAACCUUCAAACUGGAUUUAGAUGUCUUCACCAAAGUUGUAGAUCUAUCUCUUGUCUUCAAAUUGUUCAAGAGGCAUUUCAAUCCGAUUAUUGUAUCUCAAGUUAUAGCCAAAAUACAAAAAUAUGUCAAAACUGUCAAAAUUCACAAAAUCCAAGUAAAAAGUGGUAAAAACCUUAUUUAAUCACUUAAAAGCAUUUUUCACCAAUUAUAGCUAAAAUUAUUUAUAUUCUUCCAAUAAUGUAACCAAAGUGACUAAAAAUAAUAUAAAAUAUCAUAUAAUUAUUACGUAAAUUAGUCACUUAUCAUUUUCCAAGAAGAAAUGUUGUAGCCUUGAAGAAGUGAUUUUGUGUCUUUCCAAGAAGUAACUUAGUUAGGGUUUUUCUUCUACAAAUACCUUGCAUUAGGGAUUGAAGAUACAUCCAUGGGGACUUAGAAACUCUUAGAGAGACUUUGGAGAGUUUUGAGAGAGGUAGUGUAGAAGAAAAGAGCUUGUAAACUUAGCAGAUUGAACCAAAAGUAAAGGAAAAUUGAGGAGCUUAUUUCAACAUCUUGAAUAAGAAUCUCUCAUCCUUUGCUGUUUAAAUUCUUAUGUUCAUUUAUGUCUUGUUACAUGAAUUUAUUGUGUUCAUUUAUGUCUUGUGUUUAAAUAAGCUUAACUUUAUGUCUAGCUAAACUAUUUUCUGCUAGAAUGAAGAUGAAUUUGUUUAGAAGUAGUUUUGGUUGAUUUUUGCUAGCUUGUGAAUUUGUGAAUUCAUGAGUCUAUGCUUACAUUUGUAGUUGUUUGGUCACCAACUAUGAAUCACUUAAUCAUUUGUUGAGUAUUAAAGGUUGCCAUAUAAGUGUAGUUCAAGAUUCAUGAAACUUAAAACACAUGUUCGCGUUAUGUAGGAGAUGUAUUUAGGCAGACCUACUAAAAACUACAUUGAUCUUCAUGAGCUAAGAUCAUAUCAGUGAAGGUCUAGUGCGAGUAUGUUUGAGUAAUCGUGAAAGUAAUAUUCAAACAAAAUUGAAAUAUAUAUAUAUCCUUAACCAAUCAUGAGUUAAUGGCCUAAAUCAAUCGGAUUAUUUCUUAAUCUUGAACAACAAGGGAUUUGUAGCUUCAAGAAGUCCUCGUACCAAGUUUUUCACUGUCAUUUUGAUUGUUUUUAUUAGUUUAAUUGAUAGUAUUGUUUUUACUUGAUUUCUUUGUUUUUUAGAUAUGAGCCUGUUUGGCAAGUAAGUUUUUGGGUAUUUGUCUAAAAUUUUACUGUUGAAGUUGUGGAAAAUUUUUUUGAAAUGUGUAUAUUUGUGAAUAUUUUGAAGUGUAUAGUUUAAAAUUUUUGAGAAGUUUUUUGAAAUUACUAUUGUUAAAGUUAUUUAAAAACUUGUAGCUGACAAAUUUGGUCAAAAACUUGCUUGCCGAAUAAGGCCAUAGUAAGUUUAAAGACCAUGGUAGUUGCCCAUACCGGUGUCGAAUCAAUCCAAUUAUCAUUGUACUCAUUUGACGGGUAAACUUGUAGUAAAGUAGAGUAUUUGGGCUUAAAUAUAUAGGAUAAUUAGGAUUUAUAACUUGAAAACCUAGAUCAAAGUCAACUUAACAAAUGAUAGAUAAAGCAAACUAAAAUUUUCAACUUCACUAGAGUUCCAAUAACUAGACAGUUUACUUUUUACAAAAAGCAAGUUUACAGUUAAGUUUUAACAAUUAUGCAUAAAUUAUAUUACAUAACCUAUAUUGACAACAAUCAUAAAUAUUCAAGUUGCAACCUUAGUUACCCUUCCCUUUGGAGCCCUAAUAUUCUUGUUUAUGAGAGGACUUUUACUUCUUUUAAAAUAUUUCGGAUUUGAACCAUGAGAAAAGACCAUCUUAAUAACCAGAAAAUUCUACACAAACAUUUAAAAAGAGUUUCUAUAUAUUGCUAUAUUCAGCAUAUAGUAUCGAUAGAGGAACAUUUGUUAAAAGAUGCUGAGUCUCAUCAACCUUUCAUAACGAAUACUGAAUUUGUCCAAACCAGAAAAUUUGCUUAAAUUAGUGAAGAACUCUUUUUCUUUCUUUGUGUUUUUAGACAAAUAUUUCCCUUAAUAACCAGUACAUGCACGUGCACACACACGUGUGUGUGUGUGUGUUAAUCACAGAAAUUCCUCCUUAGGUGUAAUCAUUCUUACACUUUAUUCUCUAAUGAUAUUUUUUUUCCUCACUUUAUCUCUUAAACUGCUAGUCACUUUAUCUCUUAACACUUUAUCCCUAAGAGUUAACUAUAAUAAAUCCCUUUAACAUAUAGCUUGUUUUGACUUUAUCCUCUAACAUAAUUUUUUUCGCAAUUUGUUUGUUUGUUACUAAAAUCAUCAGCGAACUCCAAUAUUUGAUAGCUCCCAAGAAAAUAAUUUGUAAAAAAUUAAUGUUCCAUACAUAAUAAUGAAAAUAUAAUAUUUUUAUUGAUACGGUCCUAGUUAUAUUCCACUCCAUAAUUACAUUUUUUUUAUUGAGGUGAAUAUCUUGCUAAUUUGACACAAUAAUGAAAAAAUUAAAAUUGUUAUUGAAAAAUUAAAGUGUGAAAUAUUUUAAAAGUCUAAAAAAGGUCAAGAUAUUGUCAAUUUCUCUUUGGGAGUAUGCAUAUGACUAUGCUUUUCUUUUAAUAGCUAAAUAUUUCUUUAUAACGAAGUAUACAUUUUUUUGUUGGUAAUACUAAAAAAAGAGAGAAAUAUAGUUGAUUUGGGUUUCAAAGUUUAUUGUUGUUCUUUUAAUAUACCAUAUUUAGAUGAUAUUAAAAUUUAUUUUGAUUGCUAUGUUUUUCAAAAAAAUUCUGUUGCAUUAUAACACAUUUCCCAAUCAACUUUAUUUUUUCGACCAUCUUUUUGUUUCACAAACAUCAAAUAGCAAAAAGUGCUAUUAUUCUAAAAGAUUUGCCAAGUAAUCUUCAAUUCAAACAAACCCAAUCUAUAGACCUUUAACAAUAUUUUCAUAGUUUAAUUCUGCACUAAUAAUUUUUUUAACUUAUCAUGUGAAAUUAGCGGGAUAUUUUCCUCUAUCUAAAAAACCUGUAAUUAUAGGGAUAAAAUUUAUCAAAACCUAUACCCAUGAAUAUAUAAUAAAUUUUAUUAUUAUGUUAGGGAUAUUAAUAUUUUUAUACAUUAUUUAUCUUGAAUGGUAUGAAAAAAAUUGGAGUUGACUAAUGAUUUUAGCGAUAAAUAGGCAAAUUAAGAAAAAAAUGAUAUUAGAGGUAAAGUGCAAAACACAUUAUAUCGUAAGGGAAUUUAUUGUAAUUAACCCUUAUCAAUGUUUUUUUGACAUUUCCAUUAUACAAUGUUAGCAUUGAUUAAUGGUUAGAGGCUAAAGUCAAAAACCAAAAAUAAUGUUAGGGGACAAAGUACAAAAUUGGUUAAAUCUUGAGGAGAGAUUUUGUAAUUAAUCCUAUAUAUAUAGGCACAUACACAUACACACACAACACUAAUCUUACACUAAAUAAAAACCCUUUGAAUGAAAACAUGAGUUUCAUCUAAAACCUGAAAAUUAGCAAAUAUAAAAACCCAUCAGCAUUCAUCGAUAUAUUUUAAAAAGUUUUUCAUUCGUAACUAACAAUAAUUGUCUAAAAAUUCUUUAACAUUGUUCCACGUUACUAACAAUAAUUGAUUCCAGUAAACAGUUAUUAAAAAUCAUUGAGUUUAUAAGCCUCUUUCAAUUUCAAAAUAUUCAACUUGUGCAAAUCGGAAAAUAUCAAGAUUUGACAAUGGUUAAAAGAAUUAAUUGUCUCGGGCGAUUCACUGUUUUCACAAGAUAUUUAUACAGUUGGAAUUUGGAAAGAUCAAUGAUGUCUUUAGCUUUCGUGAAGGAGUCAUCUCCGAAAUCUUAAUUUUAGAACAUUCAAAUAUGACUACUGUUGGGGAAAUCGGGUAAUUUCCCACUCAAAAAAAUUGAACUAGUGAUUUAAACCGAUUCGAUAAUUCCUAGGAAAGAUUGUCAAACAAUCUCCUAAGACAGAAUUACCAUUCCAAAUAAAUUCCCAGGACAGGCUGGAGGGGUCACAAGCGGUCCCACUUAAAACCCAGUCUCCUAGACAGAAUUUACAUGCACGGUGUAUUAUCACAAAUAUACCCGUGUAUAUAUAAAUAAUACAUACACACGAAUAAGAAUAAAUACACCCAAAUGAACCGUAUAAAAAUACUACAAAUAUACCCGACAAAUAUAUUGAUUACUAUACUACAAUAGAAAAGAAACUACUAAAUAAAUGCGAAAUAAAUAAAAGAGAUAAGGAAAGAACGCACCCGAAAAUUUGAUAACGGAGUUCGGCCAAUUUUGCCUAAUUUCCGUGUACCACUCAAGCGACCCGCUCUUACAAAUUUUGGAAGAAGAAAUAUUACAAAAGAAUUACAAAAUCCUUUUGGUGUAAUUCUUUUGUAAGUGUAUUUGGUACAUAUUAUUAGGAACCUUGAGAGUCCUUUUAUAACUCUCAAGCAAUCCUACAACUUCUAAAACAACUGAUGUGGUAUUAAAUGUUUGCCAAAAAAUGUCAACAAUUUUGGCUUGGAAAAGUCAUCAAUUUCUGCCACCAAAAUUUCUGCGACCAAAGUCAAAAAAUCUCCACCAUGGCAUAAAUUCUAAUCCCACCAAAAAAUAUAAAUCUUCUCACAAAAAUAACAAAUAGUUCUUGCAGUGCUUCCAAAUUUGUACCCUCAGGCGCCAACUCAAAUGUGUAGGAUAUUGACAAAGUUUAAACAAUGUUCAAACUUGGAUCUUGUAACCACCUUGGUCAGCAUAUCUGUAAGAUUCUCCGCAGUUCGAAUCUUCUGGACAAAAAUCUCCUCUUUUCGAGAAUUUCCCACACAAAGUAAUAGUGAACAUCAAUGUAUUUCGUUCUUGCGUGCAAGAUCUGGUUCUUUACUAAGUGAAUAGCACUCUGACUGUCACAAAAUACGUCAAUGUGUUUUUGACCAACUCCCAAGUCUUCAAGCAAUCCUUGAAGCCAAAUUGCCUCCUUUACAGCUUCUGUAAUCGCCAUAUACUCUGCCUCCGUUGUAGACAAAGCCACCGUUGACUGCAAAGUAGACUUCCAACUAACUGGCGCCUUAGCAAAUGUGAACAAGUAGCUACUUGUAGUACGUCGCUUAUCCAAGUCACCUGCAUAGUCAGAAUCACAAUAUCCAACUAUACAUUGACCAAGUGAUUUAUCCCGCUUGAAUACUAAUCCAACGUCUACAAUAUCUUGGAUAUACCGUAGAAUCCAUUUCACAGCUUGCCAAUGACCCUUGCCCGGAUUUCAUGCAUAAAUCUGCUUACCACACCAACUGCUUGUGAAAUGUCGGGUCUAGUACACACCAUUGUAUACAUCAAGCUACCAACUGCAUUAGCAUACGGGACUUUCGCCAUGUAUGCCCGCUCUUCAUCCGUAUUUGGAGAUAAUAGGUUGCUAAGUUUCAAAUGAGGAGCAAGCGGAGUACUUACAGGUUUUGAAUCUCCAUUCAUGCCAAAAUAUUGUAGUACCUUUUUCAAAUACUACUUUUGUGUCAGACAAAACUUGCCUCUCGUUCUAUCCCUGCUUAUCUCCAUGUCGAGAAUCUUCUUGGCUUCUCUCAAAUCUUUCAUUUCGAACACUUUACACAACUGAGUCUUCAUUUUGUCAAUUUCAACUUGGUUCUUUGACGCUCAGCGUAUCAUCUACGUACCAGAGUAAGUAGAUGUAGGAAUCAUCUCGUAACUUGCGCAAAUACACACAAUGAUCAUAUUUGCUUCUUGUGUACCUUCGGCCCAUCAUGAACUGGUCAAAUCGUUUGUUCCAUUGCCUCGGUGAUUGCUUCAAUCCGUACAAUGAUUUGCUCAGUUUACAAACCCAAUCUUCUUUACCAGCAACUUUAAAUCCAUUUGGCUGACACAUAUAGAUUUCCUCCUCCAAGUCACCGUGAACGAACGUGGUCUUCACAUCAAGUUGAGCUAACUCCAAAUUCAACUGCGCUACCAAGGCCAACGCAAUUCUAAUAGAGGAAUGUUUAACAACUGGAGAAAAUACCUCAUUAUAAUCAACUCCCUCCUUCUAAGCGUAGCCUUUAGCCGCCAAUCUUGCCUUGUAGCGAACAUCAUUCUUGUCAAGAAAUCUUUCUUUCUUUGCAAAUACCCAUUUACAUCCAAUUUCCUUCUUGCCCUUCGGUAGUUAUGUCAGUUUCCACGUCUUGUUCUUCUGAAGAGAUUGCAUCUCUUCUUCCAUAGUAUCUUUCCAUCUAACAUUUUCUGUACUUCAAACUGCUUCAGAAAAUGUGGAUGGAACAUCUUCAACAACUGGAAGUGCAUAGGCCACCAUAUCAGCAAAACGAGCAGGUUUUUGAAUUUCUCGUCUUGAUCUAUUAACGGCAAUUGACUCUUGCUGUUGUUGAGGUUCUUGGGUUGAAACCUCUUUUUCAUCUGACUCCUCAUCUAUCAUAGGAGAGCCACUGACGGUGAUUUUUGCUGGACUCACCAUUAUUUGCUUGAACUCUACCUGUUUCGACGUACACACCACCUGUUGCGGAGUACUACUGGUCUCACCUAGUGUUACCUUAUUCAACAUGGCAGAUUCAUCAAAGGUAACAUCCCUACUGAUAAUCGUUUUCUUUGCUUCUAGACAUCACAAACGGUAUCCCUUAACUCCAGCAUUAAAGCCCAUAAAGAGAGGUUUCUUUGCACGUAGAUCCAACUUUGAUUCAUCUACAUGAUAAUAUGCAGUAGAACCAAAAAUACGCAAAGAAUCAUAAUCUAUUGCAGGUUGUUCAGACCAUACCUCUAAUGGAGUCUUGCCACCUAUUGUAGAUGAUGGCAAGCGAUUGACGAAAUGUUGAGCGUAUGUCACAGCCUUAACCCAAAAUUUCUGCCUAAUCCAGCAUUAAAUAGCAUACAACGUACUUUCUCCACUAGUGUCUUAUUCAUACGCUCUGAUAUCCCAUUCUGCUGCGAUGUUCUUCUUAUUGUGAAGUGCCGAACUAUGCCACAUUGUUGGCAUAUCUUCUGGAAAAGAUCACUCUUGUAUUCUCCACUAUUGUCUGUUCGAAGAAUCUUGAUCUUUCUUCCCGUCUGGUUUUCAAUCUGAGUUUUUCAUUUAGGGAAAAUCCCAAGCACUUCAUCCUUCUUCUUCAUAGUAAACACCCAAACUUUUCUGAAAAAAUCAUCAAUAAAAGUGACAAAAUAGUACCUGUCUCCAAGGGAUGAAGUCUUGGCAGGUCCCCACACGUUUGAAUGCACAUAAUCCAAAAUACCCUUGAUAUUAUGGAAAGGUGGGCCAAAUUUUAUUCUUUUCUGUUUUCCCAGAAUACAAUGCUCACAAAAUUCUAAUUUGCAAGUUUUCGUACCUUUCAAUAAUCCUUGCUUGGCAAGAUUUUGUAAGAAUUUUUUACCAGCAUGUCCCAAUCGCAUGUACCACAACUUUGUUGCUUCUGCAUCCUUCUUGUUAUUGAAAGAUGUUGCUGCUGCUGCUGUCCCAACAACUGUACUACUUUGGUAGUAAUACAGAUUAUUCUUUCUCACGCCUUUCAACAUCACAAGUGCUCCCGAAAUUGCUUUAAGAAUUCCAUCUUGCAUCUUCACUUUCAGGCUUUUUGACUCCAAGAGUCCUAAAGAGAUGAGAUUCUUCUUCAAAUUCGGUACGUACCGAACAUCCUUCAAGAUUCUGGUAGAUCUAUCAUGAUUACGCAGUUUGAUUGAAUCUAUCCCAACUGUUUUACAUGGUUGUUGUUUCCCAUGUAAACAACUCCACCAUCAGGCUCUUCAAGUUCGAAGAACCACUCUCACAUAGGAGACGUAUGAUAGGUGCAACCUGAAUCCAAGAUCCAUUCAUCUGGAUAAGAUGUUGAUGGUGAUGCAGCUAAAGAGAAAUCCGAUUCCGCAUCACUUUUGCACUUUGUAACAUACAUUUGCAUCUUACGGAGCUUUCCCUUUCUUCUUCAACUUUGGACAAUCUUUCUUCCAGUGCCCUUUUUCACGAUAGAAAGCACACUCAUCUUUGGCAACUCUACUUUUUGAUUUGGACCUUCCUCUUCUCCCAUUUGAUUGGCUUUGUUAACGAACUCUUGCCACUAACGCUUCAUCUGUUGCAACUAUUUUAUUUUUCAUUUUAUCCUAUUUUCUCAAUUCAUGACUAUACAAAGCAAAACAUACAGCAUCUAAAGAUACAUUUUCCUUCCCAUGAAGUAACAUAGUUUUCAAAUGUUCAAAUUAAUCAGGAAGGGAUGACAACAAAAUCAAAGCCAAAUCUUCAUCUUCAAAUUUAACAUCUAAAUUUAACAGAUCUGCUACUAACUGAUUAAAUAUAGUGAUGUGUUCAUUCAUAGUAGUACCUGGUUGGUAACUGAAUCGAAACAAUCUUUUCUUCAUUAGGAGUUUAUUCUGACCACUCUUCUUCAGAAAUUUCUCCUCCAAUGCCCUCCACAAUUUCCAUGCAGAAGUCUCGUUCUUGAAAGCAUACUUUUGCUCUCUGGACAAACACGAUCGAAUAGUUUUGCAUGCCAACCGAUUUAUGGUACUCCACUCCCUCUCUUCUAUAUCAUCUGAUUUCUUUUCUUCAAUGGCAAUGUCAAGACCUUGUUGGAAAAGAGAGUCUAUGACCUCGCUUUGCCACAUGCCGAAAUGGCUAGUACCAUCAAAUAUCUCCACCGCCAACUUCGAACUUGACAUUGGAAUCCUCGACCAUGUGGACGAGGAAACCGAUGCCCAGAUGUAACUCUUGACGUGGAAUUGUUUGAUGCCAUUACAAACUCAAAUAAUAGUAUUCAAUAUAAAAAUUAAAAAUAGGCCAAAGGACGAAUCUUCAGCUCUGAUAUCACUUGUUAGGCAAAUCGGGUAAUUUUCCACUCAAAAAAAUUCAACUAGUGAUUUAAACCGAUUCGGUAAUUCCCAAGAAAGAUUGUCAAACAAUCUCCUAAGACAGAAUUAUCAUUCCAAAUAAAUUCUCAGGACAGGCUGGAGGGGUCACAAGCGGUCCCACUUAAAAUCCAGUCUUCUAGACAGAAUUUACGUGCACGGUGUAUUAUCACAAAUAUACCCGUAUAUACAUAAAUAAUACGUACACACGAAUAAGAAUAAAUACACCCAAAUGAACCGUAUAAAAACGCUGCAAAUAUACCCGACAAAUAUAUUGAAUACUAUACCACAAUAGAAAAGAAACUACUAAAUAAAUGCGGAGUAAAUAAAAGAGAUAAGGAAAGAACGCAUCCAAAAAAUUGAUAACGAAGUUCGGCCAAUUUUACCUAAUCUCUGAGCACCGCUCAAGCGACCCGCUCUUAUAAAUUUUGGAAGAAGAAAGAAUUACAAAAGAAUCACAAAAUCCUUUUGGUGUAAUUCUUUUGUAAGUGUAUUUGGUAAAUAUUAUUAGGAACCUUGAGAGUCAUUUUAUAACUCUCAAGCAAUCCUACAACUUCCAAAACAACCGAUGUGGGAUUAAAUGUUUGCCAAAAAAAUGUCAACAAUUUUGGUUUGGAAAAGUCAUCAAUUUCUGCCACCAAAGUCAACAACUACAAGGUUACCAGAGAGACUAAAACUUCCAGAAUGGACUAGAUUUACAUAAUCGGAUGCUCGUGAGUUUGAAAAAAAUCAUACAAGAAUGGGCUUUCCACUACUAUAUACAUCAAGAGGCUAAAACUUUGAUGAGAAACUGUUCCAAGAUUUUGAAUUGAAACAGUCAACCUUGAAAAAAUUUCUACCUUCGGUAUAAAUUGAACCAGAAGAAUUACUUUAUAAGUAGUAAAAGCCCUUUGGGAAAGCAUAUGGCAUCUUAAUCCAAGCUUUAUACACCAAAUUAUGACGGAUUCAAUGCAACUAUGCUAUGAAGACUUUUCUAUGCAAGAUUAUGAGUUUUUCUUAUUUCCAUGUCAUGGUUCUGCUGUUGUAGAAUACAAAAACCAUGAAACUUCAUCAUAAACGGCUCUGUAUCAUAUAACUUCUAGGUUUAAUAGGUUCUCCAAUUUUCUAGAGUAUACAUGGGUUAGGAUCACGAUCUUGAAACUGCUAAAACAUGUAUAUGUCAAACCUUCAGCCAUGAAUUCUUCUUGUUUUUCAUCAUUGAAUUUUCAGGAUCAUACGGUUUAGAACAUGAUCAUAAGUUAUCAUAGGAUACUCUGAAAGAUUUUAAUGUAAAACAAUAACAAUUUGUAUGUAACAUGAAAUCGAAGUAGCGGUUUUACCCUACACAAAGAAUUCCUUCUCUUUCUUCUCCGCCCUCCAAUCCUCUCUCUGUCAUCCACAAUUACUAAGGAAUAUAUCAGGGCCUACUAGCUAGUAGUGAUAAAGGAUUUUUUAGGAUCCUUCAAUACUUAACACUUUUGUACUUAUUUAAUCUUUGUGGAAUUAGGUUGGACAGCACUUAAAAUUCCUUGCUAAAGUUCCAAUGCGGAGCAAGAAAAUACUUGUUCCUUUUCAUUCUUGAAAAACCCUUUUCCUCUAAGUCCUUUUUUUUCCCAAAAACCUGUUCUUCUUUUCCCUUUCUGGACAAUCAUAAAUGUUAAUAAUAACUAAAACAAUAAAAAUUAUUCACAUUUGAUAAUUGCAGCAUUUAUGAAACUAAAACACUAAUAGGUCGUAGAAUAAUUACUAAACAGAAUAAAUAUCUAAACUAGAUACAAGCAUCUUAUGAACAACACAAAUAUGUACUCCAAAAUAUACAUAUGUUGUAAGAUUGGGUGAUUUUGACAACAAAAAUACUGAAUUAGAUAUAAAAUCACGAACAAAAAACAAUAUAAACAGAACACCAAUCUUGAAAAGUUAAUUUUAACAUAAAUGAGAUGCCGACAAGCACAUGGAGUAUGAAAUUGAUAAUAUAAAUUGGACAGGUAUUUCUUUCGUUGUAGGGCCUUUUGAUUUAAUGCUUAUCUCGUGAUAUUCCCACUAUAGCCAAAGAAAAAGAAAAGUCUAUGAAAUGUAAACAAGUUGGACAAAAAGGUGAAGACACUGAUAUAUAUUGCAAAUUGUAUUUUCGACAACGAAAAUUAUUGGAAGUUUCAAUCCAAUAACGAAAAUGCGACAGACUUUACAUGAUUUAACUAGGUUAAAUUAAACCCAACCCCCCCCCCCACACAACAAAAAUAAUCUUUCAUAUUGCAACAUGAUCCCUUUAGGAUUUCAAAAUAUUUAUAUAACCUCCUGUGGUUUCAUGUAAUAUGAAAAAUGGACAGGAAGCACCAAUAGUUACACUGAUUAAACCAUACAUAAACACGUGUGUGAUAAAAUCAAAAUAUCUAUUUAAAUUCCCUGCGAUUUGCAUGAAUAUUCAAUUUAGCCCUCAAUAGUUUUUGCUUUUAUCCACAUUAUUCUCGUAUGAUUUUAUGUACGGUGGUUAAAGUGUUGAUUGAUUUAGUAUGCUUAAAUAAGGACACUACUAGUAACUAAAAAUAUUAUGGGAUUUAUUUUCUUUCCAAUUUUCACUUUACAUGAAAUCACAUGAGAUUUAUGUGGGUAUUUAGCAAUAUUAGGUCGUUUAUGUGACAACAAGUGAAUCCACGGGGGAUUAUGUGUAAUCUAUCCUUUUAACUGUAUCUAGAGAACUCUUUCUCAGACCAGUAUGAACUCUGAACUACUAGGUAGGGAUUCAGUCUGGGUCCACUUUAUUCUUCUCAGCAUUAGUCAAUUCCAAUUAUCCUCCACAAGUGACGUUGUUCACGACCAGGCGACUUGGUUGUAAGACUUGCCAAGGUCAAGUUUUCCCAUGCCAUAAGUUUUCCUGGCUUAUACAACUUUCAUGAUCCCUCAAACAAUACUUAAUUUGGCUCCUAAUCUACCAAUCUAGUUUGUAGGUUGUUAGCCUUUUACUCUUUUGAUGCCUUCCUUUGAAAUGAUCUCCAGAAAUUUGUUGUUCCACUUCAAAUAUUACAUGCUUUGUUUGCUUAGCUUCCAUACCAUUGAAUAUUGUUGUUCCACUUCCAACGACACAGACCCCUGGAACUAUCUUGACUCUUACUGUGGAAAUAUUACAUACAAUCCUAACAGUCCUUCCGGCAGCAUUUACAGAGCCAAUCUGAAUUUCUUGCUUUACAAUCUGUCUUCGCAUGCAUCUCGGACAGACAACAAUGGCUUCUAUAAUUUCAGUACUGGCGAUGACCCUUCAAACAAGGUCUAUGGCCUCUUUCUCUGUCGAGGUGAUGUCCACACUGAUGUUUGCAAAGAAUGCGUCGCAGAUGCCCACACACGACUACUUCAUGAGUGCCCAAAUCAAACAGCUGCUAUUGUUUGGUAUGACAAGUGCUUGGUACUUUUUUCUGACCAGACGAUCUUCUCCAAGGCUGAUUUGGGAGAGAAUGUGACUAGGCGCAAUCCAUUCGAUGUCCCUGGACCUGACUGGGACAAAUUCAAAAUGGUAUUGAUCAAUUUGUUGCAUAACGCUGCGGAUGAGGCUGCAAAUCAUACCAUGGGCAAAAAGUUUGCUGUCCAAGAAGGCAAUUAUUCCACUGAUCAAAAGAGAUUGUAUACCCUUACGCAGUGCACACCAGAUCUAUCCCCUUCUGACUGCAAAAGUUGCCUCAGAGAGGCUAUAAUGGACGUACCCGCGUGCUGUUCCAAGAAGCAGGGAGGGAGAGUACUUUAUCCAAGCUGUAAUCUGAGGUAUGAGGUCUCCAGCUUCUAUGAUAAUGUUUCCUCUGCCUUGCCAAACUCUCCUGGCGGUCCUCCUCCUAAUUCCACUGAAGGUAAGUUCUGCAGCCUUGCUAUGGCCGUCUCUUCUUGGAAUUGGUGUUGAAUACAAUCUUAAUUCUUACAAUUUCUUGUUUGUAGUAAAUUCUAGGUCGAAAAUGAAAAGCACUAAAUUUACAGCCUUCAUUUUAAAUUCAUACCUUUGUUAUUGGAAUUAAUAUUAUUGAAGUUAGUAGAAUAUGUAAAUAUAGGAUGAAGGGUGUGAAUUCACUAUCAAACGAAAGGAGACCACCACGUAACUUAAUGAAUUUUCUAAGUCAAAUUUUAGUUGAAUACGUAACAGUAAGAUUUCCGCAUCAGCACAUCUUACUGAUCACAUGCAUCAUCAUUUGUAAUUUAUGGAAGAUUUUAAGUGGUCAUACUUCUUAGGACAGUAAAUUUAGUCUUUUUGCAAGCAUUAGCACUGUAAUAACUAUUGAAUAUAUGUUGAAGUAGAAUUGUUAUGGUCAUUACGGAAUCCCUUUAACUGUGAUGGCCUGACGUGCAUUACGUUUUUAUUUAGUUAUCUAUCCAUUUAUCUAUUAUAUGGUUUUUAAAAAUCAUAUACUUAUGUUAUAAUUUUAUUUUGAUUGGUUGAUCAGCAUACAUGAAUAUUAAGUGCAUUUGAGAAAGUUUUUGCAUUCAAUUUGCUAGAAACAUUUACAUAGUGUAAAAGGGCUCAAGUUCAUGGAAAAUUUUGCAAUGAUUAAUCAAAUGGAAAAAGUUUGGUAUUUUUAAUUUUACUUUUGUGUGUAACUAAAAUAGUACAUGAGUUAUAUUAUGGGCGGUAUUGAUUGCAAAAUUACGUAAAAAAAAUGAAAUUUCUAUGGCAUAAUGCAAAGAAGAAUCCAUUUUAGUUUUUCCAAUUUUAGACAAAGACAUUCAAGAAGAUCGAGGAUGUAUUGUACGCAUGUAAAAGAUUUUCCGUUAUAGUGCAAUAUAAUUUGUUUGCUAGUUUAAAAUAUGAUAUUAAAUAAGUAAAUUAAUGGUACUUCUUCGUGGUUUAAUGUUUUGCCUCUUAACCUCUUGUGGUUUCAAAAUCGCAAUUUUACCUUAGUUGUGCUUUGGUAACGAGGAGGUUGGCUCAUGAACUAAAAUAUUAGGGAUAUAUAUGUAAAAUAUUAGGGAUAUAAUGUAAAAUAUUAGGGAUAUAUAUGUAAUUUUACUAUUAAAAUAAAAAAUAAUAUAUAUAUAUAUAUAUAUAAUUGAGUUGGCUCAUGAACUAUCGAGUUGAAUAGCUUUGAACUCGAGUUCGAAUUCGAAUUCGACUUGAUUAGGUUGAGCAUGCCUCAAGUUUGAUGUUGAUCGAGCUCGAGUUAUCAUGAGCAACACAUCGAGCUCAAGUCGAGCUUUGAAUUGAGUUGCUCGUAAGCGGUUCAAUUCGUUUACAACCCUACCAAUGACUCAACCAUCCGGCCGAAAGGAUUUCCAAUUUGAUUGAAGAAUGAGUUGGUCCGAUCAAACCUGUUUGACAUGGUGGUUCAAUCAGAGCCCGUUCGGUUUUCCAGUUGAUUGGGUUCUUUUUUUUAAUACAAUUGUGGAUCAUUGUUUUUGAAAUAAAGUGUAAUAUAAUUUUUACUAGUUUUGUAUGUUGGAUUUCCACUUAAAUGUGUAAAAACUUUUACUACUUGCUUAGUUUUUACUUGAUAAUUAAAUGUUUUAUUAAAUAAACUUGUUUACUUUUUUGUUAGAAAAUUAAUUCUUUUAACUUUCAAACUUACAAUAUUUGAGUUUUUAAAAAUUAUUUUAUUUUUUGAAAGAUAAAAUAAUAAAAAUGAUGCUAUACCUUUGAGUUGGCUCAAGAACUAUCGAGUUGAAUAGCUUUGAACUCGAGUUCGAAUUCGAAUUCGACUUGAUUAGGUUGAGCAUGCCUCAAGUUUGAUGUUGAUCGAGCUCGAGUUAUCAUGAGCAACACAUCGAGCUCAAGUCGAGCUUUGAAUUGAGUUGCUUGUAAGCGGUUCAAUUCGUUUACAACCCUACCAAUGACUCGACCAUCCGGCCGAAAGGAUUUCCAAUUUGAUUGAAGAAUGAGUUGGUCCGAUCAAACCUGUUUGACAUGGUGGUUCAAUCAGAGCCCGUUCGGUUUUCUAGUUGAUUGGGUUCUUUUUUUUAAUACAAUUGUGGAUCAUUGUUUUUGAAAUAAAGUGUAAUAUAAUUUUUACUAGAUUUGUAUGUUGGAUUUCCACUUAAAUGUGUAAAAACUUUUACUACUUGCUUAGUUUUUACUUGAUAAUUAAAUGUUUUAUUAAAUAAACUUGUUUACUUUUUUGUUAGAAAAUUAAUUCUUUUAACUUUCAAACUUACAAUAUUUGAGUUGUUAAAAAUUAUUUUAUUUUUUGAAAGAUAAAAUAAUAAAAAUGAUGCUAUACCUUUGAGUUGGCUCAAGAACUAUCGAGUUGAAUAGCUUUGAACUCGAGUUCGAAUUCGAAUUCGACUUGAUUAGGUUGAGCAUGCCUCAAGUUUGAUGUUGAUCGAGCUCGAGUUAUCAUGAGCAACACAUCGAGCUCAAGUCGAGCUUUGAAUUGAGUUGCUUGUAAGCGGUUCAAUUCGUUUACAACCCUACCAAUGACUCGACCAUCCGGCCGAAAGGAUUUCCAAUUUGAUUGAAGAAUGAGUUGGUCCGAUCAAACCUGUUUGACAUGGUGGUUCAAUCAGAGCCCGUUCGGUUUUCUAGUUGAUUGGGUUCUUUUUUUUAAUACAAUUGUGGAUCAUUGUUUUUGAAAUAAAGUGUAAUAUAAUUUUUACUAGAUUUGUAUGUUGGAUUUCCACUUAAAUGUGUAAAAACUUUUACUACUUGCUUAGUUUUUACUUGAUAAUUAAAUGUUUUAUUAAAUAAACUUGUUUACUUUUUUGUUAGAAAAUUAAUUCUUUUAACUUUCAAACUUACAAUAUUUGAGUUGUUAAAAAUUAUUUUAUUUUUUGAAAGAUAAAAUAAUAAAAAUGAUGCUAUGCCUUUGAAAAUAAGUGAUACAAUUUUGUUCUAUAUUUGAAUGUGUUAUUUAUUUAUGUACAAGUACAGUAAAAUGAAAUUAAAUCUUCUAUUAGUAUUUGUAUGUUCACUGUAUAUCUUUCAAAGUAUAAUAAUUAGUAUCUAAAAGUACUUUAUUGCUAUUUUAUAUUUGUAAAUAUUAAUUUGCAUAUCUAAAAGUACUUUACGUGAAGAAUAUUAGUCCCUCUGUUGGAUUUCUUGUCCAAUCGAGUUUAAUAACUAUGCAUAUUGCCAUGUAUUCUUCAUGUAGGGUCAUAAAAAAUCAAAAUGGAAUAACUAAAAACAAAUACAUGACAAAAGAACAAAAAACAUAGCAGAGGAAACACAUCGUUGGAUGAUUUCCCACCUCAGAUUCGUGGUCUUCUGAAAGCGAAGGAAACUUAUGCUAUCCAAUUUCACAGGCCACAGAUGCGUGGUGCGAAAUCAUCCAACGAAUAAGAAAUAAGGAUUUGCACUUCUACACAAGGCUACAAGUGCAUAGGCUAAAGAAUUUUUGGUGAUUUGUCUCUGUUCUUAAUUUGGUAAAUAAUUUUCUUCAACCUUUGUUCUUCUACAGCAAUUUGGUAAUAUUUGGCAUUGUUCUCAUUUCCUUAUAAUCACUGGGUCUGGAUAGCAUCGCUUACAAUGGGUAGUCGUAAUUUGGUCCAAACACAGUUAAGCUCCUAUAUGUUCAAACCUCAGGGGAGUUUCUUAAUAUUAAUCCAUAAUAUUGAAAAUUGAUGAUGAAAAUCUCUCUUCAUUUACCAUCAACAUGAAGCAUGUGAGACCAAAAGGUGGUGAAAAACUUUCAAAAAGAAUUGAAAAAAAUAUUCUUUCAAAUAAUGUGUUUUUGCAUAGCUUUUUGGGUUAGGCUCUUCUCCAUUAAUUGAAGAAAAUUUUUUUUCCAUUACACCUAAGUAAACAUGGUUAUAAUACUAUUUUUGAAAUAAAAGGUCAUCCAAAUUAUAUUUCUCGUGCUGUUUAAAGUAUAUUAAAAAAAUUCAAAUUAAAUUGAUUAAAUUUUAAUAUUGGAUCAAACUUUACAUUUUUUUUAUUAUAAUUUUGGCCCAUAUUGCACCGUCAAAGUGUUUUGUACAAAUUGAAUGACAAAAAAUUCAUAAAUGAGAAUGAAUUUUAAGUAUGUUGAUCUACUUGUGGAAGUAAAAUUAUUGACAUAAAUUUAGGCACAUAAAUGGUGAGAAAGUAAUAGAGAGGAUCUCAACUCUAGCUUUUUGUCUAUGUAAGGCUGGCUCAGAGUGACUCUACCUCGAAGUUUAAUAAAAUUGAUCUCCUAUGAUCAGCUGACUUUCGAAGCUAAAUUAAACUAACUUUCAUCCAGGCAAAGGGCGAAGCCCCCCGCGAGCAGCUUUUUCAAUUGCUGUCCCAUUAAUUGGGGUUGCUGUUGUGCUAUUUAUCAUGGCUUUAGUUUUCCUGAAAAGAAGAUUGCGGAAGAGUUAUGUUGCUAUGGCACUGGAAACAAGUGGUAAAGUUGAUUGAUUAAUAUUACAAACACUUCAGAUUUGUUUGAACAAAUAAAUUGAGUGUAUUUGCUUAUUUCUGGUGUAGAUGGUGUUGCUGAUAUCUUCACUGCCGAAUCUUUACAGUAUAGCUUAACUGAAAUUCAAAUUGCCACAAAUAACUUCUCUGUGGAUAACAAAAUUGGCGAAGGUGGAUUUGGUCGUGUAUACAAGGUCUUUGCAUGAAAUAUUUUGCUUUUGUGAAUUUGAAUAUCUACACAUUUAAUAUUUCAAUUAAAUUCUAGUAUGCAUGUUUACUCAGGGUGUACUUGGUAAUGGACAAGAAGUAGCUGUUAAAAGGCUGUCAAGGAGCUCAGUGCAAGGUGCAGAAGAAUUUAAAAAUGAAAUUGUAGUAGUUGCAAAGCUUCAACACAGAAAUCUAGUUCGGCUAUUGGGAUUUUGCCUGGAAGGAGAAGAAAAGAUACUCAUCUAUGAAUUUGUUCCUAACAAAAGCCUUGACUACUUUCUCUUCGGUGGGUUCAAUCUAGACAUACUUAUAGUAAUUUUUUGUUGUUCCAUGUGAUCUUGUUCUAUUUUACUUGACUUGCCAUUUUAUGGAAAUGACGGACAAAUUGCCUCUAGACAAAUGUUUAAUUGGUGUGAAUUCUAGUUUAGACCCUUAAAUCACAGACGCGCACUCAAACUUUAGUUCUUAAACUUUAAUUUUGGAUACUUCACCUCCUAAUGCAUCACAUGUUAUAACAGAUGCAGCGGAACAGAAGAACAAACAAGAAUAGACAAGAACAACUUGGGGGAAAUCAGAUUUUAUUAGCGAGACCCCCGUACAGCUCAGCGGGGGUUGAAGAUCUAAUUCAAGGCAUCUCAACAAUCUCCACCUUGACUUGAAUCUUCCCUGAAAAAUGUAACAGACGCACUAAUGAAGUGCCAGAAGUACUCAGAGAAUUAUCUCUAAGUACCAUCAGAAUGCCCAUAAGGGCCAUCAGAAACUUAGGACAUUUAGCAAAUCCAAACAAUGUUUGAAUUUGCUAUGAGGGACCGACUUGGUGAACAUAUCAGCAGGAUUGUCAGCAGUGCCAAUUUUCUUCACCUUGAUCCUUGUCUCAGAUCUCAAGAAAUGAUAUCGGACAUCAAUGUGUUUAGUCCUCUCAUGAUGAACUUGAUCCUUGGCUAAACAUAUUGCACUGAGACUAUCACAAUAUAUAUUAGCCUGAUCCUGAUGUAGGCCAAGAUCUCCAACCAGCCCCUUUAACCAAAUUCCCUCUUUAGCAGCCUCCGUCAGUGCCAUAUACUCUGCCUCAGUAGUGGACAGAGUCACUGUAGGUUGUAGAGUUGCUUUCCAACUAACUACAGAAUGCCCAAGAGUGAAAACAUAACCAGUCAUCGACCUCCUACUAUCAACAUCUCCAGCAUAAUCAGAAUCUGAAUAGCCUGUAACCAAACACUCUGUAUCACCUCCAUAGAUGAGACCAACAUCAGAUGUGCCCCUCAAAUACCGAAAAAUUCGCUUCACUGCCAGCCAGUGCUCCUUCCCAGGAUUAGCCAUAAAUCUGCUAACAACACUGACUGCAUGUGCCAGAUCAGGUCUAGUGCAGACCAUGGCAUACAUCAAACUACCCACUGCACUAGAAUAGGGAACCUUAGCCAUAUACUCCAUCUCAGCUUCUGACUGUGGUGCAAGUGUAACUGAUAGUUGAGCAUUCGUUGCACUCGGAGUAUUCAAGGGUUUUGCUGUAGACAUGUCAAAUCUGGAUAGUACCUUCUCAAUAUAGCUCUUCUGUGAUAAGAAAAGCUUUUUCUGACUUCUAUCCCUGAAAAUCUCCAUUCCCAAAAUUUUCUGUGCUGCACCCAAGUCUUUCAUCUCAAACUCUGCACUGAGAAGACUUUUCAACUUCUGUAUAUCAGCUUUAUUCCUCGCAGCUAUGAGCAUAUCAUCUACAUACAGAAUCAAAUAGAUCAUCGAACCAUCUUCAAGUUUGUUGUGAUAUACACAACAAUCAUACUGACUUCUGUUGUAACCUAGCUCAAUCAUGUAGCUGUCAAAUUUUUUGUACCACUGCCUUGGGGACUGCUUUAAUCCAUACAAAGAUUUCUUCAACUUGCAUACAUAAUCUUCUUUUCCCCGAACAUAAAAUCCAUCUGGCUGAGUCAUAUAAAUCUCUUCAUCUAACUCUCCAUGUAGGAAAGCUGUCUUCACGUCUAGCUGCUCAAGUUCUAAGUCCUGAUGUGCAACCAUUGCUAGUAGCACCCUGAUAGAAGUGUGUCUGACCACUGGUGAGAAAAUCUCAUUGUAGUCUACUCCUUCUCUUUGAGUGAACCCUCUUGCAACAACACGUGCUUUAUACUUGAUGCCCUCAGCUGGAGAAAUUCCUUCCUUCCUUUUAAAGACCCAUUUGCAAGUCACAACCUUUCUCUCUGCUGGCCGUUUGACCAAUUCCCAAGUGCCAUUCUUGUGUAACGACUCCAUUUCAUCACCCAUUGCAGCAAGCCAUUGAGCUGACUCACUGCCUGAAAUAGCUUCUCUAUAGGUAGAGGGCUCGGGAGAACUCCCAUUUCAUCACCCAUUGCAGCAAGCCAUUGAACUGACUCACUGCCUGAAAUAGCUUCUCUAUAGGUAGAGGGCUCGGGAGAAUCCACCUCCUCAGCAACCUGAAAUGCAUAACCUACAAAAUCUCGAUACCUGCUGGGAACUUGUACUCCCACUCUCCUUGCACGAUCAUAAGCAAUACCAUGCUGCUGAGUUUCUGACGUAGUAUGAGAUAUAGGUGCCAACCUUUCUGCUGAUGUAGAUUCUGGAGACUCUACUUCUGCAGGAGGUUCAGUUUCACAGGAUAGCUGUUGAUAAUCACUAAAUUGCUGCUGUGAUUCAAAACCAUUUUGAAUGAUUUUUAGCUCCACCUGUUUAUCAACACCUGCACUUUCUUCAACAACAGCCUUCACAGGGGGGUUAAGUAUAGAGUUUUCAUCAAAAAUUACACUUCUACUAAGUAUAACUUUCCUUUCUGAGGGUGACCAGAUUCUAUACCCUUUAACCCCAUCUCCAUAUCCCAGAAACACUCCCUUUUUAGCCCUUGGUUCUAGUUUACCCUCACUGACAUGAUAAUACGCAGUACAACCAAAAGCCUUCAAAUUUGAGUAAGUAGGGGACAUACCAGACCACACUUCAUAAGGUAUCUUGCAGUCUAUACCUGUAUGAGGUGCACGAUUGAUCAAGAAGCAGGCCGUGCUCACUGCUUCCGCCCAGAACCUCCUUGGCAAACCAGCAUUGAAGAGCAUACACCGUGCUCUCUCUAGAAGUGUCUGAUUCAUGCGUUCUGCUACACCAUUUUGUUGUGGUGUGUGUCGAACUGUGUGAUGCCGGGCAAUUCCUUCAUCUUUGCAGAACUCAUCGAACUCCUUUGAACAGAAUUCCAGACCAUUAUCAGUUCUCAGCCUUUUGAUCUUCUUUCCAGUUUGAUUCUCCACUAAGGCCUUCCACUGCUUGAAAUUCUUGAAAGCUUCACCUUUUUCCUUCAUAACGAUUACCUCAACUCGUGAAGGACCCCAACAGUCAGAAUGGAUGUAAUCCAGUGUGCCUUUUGUCCUGUGAAUUGCCUUCCCAAACUUUCUGCGAUGUAAUUUACCGAAAGUACAAUGUUCACAGAAUCCAAGAUCAGUGACCUUGUGGCCUUCUAGAAGAUCACGUUUAGACAGAAUCUGCAUCCCUCUUUCGCUCAUAUGACCAAGCCUAAUGUGCCACAGCUUGGUCAUAUCAGACCUGCGAUUUUCAGAAGAUGCAACAGCAGCAGCAGCAGAACCUGUUAGCGUAGAACCUUGUAGGAUGUACAGGGUGCCAUGCUUAACUCCUUUGAGAACCACUAAUGAACCUUUACUGAUGCACAACUCUCCACUUCCUCCGCUGAACCUGAAACCCUUACUGUCAAGAGUACUAAGUGAUAUCAGAUUCUUCGUCAUUUUGGGGACGUGCCUGACUUCGUUCAGUGUGGCAAUUUUUCCAGUAUGUGUCCUAAUCUUAAUCGAACCGAUUCCAACAGCCUUGCAGACAGCGCUAUUAGCCAUCACGACAUUUCCGCCAUCUAUCUGCUCAUAUGUUGUAAACCAUUCCCUAUUUGGACAUAUGUGAUAGGACGCCCCAGAAUCAAGAACCCACACAUCAGAUUGAUGUGUUGGUUCGUUUGCAAUUAGGGCCAGGUCUUCUUCUGAAUUUUCCGCUUCCUUUUCUGCAGCUGAAGCUGAAGCGUGUUGUUUUUCCUGCUGUUUCUUCUUCUUGGGACAAUCAGAUUUCCAAUGACCUUUUUCCUUGCAAUAGUUACAGACAUCAUCCGGCUUGGGACCUUUAGAGAACUGCUUCUUAUUUCCGGACUUCUUUUUUCCCAAUUUUCCUUUAUCACUACUGACAACUAAUCCAGCAGCCUGAUUAUCUGUAACAUUACCAGCCGCCUUAUGGCGCAACUCUGUACUGUGCAGUGCUGAUCUUACUUCUUCUAAAGUUACUGUAUCUUUACCGCCAAUAAAAGACUGAACAAAAUUCUCAUACGAUAACGGUAGAGACACUAACAGAAUCAACGUGGCAUCCUCAUCCUCAAUUUUAACAUCAAUAUUACGCAAUUCAAGAAGAAUUGUAUUUAAUUGAUCUAAAUGUUCUCGAAGAGGAGUACCUUCCUGCAUACGCAGACCGAACAGACGUUGCUUUAGGAGCAACUUGUUGGUUAAAGAUUUCGUCAUAUAGAGACUUUCAAGUUUAACCCACAAACCCGCAGCAGUUUCUUCACCGGCGACCUCAGUGAUGACAUCAUCUGCCAGACACAGCAUGAUUGUCGAGUGAGCCUUUUCCUCCAGACUCAUCGACUCUUCAUCAACGGAAUCCGAUUUCUUCUUCGUCAGCGGACUCCACAGGCCCUGCUGCUUUAACAGAGCCCGCAUCUUGAUCUGCCAUAAACUGAAACUAUUUCUCCCGGUGAACUUGUCGAUCUUGAUGUUCAAAGCAGACAUGUUGUUGCGUGAUCCGAGCCCUAGGACAAACCUAGAGCUCUGAUACCAGUUUGUUAUAACAGAUGCAGCGGAACAGAAGAACAAACAAGAAUAGACAAGAACAACUUGGGGGAAAUCAGAUUUUAUUAGGGUUGUCAACAGAAUAGUUUACAGACUAAAAUAAGGUGUAUAUAUAUACAACCAAACAGACUGGAUAAUGGCAUCUCAACAUCACAUUUGUCACACAUCAUCACAAUCACUCACUCAAUUGUCAAAACUAAUGGGAUAAUGGCAAGUAAUGAUCAAAGUGGGAUGAUUUCAUUAAUAAUUAUACUGAAGUGGGACAAUUUAAAACCUUUAGGGUGAAGUGUCCACAAUAAAAAUUUAAGAAGUAAACUGAGAGUGCAUUUAUAUUUAAUUUACCUAUUUGAUUAUGCUUUCUGGAGUUAUUGAUUUAAUAAUUCUCAAUGCUAGCACAAUAUAUUGUGUUUAAAUUUGUGUAGAUCCAGAAAAUAAACGAUCAUUGAACUGGGCAAGACGUUACAAUAUCAUUGGAGGUAUAGCAAAAGGACUUCUUUAUCUGCAUGAGGAUUCUCGUCUAAGAAUUGUUCAUCGCGAUCUCAAAGUAAGUAAUAUAUUAUUAGAUGGAAAUAUGAGUCCAAAGAUAGCAGAUUUUGGCAUGGCAAAGAUUUGUGGAGUUGAUCAAUAUGAAGGAAACACAAAUAGAAUUGCAGGGACAAUGUAAGUUUUGCUCCCAUACCAUCUUUUCUCACAUAAUAUCACUUUGAAUCUUUCAUGGAAAAUUAUGUACACCUCCAUUUGAUUGCAUCAUUCGGAUUAUCUUUGUACUGAUUAUAACAAUCGUUGUGGCUUGUAGUGGUUAUAUGGCUCCUGAAUACACAAGGUGGGGUCAGUUCUCACUAAAGUCAGACGUGUUUAGUUUUGGGGUUGUAAUUUUGGAAAUUGUCACGGGCAAGAAGAGCAGUGACUUCCAUCAAUCUAGAGAUUCCGAAGACCUUCUAAGCUAUGUAAGUACAAAUUGCAAAACCUUUGCUAUAGUUGUUACUUUUUUCUUGUUUUUUUUUGGCUUUUGCAGAACUGGGGAGGAGGAUUUGAUAUUGGCACUCCUAAUUUUCAACCUUUUAUCUUUUCUUUUUUUUCAUUAUUAAAUUCACCUAAACUUGCAAUACCAUUUUUUGUGUGAACCAGACCAAAAUGGCACCAUAAUUUAUGAACUACCUGCCCUAAAUAAAUACGUAUUUCUGUUUAUGUGCUUCUUAUGGAAAUUUUUAGAUGUCGGAUGCAAGACUUGUCAUAAUUGCUAUUCUUUCUCUCGUUUUGUACGUUGUCACACACUCAAAGUAGAGUACUUGUAAAUUUCAGUAAAGACCAUUGUACUUCUUUCUCAGGUUAUACUUAACUACAAUGAUGGGAAAAAGGGCUGCGAUUUGAAAUCUUUUAUGAAUAAAUCUCAUAUAUCAGACAGUGCAUAUACUAUUACCAUUAAAUUCAUAAUAUGUAUGCAAAAAUUGAAUUUAAAAUUCAAAUUUUACAUAAUUGUUGUUCAUCCAACGCUAAUAACAGUGUAUACACUGUUAAUGUAAGAAAGAUUAAUGAACAUUAAUCCCCAGCUGAUCGAACAAACAGUAUGUAUUGAACUUUUACCAUUUGUACAUAGCCCAGGUUUACAAUGUAUACGUUUGGUAACAAAACCAACAUAAAGGCUGUCUUGGUUCACAAUUCUUGGAGUGUGUUAUUAGUUAAAGGAGUUUAAAUAUAUCAGAUUCAUCCUGAUUUUGGACUUUUUCAGCAUUCAAUGAUUUAUUAUCACCUAAGCUUUCUUAAGUAUUCUAUUAUAAUAACAAUGUACUUGCAUUCGUACAAUCUUCAUAUUUGUUAUUCCUUCUUUUUUUUUUUUGUGUUUAAAGUAUUUUACCCAAUUUUGUCAUUUAAUUUUCCGUAUGUCUCGUACUAAUAAAAGAGAGAAAGUCCAACUCUGAUUCCCAUCCAAAACCAAAUUCAAGUGGCACCGAAAAUUGCACCAUGUCAACUACUUCCAUGAAUGGGGGAAUGUCUUUGGAAAUGUCUGAACCAAGCUCUACCAGUGAAUGAGCUAAUAUACUGCAGAACCAGAAUGGGGGAACCAAUUUGCCAAAUCUGUGGUGCGGGAGAGGAAACCAUAGAACACUUGCUUUUCUUUUGCAGCCCGGCGAAGGAAGUAUGGAGGCUCGCACCAGUGCGGUGGGAUGGCAUUGAUAACAGUAGAGGCAAUUUCAACAAAUGGUGGAGUGGUCUAAUGGAAGCAACAAGCAGAAAUGAAGGGCACAAGCACCAAGCUCUUACUGUGAAUAUUCUCUGGCAACUGUGGAAAGCUCGAAAUGACAAGGUCUUUAACAACAAGUGCAGGACUCCUUUUGACAUUGUACAGAAAGCCCAUCUAGAAUGGAUAGAGUACACUGAAGUGAAAAGUAGGGAGAAGCGGGUGAGCAGCCAGGAAACAUCAGCUAGUGAUGAAGAGGGACCGGGCGACUUUAUACACAGCAAUAAGAUGACAAUUGAAGUGGAGGUGAGCCAGCUGAAGGAAAGCAAAAUUGUUGGCAUUGGCAUAGUGGCAAUAAAAGACACCAAGGUGCAUGCUGCAUGGGCCAUGAAAGAGAGAAGUACAGGUGACUUUUUACUGGAUUAUUCUGCUGCACUCAAGUUAUCAUUGUGCAAAAUUAGACAAAAGCCUUGGCCAGAUGUUAAUCUACUAGUUUCAUCCGCUCACUUGUUACGAAUGCUGCGAACUCACAACACACAAGACAUCAGACUUUUUGCUCAAUUAGAAGAUAUUCACAUGCUCAAAGCUUUGUUUAUGAACUGCUCAUUCGGCUUGGCUGAAAACCAGGGUAAUAGAUUAGGGAGAACAAUUAGCAAGUAUGCUACUACAUUAGUACAAGAUGAGGAAUAUCUAAGUCCUCUGUGUCAAGCAACACAAUUGUAAAGCUCGUGAUGGGCCUUUGCUCAAGUUUGUAUAGCUUGUUUUUUUGAAAUCAAUAUAUUUCCUACCGUUUCCGUAAAAAAAAAAAAAACUACUUCCAUGAAUGCCCAAUACCAAUUUAGUUACCCAAUGCUAUAACAGAAAGCCCAAGUCAAAACAAUUGAAAAACCCACCAUCCCACCAUUACCUAUUGUCUUCUUUUUUAAUUAUUCUUUUUCCCUUAAAAAGACAACCAAGCAAAUUCCAUAUCCUAUCCUGUGUAACUUCUUGAUUUUCGUCUUGUAAAUUUCUAUACAAAAUUUUAUUUGCAAUGUUUCAUUAAUUCAUCUACCCAAGGCUCCAGCAUGCAUUAAUUCAGUUUAGCUAUUGGGCAAAUCUUUUGUUUUUCUAUGUUUCGUUUUGAUGGAAGACAAAAAUUCACUUUUAGAUUUUCUUGGCUACAACUUUUCUUUAUAUAUUCAUUCGAAGAUGAAACUUUUAUUUUGUGCGUUUAAUAUAUAUAAAUUAAAUGAAUUUGGAUCUUGGUUGUCAUUAGAUAGCGUUUAUAAUAAUAAUAAUAAUUUUAGAAUUAUCCUUUCCUCAUUAGUCCGAUAAAUUGUCAUUUUAGAUUAAAUAAAAUUGACAAUUACUUCUUCUAUUUUUCAAUUAGACAAACUUCAAUGUUUCUGUUUUGUGUUAAUGAAAUAGUGAAUUUAACUAGUUCUACUGCAAUGAUUAGGAGAACUAAAAGAAUGGAUUUAGACAAGGUUAUAGUUAUUGAUAAUAUAAAAAAAAAACUUGUCAAUAGAAUAAACUUAUGAAAAUCAAAAUAAAACAUUUGUGGUUGCUUUAGAUGAAAAAGCAAAAGCUUUAGAACUUCUAAAACAUAAAGCUUGCACUUAAUUAUACUAGUGAUUUUUCAGGUUGAUUAGUAACUUAUUGAGAUUUGAGUAUUUUGUGACUAUCGGGAGCAAGAAAAUUGAAUAAAAGGGCACUUGAAACAAGUGUUGAACCUGGAAACUUUGAAGCUUUUUAUUUUUUUUUUUAACUUUUUAUGGAUUUUUUUAGUGUAAGUUCCGCUAUACCACCUAAUUCAUCCCUUCCCCAGCUUUGAUGCUUCUACAUCUAAGAAUGUCCGCAUUUUUAUGGCUACUUCAAAUAGUCAACAUUUUCCAAAUAUUACGACUCUUCCGAAAUUCAACUAAGACAAAAUUCCUAGAGCUAAAAAUCAAUCAAGUAUAACCACUAAAAUUUACCUCAUCGUUUUGAAUUUUUUUUUGCUCAUUUAAUCUUGAUUUAUUCCUUGUUUGUAAUAAAGUUAUACUCAACCUUAUAAGUUUCCCCCGUCUCCCCCUAUAACAAAUUCCUAGCACCGCCACUGCUCCAUCCCAUCAUGAUUUCAAAUGCAAUAUGCUACUUCAUGAGUUUUUUAAAGAAUAUUUACAAUUAGUUAAGAGGGGCCAUUGAUGUACAUACAAAACAAAGUCCACUUAAUUUGUCAGGACAAAUAGGGCAAAGGGCUUGAAGCCGUUCCUUAAUGGUAUCUAUUGAUUGUUUAUUGUGACGCAUGUCAAGAAAGGAAUUUCAAAUAUUGAGAUUAGUGACGGGGGUUGGCGUGGGCCGAAGUGUAAUCAAAUCGGGCUGAGCCUUAUUUUUAACAUGCUCCAACUCGGGUUCGAAAUCAACAUCGAGCUGGAUAUGAGUUUCAAUUUUAAGCCUGAUUUUCCACUCGAUACAAUAUUUUGACUUUCGUUAUGCUUGAAAUUUUAAUUGACUUUUUCUUAAAAGUUAGGUCCUUCUAUUACGUGCACUUAGUAGAUUGGAUAAAAGGUACUAUCAAAUUCUUUAAUUAUCACUAAACCUCAAUUCGAAAUUUGAAAGAAAUAUUACUAAUCGGUUUCAAAAGGUCCACUCUUCUUGUGCUGACAUAUCUACCUACUAUAUAAGAAAGAAGUGAGAUUACUGUAGCAAUCUCUAUGGCUGCCAAGUGACGCCCAUCUACUUUGACACAUGGUUCAUUAAUCUUUUGAGUAAGCUAUCUUUAUUUUUUUCCCUUUUUUUUUGGCUUUCAUUUUCCCCUCAUUUCCUCUUUUCUUUUUGGCAAAAGACAAUCACAAGAACCCUCAUCCUCAUUUACAUUAUCACUUGCAUACUCAAUUUUCACUCUGUACUCUUUUCAUUUUUUUUCUCUUUUUUUCCUUCACCCUAAAUUGUUUACUCUGUUUUUUUCCUAUUAAAUUAGUUGAUGCAUUUUUUUUCAAUUUUUCCAUAAUUAAUUAAAUGAAUGGUUUUGUUGUUGGAGUGGACGAGGGAAGAUAGCAAUUUUUAUUGAGUGAAGAUAACAAUUUUUCCUCAACUUAUAUUCAUUCCAAUUUUAGUUUUCAUUUAUUAAAAUUGUUAUUUGAUAAUAGGCUAAUAGUGCUGGGAUGGAUGAGGAAGAAUUUGACAAGUGAAGAUCCAAGGUGAAUGAUGGCUGCCAAGUGACUCCAAUCUACUUUGACAUGCGGCUCAUUAAUCCUUUGAGGAAGCUAUUUUUAUUUUUUUUCCCCUUUUUCUUUUGACUUUCUUUUUUCCCCUCAUUUCCUCUUUCCUUUCUGGCAAAGACAACCACAAAAACCCUCAUCCUCAUCUACACUAUCAUUUGCAUGCUCAAUUUUCACUCUGUACUCUUUUCAUUUUUUUCUCUUUUUUUUUCCUUCGCCUUAAUCAUUUACUCUGUUUUUUUUUAUAUUGAAUUAGUUGAUGCAUUUUUUUUCAAUUUUUCUAUAAUUAACUAAAUGAAUGGGUUUUGUUGUUUGAGUGGAUGAGGGAAGAUAGCAAUUUUUGUUGAGGGAAGAUAAUAAUUUUCCUCAACUUAUUUUCAUUCCAAUUUUAGUUUUCAUUUAUUAAAAUGGUUAUUUGAUAAUAGGCUGAUAGUGCUGGGAUGGAGGAGGAAGAAUUUGACAAGUGAAGAUCCAAGGUGAAUGAUGACUGGGAAGGAAAUAGAGAGGUCUAUUGAAUUUAAAAUUAAUCAAAAUCUCUUAAUUUAGAGAUAGAUAAUUAUAUUUCCAUAUUUUGAUUUAUUUAAAGUUUCUUAAUAGUGAAAAAUGGUUAUUUAUUAGAUGAGAAGGAUGAUAUCUAAAGGAAUUGUCGGGGCUAGCAAUUUAGGAUAUGAAUAAAAUAUUUCGUAUAAUCUCUUCAUUUUAGGUUACUGACUUGUAUCCAUGACAAGUGGUUUAUUUUCAUUGCAUGAUAGUUUGAGAAGAAAAAAAAGUGUAAAACUAGAUUUUAAAAUCAUUUGCUUAAGUUGGUUCUAUGAAUUUGUAUUUUUAUAUAAGCUAGAUGUGGAACUCGAUAUAUCAUGACUAUUUGGCUAAAGGAGUUGAUAAAUUUUUGUAAACUCAAAUAGUUGAAUUGAUUACUAUUGUUAAGGAAUUGCAAUUGGUGGUGGAAGUCAAAAUUGUGACUUUUAGCCUAGAGUGUGAUUCGACAAAAAAAUUGUUAAAAAAUUCAAUCUUGAUUAAGAAGACAUUUUUGCGAUCAAACAAAUGGUUGGUUUCGAAUUUGUAUAUGUACAUUUGCAAACAUAGCAGUACAUAUUUUUAUCUAAUAUUGUUAUUUGUAUCCUCAAGCUUUUUGGCAGAUAAUGUUAUCACCUAUUGUAAUGCUAAUAAAAAGGAUUUAAAUGGAUGGAUUAACAACUCGCUUUUUCUCUGAAAAAGUCAAAAAAACCAAUGUGUAGGUUUGUAUGUUUUGAAAAGGAUAGAAAAAUGUGCAAGUUUGUAUCUUUUAUUGAUGUUAAAAAUCAUGACAAAUUUUGGUGACUUUCUAAACCUUUUCUAAUUAUUAAACUGCUAGAAGUAUUAUGACUACUUUUGGUUUAGUCACAAUUAAAAUAUGCUGCUAUUAAAUUGAUAAUGUAGUGUACUUUUUAUCUCUCCUUUUUUUGGUAUCAUGAUGCACACAUAGUAUUGGUUCAAAAAUCUUUGUUUUAUAAAUGAAAUUUCUCUUCAUAGCAAAUUUUAAUUGUUUUGAUGCUCAAAUUUUCUCCUAUAUUUACCAAAAAGAUAUAUUGCUUUAUGUUUAACUAAACUUCUGCCUCUAGUGAAAUAAGAAAAGAAAAAAGAGUCACUUUAGUGUAGCUACGUGGAUACAAGUAAUAUUGUACAAGUGGAUGCUCCACGAAUCGGGGAAUUUUUUUUUUUUUUUUUUUUUUUUUUUUUGGCUGGCAGGAGCUUACGAUGAUGAAGAAGCGGCUGCACGUGCAUAUGACUAGGCAGUAUUGAAGUACUGGGGACAAGACACAAUUCUUGAUUUUCCUGUAAUCUAUAAUUCAUCUUGCAAAUCUUUGCAUUUUUUUCCCUUUUUUGUUGAAGAAUUUUUUUUAAAAUUUUGGGCAAAUUCCACUUUACCCCUGUGAUUUAGCAUUUUUUGCAUAACCUUCCUAUGGUUUCAAAAGCUAUACAUAAUCCCCUUAUGGUUUGGAUUAAAGUGUCAAAGUGACGGAAAUAAUCAUUCAUAACGGCGUCACCUAAAAUGUCAAAAUUACCCUUAUGUAAAGUUGAAAUUUAUGUAUUAAUCAAAGGGGGUUAUGUGUAUAUUUUGAAAAUUAUAAUGGGGUUAUAUGGUAAAAUAUUAAACGAUAAGGGGGUUAUAUAGUAAAAUAUAAAAAUCAUACGGGGUUAAUGUGUCAUGUAUUUAUAAGGGUAAUUUCGACAUUUUUAGAAGUUCUAUUACGAGUAACUAUUUCCGUUACUUUGAAACUUUAAUCCAAACUACGAGGGGGUUAUGUAUAGCUUUUGAAACCAUAGGGGGGUUAUGUUAAAAAAAGGGUAAACCACAGGGGGGUAAAAUAUAAUUUACCCUUAAAUUUUUUUAGGUUAGAUAAUCAUAGCGGUUUUGCUUAAUGUAUGUAGCUCUCGACGUAUGAAAAUGAGGUCAACGAAAUGGAGGGUCAGUCUAAAGAAGAGUAUAUUGGAUCAUUGAGAAGAUAUGUGUACAAACGCAAUUGGCAAUAGGAUCACAAAUUUCCUUUAAAUGUUAGAGCUCUUUUUGAUUUUCUUCCUAUAUUAAAGAUUCUAAUGCAAAACAAUAACAAAGAUUUCCUUCUCUUUCUUUUCCACCUCCAAUCCUCUCUCUCUCUCAUCCACAGCAGGAAAGCAUAUAUUAUGGCCUACUACUUAGUAGUGUAGUGGGGAUUUUUAGGUUGGUCAUCGCUUAAGUUAGAAUAUGGAGCAAGAGAAUAUUAGUUCCUUUUCAUUCUCGAAAAACCCUGGUUCACAAAAACUGAUAACAUAAACGAGGAUUUACAGGAGUAGCUCUAUUGUGACCGGUUUCUUGCAAAAACAAAGAUCAGCAACCAUCAUAAUGGUCGCUUCUUACUGAUGCUCCAGGCACCCUUGUAAAUAUGUUUAAAAAGUGGCCCUUAAACUUGAUGAAUUUUUUAAAACAAAGCAACGCGGAAUUGGUCAUUAAUAAAUGGGUAGACGUUGCUUUCCUUGAGGGUUCCUUUGAAUUAAUCAAAAGAAGAUUAAGAAAUGUAAAUCAGUUUGACAAAAUGGUGAACACGUAUGUAUUGCAAACACAAGUAGUUGGACAGUUUAUUGGCAUUUUUUACAACAAAAAUUAUUGGAAAGUUUCAAUCCAAUUAAAAUGCGACAGACUUUACGGGAUUUUAUGGUAAAUUACAUGUAAUCACCUUGGAUUUUUAUAUUAAUAUAUGAUCUCCUUUACAUUUCAAAAUAUCCGCAUAAACCCCUAUUGUUUCAUGUAAUAUGAAAAAUAGACGGAAAACAUCAAUGGUUACAGUGAUUGAACUAGAUGUGCUCCAAAAAUGCAUGUGGUGAAUUAGUGAUAUCCGCUUAAUGCUCCUACAAUUCAUAAAUAUCCACUUUAACCCUCUAUAGAUUUUGUAUUUAUCCACAUAAUUCUUCUAUAACUUUAUACAAGGUGGUCUGAUUGUUGUUCGAUUUAAUAUUUAAGUAAGGGCAAUAAUAAUAGUUCAACUAAUUGUGUAACAUAAGAUUUUUUUUUGUAAAAUUUCUAUUUUAUAUGAAACCAUAGAGGUUUUAUAUGAAUAUUGAAAAUAUUAGGGUUGUCAUGUGACAAUCAAUGAAUCUAUAGGGGAUUAUGUGUAUAAUUUAUCCUUUUAACUAUAUAUAGAGAACUUUUUCUUAAAAGUAUUGAACUAAUAGAUAGAGAUUCAAUUUGGGUCCACUUUACUCAAUAGAGCAUUAGUCAAAUUACAAUUAUCCUCCACGAUGACGUUGUUUGAUAGUUGUUAGCAUCCUGAAAUUUGCAUUCCCGUCAAAAUCCAUUAUUUUUUUUUUGGUCAAACGGUAAAAAUCUAUUACUGACGUAUUGAAUUUUGGUUAGAGACCAUUCAGCUGAUGGUUCACGUCCAGGCGAGUUGGUUGUCUGCCAAGGUCAAGUUUUCCCAGGCCAUAAGUUUUCCUGGCUUAUACAACUUUCAUGGUCCCUCAAACAAUACUUAAUUUGGCUCCUAAUCUACCAAUCUAGUUUGUAGGCUGUUAGCCUUUUACUCUUUUGAUGCCUUCCUUUGAAAUGAUCUCCAGAAAUUUGUUGUUCCACUUCAAAUAUUACAUGCUUUGUUUGCUUAGCUUCCAUACCAAACUCACUAGCCCCGUUAAUUUUCUUGCGCCUUACUGUGAAAAUACAACAUACAACCCUAACAGUGCGACCGGCAGCAUUUACAGAACCAAUCUAAAUUUCGUGCUUGACACCCUAUCUUCAAAUGCAUCUCGGACAGACACCAAUGGCUUCUAUAAUUUCAGUACUGGCAAUGACCCUUCUAACACGGUCUAUGGCCUCUUUCUCUGUCGAGGCGAUCUCAGCGCUGAUGUUUGCAAAGAAUGUGUAGCAAAUGCCAGCACAAGAGUAUUUCAAGAGUGCCCGAAUCAGACGGCUGCUAUUGUUUGGUAUGACGAGUGCUUGUUGCGUUUUUCUGACCAGACAAUCUUCUCCAAGGUUGAUUCCAGAGUGGUAGUGGCUAUGUACAAUACACAGAAUGUCACUGAAUCGAACUGGUACAACUUCGUAUUGCUAUUGGGAAAUUUGUUGUAUAACGCUGCGGAUCAGGCUGCAAAUCAAACAUGGGGCAAAAAGUUUGCUGUUCAACAAGCCAACUUUUCCGCUUUUCAGACGUUGUAUGCCCUUACACAGUGCACACCAGAUAUAUCUGUUGAUGACUGCAAAGGGUGCCUUGAAAGUGCUAUCAGAACCAAUCUGACCCUUUGUUGUGCUAUCAGAGUGGGAGGUAGAGUAAUCUUUCCAAGCUGUAAUAUUAGGUAUGAGCUCUACGGCUUCUACAAUAGUGCAUUCCCUGCACCACCGCCUAUGACAAACUUACAUUCCUUCACCGGUGCUCCUCCUCCUAGUUCCACUAAAGGUAUGUCCUGGAGCGUUGCUCUGACCAGAUAUUUUUUUCCUAGUGUUAAAAACAGACUUAAAUCUUACAAUUUUUGUUUUUAUUGAAUUCUGGAUCGAAAAUGAAAAUGAAAGGGCUAUAUUCGCAUAACUUUAUUUUAAAUCCACACCUUUAAUACAUUUAUAAUUGGUAUGAAUGAUAGUAGAAUUUGUACAAGGAGUAAAUUUCACCAUUGGCAUAUAGUACAAAAUAGAUUUCAGCAUAAGCACAUCAUACUGAUCAUAGCACUCAUGAUUUGUCAUAUAUGGUAGAAUUUUAAGUGGACUUAUACUUCAGAAGACAGUGAUCAUCUACAUAUUUAGCAUUUUUGCAAGCAUUAGGAUAGUAAUUAACUAUAGAAUAUAUAUUGAAGUAAUAGCGUGGUCGCCAUCGUAGAAUCCCUUGUGUAUGAUAGCUUGGUUUGCGAAACUGGGUUGGGCUUCUCUCCAUUCCGUUUCUUUUUAGUUUUCCAUUCAUUUAUCCAAUUGACGAGGUCUUGCCUUGCACCAAAUUUAAUAAUCUAAUUAUCUCGAAUUCUGCUGGUAUAUAGUUUGUUUAAUGAGUAUAGGAGGUAUUACUAUUUUCGAUCCCACGAGGGGCAAAUUUACAAUUACUAAGACUUUUUCACUUGCUCUAUUAUCUAAAUAACCUCAAAUAUAAUAUAAAAAAUAUAAAUUGAAGGUAAGCAAAAUAAGUAAACUAAGGAAAAUCACAAGAAUGGAAGAAUCAACUAAACACAAGUUAUGGGGAAUAGAAUCCACUAUUUGUUCUAAACCACGGUGAAACAGGUAAAAUAUCACUUUUAACUCGUCUUCUGAGAAUGUAAUUUUCUAAUACACUUAAAACUCGCUCUCGCCAAUGAAUCUUCAUGAAGAUCUAUGAAAAAAAUUAAGAAAAUCCUCCUAAAUUUUAUUGUUGACCCUCCUCCUUGUCUUUCUAAAGGUAUGUUCUGGAACCUUUAGUCUUAAGUCUUACAAUUUUUUUGUUUGUAUUGAUUUCUGGAUCAAAAAUGAAAAUGAAAGAGCUGUAUUCACAUAACUUUAUUUUAGAUCCACACCUUUAAUGCAUUUAUAAUUGAGAUUAAUGAUAUUAGAAGUUGUACAAGGUGUAAAUUUAGAAUAAAUUGGUGUAAAUUUAGUGCCGAACGAAAAUAUAUACCUAAAGGAGACCAUCACGUAACUAAUAGUUUAGUUGAAUUGAAACGUCGGCAUGUAGUGCAAAAUAGUAAGAUUUCAGCAUAAGCACAUCAUACUGAUCAUGACACUCAUGAUUAUGUACAUAUAUAGCCUUUUCGCAAGCAUUCGGACGUUAAUUGACUAUAGAGUAUAUAUUGAUUUAAUAGUAUGGUGGCCAUCGUAGAAUUCUUUAGUUAUGAUGGCUUGAUUGGGCUUCUCUCCAUUUCGUUUCUGUUUAGUUAUUCAUCCAUUUAUCUAAUAUACGGUUUUUAAAACUCAUAUUAUGAUGUUAUUAUUUUAUUUUUAUUGGUUGAUCAGCAUAAAUAAAGAUAAAGUCUAUUUGACAAAGUUUUUGCAUUCAAUUUGGAAGAAACAAUUAAACCAGUAUAAAAGAGUUUAAGAUCAUGGAAAUUUUGUAACGAUUAAUUGAACAUAACAAAUUUGUCAAUUCAAAUUUAACUUUUUGUGUAUAACUGAAAUAGUUUAUGAGGUAUAUUAUGUAUGGUGUUGAUUUGCAAAAUUAACUUCAAAAUGAAAUUAUCAUGGCGUAACGCUAAGAAGAACUCACUUUUGUUUCUCCAAAUUUAGACAAGGACAUUGAAGAAGAUCAAGGAUUUGUGCUAUGCAUGUAAAAGAUUCUCCAUUAUAGUGGAAUACAUUUUUUCCACUAGUUUGAAAAUAUUAAAAUAGGUAAAUUAAUUUUACUCCUUUGUGGUUUAAUGUUUUGCCAUGCAACCCCUUAUCAUUCCGAAAUUGCAAUUUUACCUUGUGCUUUUGUGAGAGGAGCCAUUGAGUUUUUCUUUGUUUUGUGACAAAACUAGUUGUCAAGAUACAGAAUAAUUAUUAAGCACUAAAGUAGGAUAAAUAUCACACUUUAGGGAGUAAAGCAUUCAAAAUUAAAAUUUAAGGAUUAGAGUUGCAGAGAGUCCAUAAUUUAAGGCUCCAAAUUGAAAAUUAGCCAAGAAAAAAAAUGUAAAAAAUAUAUAUUAGCAAUUAAUCAACCAAAUACCAUAUUUACCCUCUUUAAAUUUGAUUUAACAAAAAAAAAAACAGUUAUCUACAAGGGCCCGGGUUAAGAUGAUAAUUUCAAAAGCAUAAGGAGAUUAUGAGGUGAAACAUUAAAUCAUUGAUGGUAAAAGGUAUUAUUACAAUUCACAUUAAUCAAACAAUUAAUUACAUUUGUCUCGCAAUGGAUCUGCUCUCUCCACUCCUUGUGCUACUUCUUGUCCUAACCUUAUGUAGUAGGUCAUGUAUUCUGCAUGAACAUCCUUUUUUUAACCCCGCUUUUGUCCUUGAGUUGCAACUAUGACUAAUAGGGUUAAAAAAAGAUCAAAAUACAACAACUAAAACCAAUAUAUGAUAAAGAAAUGAAAAAUAUAUAUACUAAAAAACUCGUAAAAAUUUGAUUUUUUAAAUCAAAAUUUGGCAUUUUAGUCUAUUUUCAUUUUUUUUACAUAGUUAGUGGUUCUUGGAAUUCUAAAGAAGAAAAAAAAAAGAGUUAAAAUAGGUUGUUUAUGAAGGAUACAUGACAAUAUAAUACAAGAUGGGACCGAGAGUAAGCUAGGAAGUGAUACGUAAAACCUAUUGUGUAUUCAUCUCCCUUGAGAUUGGCCAAAUUAUAAGUUAGACCUAUUGUGCAUGUAUUUCCAUGAAAUUUGACCAAAUUACCAAUCAAACUUUAAAGUUUGAUCAUAGUACUAAGUAAUCCUAAGUAUUGAUAAUGGGGUGAGAGACUGGUAGGAUUGCAAGUUAAUUGUGCUAAGCUUCUCAUUGCCAAGAUCAGGACAAGUAAACUUGGCCUCAUCUGAGCUACAAAACACCCUCUCUGGUGGCACUUGUAACUUAUGUUUUGAAACUCGGACUGGCAAGAAACUCGACUGAGUUCAAGGGUCAGGGGCCAUUAGAUUCGAUCAAGUCGGACUAGUAUUAAAAGCCGGAUGAUGUCAUUAUGAUGUCAUAAAUAUUAUUCAUUUUUUAAAAUAAAAAAUAUGGAAAAAAUACUAUUAAUAUAUUAAUUAGGUUCAUUUUUACCUCAUAGUCCUUGCAUCACAUCAAAUUCUUAAAACAAAUUGAACAAAAUGACAAAUCAAUAUCAAAUACUUAAUACGAAUUUUAAAUAAAAAUUCAACAAUCAAAUUUUAAAUUAAUUUGUUAACGUUUAUAAAGUUCAAAUGCACAUGCAUGAUAAGUCUUAAACAAAAUUGAGACUUAUUUGCACAAAGUGCAAAAGCUAAAGUUGCACACAAUAAUUAUAAAAGAAAGUUGCAAGCAUAAUUGUAAUUGUUCAAAACAUAAAGGGUCGAAACACAAAAUUAAAAAAAAAAUUAGACUUGGAAGGCAGUUGCCACCUGGCCUUAUCUUUGGUCUUCCUACUCUUCACUCGGUCCAAACACCCGUCCCUUAUACUUUGACGCCAUUAAUUCCUCCUCAUGCAUCAGGCGGAAACAUUUCCGCCUCUUUCUUCUCCUUCUUCUCCUCAACCUUCAACCAAAUCAAAAAGGAAUUCCUUUUUUUUUUUUUUUUUGCUUUUUCCAGUCAACUUCAACCAAUGUUAUUAGAAAACAGAAAUUCACCAAAUUAAAAAGGAAAAAGAAAAAACAUGACAUCAUCAAAUCACUAGCAUGCAUCAUCACCAAAUUAGCAGGGGGUUUCAUUCUCUGCAUUCUCUUUUUUUUCCUUUCACUUUGUGAUUUUCUUUCUUGUUUCUUUUCUUCAAAUAGGCAAGAUUCCUCUCUCUUCCUUUAUUUUCAUUCUUUUGUUAAUUUCUUUCUUUCUUCUUUUUUGUUUAGAUAUUGGUCUUUAGAAGUUGAUAAUGAGGAUAUAUUCAUAGAUCUAUCUUCUCUCUUCCUUUUUGUCAUUUUCUCUUAUAACUUUUUGCUUUCAAUUUCCAAUACAUAUUACCAAAUUGUUGGAGGGAUCAAAUUAUGGCUUUAAAGAUGAUGAAAAUUUUGGGAAAAAGAAAAAGAAUCAGCAAUUGGCAAAAAUAUAGCCAAAAAAAGUACAAAACCAGGUUUUACUGGUUUUUCGGUCAAACCCAAUAAAAACCGGAUUUGGUCGAGUUUUUGACAUGCUGUUUUUAAAGAUGAUUCAGACCGAAUAAUUGGUCGGUUCUCGGUUUGACCAGUUGGAUCGACUAGUCUGGUUCGAGUUUAAAAACAGUGCUUGUAACCAUAGAGGUCCUGGGUCCCUAAUAAUGCCAUGACCAAAAGGCAAUGUUUUAAAACUCGGACCGUUAAUUGAACCGGCGAGGUAUUCAAAUCGAGGUUCAAUCGAUCAAACCGGUUCAAUUCUGGUCAAUGAAUUUUUAAAAAAAUAAUUUAUAUAAAUAUAUAUGUACAAAAUAAGACAUGCAAUGGACUAAUUUAAGACUUUAUAUGAUGAAAAGUUUAAUAUUUUCAAAGAAUUUGGAUUUUCACAAAUAAAAUUUUAAAUUAUAAGUUGUAACAAAUAAAUUUCAUCUUAAUCUCAAUUGUAUCUACCAAAAAAUAAUCUUAAAUCCAACCCAAAAUACCACAAUAUUCUAAAAUUAUACAAAAUUCACGUCUAUGGGAAUUAGACAUUAUGAGUUUAAAUUUUUAAUUUACGUUUUUGGGAUUUAGAGAUUAUAACUUGAAAAAAAAAAGAAGUUUGGAAUUUGAAGGAAGUCAGUAGAAAACAGAGAUACAAACUUGAUAAAAGGCAAAAAAUGAGAAGACAGUGAGUGGAUGUGCCAUUUAAUAAUUAGUCUUUAGGGUUAAGGAAAAUCUAUUCUUUUUUUAUAUAUUUUUUUCAAUUUAAUAAACGAAAACAAAAAACCGGCGGUCAACAAUUCAAUCCGGUUCGCAAGGUUUAAACAGUUCUUAUAGAUUUUUAACUCCAAUCAACCCAAAAUAUGAAUCGGACCGGAGUUAUGACUGAUUUACGAUCCGAUCGGUUGAACCGGCCAACCAAUUUGAUUUUCAAAACAAUGCCAGAAGGGAUAUGAGCUCCUUUGCAUUAGUGAACAUCGAGUCUCGACCGACACCUUAUACUUUGACUGGGUCAACAAAAAAAGACGGUAAAUGUUCCAAAAUCCCCACUAACGUACAUUUUUUAGAACAAAAAUGAAUAUAAAUUGAAUCGAUUAUUUAAUUACAGAUGGGUCUCACUUUUUUGCCCAAAAAAAUGGCUAUGUGUGGAUCAUAUAAUGGAUUCAGGAUAAGAAAUUAUCAAAAAUUUAAGUUGGGACCAAAUUUUUACUAAUUUGAUUUUGUAAGAGAUGUAAAAUUAUAAUUUUAAAAGUGAAUAACAAAAAAAUUCAUGAAACAAAAUGUGAAAUAUGUUUUGAACAAUUUUCCCUUUCAAAAGCUGCAUUACCUUUCCUUCUCAGGAAACAAAAAAGGCCAAAUCUCCUCUACCAACAUUACCAUUACAUACGUUCAAAUUCCACAACUGUAACACCAUAUAUGUAUGUGUGUACGCGUGAUGCGUGUACGUAUGUAUGUCUGCGUGCUUAUGAAGCGAAGGAAAAAGUAGAAAGGAGAAAAUGACUUGGUGAUACCAGUCUCGAGGGAAUUGAAUGGGAGUAAGUACGUUAAAAUGAGGAGGUGGUUAUGGUGAUUGCGGUGGCAGUUGUAAUAGAUCUGAAAUGGAGUAAAUAAGGUUUGAGACGAAGAGGGUGCUUUCUUCUUUCAUUUUAUUUUACCUUUCCACACCGUCGGUUUGGCUAUCUUGUAUUCUUUCUUCUUAGUAUUGGUGCAUCUUCCUUUACUUUAUAUUUAAUGUUUCUUCUCCACUUCUUUGUCUUUUAUCUCGUUCUAUUCUGACACGUACUUUCUUGUUCUUCUGGGGGAAACACCUAUUUGCUAAUUUGCCACCCAGCUUUUCUAAAUUUAGUAAUUAAUUAUCUUCGGCUUUUUUUGCUAGCAAUUGUUGUGCCUAAAAAUGCUAUCCCAUUUGUUUUAAUUUUUAUUUUCCAAGUCUUUUUAAAGUAAGGCAUUGUUGUCAUUUGAUUAUAUCCAACGGUUGGGUCUGGACAGCCUCAUUUACAAGCGUAGUUGUACUUUGGAUCAAGCACAGAGCUAAGUUUGUAAAUUACUGAAGCCACAGGGGAGUUUAAUUCUAUUAAUCCAUAACUAGAACAAUUAGUAUGCUAGGAUUGAAAAUUGAUUGUCAAAAUUUUUUUAUUUACCGUCAACAUGGAGUAUGUGAGACGAAAAGGCAGCGAAAAACUUUUAAAGAUACUGAAAGAAUAUUUUUUCAAAUAAUGUGUUCUUGCAUAGCUAUCCGUCUGUGUAAUGGGCCGUCUCGGAGUUACACUAACCCAAAGUUCAGCAAACUUGAUCUCCUAUGAGCUGACUUUUGAAGUAAAUUAAACUUCCUUUAAUCCAGGCAAAGGACGAAGACCCCCACGAGCAGUUUUUCCAAUUGCUGUCCCAUUAAUUGGGGUUGCUGUUGUGCUAUUUAUCAUGGCUUUAGUUUUCCUGAAAAGAAGAUUGCGGAAGAGUCGUGUUGCAAUGGCACCGGAAACAAGUGGUAAAGUUUAUUGAUUGCAAUUACAGGAAACCUCAGAGGUUUUUGAACUAAUAAAUUGAGUGAAGUCGCUUAUCCCUGGUGUAGAUGGAGUUGCUGAAAUCUUAACAGCCGAAUCCUUACAGUAUAGCUUAACUGAAAUUCAAAUUGCCACAAAUAACUUCUCUGUGGAUAACAAAAUUGGCGAAGGUGGAUUUGGUCGUGUAUACAAGGUCUUUGCAUGAAAUAUUUUGCUUUUGUGAAUUUGAAUAUCUACACAUUUAAUAUUUCAAUUAAAUUCUAGUAUGCAUGUUUACUCAGGGUGUACUUGGUAAUGGACAAGAAGUAGCUGUCAAAAGGCUGUCAAGGAGCUCAGUGCAAGGUGCAGAAGAAUUUAAAAAUGAAAUUGUAGUAGUUGCAAAGCUUCAACACAGAAAUCUAGUUCGGCUAUUGGGAUUUUGCCUGGAAGGAGAAGAAAAGAUACUCAUCUAUGAAUUUGUUGCCAACAAAAGCCUUGACUACUUUCUCUUUGGUGGGUUCAAUCUAGACAUACUUAUAGUAAUUUUUUGUUGUUCCAUGUGAUCUUGUUCUAUUUUACCUAUUUGAUUAUGCUUUAUGGAGUUAUUGAUUUAAUAAUUCUCAAUGCUAGCACAAUAUAUUGUGUUUAAAUUUGUGUAGAUCCAGAAAAUAAACGAUCAUUGAACUGGUCAAGACGUUACAAUAUCAUUGGAGGUAUAGCAAAAGGACUUCUUUAUCUGCAUGAGGAUUCUCGUCUAAGAAUUGUUCAUCGCGAUCUCAAAGUAAGUAAUAUAUUAUUGCAUGGAAAUAUGAGUCCAAAGAUAGCAGAUUUUGGCAUGGCAAAGAUUUGUGGAGUUGAUCAAUAUGAAGGAAACACAAAUAGAAUUGCAGGGACAGUGUAAGUUUUGCUCCCAUACUAUCUUUUCUCACAUAAUAUCACUUUGAAUCUUUCAUGGAAAAUUAUGUACACCUCCAUUUGAUUGCAUCAUUCGGAUUAUCUUUGUACUGAUUAUAACAAUCGUUGUGGCUUGUAGUGGUGGCUUGUAGUGGUUAUAUGGCUCCUGAAUACACAAGGUGGGGUCAGUUCUCACUAAAGUCAGACGUGUUUAGUUUUGGGGUUGUAAUUUUGGAAAUUGUCACGGGCAAGAAGAGCAGUGACUUCCAUCAAUCUAGAGAUUCCGAAGACCUUCUAAGCUAUGUAAGUACAAAUUGCAAAACCUUUGCUAUAGUUGUUACCUUUUUUUUUUUUGGCUUUUGCAGAACUGGGGAGGAGGAUUUGAUAUUGGCACUCCUAAUUUUCAACCUUUUAUCUUUUCUUUUUUUUUUCAUUAUUAAAUUCACCUAAACUUGCAAUACCAUUUUUUGUGUGAACCAGACCAAACUGGCACGAUAAUUUAUGAACUACCUGCCCUAAAUAACUACGUAUUUCUGUUUAUGUGAUUCUUAUGGAAAUUUUUAGAUGUCGGAUGCAAGACUUGUCAUAAUUGCUAUUCUUUCUCUCGUUUUGUACGUUGUCACACACUCAGAAUAGAGUACUUGUGAAUUUCAGUAAAGACCAUUGUACUUCUUUCUCAGGUUAUACUUAACUACAAUGAUGGGAAAAAAGGUUGCGAUUCAAAAUCUUUUAUGAAUAAAUCUCAUAUACACUGACAGUGUAUACAUUAUCACCUUUAGAUUCAUGAUAUAUGUGUAAAUGUUAAAAUUUGAAAUUCAAAUUUUGCAUAGUUGUUGUUCAUCCAACGCUGACAACAGUGUGUACACUGUCAGUGUAGGAAAGAUCAAUCCAUCUUUUUAUAUGAUUAAGCUUGAAAUAGAGAGUAUUGACAAUUGCCUAUUGUGAAUAUUGACAUUUACCUGUAUAUCUAUUUAAGCUGAUUGAAGUUUUUAAGAAUGUACACCUUAUGAGUGGGAUUAUUUCGAAAAGGCUUGGAACCAUUGGAGACGCGGCCAAACUUUAGCUCUUUUGGAUUCAAGCAUUGGAGAUUCUUAUGCCAGAAAUGAAGUCAUUCAAUGCAUCCAAGUUGGCUUACUAUGUGUUGAAGAAGAUGCCAGUAAAAGACCCACAAUGGCUUCCGUGGUCUGCAUGCUCAAUCCUGGUUCUGUUUCCCUACCAACUCCACAUCGUCCGGCAGUUUUCCGGAGCAAUGGAUCGGAGAGCAGGGUAGACGAGCUGAAAGUUGAUCAAUCCAACUCUCAAAUAAUUUCAGCUCCAAGCUCUGUCAAUGAUGCAUCAAUUACUGAACUGAUAGAGCCGUUAUUUGGCACGUUUUGCAUUGUCAUCUUGUUCUAAUUUUGGCUAUUCAUGGUGCUAAGAAAGGGAAUUUCACUCAUAUUUGAUAUUUGUGUGAAUUGUAGGUGGUUAGCAUUAAAAUGAUAUCGCGGGGUAAAUUUCCAGAAGACUUUUCAUUUCAGAGCGUUGCCACACCUUAGAAGGAGGACGAAACCGAAAGCCGGACUGCGGUCCACGUGAACCCGAAGCGUGGGAUCAGAACUCUGGAGACAAAGCUUUGCUCCAGGCCUUUGUUCCAGACGUCUUUUUCUUUUCUACGUCUCUUGUGCGGCGGAUAUAAAAAGAGAAACAAGGAAGAUUCAAGGGGGCAUCUACUUUUUAGGCUUAGUUUUCUUUUCCUAGGUUUGUCAGCAGUCAGACGCUUUUGACUGGGGCUUUUGGCUUUCUUCAGCCGCAACUUAGACUAGCUUAGGAGUUCACCCUUUUCAAUCUUUUGCUGUAGACGCCUUUGACGUUCACUUUUGAUUUGCUACAAUUUUCCAUCGCUUUUAUUCCUUUUCUUGACUCUGCUCCAGGAGCGACCGAAUAUAAGAAAAUGAACCAAGGGAAUUUCCCAUUUGUUCCUUAGUUAAUUCGCAUCGCUCCGCUCCUUGGAAUUAAUUGUUUGGAUAUUCGCGUGGAUGAAAUCAAUUAAAUCGCGUGAGCUUGACAUGAUGAGGAGCGGCUAAUUUUCUCCUCUACCCAAAGGGUGACGCGAGGGCGCGGUCCACCACACCUGUGAGAUCUAAUCAAGCUUUCAUUAUUUCUUCCAAUUCGUUAUUAUUCGUGCGUUUUCUGAAUUAAUUGUUCAUGGGUAUUUGAUUAAUUGAAUAUCAACGGCCGGGUAUUUGAUUUAAUUUAAUAGCCUACUGCCACGUUAAUUAAAUAGAAUCCGUAAUUGUUCAUUUAAUUGACACCCCGUGGCAACCACCAUAAUUGGUUUUAUGAUGGGGAAACGCAGGAUCUAGCUUAAAUAAACCCUCUUAGCGUGUUUAUUGGUUAGGGUUGGGUUCUUCUAGCUUUAAUGCAAUUGGGUAAUUAAAUUCCUACGGUCGUACUUAGGGUUGUUAUCUGAUUAGGGAAGCAGUCAAUGGUCGUACCUUGACUGUCGAAAAGGUAAAGAAGAACUGGUUGUCAGAUCUUAUUGAUAACUAUAACCAAUCUAAUGAUGAAUGGGUGAAAUAUCUUUGCAUCGAUGAUCAUUUAAUUGGACCGUGCCUGAGCAGUUGAUCCUUUGGGUGGAAUCUUAUUAAUUGCUAUUUUUAGUGAAUUGUGCUUUGUGAGUUGGUUUUGAAUUUAGUUCGCUUUAUUUUUAUUCUUAUUUUUAUUUUAUUUGUUUGCCUCCUAUUGAAAAUCCCCCAAUUCCAUUCUACUAAUUUGGAAAGAAAUAAUUUCCUACCCGCUCCCUGUGGAAUCGACCCUACUUGCUAUUGUACACAAAAGUAAUAUUCUUAUAGACUAAUCUGGUAUAUCGGAUCAAGCAAACUCUUCGGGAACAGGGUGAAUCAAGUAACCCAUUGCACACCUAGGGUCCCUGCUCCAGUAUUUGGAUUUGUUCUAUAAUUAUUUGUGGUGGUAAUUAGGACUUUUUAGUAAUUAUUAUUGCACAGGUUCGGCACCUGUCAAUUUUUGGCGCCGUUGCCGGGGAGCUGGCGUUUGGAUUAUUUGUUUCUUUUCAAAUUCAGUUUUUAUUUUAUUUUUAUUUUAUUCUAUUCUUCUUGAUAUUUUUGCUAGUUUAUGCCCCAUUUUUCUCGCACAGGUGAAUUAGUAUACGAUCUUGAAGUUGAGAAGGCAGUGCGUAGGCGGAGGCAAGAGACCAAGAGGCGAAAAGAAGGGCCCUUAUUUAUUGCAAACGAGUCAGUAGAAGACGAAGUAAGCAUGGCCAACACCCAAACACUAAGGGAGCUGGCUGCCCCGGAGCUGACUCACCAGCCCUUAUGCAUCACAUUCCCCACUUUGGCUGAGAAUACUGCUUUCGAACUGAAGUCGGGGUUGAUUCACCUCUUACCUUCUUUCCAUGGUCUCUCGGGUGAAAAACCCCACAAGCACGUUAAGGAGUUCGAGGUGGUCUGCUCUAGUAUGAAACCUCCUGGGGUCACUGAAGAGCAAAUUAGACUGAGAGCCUUUCCAUUCUCUCUCAAGGAUGCAGCUAAAGAUUGGUUGUACUACCUACCAGCAGGUAGUAUCACCACAUGGGCACAGUUGAAAAAGAAGUUUUUGGAAAAAUUCUUCCCUGCAUCCCGGGCUGCGAGUUUGAGGAAGGAGAUCUGCAGUAUUAAACAAUAUCCCGGGGAGUCCUUGUAUGAAUAUUGGGAAAGGUUUAACAAGUUGUGCACUAGAUGCCCGCAGCAUCAAAUUAGUGAGCAGCUGUUAAUCCAAUAUUUCUAUGAAGGACUCCAACCAACUGAUAGGAGUAUCAUUGACGCUGCGAGUGGGGGAGCGCUGGCAAACAAGACUCCGCAGGAAGCGUGGGAGCUUAUUGAAGCUAUGGCAGAGAAUUCUCAACAGUUUGACUUUCGUGAGAGUAACCCUACCCGUAGGGUCAACGAGGUGGAGACGUCGUCCAUUCAACAACAGUUGUCAGAGCUCACAUCAGUUGUUCGACAGUUAGCAGUGGGAAAUGUGGCCCAAGUAAAGGUAUGUGGAAUCUGCACAAAUAUGGGCCACCCCACUGACUCAUGCCCCAUGUUACAAGAGUAUGGAGUUGAACAAGUGAACAUGGCUGGAGGCGUGCCCGCGCCUCGUAGACUGUACGUCCCAUACUCCAACACGUACAAUCCGGGUUGGAGAGAUCACCCAAAUUUCAGCUAUGGUGAUAGGCCGCAAAAUACAUUCUCCAAUCGUCCACCAGGAUUUCAGCAACCUUGGCAACACAAGUCUCAACCCUCGUCCUCAAGCUCAGGGAGUUCUUUGGAGGAAAUUGUCAAGAGUUUGGCCACGACUACCACUCAGCUCGUCACGACCAUCACUCAGCUCCAGCAGGAGACUAGAACCUUGGUCGCGAGCACUACUCAGUUCCAACAUGAUACCAAGGCGGGCAUGAAGGACAUGGAAACUCGCAUGAGUCAAAUGGCAACUGCCAUUAAUCGCCUGGAGUCCCACGUCUAUGAGAAAUUGCCAUCGCAACCUGAGGCAAACCCCAGAAAUGUAAGCGCCAUGACAUUAAGGAGUGGCAAGGAAGUGGAGGGGUCAAAGGUCACGAACUUGAAGACUACAAGUGAAGACGAGAUCGAGAAGGAGAUAGAGGAAGAAGGACACAUUCGCGAAGAGCCUAAGGUAACAUCUAUUCCUUCGAUCCCUAUUAAAUCUAAUAUAGCUCCUUUUCCUUGCAGGUUGGAAAAGACAAAGAGGGCAGAAAAGGAAAAAGAAAUCCUGGAUGUCUUCUGCAAAAUUCAAGUAAACAUCCCCCUAUUGGACGCGAUCAAACAGGUACCCAAGUACGCAAAGUUCUUGAAAGACUUGUGCGUUAACAAAAGAAAGUUAAGGGGUGAUGAAAGAGUGAUGGUAGGAGAGAAUGUAUCAGCUGUACUUCAAAGGAAACUCCCACCCAAAUGCGGAGAUCCAGGUAUGUUUGCUAUCCCCUGUAAGAUUGGUCAUUUUAGUAUCAAAAAUGCCAUGAUAGAUUUAGGGGCUUCUAUUAAUGUGAUGCCUAAGUCAAUCUAUGAUUCCCUAAAUUUAGGACCUUUAAAAGAAACGGGGAUAAUAAUUCAAUUGGCUGAUCGUACAUGUGCUUAUCCGGAUGGGAUACUUGAGGAUGUUUUAGUGCAAGUAGAUGGAUUAAUUUUUCCUACUGAUUUUUAUGUGCUUUACAUGGAUGAUAGAAGUGCCCUAAAUCCAUCACCCAUUAUAUUAGGAAGACCAUUUUUGAGUACCGCCCAAACUAAAAUUGAUGUUAGUAAGGGUACUCUCACGAUGGAAUUUGAUGGAGAAAUAGUCCAUUUUAAUAUUUUUGAUACAAUGAAACAUCCUGUUAACUCUCAUUCUAUGUUUGCUAUAUAUACCACUGAUCCCUCUGUGCAAGAAUUUUCUAAGUUUGCUUAUAGGGGUAAAUCUAAUGUUGCUGCGAACAAGUCCUAUAGGAUGAAAGCAAUUCAUGAGGUAAAAAUUGAGAGAAAAUUUAGGAAAAAAGUUGCACUCAAUGGCCAUGUGGAUCCUGGAGGAGGGCCACCAAUUACAAGGAAAAUUCAAUUACAUCCAGACUAAAGAGUGGUGCUAUAUCUAGCCAAAGACAUUAAAGAAAGGCGCUGCUUGGGAGGCAACCCAAGGCUUCUUUUGUUUUAGUUUUCUUAUAUUUUUGAAGUUUUUGUUAAGUGUUAGUGUCAUUUAGUGGGUUGUUAUUUUGUGACAGGAAGUUGGCAGCUAGGCAUGCCCACGCUAGGUCAUCACACCUAAGGAAUGGAGUUUUGGAAUUGACGAUCAGACGACUAUAACUUCUAAGGCGUGCCCACGCCUUCCAACCCUUCCGAAAAAGGAACUUCAGUCUUCUCCUUCCUGUUGGUGUUGCGUCCGCCGCCACCACACCACCUUGUGCACGCAGCCGUCUCAACUCCUCCGCCUUAGUGUCUCACUUUCUCUCCCCGGUGGUCAGGGAAGUUUCUUUUCUUUUCCCCUAAUACUUCAUUUGUCUUUUCUACAUUGAGGACAAUGUAGGUUUUAGGUGUGGGGGGAUUAGUGGCUUCCAUUAUUUCUUUUUUCUUUGUUAUUUUUUUUUUCAUUGUUACUCAAAAAAAAAAAACAAAAAACAAAAACAAAAAACAGAAACAAAAAACAAAAACAAAAAAAAACGAAAAAAAAUGAAAAAAAAUGAAAACAUUGUAGUUAGGCGGCUUUUUGGCUAUUUCUAUGCUUGUUAGUAUUAGGGCAUGUUGCUGUGAUGAAUGACACAAUCAAAGUGAGUGGAUAUGUGGUCGAAUAUACUAGCUGUGCAUUUUGUUUCCCUUGGCAGUGUCGUUGAAUGUUGAAUAUGCUGGAAUUGACCCAUUCUUGUAACUUUUGGGGGAGUUUUUGAGCCUUAUAUGAGCACAUUAUUCUUGUUUGCUCUAUUUUUGUUUGAUUGAGUAGGUAUCACACAUGGUAUUGGUAUUCUAGAACUUGCUAGUUUAUACAUGUCAAGGCCACAUUUUUGUUGAAUUGGAUGCAUUUGAAAUGAUAAGGGCAUUUAGGAUUUAACCCUCUUUAGCUAUCUAAAAAAAUCAAGCCCUCAUCUUAUCUCCCAAUAGUGAACCAAUUUGAGCUUUUGUCCUUCGUUUCUGGUUGUUAUCCGUGUUUGUUAACCCAAGCCCUCUUUAAACUUUCUUGUUUACCCCUGUGUUGUCAAGGGAUGCCUGAAUUCCAUCAUUUGUGCAAAGCAAACAAAAUUGGGGUUGCAAGUGCUGUUAGAUUAGGAGCUAUAUGAUGCUAUCCUUGUAUAAAGAAGGGAAAAUUGGAAAAAGGCCACUGACCAGAGGACUUUGGCUUACAGGGCGUGCCCACGCCUUACAGGACUUUCUCUUUAAAAAAAAAAAAAUCCUGAAGAGACCUCGUGACCAGAGGACUAUGGGCUAUAAGGCGUGCCCACGCCUUGCGAGCAGUAUUCAAUCAAAAAAAAAAAGAGAGAGAAAGAGAAAAAAUUGGGGGCACUUGUACAGGGUGUACAGCAAAUGGAAACUGCCUUGUUAGUGAAACUCCUCCGGUAAAGCACUGUGAUUAUUGGUAAGUUUCGGACAUUCUCUUGACACUUUACCCCUAUCUAUACCUUCUUAACCCGCCUUUCACCUGAGCCCCAUUACAACCCUAUUAAAGUCCCUUUGAUUUAUGUGUUUGGUUCACUUUUAAGUGGUGGAGAUGUGAUAAAUGUGCAAGCCUAUGGUAAUGGCAUUCCGUGAUGUUGAAUUGAGCGUUCCUAGUAUUCAUAUAUAUUUUUUGAAUUACAACAUGUCCGGUGUGUUCUACCUUUGGUGAUAUUGUCAGGGACCCUAGAUGCUUGUGUUAGUAUAGACUACUACAUGACCUCUGCUCUCUUGGUUGUACUUCUGAGCUCCGAAAUGCUUGAGGGCAAGCAUUGUUUAGGUGUGGGGGGAUUUGAUAGAGCCGUUAUUUGGCACGUUUUGCAUUGUCAUCUUGUUCUAAUUUUGGCUAUUCAUGGUGCUAAGAAAGGGAAUUUCACUCAUAUUUGAUAUUUGUGUGAAUUGUAGGUGGUUAGCAUUAAAAUGAUAUCGCGGGGUAAAUUUCCAGAAGACUUUUCAUUUCAGAGCGUGACCACGCCUUAGAAGGAGGACGAAACCGAAAGCCGGACUGCGGUCCACUUGAACCCGAAGCGUGGGAUCAGAACUCUGGAGACAAAGCUUUUUUCCAGGCCUUUGUUCCAGACGUCUUUUUAUUUUCUACGUCUCUUGUGCGGCGGAUAUAAAAAGAGAAACAAGGAAGAUUCAAGGGGGCAUCUACUUUUUAGGCUUAGUUUUCUUUUCCUAGGUUUGUCAGCAGUCAGACGCUUUUGAUUGGGGCUUUUGGCUUUCUUCAGCCGCAACUUAGACUAGCUUAGGAGUUCACCCUUUUCAAUCUUUUGCUGUAGACGCCUUUGACGUUCGCUUUUGAUUUGCUACAAUUUUUCAUCGCUUUUAUUCCUUUUCUUGACUCUGCUCCAGGAGCGACCGAAUAUAAGAAAAUGAACCAAGGGAAUUUCCCAUUUGUUCCUUAGUUAAUUCGCAUCGCUCCGCUCCUUGGAAUUAAUUGUUUGGAUAUUCGCGUGGAUGAAAUCAAUUAAAUCGCGUGAGUUUGACAUGAUGAGGAGCGGCUAAUUUUCUCCUCUACCCAAAGGGUGACGCGAGGGCGCGGUCCACCACACCUGUGAGAUCUAAUCAAGCUUUCAUUAUUUCUUCCAAUUCGUUAUUAUUCGUGCGUUUUCUGAAUUAAUUGUUCAUGGGUAUUUGAUUAAUUGAAUAUCAACGGCCGGGUAUUUGAUUUAAUUUAAUAGCCUACUGCCACGUUAAUUAAAUAGAAUCCGUAAUUGUUCAUUUAAUUGACACCCCGUGGCAACCACCAUAAUUGGUUUUAUGAUGGAGAAACGCAGGAUCUAACUUAAAUAAACCCUCUUAGCGUGUUUAUUGGUUAGGGUUGGGUUCUUCUAGCUUUAAUGCAAUUGGGUAAUUAAAUUCCUACGGUCGUACCUAGGGUUGUUAUCUGGUUAGGGAAGCAGUCAAUGGUCGCACCUUGACUGUCGAAAAGGUAAGGAAGAACUGGUUGUCAGAGCUUAUUGAUAACUAUAACCAAUCUAGUGAUGAAUGGGUGAAAUAUCUUUGCAUCGAUGAUCAUUUAAUUGGACCGUGCCUGAGCAGUUGAUCCUUUGGGUGGAAUCUUAUUAAUUGCUAUUUUUAGUGAAUUGUGCUGUGUGAGUUGGUUUUGAAUUUAGUUCGCUUUAUUUUUAUUCUUAUUUUUAUUUUAUUUGUUUGCCUCCUAUUGAAAAUCCCCCAAUUCCAUUCUACUAAUUUGGAAAGAAAUAAAUUCCUACCCGCUCCCUGUGGAAUCGACCCUACUUGCCAUUGUACACAAAAGUAAUAUUCUUAUAGAUUAAUCUGGUAUAUCGGAUCAAGCAAACUCUUCGGGAACAGGGUGAAUCAAGUAACCCAUUGCACACCUAGGGUCCCUGCUCCAGUACUUGGAUUUGUUCUAUAAUUAUUUGUGGUGGUAAUUAGAACUUUUUAGUAAUUAUUAUUGCACAGGUUCGGCACCUGUCAUAAACCAUAUCCCAGAUGAAGGAAGAAAUAGGCCAAUUCUGGAAGAAAAUAUCAAGUUCAUCAUCAGCAUUAUGUUGUAGAUUUUGAAGCAUGAUUCAUUAACCAGGAAGGUAUCUAAAUUUGCCCACUAUUGUUGGAAAUUAGGGGAUCGCUUCAAUGUUUGCUUCUUCACACUAAUUGACUUCUUCCACCUUAGGGGUAUAAGGAUGUGCUUGAAAGAAAAUGCAAGUUGUUGUCGCUCUUUAGAUAUUUUUUAAAAAUAGAAGAGCAAUUUUAUUUAUGAACAUUAAUCCCCAGCUGAUCGAACAAACAGUAUGUCUUGAACUUUUACCAUUUGUACAUAGCAAAGUUGGCUUCCAAACUGAGUCUAUCAAUUAUAUCAUUGUAUACGUUUGGUAACAAAACCAAUAUGAAGGCUGUCUUGGUUCACAAUUCUUGGAGUGUGUUAUUAGUUAAAAAGAGUUUAAAUUAUAUCAGAUUCAUCCUGAUUUGGAACUUUUUCAGCAUUCAAUGAUUUAUUAUCACCUAAGCUUUCUUAAGUAUUCUAUUGUAAUAACAUUGUACUUGCAUUCAUACAAUCUUCGUAUUUGUUAUUCCUUCUUUUUUUUUUUUUUGGUUCAAAGUAUUUACCCAAUUUUGUCAUUUAAUUUUCUCUUUUCUUUAUUCUUUUCCUUAUUCAUUUAAUGUAACUUAGCCAAUCUUUUUCCCUUUUCUUCAAGCAAAGAAAAAACCAUUCAUAUAAUUGUGUAAAUCUGAUGGCUAUCCCAACUAUCAAUGAUUACGCAAAAAAAGAAAAAGGAUAGUUGAUGCAUUUAUACAAUCUUCACAUUUAGCAUAUGAACUUUUUCAAGUGAAUAACUACAUCUGUGAAUUAUUCUGCUACAUAAAUAAUCACAAAUAACCUAGAAAUCUUGAGAAUUUAAAGGUAUAUAAAAUUCUAUGAAAUCCCCAAAUGCAUAGAUGAAAUUUAGAGUAUGGAAAUUGAUAUUAAAAAAUACAAAAUUAUUAACCCAAAAUUAUACAAGUGAAUAUCUUAGCAAGUGUAUGAGAGAUAAUGGCAGAUCAACAAAAUAUUUCUUAUUCUUCAUCUUGGAUUUUUCUUUCCUUCAUUUCAUUCUUUCUUUUUCUGGGUAAGGAAAAGCCAGGGAAUUGUGAUCUGUGAUGCUGUGAUUGACAGGAAAAACUAUUGGCACUUUAAGGAGGACUCUGUAUUUCAUCAUUUUUUUAAAACUUUUUAACUCAAAUUGGUGUCCAGAUAUCAAAGGUGAUGGUGUAUUAGUGUAACAGUAGAACACUUAAAAGGAAGUUUAGGUCGCAAGACAUAAUUGGGUGCCUAAAAAGUCUCAAAUCAUGAUGAUCCUGAUGUGCACCCUUAGUUAAGAUAUGUAAAUGUUUUAUCCGUAUCAAAUUAGACAUCAUCUAAUAAAAUUAGAUUAGAUUAGUUACUGAUUUAAAUGUUGUCUUAUCUUUUGGGUUUAUAUUUUGUGCCCUUAAAGCACCAUAAGGAGUGGGUCUCUUUUUUUUUUUUUUUCAAAAGGGUAAUUUGUUUGCUAAUGUGCUGUAUUUCAGGGUGGUAAUUUUAAAGGUUUAAUGGUGGGCCAAUUUCCUUUUUCUAUAUGCUUAUUUGGUGCUUUAAGCAUCAAAUAAAAAAAAUCUUGAUGUAAAGAUAAAUGAAACAAAAAUAAUAAAUAUUUCCCCUGUUUUUUGUCUUCCUUGUCAUAGAGCAAGUGUUCUAGGGUCUUUAUUUUGGGCAAAAAACCGCGGUGGUCCUUAAACUUUCAACUUUGUGCACUUUUAGUCCUCCAACUAAUAAGUGCGUAAAUGUAGUCAUUCAAUUAAUAAAAAUAUGUAGUUGUAAUCCUUCCGUCUAAUUUAGCCGUUAAGAUGGACAGGAUGAUACAAAAAUGAUACAAAAAAUAAAGGGAUAAUUUCAGAAACCUCCCUUGAGGUUUUUAACAAUUUCAUUUAGCUCCCUUGAGAUUUUAAAAAUUAUACAUACCUCCUUAUCAUUUAAAAUGACAAUACUACCCUUAAAUAUUUUAAUGAAAUUUCCUUGUUUGGUAUGUUUAUACUUUGAAUGAAUUUUAAAAUUAUUUUUCAUUCUUUUCCUUCUUCUUCCUUUUUUAAAAAAAUUUUUUGCCAAUAAAGUGGUAGAACUAUCACUAUUACCUCUAGUUUCUAUUGUAACCAAAUGUCGGACAAGUAAUUUUUUUUUGAUGAGUUAACUUUAUAUACAAUACAAUAUUUUUGCUAAUCUUUGUUUUCUAUUUUUUGGUAUUAAAAUUAACAAUAAAUCAAAAGAAAAUGGUCCAAAAUCACUAUUAAAUUAUGAUAAUCCAACUAUUCAAAAAAUUCAUAAAUUCUAAAUAAAUUAUUUCAACAUUUUCUUUUUUAUCUUAUAAAUCCAUAAUAAAAUACCAUCAAAAGUAUCCUAUCAUAGUCAUAAAAAUAUUAUUAUAGUUGUUUAUCAAAUAAUAGGUAUGGACAUGAAAAAUUUGGCACAUUUUUCUUAUAAUUAUACUAGAUAAUCUUAUAAUUGUAUAGGAAAGUAAAUUAAAACUCAUUACACAAGGGUAUUUUUGGUUAUUCAUUUAAAAAUUUGACCAAGUCAAUAUUAUUUUAAGGUUUUGUUACUAAAACUAUCAAAUCAAGGGAAGUAGGUGUAAUUUUCCAAAUCUCAAGGGAGCUCAAUGAAAUUGUUAGAAACCUCUAGGGAGGUUUUUGUAAUUAUUCCAAAAAUAAAUGUCAUGUGAGCAAUCCAUUAUAUGUUUUCCAUCCAUCUUAACAGCCAAAUUGGACGGAAGGACUAUAACUGCACAUUUUUAUUAAUUGGAGGAUUACAUUUAUGCACUUAUUAGUUGGAGGGCUAAAAAUGCGUAAAGUUAAAAAUUUAAGGACCACCGCAGUUUUUUGCCCUUAUUUAAAAUUAGUCUAUCUAACAAAUAAUGAUUUUAGUGUAUGUUUAUAUAUGAUAGAUUGGAUGAAAUAUAGGUUCAUUAAUAAGUGGCCUUUUGACAUCAGUUGAAAUAAUACUUUGAUCCAAAUUUAAAUUAGAAACCAUGGCACAAUCAUCUGAAAUAGAAUGGCGUAGUAGAGGUCUUGACUCCAACAAGCAAUGCUUCCUUCUCGGUACUAACACUGUGAAUUGAACCCUCCUCAGAACCACAAAGCAUAUGCCUUUUUUUUUCAAUUAUAAAUUAUUCUUUUUUAUUUAAUUUUACUCACAAAUUAUUCUUAAAGUUUUAAAAAAAAAGAAGAAGUCUCCACCCCUAACAUUCAUGCAUAUGUCUCGUACUAAUAAAUAAAUAAAAAAAAGUCCAACUCUGAUUCCCGUCCAAAACCAAAUUCCGCCAUGUCAACUACUUCCAUAAAAAAUAAGAAUGCCCAAAUACCAAUUUAGUUAUCCAAUCCUAUAACAGAAAGCCCAAGUCCAAACAAUUGAAAAACCCACCAUCCCACCGUUACCUAUUGACCUUUUGUUUUAAAUUAAUUAUGCUUUUUCCCUUAAAAGGAUAACCAAGCAAAUUCCAUAUCCUAUCCUGUGUAACCUCUUGAUUUUCGUCUUGUAAAUUUCUAUAUAAAAUUUUGUCCUAAGAUAAUUUUAUUUGCAAUGUUUCAUUAAUUCAUCUACCCAAGCCUCCAGCAUUCAGUUUAGCUAUUGGGCAAAUCUUUUGUUUUUCUAUGUUUCGUUUUGAUGGAAGACAAAAAUUGACUUUUAGAUUUUCUUGGUUACAACUUUCUUUAUAUAUUCAUUCAAAGAUGAAACUUUUAUUUUGUGCGUUUAAUUAAUGAAUUUGGAUCUUGGGUGUCAUUAGAUUACAUUUAUAAUAACAAUAAUUUUCUUGCCUCUGUUGGUUUAAAAUUUAGUUAUCCUUUCCUCAUUAGUCCGAUAAAUUGUCAUUUUAGAUUAAAUAAAAUUGAUAGUUACUUCUUCUAUUUUUCAAUUAGAUAAACUUCAAUGUUUCUGUUUUGUGUUAAUGAAUAUAGUGAAUUUAACUAGUUCUGCUGCAAUGAUUAGGAGAACUAAAAGAAUGGUUUUAGACAAGGUUAUAGUUAUUGAUAAUAUAAAAAAAAAACUUGUCAAUAGAAUAAACUUUUGAAAAUCAUUAUGAAACAUCUGCGGUUGCUUUAGAUGAAAAAGCAAAAGCUUUAGAACUUCUAAAACAUAAAGCUUGCACUUAAUUAUACUAGUGAUUUUUCAGGUUGAUUAGUAACUUAUUGAGAUUUGAGUAUUUUGUGACUAUCGGGAGCAAGAAAAUUGAAUAAAAGGACACUUGAAACAAGUGUUGAACCUGGAAGCUUUGAAGCUUUUUAUUUUUUUUUAAAACUUUUUAUGGAUUUUGUUAGUAGUUGCAAAGCUUCAACACAGAAAUCUAGUUCGGCUAUUGGGAUUUUGCCUGGAAGGAGAAGAAAAGAUACUCAUCUAUGAAUUUGUUCCUAACAAAAGCCUUGACUACUUUCUCUUUGGUGGGUUCAAUCUAGACAUACUUAUAGUAAUUUUUUGUUGUUCCAUGUGAUCUUGUUCUAUUUUACCUAUUUGAUUAUGCUUUCUGGAGUUAUUGAUUUAAUAAUUCUCAAUGCUAGCACAAUAUAUUGUGUUUAAAUUUGUGUAGAUCCAGAAAAUAAACGAUCAUUGAACUGAUCAAGACGUUACAAUAUCAUUGGAGGUAUAGCAAAAGGACUUCUUUACCUGCAUGAGGAUUCUCGUCUAAGAAUUGUUCAUCGCGAUCUCAAAGCAAGUAAUAUAUUAUUGGAUGGAAAUAUGAGCCCAAAGAUAGCAGAUUUUGGCAUGGCAAAGAUUUGUGGAGUUGAUCAAUAUGAAGGAAACACGUAUAGAAUUGCUGGGACAGUGUAAGUUUUGCUCCCAUACUAUCUUUUCUCACAUAAUAUCACUUUGAAUCUUUCAUGGAAAAUUAUGUACACCUCCAUUUGAUUGCAUCAUUCGGAUUAUCUUUGUACUGAUUAUAACAAUCGUUGUGGCUUGUAGUGGUUAUAUGGCUCCUGAAUACACAAGGUGGGGUCAGUUCUCACUAAAGUCAUCCGUAGUUUUCGCAACGGAUCUUCUGUCUCACAUCCUGUGCCACUCUCUGUGCCACUUUUUGUUAUAUUGCUAUUUCUCAUUCAUAAACAUCAUGUUUUAAUUCUUUUUUGCUUCCUUAAGAUCCAAUAACUAUUAAUUCAGAACUCGGGAGGAGGAUUUGAUAUUGGCACUCCUAAUUUUCAACCUUUUAUCUUUUCUUUUUUUUUUCAUUAUUAAAUUCACCUAAACUUGCAAUACCAUUUUUUGUGUGAACCAGACCAAAAUGCCACGAUAAUUUAUGAACUACCUGCCCUAAAUAAAUACGUAUUUCUGUUUAUGUGCUUCUUAUGGAAAUUUUUAGAUGUCGGAUGCAAGACUUGUCAUAAUUGCUAUUCCUUCUCUCGUUUUGUACGUUGUCACACACUCAAAGUAGAGUACUUGUAAAUUUCAGUAAAAACCAGUGUACUUCUUUCUCAGGUUAUACUUAACUACAAUGAUGGGAAAAAAGGUUGCGAUUUGAAAUCUUUUAUGAAUAAAUCUCAUAUAUUAGACAGUAUAUAUACUAUCACCGUUAGAUUCAUAACAUAUAUGUAAAAGUUAAAUUUGAAAUUCAAAUUUUGUAUAAUUGUUGUUCAUCCAACGUUGACAACAGUGUAUACACUAUCAAUGUAAGAAAGAUUAAUCAAUCUUUUUAUAUGAUUAAACUUGAAAUAGAGAGUAUUGACAAUUGCCUAUUGUGAAUAUUGACAUUACCUGUAUAUCUAUUUAAGCUAAUUGAAGUUUUUAAGUCUGAACUCCUUAUACGUGGGAUUAUUUCGAAAAGGCUUGGAACCAUUGGAGACGCGGCCAAACUUUAGCUCUUUUGGAUUCAAGCAUUGGAGAUUCUUACGCCAGAAAUGAAGUCAUUCAAUGCAUCCAAGUUGGCUUACUAUGUGUUGAAGAAGAUGCCAGUAAAAGACCAACAAUGGCUUCUGUGGUCUCCAUGCUCAAUCCUAGUUCUGUUCCCCUACCAACUCCACAUCGUCCGGCAGUUUUCCGGAGCAAUGGAUCGGAGAGCAGGGUAGACGAGCUGGAAGUUGAUCAAUCCAACACUCAAAGAAUUUCAGCUCCAAGCUCUGUCAAUGAUGCAUCAAUUACUGAACCAUAUCCCAGAUGAAGGAAGAAAUAGGCCAAUUCUGGAAGAAAAUAUCAAGUUCAUCAUCAGCAUUAUGUUGUAGAUUUUGAAGCAUGAUUCAUUAACCAGGAAGGUAUCUAAAUUUGCCCACUAUUGUUGGAAAUUAGGGGAUCGCUUCAAUGUUUGCUUCUUCACACUAAUUGACUUCUUCCACCUUAGGGGUAUAAGGAUGUGCUUGAAAGAAAAUGCAAGUUGUUGUCGCUCUUUAGAUAUUUUUUAAAAAUAGAAGAGCAAUUUUAUUUAUGAACAUUAAUCCCCAGCUGAUCGAACAAACAGUAUGUCUUGAACUUUUACCAUUUGUACAUAGCAAAGUUGGCUUCCAAACUGAGUCUAUCAAUUAUAUCAUUGUAUACGUUUGGUAACAAAACCAAUAUAAAGGCUGUCUUGGUUCACAAUUCUUGGAGUGUGUUAUUAGUUAAAAAGAGUUUAAAUUAUAUCAGAUUCAUCCUGAUUUGGAACUUUUUCAGCA
rnacentral:lncRNA from 1 species